rnacentral:lncRNA from 1 species
AUUUCCUGCAGUGCUGCUUUCGAACACAGCCUGCCAAGAAGCCUUCAGCAACUAUGCCACUUGAGCAUGCUUUCCUGCGAAUUUGAAGUUGCUUAUGAUUGACUUAUUUCAAGUGCCAUACGUUGUUGCAAAUGGAUGUGGUACUGUAAAGUUCCAUAUUUACUAAACUAGAAUAAUCACAGGGUCCAUAGAUGUGAUGAAGUACUUGUAUAUCGACGAAAUAAGAUGCAUGUUCCUCUCGCAUGGUUUGACCAGUGUCAUACUACGAUCUAGGCAAAUUUGACAGUGUUGCUUAAUCUAAACAUUUUACUACAGAGUGCAUUCUUAUCAUAAACAUUUUGUAUGAAGUACAUUUAUUCAUCAAAAUUGAAUGGUAUUGAUAUGGCUCCAAAUAAGAAACGGAUCAGCAAAACAAAAGUAAUAAAACCCAAGGAAAAAGGAAAAGAAAAAGAAAAUCGAAGUGAUAGUGCAUCAGAAUUCCUGAAAUAAUUUGGAAAGGAAAUACUCUGUCGAUUUGGUGGGAGGAACAUUGGCAGGUUUGGCAAACCUGCAACGUCUUAGGAUUUUGGAAGUGAAGGGAGAAAUAUCAAAGUUACGGGCAUUGGAGGCUCUUAAUUCUUCCGGACAGACCACAAUGGCUUUUCUCGAUUCACCGGAAAUUGGUGAUGGUGAUGAGGGCCACUCUGAUUGGAGAAAUUUCAUGUAUUUGUUGAGAUCAACGAUGAUGAUGAUCCAAGAUUUGCAAUUUUCGAGAGGAGAAUCAACGUUGAUUGUUGCGAUAAUGCACGUCAGGGCAGCAGGGAAAAGUUUUUUCCCUGGUGGUUUUGCCCCCAAGUGAUGCUGCAAGUUUGCUGGAUUUCCCCCUAACGGUUUUUUGUCAUUUCCCGGAACGUUUCUGGAAUAAUUUUGCAUGUUGUGUCUAUAAGAUGCAAAUAGCUAGUGAAAUUUGUUAAAAAUAUCUCAUGUGGUUCGUUUACAAGAUUUUAAUAGGCCUUAUAUUUAUAUAAUUUACCUUCACUUACUUGUUCAAAUAUUUAGGUUGGAUUUUCUCCUAUGUGCAAAUAGCAAUUUCUACGUGAAAUGCAAACUAAACAUGCUUCCUUUUUUUCAUUAUUUUUUCUGCAAUUAAAGUGAUUCCUCUACCCUAAUGCAUACCAGAAAUAUAUUCAAAAGUGUGACAGGAAAAAGAACUCCUUGAAAUUUUGCAAAGUAGGAGGCGCUUUUUAGACCAAGCGAUGUCUCUCGGCUGCAUUGAAUUGUGUCUUCGUUUUCGUUUUCUUUUGUUCUUUUCCUCAAUCUUCAACCAACAUUCUAACCAUAAGGCGCCUUCUCUUUUGUCCCUGUUCUCUCCCCCUUUCUUUCGUACAACUCGCUCUUCUUUUCCUGCUGUUUUUUUUUUUUUUUUGUAAUGAAGACUACUAAUUGGUGUUUGGUCUUUCAAAGUGUAGCAUUAUUGAGCAUCAUCAUCAACUCAUCAAGUUCGCUAAACUCAGUCAUCAAUUAACUAACAAUUCUUGUCUAACAGGAACUGCACCAACGAAGCAAGAAAAAGAUAAACAAAAACUCAGGCAAGAACUCAUUCGUUUUCAAGACUCGGUCAUAAAAAUCGAGGAAAAGAAACUAUGAAUAUGUGCCGGAUUUUUCUCUGCUGCCGUGUCCUUUUUCACCUACUUUUGACCCAGAAUUCGACCAUUUACAGCUCUCGGUUCCUUUUGUGUGUUUUCACACUGCUAAUUUCCUUCAUUCACACACGAAGGAAAGUCGUGUUGAAAGUGGCCUCCUUUCGGCCAACCAGGAGGAGGGAACGGAAAGGACUUCACUUCGAAGAGCGGGCACGUCCAAAAUUCUCAUAAGAAUUCCCAUUUAAAUUCGCCUGGAAAUUCAGAGUCGGGUUGUGUAACAGAUUGGUUCACAAUAAUUGCACUCUUAUUAGAAAGGGCAGUACAAUCACAAGAAUGUGAGAUUACAAAUGGAGUUUAUUAUGGGUCAAAUUAUCAGUGUUUUUCUUCGUUAGUUUUUAUGAAGAUGCGAUUGAAACCUUUGAGCUCGUAACAGUAAUUUAACUUAAAAAUUAUUGAGUUAUUAUAGUCUUUAAAUCAUUCUUGGGACAUUUUUUUUUCUUUUUGAUCUAAAGAUCCAAACUACAUAUGAAACGAGUCCCGUGAUUGGGAAAACACGAAUUUAGCAUAUUAUGCUUGCUCCUAAAUAUUUUUAUGUGGAUGCCACAUAACAAGUACCUAUAUAAGUUCAUGCAAAUAGGAUCUAGCGAAUUAACAAUCCAAAAUUUGAGAGAAAAUAUGAAGUAAUUUUGUGCAUUUUUGAAACUCUGUUAGUGUACAUUCUUGUAGUUUUUCCUUGUCCAAAUAUACUGAUUUUCAACUUUCACUAAGAUGUUGCAAAUUCAAUUAGAAGCAUAUGAUUAAUAGUCCUAAUUAGCCAAGUCACAAAACCAAUCAUAAGAGAUUCAUUGCGGUUGUCACCAAGUCUUGAAUUGGUGGGAUGGUUAUUCCCAUGGCAAGAGCGGCUAACAUCACAAACUUCAUCCUCUAGGGAUUAAGUUAAAAUAUACCUUUGGCACUUAAAAUGUUCUAUACUCCAUAAUAAAUAUGUUACUUAUUUUAUCAAUUAAUCUACCCUCAAUAAUAUGCUAAUAUUGGUUUAGAUAAUUUGUCGAUUUGGCUAUAACUUGGAAUAAGAGACAAUAACAAUAUAAAUCUAAUAUUGAAAAAAAAUUGUUUGAUUUUUUUUUUCACUUAUUAGUUAUUCUUUUAGCAAUUACCGAAUAACAUCAUUCAAACUGCAUAAUGCCAAAUCUAUUUUUUUUCCAAUUACAUUAUGCCAUAAAUGUGCGAAUCAACAUACAUGAUUUCACCUCAAACAAAUGGACUUUUUUUAUGAAUAAAUUUAAAAAAAAACGAUAGAAAAAUAGCUCAUAUUAGGGCCAUUUACCAGGUAAUGCAAAUUAAAACCAAGUCUUAUUUAUGUGUAUUAAAAAUUUCCAAUACCAUAUCAUAUCAUUUACACAAAAAAUGCAUAGAAUAUAAUUCGGAGAAGAAGGAAGAUAAGAGAAACUUAAACAAAAGAGCAUUUCUAUCUGUCCUAAGAUAGAAAGUAAACAUCAAAUUUAGAUAAUCUUACUUUAAAUACUUAUGUAGCAAGGACAUUCAUAAAAAUUAGAACAUAAUGUAAGCCUAAACAAUAAUAUAACGAUUGAUUUAUAUAAAGUGUCAAUAUAACAUUAUGCAAAAAAUUUAUACAUGUAAUAUGGGUUCAUAUCAAUAAAUGGAAUUGGAAGUAAAUUUCUGAAUCUAUGCAACCCAUGGGUCUUUGUUUACUACACAUUCUACAAAAAUAUGCAGUCAUAAGUUACAAUUUGAUGGAAUCACCUACCAAUUCUACUCACAUCAUAGGAAAUGUUUUCUAGCAGCUGGAUGGCUUGGAAUAUUUUGGGGCCAGAGAUGGACACAUUUCAUUCAUAUGAGGGUACAGGUCCACUGUAUUGUAUCCUGGCAGCUCCAUUCGAUACCAACCUCGUAUUUGAUAGAACAGAAGCUCGACGUCGUCCCCAUCAUCGCACCACUUAGGCAAGCCGCUUGAAUGAUCCUCGAAGCACCUUAGUGAGUAAGCAUCUUUUAUCUGCAUAAAAGACAAUGCUAUUCACAAAAUGCCAGAUGGGAUGCCUCAUGACAGAAAGUCACGCUUUUAAAGGCAAACUAGAUUAUAGUUUUCUCAAUCUUUGAAGAAAGUGACAUCCAUCUCUAGAUAGUAAAUUCAAGCAAUUAGGGUAAAAAAGAUAACCCAACUAGGGUCAAUCAGAUCGCACUUACAGUGAACUCUGUAACAUGAAUGGAGCUAGAAAUUGGAUCAAAGAGUCCUGCUGCUUUGUACAUUUCAAGAACAAAAGCUACACAAGAGGCGGACUUCCCGUCACUGUAUACCCAAUGGUCUUGCUCUGGAGUGUAAGCAGUUCAGCAAAAGAUGACCCCCUCAUUUCAGUUUCGUGUAUUAGAUUAGGAAGAUCCAAGCCCUGUAUGCAACACAAUCGUAAGGUAGCCAUAAAGUAAAGUAAGUGUAAUUACAACCAUAUAACAUUUGUUAACAGAAUGUCAUUCAAGAGACAUUAGAUUUCAGUUGCACCUCAGUGUGCAAAACAAGAUGCAUAACGUCACACAGACAAUUGCAAAUUGAAUGGGACGGUACCUUUGUUCCUAGUCACUUGUUGAGUGCUUCAUUCCAUAUGUUCGCAGCAUAGGCUGGUUGCACUUGGUUCCAUAGUCAUAACAGAAGCAACCUACAAUAAUACAAUGCUUUCUAUAAAAUGAGUGAACGGCACUCCCAUCACGCGAAUAAAGCACCCCACAUGGUGAGCAUAUUACAUGCAUCGUCAGUCAGGCUGAUAGCAACUCUUAAGAAAAAAUGAACAAAGUCUACUAUUUUGCUGUCUUAGUAUCAUAUAGGAGGCCAUAAAAAAUGAAUAAUUGUCAAACUAAGCCAGGUUCUUUUCCAUAACGUUAGCACUCAAUAGAGUCACAUGCGAACCUGCUAUUUGGCAAAAUCACUGUUCAUUUUUUAGCCUUUUGUUUUGUUCAGUUGAAUUCAUUCGAAAUCAUGGCAUGAUUGUCUAAUUUCAACUAGAACGUGUUGUUAGGAUCUAACACACGGCUUAAUAAUAUUUCAAGGUCUAUCAAAGUAAGAGUAAAUUGCUGUUUAGCAGUCAUGUUGAGAAGCAGAAACUAUUUCGUAUCCAGCAUCUAAGAAUCUCAAGGCAUCUACAGAUAUACCUUGGAAGUAACACAAGGCCUUAGUGCUAGAAAAUCGUCUAAGGCAACUGAAUGCACCCACAAAAUAUAUAUAAACAUAUAUGCACGUGUACAAUCUCUGUACCACAUGAGCAUCUAAUGGCGCCGGAUAAUUUGCGCCGAUGGUGUCUAUCCAGCUAAAAAGCAUGUUGUGAUAACCAUAUGGUUUCCCAUUCAUAAUCUGUGCAAACUCCCAUGCAGCAGCUCAUUAAAUUUGGCUCACAUAUCAGGAUGCAGUGGAAGCAACGCAAUGUGGGGAUUUGAGUAAUCUUUGUUAAGCUUGAACUCCCACCAUUUUCCCAUGGUAACACAGCAAUGACAUCUUCUCCCUGCAAUGAUAAGAACAAAACAAAACUUGCAUAAUCUCUAUUACUAUGUUAGACUUCUGUAGCACCUGACCCCUUUACCAACACAAAGGAACAAAGCAUGUAGCAAAAACCCAAAUGUGACCAUAAAUUAAUCAAGGUCUGCCUCAAGUAAAGGACGUCAUUUCAUCAAAUUCUAACCAUAAUCAUCAUCAGUAAGUUAUCGUCUCGUGUGUAAGGAUGGUCCUGAAGUUCAGUAGAAAAAGUUCAGACACUGCAUUCCCUAUGUUACAAAUAUGAUGAUGCUCCAAUAGAGCUUCUAGUAGAAGCCUAAAUAGGAUCAGCUGCAGUUCAACAUGAACCUGAAGCAGCAUGUCAUCGUUUACUUACUCAUCCUCUCUUACAAUCAAAAGUUUCUAUGGGAGCACAAAAAGGAAAGACCUAUCUUAUUAGAGAACAUAAGAUGAGCAAGGAGAUUUAAGGACAUAGGGGCGUGACUAAAGCACGCUUAAUAUGCAAAAUGGAACAAUCUCAAUGGGAACCAUAUUUGUGAGAGAAGAAGUCCAUGAUUCGACAAAAGUCACAUUUAUAAAGUAAUCACACAGAAAUACAAUGCCCCAAAAACCUAAGGGUUCAUGAAAUGUUAGAGAAACACAGCAGAAACCCUACUUGUCCUUUUCAAUAUGUAUGAGACCACACUUUGAUAAUCAGAGGACAUUAAAGCAGUAUUGUAUGAGAGUCUUUAAUGAUGAAUGACAGAUAAGCAUAGUGAAUUUUUUUUUCUUUUUUUUGGUCGGUAAGCACAGGGAAUUAAAGAGAUGGAGAAAUAAUGACUCAAACAAUUCUGGGGGUGUUUGAAACAUUUGAACGUUUGUCUGUUGGAUAUCCCCAUAUAGGAACAAGGUGGACAGUUAUUGUGGAAGACUGGCAUACUUACAGCCAUGUUAAUAUUGUGUCUAUGCAAUUGGUUUAAAACUUUACUUCACAAUUACAAUUGCAGAGACAGCAGCAGGCAAAAAGAUUGGAUGAAAUGUCGAACAUCAAAAGUAAUCCGUCAAUGUAUGGAAAAAAAAGAACAAGGAAUAGAAAAAAAUGCUUAAAAACAAUCGCAAGGUAAUCCUUUUCCUCAAAAGGCUUUUUCUCCACUAGUAUAUAUAAAAAUUAGGCCUUCAAACUGAAAAAGAAAUACACUUACAUGCAUAACCACCCUAUAUCUGUUUCCGAAUUACCUGUUCAUUAUCAUGUCCGGAUUCACCAACCCAAAGCUUUCCUUCAGCAUCCCUUAAGCACACAGCUGUGUGACCAGCGUAUGCGCCACUGACCCAUUUCUCUAGAGUCCCAAAACCACCCCCACUUUCCACGAAUUUUUGAAAUUGCAAUGAAGUCUCCAGAGUGGAUAUCAUCAAUGCUGAUGUUUGUAACCAAGGGCUGGGGACGUUGCUCAAAUGAAGCUCCCAUAUGCUUCUUGAGAAAACCAAUGUUAGAUUUCUCCCCUCACCCGGUAUUUGAAAACAAGGAAACACAUCCCACAGUGCUUGAAGGGUCCCUAGCAUCCCAGCUUGCAUCAGAAAGAUUGACACUCCUCUACUUUUCACCUGCAAUCAAAAUAAUGGAAAAUCAAAGUUUGACAACUCGCCAAUAUGCACAAGCAAGAGCAGAAGAGAAAAAAGAUAAUUGCAGCUUACAUAUUCAAACUCAGCUUUUCCUUCCCACUCUUUGAACUCAAAUGUGUGCUCACGAGAUAAAAGAUACUAGUCCCAUGUCACGCAGUAUGGGGUUGCAAAGACAUAAAUAUCCAUACAUGUCCAGCUAUGGGCUUUGCUGACCUGGAUGAGCAAUCCAAACUCAUGGUUACAAGCCGGAUACCUACAACUAGCUGUUAGUUUCCAUAUUCAGCAGAACUAGAUGCAAAAACAAGGACUAUGAAACAUCAACACGAGGCAGUACCCACCCAAACUGGAAUAGCCUCCAUAAGAUAAUUUGAUUUUACAUCAAACGAAACAAUUGUACUUGUAUGAGCAACCAAAUCACUAAAUCCUUCUUCAACCACUUAAAACCUAGACACAAAAGACUCAAGUGACCAACCAUGGUACCAAUUCGUGGAGCUUAAUCAAAGCACAAACAAGCAGAUGAAAGGAGAAGGAAAGAAAAAAACUUAGCUAGUGACGAAAUCCACUAGAAACAUAUUGAGGUAAGAACUGAAAAAUUCCAUCACUCAGAUUCCAACAUAAAUAACCAGAAUGAGAAAAGAGGAACAGUUGGGAUCAAGUGCAUGGCCCAAACAUCGAGGAUAUUCUCUAACGUCCUUUAAAUAAGUGAUUUUCUUUCACAACUCUAUAGAUAAGUAUGACCGCACACUUCAGUUGGUAAGAAAAAUACCGUAAGUAGAUAGAAACUCUAUCCAGUUCAGAGCUUUGAAUCCAUUAGAAAAAAUCGACCUCAAAUUAACUAAAAUAGAAAGCUCAAACUAAGUUAAUCGGAAAUUGGGAAAAGCUGCCAAACGAUGGCCAUUAGACCCCAUCAAACAAACUCCUACAGCCUCACAUCUCCUAGAAUUAUCACACAAUCGAACUGCAGUGAAUUGAAUUAAGCACUAACAUUCGACCAGAGAACCUUAAAAGCUCGUGAACAGUGACUGUCUCUCCACAUUACCAAGCCGCCACAAGCUCAAACAUCCCAAAAUCUUCCAGAAUCGCACUCAAACACAAGUAUUUCCAUUCCAUUCCGUUCCCCACUAUUCACCAAACAAAAAAGAAGACUUGGAAUCAUCACUCCAGUCCAUUCCUUUCCCCAUCAUUUCCCGAUUUCAUUCCAUUCCACCGUACCAAACCCGACGUAAUAGUCAACCAGAAAACCUCAUCUUCCAAAAUGGCACUCAAAACCAAAAGGAGACCAAGCAAAAGCGACGCGAUAAAACUAAAGAACGGACCUUGAUGUGAGGCGUGCCUCCGCCGAACUUGCUCCCGGUGUUGUUGUGGAACUCCCACCAAGCGGUCGGAGGAAAAAACGGCGCCGAGGAAGGCGGGCAACAGGUGCAGGGGACGGCGAAGGGCGUUGAGGAUGGGCCAGGACAGCUGCUUCGGCAAUAGAGGGAGUAUGUUCUCCAUGGUGGAACGGUGGUUUCGCGGCUCGAGAGCGCGGGUUGAGCAGAGAGGAGAACGUGAAGAGGAAGAGAAGUAGCAGAAAUUGGCUGACGAGAAGCCAUGGAAACUGGGGGGGGAGAGAGAGAGUCAUCUCUCCAGCGACGGUCCACUUCUUUAAGUGUCUCACACUGUAAAAGGUGUAGGGGCAAGAGGAGCCACUCGUUUUGAUUAUAUCCUUGGACGCUUGGUAAUUUAGGGUGCUUAACCAGUUAAAUGAAACAUUAAAGCAUCAUUGGGGCUGAAAAUAUUAUGUAUUCUUAUAUUAUGUAUUAAUGUUGGCAAAAAUCUUAAAUUAUAUCCAUCCUGACAUUAAUGUCUCGAAUUAGUAUUGAUUUCGUGGCAAACAAAAGUUUAAGAUUUUUAGAGACGAGAGGUAUUUCCACUUCAAAUAUAAGUUUAAGUGUAGAGAUGAGCAAUUAGAAGUCUCCACAAAAGAUGUAACCCUAUGGGAAGAUAUAUUGCCUUCCCACUCUCUUAUAGCUUGCCGUUAAACUGCGGCCAUUGAUAGCGUCAAAUCGGCUUAUAUUGCCUACCCCCACCCUCUUAUAUUGUUGCAACAACUUUAGCUACACCACCUUUUCAGGACUUGGUUAACAUCAAGAGUAUUCUAUAAAUGGUGUAUAUUUUCAUUUUGUAUGAAGCUAUAUGCAUGUUGUUAGUACGAAUUUGACGUUUAGCACGUUUUCACAGUAAUCAUGCAAUCUCCCUUAUUGUUAUAUUGUGUCUUGAGUUUGAGUAGAGGUGUCAAAAUGAGUUAUUGACCCAUUUAUGGACUCAUUUAAACAUAAAUGGGUUGUUAAUGGGUCAAGCCUAUUUCCUAAAGUACCCAUAAUGAGUUUUAAUGGGUUAAGACUGAGAUAUAUGAAUCUUAAAUGGGUCAAAGAACUUGCCCAUUUAAGACCCAUUUAUCAACCCACUAAAAAUAAACUCAUUUAUUUUAAGCCAAAACCUCACAAUCUCUCUCUUCUCUCUUUAACUUUACAAAAUAUUUAAAAAAAAAACCAAAAUUAUAAUUAUUUUUUUAUUUUUCUUUUCUUUUCUUUUCUUUUUUUCUUUUUUCUGUUUUCUUUCUUCUUCCUCUGGUCGUCGGCACUGCGAUGGCCGGCGACCGGCCAGGUGAGCCUUGGGCUCGCUAGAUCUGGCGAGGCGGAGGCCUCGCCGACGUCCAGCGAGACUCGAGCCUCACUAGAUCAGGUGAGGGGGCGAGCUUGAGGCUCGCCGGCGUCCGGCGAGGGGCGAGCUCAAGCUGGCUUGAUGUUGGCGAGCCUCGAGCUCGUCGGAUCUGGCGAGGCGGAGGCCUCAUCGACGUCUGACGAGGCUCGGGCCUCACCAAUCUGGCAAGACUUGGGCUCACCAGCGUCGGGCGAGCUCGAGCUCCCUGGAUUUGGCGAGCCUCAAGCUCGUCAAUGUUGGCAAGUUGGGCGAGCUCCAGGUCGCCUGUGGCUUGCCGCUGACCAUCAUUGUGGCCAGCAGCCGACCAAAGAAGAAGAAGAACAAAAAAGAAAAAAGAAAAUUAUAUUUAAAAAUAAAAAUAAAAAUAAUUAAAAAAUUAAUUUAAAAAAAAAAUUAAUAUUCGAUUUUUUAAAAUAUAUAUUUUUAAAAUUAUAAAAAAUGUCCAUUAAAUUUGCGUUGUAUAAAACCAUUUUAGCAAUACCAUUUUAUAUAUAUAAUAAGUUUUCUUAAAUUUAAUUAAAUGGGUCGGGUAUGGAUCGAAAAUUUUGUAUUGCAAUAAACGGGUUAAAUGGAUCGAUUUAGGUCGGAUCAUUUAUGACCUGAUCCAAACCCGACCCGAUCCACCCGUUUAACAGGUAUAAGUUUGAGCCCAUGUAUGGGCCCACAACUGAAGAAUCUAUUGCUCAAAGUCACGCACAAAAUGCAGUGUUCUUUUAUUAAUUAAUGCGCACGCAAGUCUUGGACUUUUUUCUCCACUUCAUUAAUGCAAUGCAUGCACGAAUCUCCUCCUGUGUCCCUUUAUCAUUUUUCUCAUUUUUGGUUCGAAUUCCCUUUUGUCAUUGAAGGAGCUGAACGUCCAUUUGUCGCCUUCACUCCAGAGCGCCCCCUCUUUCGGACUCCCCCUGGACCAGCGAAAUGGGAAAAUUCGGCGCCAAAGUCAACGUUGGAAACGCCGGCGACGGCGACGUUCUUGAGGCCUAGCCUCAAGAUUCGAGUGGAAUUGAGAGGGUGCUUCCAUUCCAGACAGCGGUGGAGAGCCGUGACGCUCACGGAGUGAUCGAGACCCAGAGAUUGGAUCCAAGCGCAGAGGCACGCGAGUCUUUUUCGCCAUUUUCAUGGAAUAGGGGUGGACGUUGGUGAUCUGGUUGGGGAAAGGAUGGAGCGUGAGGAGGAUGGUCAGGGACGCAUAUAGGAACGGACUCGACUUAGGGUUCAGGAACGGGUUUACAAAUCGGAUUGAGGUUGCGAAAUGGACCUACAUCUUUCUAGGAUGGAGAAGUUUUUUUCAGAAAUUGUCAGACGAUUUCAGGAAUUUGAAAGAAAUGAGGAGGGGCUAGAGCACAGGGGGAAUUUUAAUUUAUUUUGGCCAAACGUUCGAGCAAUAGUUUCGAAUCACUAAGGAGUAUAUAUAAAUUUCAGUACGGUGACCUCUUUGGUUCAGAUUGGAAAAGUAGUGUGCGGUGGCCAAUGGAUAAUGAUCUCGCUGCCCUCUAGCGAUAUGCAAGGGCCUGGCAGUGCAAUAUUGUGGGCUUAGUAGGGCUUAUUUGCUGGAUAUGCAUCGAUUUCUGCCAAAUAUAUGGCAACAACCGAGUGGCAGAGGUUGUUCUCAUGGGGACCACCAGGGCCAUGGUCGCCGUCCCCUGGGAUGAUUAAUUUAAACAAUUUGUUGAAUUGCUUAAUUCGACAAUUUCGUAUUCGAUAGUGUUGACUCCGUAACUUGCUUUCUCUGAUGAUAAAUGACCAAUAUCAUGCGUUUAGACCACAGUAAGCAUCGGCUCAGAGUCAGCGGUAACAAGUCAAUGAUUGACGCCCUUGAAAGACUUCUAUCCUUCCAAAGUCUAUUUUGACUUAGGCAAUUCCAUUUGUUUCUUCACAUACAUGUUCAAAUUUUUGAGUCAGACUUUCUCAUGUGCUGAUGACUUAAUUACUGCAUGGUUAUAUUAUUAAACUAAAUAAUUUGAUAGAUUAUGAUUGAUCUUAUUAAGCCAACCGCAUUUGAUAUUUUCACGUUAUUUGGCAUACAAAAUGUCGAUAUAAAUAGUGUAAUUCCGGGGGCCGAAGUUGUAAUUGGCUCAAAGGCGAACACGUCUUCAUGAGUAACACCGUCAAACUCCUUUUGAGAUUCUUGGAAUGUCUCCUACUUAGAUAACUCGAUCAGUUUCCUCUUUUUUCUAAUAGUAUAAUUUCCCUUUAUUAAUUUCCUCUAUUUAGAUCUAGUGUAUUUCUCUACUAGUACUUCAGCUCCAGGUGAAAUAAGGGGAUUAAAUUUAUCUGGUCGAUUAACUAUCAACAUCAAUUAAGAUUUAAUUUCUUUCUAUCUCUUUUCGUAAAUAUUUAUACACGAAAUUCUUAUUGUGUAUUUUUAUCAAUAAAUUAUUUUCAUUAUUUAAUAAUUCAUAUAUUUUACCCAAAAAAAUGAUUUAAAUUAAUUUUUUAAAUACCAAUUGUUCCCACACNNNNNNNNNNNNNNNNNNNNNNNNNNNNNNNNNNNNNNNNNNNNNNNNNNNNNNNNNNNNNNNNNNNNNNNNNNNNNNNNNNNNNNNNNNNNNNNNNNNNUUCUCUAGAAUAAAUAAGUUUCUUAAGAAGGUAUUUCACAAUUUCCAAGUUGUCUUUGAAUUAAUCGAGUCUUUCUUAAAUAUCAAUCUACAUAUUGGCUUUCUAAUUGUUGAAUGGGUUUAGUACCCAUGGAUAAUAAGUAAUGCUACAAAGACCUUAGAAGACAAAAAGGAUUUUCACCCUAUAUGAUGUCAUGUGUUCUCAUUGCCCUAAGAACAUAUGUUAGCUUGUCAUACUAUCUAAUGGGCUAGGAUGCAAAAGUCACAAUAUAGCCGUAUGUAGUAUGGCCAUUAAAAAUGCAGAAUAAACAUGGUUUCUUUUUAUUAUUAUUAUUUUUUUUACGAAUAAAGUGAUUCAUUUAUUCAAAACCAUAUUGGAAAUAUAUGACAUGAAUGAUAUAAAAUGUAACAGAAAAAGAAAUUUCUUGAAAUUUUGCAAAGUCGGAGGUGCCGCUCAAAUCGAGAAGUGCGGGUGGUCCCAGCAAAGUGACGUUAAUGUACAAGAAACAAAAGGUAGGAAAAGUAAUAAGAGCAACGUGCAGAAACGACGACGGCUUGGCGUGGAACGAGCAUGGCUUUAAGCAAACACAGAAACAGCACAUCUCGCGAUAUUUUGAUGUCGCGUAUUCUUCCUCUUCUUCUUCUUUUUCUAAACUGAUAAGGCUGCUCCGGAGCCUCUCUUCAUUUUCGUUUUUUUGUUUGUUUUUUCCUCCUCAUUUUUCCAACCACAUCCUCACCAUAACGCGCCUUCUCUCUUUUGUCCCCUAGCUCUCCCACUUUCUUUCGCCCGACUCUCUCUUCUUGUCUUGCUUUCUUUUUUUGGUUCCCGCCCAAACCCUUAAUGAAAGAUUAAUUGCUGUUUAGUAUUCCAAAGUCUAGCAUUAUCGGGCCCCAUCAUCGACCUAUCAAGUUCGUUAAACUCAGUCAUCAAUGGACUGACUAUUUUGUUGAACACGAGCUGCACCACCAUGGCAAGAAAAAGAAAAGUAAAAACUUAGGCAAGGGCUCAUUGAUUUCUAACACUUGAUCAUAAAAAUUUUUGAAAAGAAAUUUUAAUAUCACUGCUUUGAGGAUGGAUGCACUCUCAACAAGUGAACCCGAGUGAUCGAAUUCAAUAAUACGACAGAAUCAUCUCAAAGAUUUAAGUUUAAUAGUUAUUUUAUACGGCGAUUAUGAUAGGAACAUGAUAAUUUCGAGCGCCUGCAAUGUGAUGUCUUGAUGUAUCAUAGGAAUGUUAAUUAGAUAUGCAAACAGUAAAGAGGCAACGGCAUACCGGCAAUGACUUGGGUAGUAACAACGCAUCUAUGAGGCCUAUCCCUUAUUCGAUUUUUUUUUAUUUCUAUUUGUUUUUGUUCAUGUUUUUUUUCUCGAACCGCUCUAAUAUGAAUUAAAUAGUAGACAUCUUAAUAUAAAUUCAACAAUAGAAUUCUCCAUUUCAUUUUUGAAUUUGAAUGAGACUUUUUCUCUAAUUUUUUUACUAAUUCAUUUAGAUUACAUUUUAUAGUAUCACUAAAAUUUUAUUAUGUAAUUUAACUUAUUGUUAUAUCAUCCAUAUAAAAAUCAAAAUAUAAUCUAACUAAAUACAAUAAAUAAAAUCAAACAAAAUCGAAAUGCUCAUUAGAGCAUGGGAUAAUCAUAUUAUCGACAUUGUAGAAAACAGAAAUUCUAAUAAUUUUUAACUACUAACUAAAAUAUGUAAUGUGUUUGUAGGUAGUAUCUCAUUCUGUUUUCUUCUCACCCACUAGCUCUAUGCGCAAUUAUUGAGCCGUGACCAUGUGAAUGCUAGACUAAAGCCUCCCCUCAGCCGGGUUUUUUCCUGCUUUUUAUGUCCUUACCUUUUUCACUAAAUCUUUGCUGAAGAUAUGGUCCAUUAUGAGGAGGUGCUAGUUUUUUUCUAUGUUGUGUCCACUUCUGACCGGAGAGGACUUACUAUUCGGAGAGCGGGCUGCGUCCAAAACUUUCACAAGAAUUGCCAUUUAACUUCACCGCGGAAAAUUUAGGGUCAGGUCGUGUAGGGUUAGUUCAUAAAAAUUCACAAUCAGGGCCGCAAUGUUAAAUGUGAAAUAAUGCAAUGGAGAGAGAGAGAUUGUGGGAUUAUGAAUGUACUUUUAUUAGGGGUCAAAUUAUCGAUGAAUCUGAUCGUUAAAUUUCAUGAAAAUGGGAAUUGGACCUUUAAAUGAAAAUUUAUGUAUCGACAAUAAUUAAUCUUACAUAUUAGUAAGUAAUUGUUUCUCUUUAAAUCAUCCCUUAGUUGAUUUUUUUUUUCUUUUUGGUCUAAAGAUCUAGACUGCAUACAAAAUUGGUCUUGUGAAUUCAUUAGUACAGGUAAUAUUCUAAAUUUGAGUCAAGAUUUAUGCAAAGUAAAUAAGCAACACUACUCACGAAGAUUUUCCUAUUGAUUUCUAGAGGCAAAAAAGAGCAAUGCUAUGCAUAGGAGAACUGGACAUAUAUAUAUAUUAAGAUGGAUAGAAAAUGAUAAGGAAAAUAGUGCGGUAGCUCUCUUAAGAAAAUUUUGUUUUUAAUUUUUUAUUUUCCUUGGAAAGUCUAGAGAAUUUGGCAAUUAAGUAAACCAUAGUUUAACAUUCCAUAAUAAUUUUCCACCUCAUUCGGUGCACUAAUUUUUUGAUAUAUUUACAUAUUUAGCACCAUUUCGGGCAAGACAAAGAAAGAUAAGUAGGCUCAAAAGUUUAUCGGGUGCACGUUCGCAUGAGUUUCCUCGUGGUUAAAGCUGAAAUUGGCUCAAAGGCGAACGCGUGUUCUUGAGUAACACUGUCCCACUCCCUUUGAUGACGAUGACAUCAGAGACAAUUACCCGACACUAUUGAAAAGAGAGAGAGAGAGAGAGAGAGGGGGGGAAGAGGUCUUAUCGUGGCUUCCAAAAGAGGCCACUUGAAAUCUCUUAAAAAAAGUGAAAGUUAUGCGAGGUGGAGUGACAUCCAUAUAAAUAGACAAAUUGCUCAUUAUUUUGUUAAUAGAUUAUUGUCUAGAAAUGAAAAAGAAAAAAAAGAUGUAAAUAGUGAAGCAAUGAGGCAGCAAUAAAAUAGGAAACUUGUCAACCCCCCAUCCAUUAUAUUAAAUUAAAAUAUUAUUAAGUCCAUUGUCGGUCUAGAAAAUAAUUUGCACAUUCCCGAUUAAGAGUUGACACGUGGAAUAAUUGACUGGCAAAAACAACUUCAAACCCACACGUCACUUAUUCACGGUAAAUGUGUAUUGAGGUUUUAACAUCGACUAUGCUUCCAACAAUAUCCAUUCAAUUACUAGGUUUUUCGGCUAACAAUGUUUCUAUAUUUAGUUUAAUAUAUUCAAAUAAUAAGACCAAACAGAUAAUAUAUUCGAAUGUUCAAAAUUUUUACCCAUGGGGGUUAAUUAGGAAUGCCAACUAUUUAAUAAAACAUUGAAAAUAUUAUUAUUUCGUAGUAUCUAGAGAAUGAAAAUAAAUAAAAAAAGUCAAAGUCAUGCGAGGGUAGAGUAAAAGCAAUCAAAUCAUUAAAGAGAGAAAAAAUCAUUUUUAUUUAUUAAAGUAAUAGGUUAUAGUGUAGAAUGAAAACAAAAAAAAAAAUAUUCAAAACAAAAAGAAGAGUAAAAGCAUGCGACGACACCUAUCUAAUGUGCCAUUGCUCCAGGAGGCCUCCACGUAGCACCCGAGUUGUCUAUUCCACCGUCCAUCUCGCCGACACGACGGACGGGAAAAAAACCCACGCCGGACCCCCCCACCCCCGAAACGGCACAUGUUGGUGUCAGCGGGAGCGUCGGACCGGGCCCCGCCCCGGUUCACGAGGAUCGCCACCGAUGAUGUGGACAUGUCGAGAAGUGGGGCAGGGUCAAAGCAACGGACGGCUUGGAUUCAGCGGGGGCUUGGUCGUUCGGCUUGUCGUACGCCUUUUCAUGUGAUCACGUGAAUUGGGCGUACUACGGUGAGGGGGAACAAGGGGAGAGGGUGGGGCCCGUUGGGCCGGGGAAUGUAGUUAGGCCAUGAUGAUGGACGGCUGGAUGGACGGAUGAGUAUUUGGUUGAUGAAAAGGAGGAAGCGCCAUAAAUCGGUGAUUUCUCGGGGUCCUGAUUCCACGCAAUUGACAGUGUGAAUGUGAAAAUUGAUCCACAACGAACACAAUCAACGCCCCCUGACCCAGCAUCUAGUGGGGAGAAGGUUGUCAUUGAUGAUUAGGCCUUGUAAAUUGGUAUUUUCAUGGUUUGAAUAUAUUUGAUAAAUUUACCUAUACAAAAGUGCUACAAUAGCCGAAGGGGAGGCCAACCGUAGUCCAACCGUAGUCCAACAGAGAUCCAUAUUAGUUUGACGUGAUAUUGCUAUGGUUGUUAUAUUUGUUGUCCGACGAUGAUAUAACGUGAAAUUAUGUUUACGAUUACGCACUUCUGUAUUGAGCCGUGAUUUCCGUGCUUUUUCUGGCGGUAAAAUAUAACAUAUCUGAGACUUUCGACAGUGUAGUUGAUUAGAAUUCAAGACUUUGACCAAGUCCAAGUCUCUCCCUUUCUUCACCAAAACCGGUUCAUUCCCAUUUCCAACAGCAGGCGAAUGCCCUUGUUUCUGUAGGAAUUGGGUUACUGCCUUCAACCAGAGGAAGAGUCUUUGCUCGAUCCCUGGAUGCUGACUGGUGCUUCAGAUUCUCAAGAGCAGUUUCUUAGCUCUACUUCUUGAUGUGCAUCUUUGCCACUUGCAUGCAUCCGAAUCUUCUUUUUCAGUCCUAACUGGUAUGUUGCUUCGUCCUCAUUCCGUCUAUAAGAAUCAAAUAAAGACUCUCCAACUGAACAUCCUUAUUUAACUGGAUCAACAAGUAGAUCUGACGGAUUCUAUACGAAAUGAAGGGUUAAAUGACCUGAAUGGAGGUGGGUGGACGUAACUGCGAGAUGCAAUAAACUUCUCGGAGAGAGACCAAGAAACAGAGAGAGAGAAGGGGCGAGAAGAGAGGGGGGAAGAGCGACAACGGUGGAUUGCAGGCCGUCAAAAGGGUCGAGCUACGCCAUAACUCGCCAUUUCCGAAUACUAGAAAAGAUUUUUUUUAGCUCUAUUUCUCAUGAAUUUGGGUUUUUUGUUUUGAAAGUUCCUUUCCGGAUCUACUUUGGAUUUGCUUUGCCGGCAACGAUUCGGUCAAAAUCCAACGAUAUUCUGAUUCCUCACAUCUCCUUGUAAUUCUAGAAUUAAUUUUUUUCGAGUUGAUAUCCAAGUUGUCUUUGAGUUGAUCGUCUGGGUCUGUUUAAUAUUAAUUUGCAGUUUGGCCUUCCCGCUUGAAUACUCGUGGAUGUUAUUACUUGCUUGAGAAUAAUGCUAUGCGCGCUAGGAAAAUAUAAACAAGAUUGGUACUUCAUAUAAAUGGGUGCGCUCUCUUUGCCCACAGGUUGAUAAUCAAGACGACACAUGCCACGAGUUGAAGAUACAGCCUGGGAAAUUCGUGAUUAGACUGGAGGCAAGAAAUGGCGUUGUCCUUACUGCAGAUGAUACUCUGGAUCAGUGCACAAGAGUGAAAAGUCACUUUCUUAAACAACCAAAAGAAGGGAUUGCCUCUUGCGCAAAAGUGCCGGAUCACAUCAGCACACUAAUGGGAUUGAUACACAAUCAGGUGGCUUUAGUACUUGUGGUAGCUACAUUAUCUGCUCGAGAAUGAUGCUAUUCACUCUAAGAAGAUAUAAAAAAAUUGGAGACAAUAUAUAAUGGGGUGCACUCUUUUUGCUUGCAGGUUCGUAACAAAGAGGAUGUAGCCUGGAAAUUCGUCGAGAGACUGGGGGAUAACAAGUGGCGUUGUCAUCACUGCACGGAAGAAUUCUCUGGAGACCUUACAGGUGUAAAAGGUCACUUGCUUACAGUCCCAAAUGAAGGGAUUUCCGUUUGCACAGGAGUGCCGGACCACAUAAGAACGCUAAUGCGGUCGUUACUUGAUGCGGUGGCUGAAGAAGAGAGCAGAGGAGCCAACAGUCAAUCCUCCAUGGAGCCACAAUCACGUCACAUGCCGACUCAACUGUCGCCUUCAUUUUCACCAGAAAGCCUCGAAUUCUUGAGACCGUUAUUACCAACACCACGGAGGGCGACCAAAAUGGCAAACUUCACCCAACAGGAUGUCAUUGGGUCAAACUCUGACCAACAAUCACAAGCGGAGCGUCAGCUUCGUCAGAGUUCAGCAAUGCCAUUAUUGGUGCAAAGUAGUCAUGGUAUGUCCACGUGAAGUUUCUUUACAUUCAUCUAGGCGUGAAGAAAAAAAAUCUAUUACAUUUUUUAUAUAAUUAACUCUAUCUAAAAUGACUCAAACUUAUCUAUUUCCACAUCGCAUCAAUUCUAAAUUACAGAGGUAUCAUUGCAUUUUCUAUAUGUCCGAUAUCACUAUAUUUUUACAGCACAGUUUAUUUCAUUUAAAUAUUUAACUUACGAGCAUGCUGAUUUUCGUUGUAGAAAUCUCUCUCUGUGAUCAAGUUCUAGAUGUUUGUUUUAUCUGUACCCAUGACUUGAUUUGAAAGUCCCAGUGUUGACUGAUCUUACGCUUGAAUAUUUUAGUGCAACCAGCUUUGGUGUCCCCUCAACAUCAAAGUGUUCUGCGUCAAUCUAUUAAUCAUGAGAUGAGGGAUACACAGCAGAAUCCAACCAUUCCUCUGGAUAAUCUAGAUACCACCCGGCAACCUGAUCUUCGUGACUCUCCACCAGAGAAUCUUGUUGAAUCUCGUGAUGUAAUUGUAAACGCUCUUGACGAAAUGCAAACGAAUGAACAGCAUAAUCCAACAGUGGGAUCAUCAUUACAAAAUGAUUUAUCCCUUGAUGUGGACCAUACAAAUCGUUUACUGGAUUGGAGUCAACCGUGUGCAGUGGAAGGCGUUCCUCUAUUCAGCAAUACAAGUCCGACCAACGCUGUUGAGCAUCCCGAUCAGCUUUACCCUAGGUGUGAUGAGGAAGAUGGAAAUGAUACCCGUUUGUUCCCCUCGCAAACUCCAAUGGACAUAGAUCCCUCAAUUGCCUCACCGCAUUCAAGUGACUCUCAUGAUAAUUUGCAAGUUCUAGAAGCAGCAACAAAUGCAAUAGCCCCAUCAUCAUCACAAGGUAUGUCUGGAUUAAUCUAAAUUGUUCCUCUUGUUCUGUUGGAUUCUUAAAUAUCCCAGAUUAAUUUAUCGAAAUCUAACAUAUGUUUUUAUACAUUAGAUUUGAACAGGGGUUAUCCAAUCAUGACCGCAUGGAGCAUCAAUGCCAAUGAUGAAGAGAUAAGAAAGCUCAAAAGAAAAGUGGAAGAACUUGACGACAAAGAAGCUGACGUAAAGGAGCAGAUGGAGAUAGAGUCUUCUUCCUCAGUUCGGAAGAAGCCGAGGAAAACAGUUGAGAAAUGGCUGGAAAAAACAGAAAGAGCAAGAAAUAAUUUCCAAAUAAUUGGCCAAGCCAAUGGGGAAACUUUGCCUCCGAAGGAACAGGUGGUGACAUUGACGAGAGAAGUGGAAGAGCUCAUAAAACAAGCGCUUCCACAAACACUACUCAUAGAGGAGAGAGAUGCCAAAGGAGUCAAAUUUUUGGAACGAAAGCUAAUAGGUGAAGCGAUUCAUGGGAACAUCGAGUUUAUUUGGGGCCAUCUGAAGAAGAAUCGUGCAUGCAAAUUGGGUAUUUAUGGAAUGGGUGGUGUGGGGAAGACAACUAUCAUGAAGCGAGUACAUGAUAGACUUCUAGAAGAUGCAACCUUUGAUGGUGUGGUUUUUGUCACCGUGUCCAAAGAUUUCAGCAUUUCUAAGUUGCAAAUUGAUAUCAGGAAGGAGCUAAAAUUUGACGUUAAGGAGGUUGAGGAUGAGGAGAAACGAGCAGCAAUGUUGGCGGAGCAUUUAGAAAGAAGGAAGAAUUGUGUAUUGAUUCUUGAUGAUGUGUGGGAACACCCACUUCUUGACCUUAAAGAGGUGGGAAUCCCUGAUAGUGCAGAUGGAUUUAAGUUGGUCUUAACCACUAGAUCCUUUAAUGUGUGCUGCCAGAUGCGAUGCCAAGAGAAGAUAAAAAUUGAGCCUCUAUCUCAAGAAGUAGCCGAGAGAUUGUUUCUGGUGGAGCUUGGAUCCAAAGGGCCACCUAAUUUGGAAAUUGCGAAGUCCAUUGUUAAAGAAUGCGUAGGCUUGCCAAUUGGAGUAAUCACGAUGGCAAGAAGCAUGCUAGGAGCGACUGAUGUGUUUGAAUGGAGGGAUGCCUUGGAGAGAUUGAAAGAAUCGAGUAUUGGGCUAAAAGAUAUGGAGAACAAGGUGUUAAUGAUUCUGAAAUUCAGUUAUGAUCGCCUUGGUGAUCCCGAUGUCCAACAGUGUUUCUUAUCUUGUGCACUUUAUCCAGAAGACGAAUUGAUUUAUAAGUUCGAGAUGGUAGAAUUCUUUAUCGACCAAGGAUUAAUUGAUGGAUUGAAUACAAGGAAGAAACAAUACGAUAGAGGCCUCACCAUAUUGAACAAACUGAUAAAAGUUUGCCUAUUGGAAGAUGAUGGGGACUAUAUGAAGAUGCACGAUUUGAUUAGAGACAUGGCAUUGCAAAUCAUGAGUGCGACUUCAAUUGUAAAAGCAAGAAAGGGAUUGAAGAGGAUUCCACUUGAGGAAUAUUGGACGGAUGCUUUGGAGAAAGUGUCUCUAAUGAAAAAUAACAUUAGCGAAUUUCCGUUGAACUUGUCACCAAAUUGCCCCAAGCUAUCAACUCUUCUAUUGGAUUAUGGCUUGCAUGAUGUGGUCAUACCUGAUUCUUUCUUCAAAAAUUUAUGUGGGCUAAAGGUUCUAAAUCUAAGUAGAAUUGAUAUGACAGAACUUCCAAAUUCCAUCUCAGACUUGGUAAACUUGAGGGCACUAUUGCUUGGAGAUUGUAUGGAAUUGCGCCGUAUUCCUUAUCUAGGGAAGCUCACAUCUUUAAGAAAGUUGGACGCUAAAAACUGUAGGAGUCUUGAAGCGCUCGAGGGUUUGGAAAAGUUGGUGAACUUGAGAUACCUUGACCUUAUUAAAACACGUAUUGAGAGAUUGCCCAAAGGAACGUUGGACCAUUUAUUAAACUUGCAAUAUCUUAAAUUUCCGGCGGUAAAUGAAGAAGACAUUACAAAAUUGGGGGCAUUGGAGACAUUUGAAUGCUACCUUAAAAAUGUGGAUGAUUUUGACAAGUGUGUGAAGGCUAUUGAGCAGAGUAAUAACACUCGCUAUUACAACCUCAUCGUGGAUCUAGGAAAACCAGAGUUUUUUGUGCAAGUAAGUGAUGAUACUCGAUGUGGGAGUUUUGAGAAUUUGGGGAGGAGAGUCAUCAAUAGGGACUGGGGUCAUGCCAUUGUGAGUGUGGGAGGCGAAUGCACCGGCAUUUUUAUUUUGAUUCCCCGAGACGUGCAGGCAAUGAUGAUGAAAAAAUGCAACGGUACAACAAAUUUGUCUAGCAUAGGUCUGCUUAAAUACCUCGAAGAGCUAGAAAUAGAAAGAUGGGAAAACAUAGGGGUGCUAUGUGGAGAACGAGACGAAGAAGUAAUUAACAUCCACGACUCCCUCGCCCGAACCCCUAUGUCUCUCCUCUUCCCGAGCCUUAGGGUUUUGAAAAUAUGGAAAUGUCCGAAGCUGAAGUAUCUCUUUGGGCAUGGGUCUAAAUCCAACCUUCCGCAUCUACGAAAGAUUGAAAUAAAUGAAUGUGAGGAAAUGGUGGGGAUAAUAGCAGCAGUUACAUCCCCACCACCACAUCUGCUCCCAUUUUUCCCUAGUCUGGAAUCGAUUAAUGUUGAAUCCUGUGGUAAAAUGAAGAGAGCGGUGGAAUCUGAGUGGAUGCCCCACUUCCCUAAUCUGAGAUGGAUCGAAGUAACCGGAUGUGAGACGAUGGAUGAGAUAAUUAGAGGUCCUCCACCAUACUUGCUAGUUGAAGGGAUUCCUCUCCAAUCUCUUAUGGUAAAAUGUUGCGAUAACAUGAGAAAGUUGUUUCCGCAUGAAUGGCUGCUCCAUCUUCGAAAUCUGCAAGGUAUCGAUGUCUGUAACUGCGAAGGAAUGGUGGAGUUGAUAAGUGGAGCAGGACAACGCCAAGAAGGAAGUAUAAUGACUCCUGUAAACAACACCCCUUCAUCCUUCCAGCCUUCAAUUUCUCUCCCAAAGCUGGAUUUGUUGUGCUAUACGAUCUACCCCAGCUGAAGAGCAUAUGCGAAGUACCAAUAAGGUGCGAUUCCAUGAAAGAAUUGACGGUGUCCAGAUGCUCAGACCUGAAGGGGAUUCCUUUGCAACUGCGAUUGCGUGAUAUUGAGGAGCUUCCGUUUUUUUUUUGGUGGAAGAUGAGGAAAGGUGGAAGACGUUGAUGUGGGAUCAUCCCGAUGCUCAAGCUAUUCUUCAACCUUAUCUCAGAAAAGGGGAAGAUGCUAUAGGUUAAUGAGUUUAAUUGAUAUACGAUUGCUUCACUUCUUAAAAGUCCUUACAAAGAUGUAGCUUUUCUGUCUAUAUAGUCAUGCAGCUCUCUAACAGUGGCCUUUUGCAGAAUUGGAGGCCAAGGGAAAGUAUCUCCAGUGACUCUGCUCUUGAAGAAAGCCCUGUUGCUCAAUCAUGCUUUCCUGCAAAAUCGACUCGAGUUACCAUAUGAAUUGACUUUUUUCGUGUGGUCAUGCUUUGUGUAAUUUGAACGCGCUUGCAUGUUUUAUUGACUACUGGAAAUGAGUCAAUUUGGUCGAUAUUUCAGUUUAGUCAAAAAAACAACAGAUCUAAGGAUUUGGGAAGCCAGGGGACUAGUAGAGUUUGUUUCCUAUCUUAUCUUAUAACUGAAAGGACAAUUUAUUCAUACAUGCUCAGGUUGAGGAUCAGCUUUACGUAUAUCUAGAAUAUGCACAUCAUUAUUGUCUUGUCAGGCGGUAGGGGAAAGUCUUUCCCCCAUUUGGUUUUGCUCCCAAGUGAUGCUGCAAGUUUACCGUAUUUUCCCCUUAUGGUUGUUUGUAAUUUCGUGGAAUGUUUUUAGAAUAAUUUUGCAUCUCCUCUCUAUAAAAUGCAAAUAACCGAUGAAAUAUGUUGAAAAUAUCUCAUACUGAUUGUUUACAAGGUUUUAAUGGGCCUUACAUUUAUAUAAUUUACCUUCGCUUGUUCAAAUUUUUAGGUCGAACUUUCUCUUAUGUGCAAAUAGCAAUUUCUACAUGAAAUGAAGAGUAAACAUGCUUCCCUUUUUUUUUCUACGAUUAAAGUGAUUAUUCUAAGAAAUAUAUAAAGUGUGACAGAAAAAGCAACUCCUUGAAAUUUUGUAAAGUCGGAGGCGCAGCUCAGAAUGAGCUAUGACUCUCGGCUGCAUUGGAUUCUCUCUUCAUUUUCGUUUUCUUUUGUUCUUUUCCUCAUUUUUUAGCCAACAUCCUAACCAUAAGGCGCCUUUUCUCUUUUCUCUCUUAUCUCCCCCCUCCCCCAUUUCUUCGUACAACUCGCUCUUCUUUUCCUGCCUCUUUUUUUUUUUUUUUUUGGGGGGUUCUCUGCCCAAACCCUUAACGAAGACAACUAAUUGGUAUUUAGUUUUCCAAAGUGUAGCAUUAUUGAGCACCAUCACCGACCAUUAAGUUCGCUAAACUCAGUCAUCAAUUAAGUAACUAUUCUUGUUUAACAAGAGCUGCACCGACGUGGCAAGAAAAAGACAAACAAAAACUCAGGUAAGAGCUCAUUGAUUUUCAAGACUCCAUCGUAAAAAUCGAAGAAAAGAAACUAUGAAUAUGUGCUGGAUUUUUCUCUGCCGCUGUGUCCUUUUUGAACCACUUUUGAUCCAGAACUCUAUCAUUUUCAGCUCUCCCUUUCUGUUCCUUUUGGUGUUUUCACGCUGCUAAUUUCCUUCGCUCACGCGCACACACACACAUGAAGGAAUGUCAUGUUGAAAGUGGCCUCCUUUCGGCCAACCAGAGGGAGGGAACGGAAGGGACUUUUACUUCGGAGAGGGGGCCGCGUCCAAAAUUCUCAUAAGAAUUCCCGUUUAAAUUCACCAAAGGAAAUUCAAGAGUCGGAUUAUGUAACAGAUUUUUUUUUUUUUUUUGGCAGUCCUACGCUAUUCCUACUCUACACUCACUCGCAGACUUGUGCCCUGCCUCUUGCAGGGCGUGGGAGUCGCAACCCAAGCUCGAAACUUACGCGUCCCUAUCCCCCAUCCCCCCUGAGGAGGUGGGGAUUUGAACCCCUCACCUCCCCCUUCCAUGUUGAAAGGGUGGCCACUGGGAUUGUGUAACAGAUUGGUUCACAAGAAUUGCGCUCUUAUUAGAAAGGGUAGUGCAUAGAAGAUGUGAGAUUACAAAUGAUUUAUAUGGGUCAAUGGUCAAAUUAUCGGUGUNNNNNNNNNNNNNNNNNNNNNNNNNNNNNNNNNNNNNNNNNNNNNNNNNNNNNNNNNNNNNNNNNNNNNNNNNNNNNNNNNNNNNNNNNNNNNNNNNNNNNNNNNNNNNNNNNNNNNNNNNNNNNNNNNNNNNNNNNNNNNNNNNNNNNNNNNNNNNNNNNNNNNNNNNNNNNNNNNNNNNNNNNNNNNNNNNNNNNNNNNNNNNNNNNNNNNNNNNNNNNNNNNNNNNNNNNNNNNNNNNNNNNNNNNNNNNNNAUAGGAUUUAGCGAAUUGACAAUGCAAAAAUUGAGAGAGAAUAUGAAGUGAUUCUGUGCACUUUUGAAACUCUGUUAGUGUACAUUCUUGUAGUUUUUCCUUGUCAAAAUAUAUUGAUUUUCAACUUUCACUAAAAUGUCGCACAUUCAAUUAGGAAGCAUAUGAUUAAUAGUCCUAAUCAGCCAAGUCACAAAACAAAUCAUAAGAGAUCUAAUGCGGUUGUCACUAAGCCUCGAAUUGGUGGGAUGAUCUUUCCCAUGGCAAGAGCGGCUAACAUCACAAACUUCAUCUUCUAGGGAUUAAGUUAAAAUAUUAUGUUUGGCACUUACGGUGUUCUUAUACUUCAUAAUAAAUAUGUUAUUUAUUUUAUCAGUUAAUCUACCCUGAACAACAUGCUAAUAUUAGUUUAGAUAAUUUGUCAAUUUGGCUAUAGCUUGGAAUAAGAGACGAUAACAAUAUAAAUUCAAUAUUGAAAACUUUUUGUUUGAUUUUUUUUUCUCGCUUUUUAGUUAUUCUUUUAGCAAUUACCGAAUAACAUCAUUCAAACCUUGUAAUGCCGCAUCUAUUUAUUUAUUUAUUUAUUUCAAUUAGUUUACGGCUAAAAUGGGCGAAUCAACAUACAUGAUUUCACCACAAAAUAAAUGGACUUUUUUUGAAAAAAAAAUUAAAAAAAGAGAUAGAAUAAUGGCUCAUAUUAGAACCAUUUACCAAGUAAUGCAAAUUAAAACCAAGUCUUAAUUUUUUUUUAUGUGUAUUAAAAAUUUCCAAUAUCAUAUCAUUUCAUUUUACACAUAAAAUGAAUAGAAUAAACAUUAAAACCCUUUGUCCAUCGUAAGAUAGAAAGUAAACAUCAAAUUUAGAUAAUCUUACUUUAAAUACUUAUGUAGCAAGAACAUACAUAAAAAAUAGAACAUAAUGCAAGAACUAAACAGUAAUAUAACGAUUGAUUUAUAUAAAGUGUCAAUAUAACAUUAUGCAAAAAUUUUAUACAUGUAAUAUGGGUUCAUAUCAAUAAAUGGAAUUUGAAGAAGUAAAUUUCUGAAUUUGUGCAACCCACGGGUCUUUGUUUACUACACAUUCCACAAAAAAUAUGCAGUCAUAAGCUACAAUCUGAUGGAAUCAUCUACCAAUAUACAAAGUUCUAUUCACAUCAUAGGAAAUGUUUUCUAGCAAUCUGAUGGCCUCGAAUAUUUUGGGGGCAAAGAUGGACACAUUUCAUUCAUAUGAGGGUACGAGUCCAUUGUGUUGUACCUUGGCAGCUCCAUUCGAUACCUACCUCGUAUUUGACAGAAUGGAAUGGAAGCUCAAUGUCAUCCCCAUAAUUGAACCACUUAGGCAAGUGGCUUGAAUUAUUCUCGAAGAACCUUAGUGAGUAAUCUUUUAUCUGCAUAAAAAACAAUGCCAUUCACAAAAUGCCAAAUGGGAUUCCUCAUGACAAAAGUUCACGCUUCGAAAGGCAAACUAGAUUAUAGUUUUCUCAAUCUUUGAAAAAAGUGACAUCCAUCUCUAGAUAGUAAGUUCAAGCAACUAGGGUCAGAAAGAUAACCCAACUAGGGUCAAUCAAUCGCACUUACAGUGAACUUUGUAACUCGAAUGGAGCUAGAAAUUAGAUCAAAGAGACCUGCUGCUUUGUAUAUUUCAAGAACAAAAGCUACACAUGAGGCAGACUUCCCAUCACUGUAUACCCAAUCAUCUUGCUCUGGAAUUGUCAGCAGUUCAGCAAAAGAUGGCCCCCUCAUUUCCCUUUCGACUAUUAGAUCAGGAAGAUCCAAGCCCUAUAUGCAACACAAUUGUAAGGUCGCCAUAAAGUAAAUUGCAAUUUGAAUGGGAUGGUACCUCUGUUCCUAGUUGCUUGUUGAGUGCUUCAUUCCGCAUGUUCGCAGCAUAGGCUGGUUGCAUUUGGUUCCAUACUGUCAUAACAGAAGCAACCUACAAUAAUACAAUGCUCUCUAUAAAAUGAGUGAACCACACUCCGAUCAUGCGAAGAAAGCACCCGACAUGGCGAGCAUAUUACAUGCAUCAUCAGCCGGGCCGAUAAAAACUCUUAAGAAAAGAUGAACAAAGUCCACUAUUUUGCUGCCUUAGUAUCAUAUAGGAGGCCAUAAAAAAUGAAUAUUUGUCAAACCAAGUCAGAUUCUUUUCCACAAUAUUAGCACUCAAUAGAGUCACAUGCUAAUCUGCUAUUUGGGGAGAUCACUGUUCAGUUUUUAGCCUUUUGCUUUGCUCAGUUGAAUCCAUUCGAAAUCAUGGUAUGACUGUCUAAUUCCAGCAAGACCAUGCUGUUAGGAUCUGACACAUGGCAUCAUUAUAUUUCAAGGUUUAUCAAAGUAAGGGUAAAUUGAUGUUUUGUAGUUAGGUUGAGAAGCAGAAACUAUUUCAUAUCCAGCAUCAAAGAAUCUCAAGUCACCUACAACACAAGCCCUUAGUGUUAGAAAAUUGUCUAAGACAAACCGAAUGCACCCACAAAAUAUUUAUAAACACAUAUGCACAUGUACAAUCUCUGUACCACAUGAGCAUCCAAUGGCGGUGGAUAAUUUGCAUCGAUAGUGUCUAUCCAGCUAAAGAGCAUGUUGUGAUAACCAUAUGGUUUCCAUUCAUAAACUAAGCAUACUCCGAUGCAGCAGUCUCAUUGAAUUUGAUUUGCAAAUCAGGAUGUAGUUGGAGCAAUGCAAUGUGGGGAUUUGAGUCAUCUUUGUUAAGCUCAAACUCCCACCAUUCUUCGCAUGGGAGCACAGCAAUGACUUCUCCCUGUAAUGAUAAGAACAAAACAAAAAAUUGCAUUAUCUCCAUUACUAUAGUGGACUUCUGUAACAGCUGUCCCCUUUACCAACACAAAAGGACAGAGCAAGCAGCAAUAACCCAAAUGUGAAUUUAAAUUUGUUAAUCAAGUUCUGCCUCGAGUAAAGGACGUCAUUUCAUCGAAUUCUAACCAUAAUCAUCAUCAGUAAGUUGCCAUGUCUCGUGUAAAGAUGGGUCUUGAAGUUCAAUAGAAACAGUUCACACUGUAUUUGCUAUUUUACAAAUAUGAUGAUGCCACAAUAGAGCUUCUAGUAGGAGCCUAAAUAGGAUUUGCUCUAGUUCAUCAUGAACCUGAAGCAGCCUGUCAUCAUUUACUUACUCAUCCUCUCUUACAAUCAAAAGUUUCUACAGGAGCACAGAAAGGAAAGACCUGUCUUAUUAGAGAAGAUAAGAUAAGCAAGGAAAUUUAAGGACAUACGGGUGUAAUAUAAGCAAAAUUAAUAUGCAAAAUGGAACAAUGUCAAUGGAACUGUAUUUGUAAGAGAAGAAGUCUAUGAUUCGACAGAAGUUACGUUUAUACAGUAAUCGCACUGGAAUCCCAUGCCCCAAAAACCUAAGGGUUCAGCAUACGACAUAUUACAGAAACACCACAGUGAGCCUAGUUGUUCUUCUCAAUUUGUACAUGACAACCCUUUUAUAAUCAGAGAAUGUAUAAGCAGCAUCAUAUGGGUGUCUUAAAAAAUGAAUGGCAGAUGAGCACAGGGAAUUGAGGAGGAGGUGUAGAAAUAAUAACUCAAACAACUGGAAGGGGUGUUUCAGAUGUUUGAACGUUUGUUUGUUGGAUAUCCCAAUAUAGAAACAAUGUGGCCAAUUCUAGCCAGUUAUCAACCGGCAGCCAUGUUAAUAUUGGUUCUAUGCAACUGGUUUAAAAAUACACUUCACAAUUACAAUUGCAAAGACAGCAGUAGGCAGAAAGAUUGGAUGAAAUGUCAAAAUUCAAAAAUAUAUACAUCAAAAGCAAUCUAUCAAUGUUUGAAAACGAAGAACAAAAAGGAGCAGAUAAAAUGCUUAACAACAAUCGCAAAGUAAUUCUUUUCCUCGAAAGGCUUUUUCUCCACUAGUCAAUAUAAAAAUCAGUCCUUCAAACUGAAAGAGAAGUGCGCUUACACGUAUGACCAACCCAUGGCUGUUGCCAAAUUACCUGUUCAUUAUCAUGUCCAGAUUCACCAACCCAUAGCUUUCCUUCAGAAUCCUUUAAGCACACAGCUGUGUGACCAGCAUAUGCCCCACUGACCCAUUUCUCUAGAGUCUCAAAACCACCCCACCUCCCUUGAAUUUUUGAAAUUGCAAGGAAAUCUCCAGAGUGGAUAUCAUCAAUGCUGAUGUUUGUAACCCAGGGCUGGGGACGUUGCUCAAAUGAAGCUCCCAUAUGCUUCUUGAGAAAACCAAUGUUAGAUUUCUCCCCCUACCUGGUAUUUGAAAACAAGGGAAACACGUCCCACAGUGCUUGAAGGGUCCUUAGCAUCCCGGCUUGCAUCGGAAAGAUUGACACUCCUCUACUUGUCACCUGUAAUCCAAAUAUUGGAAAACCAAGUGUAACAACUUCUACUAUGCACAAAGGAGCAGAAGAGAAAAAAGAUAAUUGCAGCUUACAUAUUCAAACUCGGCUUUUCCUUCCCACUCUUUGAACUCGAAUGUGUGCUCACGGGAUAAAAAAUAGUAGUCCCAUGUCACACAGUAUGGGGUUGCAAAGACAUAAAUAAUACGUGUCCAGCUAUGGGCUUUGCUGACCUGGAUGAGCAAUCCAAACUCAUGAUUACAAGCCGGAUACCUACAACUAGUCAUCAGUUCAUAUUCAACAGAACUGGAUGCAAAAACAGGGACUAUUAACAUGAAUGGAUAGUACCCACCCAGAUUGGAAUGGCCCCCACAAGAUAAUUUGAUUUUACAUCAAAGGAAACAACCAUACUUGAAUGAGCAACCAAAUCCAAAUCACCAAAUCCUUCUUCAACCACUUAAAACCCAGACACAAAAAACUCAAGUGACCAACCAUGGUACCACCAAUUCGUGGAGCUUAAUCAAGUACAAACAAGCAGAGGAAAGGAAAAGAAAAGAAACCGUGGCAAGUGACGAAAUCCACUUAAAACAUAUUGAAGUAAGAAAUGAAAGAUUCCAUGACUCAGAUUCCAACAUAAAUAAGUAGAAUGAGAAAAGAGGAAUAGUUGGGAUCAAGUGCAAAGCCUGAACAUUGAAUGAUAUUCUCUAACAUCCUUUGAAUAAUUAAUUUUCUUUCACAACUCUAUACAUAAUGGUAUGAGUGCACGCUUCAGUUGGUAAGAAAAAUACCGUAAGUAGAUAGAAACUCUAUCCAGUUCAGUACUUUUAGUCCAUUGGAAAAAAUCAACCUCAAAUUAACCAAGAUAGAAAGCUCAAACUAAGUACUGAAGUCACCAAGACUUAAAUUGAAAACUGCGAAAAGCCGGUGGCCAUUAGACCCCAUCAACAAACCGACACAACCUCACAUCUACCAGAAUUAUCAUAAAAUCGAACUGCAGCGAAUUGAAUUAAGCAGUGACAGUAGGCAAGAAAACCUCAAAAGCUGGUGAACAGUGACCAUCUCUCCACAUUGCCAAACCGCCACAAGCUCAAACCUCCCAAAAUCAUCACAGAAUCGCACUCAAACACAAGGAUUUCCGUUCCGUUCCAUUAGGUUCCCGACUAUUCAACCAAAAAAAAAACCCAAGGCUUGGGAUCAUCACUCCAGUCCAUUGCUCUCCCCGUCAUUUCCCAAUUCCAUUCCAUUCAACCGUACCUAACAGAAAACCUUAUCUUCCAGAAUCGCACUCGAAACCAAAUAGAGACGAAGCCAAAGCGACGCGAUGGAACUAAAGGACGGACCUUGAUGUGAAGCGUGCCUCCCCCGAACUCGCUCCCGGUCUCGUUGUGGAACUCCAACCAAGCGGUGUUCUCGUAGAAGCAAGCUCUUUUCCACGCCAGAGUGCCGUUGGAGGGAGAAGCGCCGCCGCCGACGAGCCAUUGGACGGCGAAGGGCGUUGAGGAUGGAACAAGAGAGCUGCCGAGAAGCUAUGGAAAUUGGGGCGGGUCUCCCCGGUGACCCGGAUCAUGUAUCAAACUAUCAAAAGUGUGAUGUGAUAAUUGUAGAGGGGGAGAGGAGCGAUUCGUUUUGAUCGUCCUUGGACGCUUGGUAAUUACUAGUUAGUGUGCCUGGCCAAGUAGAUGAAACAUUAAAGCAUAAUCGGAGCUGAAAAUAUUCUGCAUUUUUAUAUUAUGUAUUAAUUCCACUAAAAAAAUCUUAAAAUAUAUCUACGGUAGUGAUAUUAAUGUUUUAAUUUUUUUAUGGCAUAGAAAACCUUAAAAAAAAAAGGUUUGAAAUUAGUAUUGAUUUCACAUUGAAUAAAAGUUAAAAUUUUAGAGGUAACCUAAAAAUAUUUUAAUCAUUUUAGUGUAGGGAUCGGCAAUUAGGAAUCUCCACGAAUGAUCUUAGCUUGUGGGAGCACAGAUACUUCGGGCUCGUAUGGUCUGUCCUCAAGUUCUUCAGGAGUGUCCCAUCCCACCUUCUUCUAUAUAGUCCUUUAAGAGAGAGGCGAAUUUUUCUUGGCCACUAGCAUAACUCUUCCGAUCUAUACUUCUGGCUCCUCCUAAUGGAUCAGCAACAGUUAAAUAAAUUUGAUCAAUAUGGAAAGCAAGAACUUAAAUUUGCUAAAUAACCGAUGCCCAACCAAGCUCGCCGUCAAACCACGGUCAUUGAUAGCUUCAACUUCACUUAUAUUGCUUACCCGCCCUCUUCUAUCGCCACGAAGACUUUCACUAUCCCGCUUUUUUAGGACUUAGAUAACAUCAAACAUCUCCAUCGCUGCUGGAUAAAAGUUGAAACAUCAUAAAGAAGUCAAUGCUUUGAAAAACUCUUCCUUAUAGUAUUUCAUCAAUGAUGUACUUCUUAAUUUUGUAUGAAGAAAUGUGUUUGUCAUCGGUAUGGAUUCAACAUUUACCUCAACUUUGUCGUAUCCAUGCAAUUAUGGAUUCAACAUUUACCUCAAUUUUGUCGUAUCCAUGCAAUCUUUCUUACUGUGAAACUGUGUCUUGAGCUUGAGCCCGUAUACAGGAAUCUAACCCACGUUCGAAGAAUUUAUUGAUCGAAGUCACGCACAAAAUGCAGAGUGUUCUUUUAUAAAUUAAUGUGCACGCAAGUCUUGGACUUUUCUCUGCUAUCUCCUACUGUCCUAUUAUCAUUUUUUCACUUUUUUGUUUGAAUCCCCUUUUUAUCAUUGAAGGAGCUGAACGUCCAUUUUUCACGUCCACACUUAACCAAAUCCAUUGGCGCUGGUUUCGGAUUCUUGUUCGAUCAGCGAAAUGGGAAAACUCGGCACCGAAGUUGGCGUCAGGAACGAUGGCAUUCUUGAGGCCUAGCCUCAAAAUUCGAGUGGCAUGGAGAGGGUGCUUCCGUCCCAAGCUCUGCUGGAGAACGGUGACGCUCAACGGGGUGAUCAGAGGCACAUGCGUACGGGCUUGGAGCAGGACGGGCAAACGGGGCCGCUUUGGAUUGGAGUGUGAGCUGUUUCCGCCAUUUUCAUGGAACUGCGAGGGACGCUGGUGGUGUGACCUGGUUGGGGAAAGGAUGGAGCUUGAGGAGGACGGUCAGGGACACGUAUUGAAACCCACUUGACUUAAGGUUCAAGAACGGGUUUGCAAAUCGGAUUCGGCUUGCGAAAUGGACCUGCAUCUAUCUAGUAUGGAGAAGUUUUUUCCAGAAAUUGUGAGACGAUUUCGGGAAUUUGAAAGAAACAGAAGGGGCCAGAGCACAGGGCAAUUUUAAUUUAUUUUGGCCAAACGUUCCAGCAAAUAGUUUCUUCGCCUAAAGACUUCCCUUUUUUCUUCGUAGAUUUUAGCAAAGGAAGUCCAUCUGCUCUUUGGAUUCUCAGAUGCUGAUCUCUUUUUGGGCUUCAGAUUGUAAGAAAAGAGAGAAUUUUGGGCAGCACUACUUAAGUCUCUGCGUUUAUAAAGGAUUUCAAACAUGAUAUUGCUCUAACUUGUCGAUCGAAAAUGUUGUGCCUCAUAUGCUGCUUCGCUCUUUUGGAUCAAAGCAACAUGACCCCAAUUAAACUUGUUUCAACAUUAAACUAUCGGGUAUAGAAUACUUGAUCCACUUAGUAAGGGUUUUGGCUUUUUAGCCUAUAAAAUUGAUUCCAAAACAAGGUGAUCCGGUCUUGUUCCCGAUUGGAUAUUCACUCGGAACCUAUUCUUGAACCGAUUUGAACCGGUUCCAAAAAUUUGGAAUCUAUUUGCAGACCAACUCCGACGGGAACCGGCACUUGAACCUAUUUUUCGAGCAGUCCAAUUUGGUUCCUAAGUAGAACCGCUUUGGUUGCACACCGGCUACAUUGCUUUUCCAUUUUCUCUUUUUGUCCUUGGACCGAUUUGUGUCAGUGCUGCUUCAAUAGACAGCCUGCCGAGAGGCCUUCAACUGCUAUGUUGCUUGAGCAUGCUUUCCUGCGAAUUUGAAGUUGCAGAUGACUUUUUUCAUGCGCCAUACAUUGUUGCAAAAGGAAUGUUAUAUUGUAAGUGCUCAUGUUUACUUAACCAAAAAGAUUAGAAAGAGGAAGUGCAGAAAACGUUAAUGGAGGUAAUUAUAAUGCUUGAGAUCCCGAAAACAUUCGUAAGUCCAAAUGGCGGAGUACAGCAGAGACCUCAAUGAAUGAGAGUUCAACAAGAAUAAAAUGUCAUUUCACACAUAAUCAACGCAAUCAUGCGAUAAGAACUUGAUAAAAAAUUUGCCCAAGGGCUUGUCAUGGCAGGCAGACGGGAAGAGGCUUACCUGAAAGGAGAUUUACCCAAUCUUUCAUCUUUACAUCGUCUUUGACCAUCUACCACAGACUCGAACACAUCUAACAAUCGAUCCAGCUUAUAUCAAAUUACCACCGAAAUCUAAUGCAAAGAAAGAACAUUAACCUCUUUGACUCAUAUCAAAUCCCAGCCCGACAAUGGUGGUCCCCUCCUUUAGGUAUCCAAAUCUAUUCUCUCUCUUUUUUUAAGGAAAUUCUUUACAUGAUCCAAGUGCUAACAAUACUCCUGACACGACAAUUCAAUUCUUCCGAUGAGAUUAUUUCAACAUUUAUAAUAAGAAUUUUUUUUAUGAUCCUUAACGUUCAUUCCCACCACCGCACUUGAAUGGAUCCAAGAUUCACUUUUUGAGAAGAUCAAAGUCUUAAAUUAAAGGACUAUUACAUCCUCCAGAUGGAGAAAUGCACUGGAGAAGAGGAAAGAGACUUGAAAGCCCAGCUCUUCGGUGUCCACGGCCGAGCGUCCUUGAGUGAACUUCCCCUGAUUUUUAGCCCAUAACAUGUGGUGGAUUGGUUGGCGAAUUGGGCUAUUGACACUCAACAUUCAUGCGUCCAAUUCUGUUACACGGACUAGGGGGCGCAGUCGAUUGCGCGCGUGGCUGCAUUGCUUGCUGAUACGCAUCUCAAUAAAAUUUUGCUUUCGAAUUUUUUUAACUCUUUUUUUUUUUUUUUGGCGUUUGAAAAAUAAGAUGGACAUUCCCCUGCCAUGAUAUGACCCAACAAUGGACAAGCCCGUAAGCAAUUCGACAACGUUGCUUAAUCUAGAUGUCCUCUUCUGAGUGCAUUCGAGUUAUAAACAUUUGUGUACGAAGGACAUCUAUUCAUCAAAACCAAUGUUCAUAUGGAGCCAAAAAAGCACCACAUCAGCAAACACAAGCUAGAACACAAAAAAAAAAAAAAAAGAGGAAAAAGAAAUGAUGAGUACAUUAGACGUGCUACAUUUUUUUCUUAUUAGUGCAAUCAAAUACUUCGUCAGUUCCAUUCGAUUUGAGAGAUUGAAAAUAUUGAUAUGAUGUACACUAAUACAACACCAUUUUAUAAGGGUCAAAUUCCUCAGUUCAACCAAAAAAAAAAAAAAUCAAACCAUUUUAUAAACAUUUGGAAUGUAAAGGCUUAAUUCUACGUGUCUAUGCAAUUUCAACAAGUUUUUGAUCAAACUAAAAAAGUCAACUCUAGUUUUUUUUCUUGACCGAGAAAUCUAGAUCGGGCGAGGGUCGCCGGCCCUCACUCACUUUUGGCCAAGGGCUGCCAUUGGUGGGUGCCGAAACCUCGUAGUGAGGGCCGACGAUCCUCGCCUAGAAUAGUCAAGGGCUAACAGGCCCUUGCUUGCAAUCAAUGAGCCCCUAGUUGUGAUUGGCAAGAGUCGUUGACCCCAAGCCAAGGCCCAACACCCUCGCCAACCAUUCCCCCACCAUUGCCGGCCCUUCCUGGCAAUGGUGAGGCGGUGGCAAGGGCUUGCAGCAAGCCUCGCCAUUCUCGCCAUUGGUUUCCAACUUUUUUUUUUAAUUUAGCUUUUUUUAAUUUAAAUAUAAUUUGUAUAAAAAAAAAAAAGCAUAUUUGGAUCAAAAUGACGUUAUUUAAGGCUUAUGUUUCAUGUUUUAGUCACAUUAUCACCACGUAGGAGAGAGAAAACAUUUUAAAAAGUCACAUCUGCAUUUUCCUUUAACUAAGCUAGAUGGAGUAAAUGGAAGGACUUGAGUGCACUAAUUUGACAAGUUUAGGUACUUGAUUAUACUUUUUAUAAGUUUAGAACUCAAUUGAACUUUCAUGAUAAGUUUUAAAUUUCAAGUGCACUUUUUUUACCUAUUAUCCUAUUUGAAAUAAAAACCAAACCAAAAAGACCCAAAUAAUUUCGGGUCAGUUUAGGUAUUUUUGACACCACUAAAAAGAGGCGAGUUUUAUAAGAAGCAUGCGAGUCAGCUUCUAACGUAUUACACAUUUAUACCUUUCCAUUUUUUUUUCUCACCUACACACUGUAUUUUUUUUCUUCCAAGAACCUCCCCUUUUUUGUCUUGCUUGCAGGGCAUUUGUGGAAGAAAAAAUAGCAAAAUCGAAAUUUGGAAAAAAUAAUGGGGCAUUUUUGGAAGAAAAAUUUCUUGUUCCCAUUCUGCUGCACACACUUCUUAUAAAACUCUCCUGUCUCGCCUCUUAGCGUUGGCAUCACAUUUCUCUCACCAAGCAUCUAGGGGAAAUGAAGAAGAUGAAGAUGAGAAAAUUGGUGGAUAUGAUCAUAGCUUCAAGAAGGAUUGCAUCUUCACAAUGGUGCACAAAAACAUCCCUCAUCAUACUUGUUUUGUGAGAAAAUUGCGGAAAAUUAUCUAAAAAGUUCUAAACCUAUUGCACUUUUGUCAAUUUAGUCAUAAACCUUUUAACAUUGCCAAUUAAAUCCUAAACCUUUUUACUUCUUGCCGAUUCAAUCCAUCCAGCCAAUUUUGGCCGGAAAAUGCUGACGGACGCCAGCAGUGCCACGUAAGAUUGCCGGUACUGACGUUGAAAUUUUUUAAUAAUAUUUUAAUAUUUUUUUGAAUUUUUUUCUAUUUUCCCUUUGUUUUCUUUCUUUUCUUUUUGGCUUUUUUCUUUUCCUUUUCAGGUGGCCGGCCACAGGCCACAACUAGCUGGCUGGCCUCGCCUGCCACAGGGAGGCCCAAUCGGGCAAGGAGGAGCCCUUGCCUAAGCGCAGCCCGACAAAGGUCUCCUGGGUGAGGCCAACUCUCACUCAGGCCAGGGCGGCCUCGCCCUCACCGAGGCGAGCGUCAACCUCACCCAAACUAGAUCUGGAGAGGCCGGCUCUCGCCCUUGGCCGGCUGAUGCUCGCUUAGGCGAGGGCGAGCCUCGGCGAGGGCUCCCCUCACAAGAUCUGGCGAGGGCUGACCCUCGCCUAGGCCAGCGUGGCCUCGCCUAAGCGACCCUUGUCAGGCCACGCCUGGGGGAGGGCUCCCCUCGCUAGGGCUUCUUCUCUUUCGGGUUGGGCCUCAUUUGUGGUGGGCGAGGCCAGCCGGCUAGUUGUGGCCGGUGGUCGUCCACCAAAAAAGGCCAAGAAAGCCAAAAAAAAAAAAAAAACAUAAAAAAGAGGGAAAAAAACAUAAAAAAAUAUUAAAAAUAUUAAAAAGUAUUAAAAAUUAUUAAUGUCAGCGCCGCGCGGUCCUACGUGGCACCGCCAGCGUCCACGUCAGCAUUUUUCGGCCAAUAUUGACCGGAUGAACUGAAUCGGCACGAAGUAAAAAGGUUUAUGACUGAAUUGAUAAAGGUAUAAUAGGUUUAGGACUUUUUGGGUAAUUUUCCCGAAAAAAUUGCAAUACCAAACGCUAAAGUGCAAGACGAGAGACUUUUAUAAGAAGUGAAUGGAAGUGAAGGUGCUUCCAAAAAGGGCAUUUUCGGAAGGAAAAGUGCUUGUGCAGCUAAGGGGGGAAAGAGGGGAGUCUUAUAAGAACUGAGGUAAAAGUACUUCCAAAAAGGGCAUUUUCGGGAAAAAAAAGUGCUGGUCAUAAGAGCUUUAUAAAUAGUGAUAUGGCUUCUUAUAAAACGUUUUAUACGAAGUCGGAAAAGUUUUGUAAGAAGUGACGUGGCUUCCUCUAUAAGGGCGAGGCAGGAGACUUUUAUAGGAAGUCAAUGAAAGCGAAACUGCUUCCGAGAAGGGCAUUUCGGCAGGAACAGUGCCUGUGCAGCUAAGGGGGAGACAGGAGAGUUUUAUAAGAACUGAGGCAAAAGGGCUUCCAAAAAGAGCAUUUUCGGAAGAAAAAGUGCCGGUCAUGAGAGCUUUAUAAAUAGUUACGUGGCUUCUUAUAGAACGUUUCAUACGAAGUCGGGAAUGUUUUGUAGCGGCUGACUUCGUAUAAAACGUUUGACUUCGUAUAAAACGUUUAAAUGUUUUAUACGAAGUCAGGAAAUUUUUGUAAGUGACGCGGCUUCUUUCUCAUGAAAAGCCCCCAGAGGACGCCGUUCUUCUUUUAAAACUCUCCUGGCCAGCACAUUUUUUUCAAUUCACUUCUUAUAAAACUCUUGUCUCGCCCCUUAGCAUUUGGCACCGCAUUUCUCUCACAAAACAAUUCACUCAUGGGGAAUGUUUUUACGCGCCAUUGUGAAGACGCGAUCAUUCCUGAAGCUGAAGCUGUGGUUAUAUCUGGUAAUUUUCUCUUCUUCAUCUUCUUCAUCUGUGAUUCACGGUCACCCAUAGACGUUUGAGUUGAGUUUGAUUCUUAUGUUAAAAUUUACGUACUUCAUUUCCUUGAGAUUCAAUUGUUUCGCUUAGAAAGUUUGUCAACUAGGUAAGGGCUGACGAUUAAGUGUUUGUUUUUCUCGCUUUUAAGCUUGUAAAGUACAGAGAACUAGUCUUUUGAUAGUUAAAAAAAAGUACAGAGGAGUAGUCUUGUAAAGGUUGAUCAACUGGUAGAAUUGUGUGGCAAUCAUUAUGAGACCGUGAUGUAAUGCCUCUUUAUUUUUCUAAUCCAUAGAUCUAUUUCCCCUGUCUACCAUACGUAAUGAAGAAGAGGGCAGUGAAGAAGUUGAAUUACAAGAUGAAUUCGCCAUCGUCAAUUUCCCCAUUCAAGGUGGAGAUGGCAAUAUCAUACCUAAUGAAGAAGAGGGCGGUCAAGAAGUUGAAUUACACGAUGAAUUGAUUGCCAUCAUUGUCCCCAUUCAGGGUGGAGAUGGCAAUACCAUACUUAAUGAAGAAGAGGGCGGUCAAGAAGUCGAAUUACACCAUGGAUUGAUUGCUGUUGUUGUCCCCAUUCUGGAUGGUAAUGGCAAUGGUGACGGCCAUAUUGAGGAUGGCGACAACAAUGUUGGUGACAAUGAAGUGGAGCAAGAGGUGCAGGAGGUGGAGAGUGAGCAGGACGGCAGCGAGGGGGCUGGUGGUGUGGGGGCUGUUGUUGGUCCUGCCAUUGCUGGUGAUAGAGCUGGCUUUAUUGUUCUGGCAAUGGUGCUGGUCGGGGCGCUCUUCCUGUGGAAGAUGCGGCUGAUAACUUUGCUGGAGUUGCUUUUGAUAGUGGUGGUAGUAUUGGCAGUAGCCUUGCUCCUUUGGGGCAUGGAUGGGCUAAACUUGAUAUGGGUCUUAAUCCUAAGACUCAAUGUUAUCUUAGUAUGAUGAAGAGAUUGACGCGUGGAUUGCCAUGUGAGAUGUCUAGGUGGACUUCUUUGGAUGAUUUUCAGUAGAACAUUUUUGUUGCAGGAACCUCUGUUUGUAUCCUUUCUUCAUCAUGUACACAUUUGUAUCAUUACUGGUUAUGCUGUCAAUCUACUUGGCAGGAAUAAACAUGUUCAUAAUUUAUUAACAGCUGAUUGUUCUCAUAUUGGUAAUAAUUUAAGUGCACAAUAUGUAAGGAAUGGGGUAAGUAACGGCCAAUAAAAGAUUAUCCCUAAAUAUUAUGCGAGAUCUAUAAGAUAAAUUAGCAACUCUCCUUUACCACAAAACCUGAUGGCAAUUUGAUGAACUGUCAUGUUUUCUUAGGAUUAGUAUGUGCACAAGUAGUUACGGAAUCUUAACUUUCACAUAAAAGGAUGGUCAGUAAGCUUUUCUUUACCCAUGAGCUUAGCUCUCCUUUUUACAUUCAGCUGGACUCAUCAAUGAUGGAGGGUCAUUUGAUUCAAUCUUCUACGUGAUGUUGAUGCAUAUAUGAUUACGUCUAAAUAGAUGUGACAAAUGGGUGGUGGACUAGAUUGAUUUUGGAUGGGUUAUAAAUAGGUUCAAUUCAAAUUCACCCAUUUAAUUGACGUUGACCCAUUUAUUUUCUACACAAUUUAUAUGAUACAUAGCCAAUCCAAACCCACCAACAUAACUCACAAUUUUUUUUAUUAAUACCAAUUAAGCAAUUAUCAAAUUAAAAAUAAUAAAAAUUAGUAGGGAUAAAUACACUCAAAAUUCUAAACUUAUCAUAAAAGUAUAAUUGAAUCAUAAAAUUAUUAAAAUAUGUAAAGUACUAAAAUUUAUCACGAAAAUUCAAUUGAAUCUAAAAAUUUUCAAAAAUAGUAAUUUAAGGGAUUUUUUUUUUUUUCCCGUUCACAGGCUCCCCUUCUCUCUCUCUCGCUCUCUCCCUCUCUCUCUAUACUCGCUUUUUGGAAUUAAAGAGGAGAAAAAUGGAUUUUUUGCACUAACCUCCUUCCACUUCCUCUGCUUCUUCACGAACGACCAUAAACCUUCACAAACCAAUCCCUUUUUUCUCUGCCAUGCUUUAGUCGCCGUGUCCUUUGCCCCGGAUGUUGCCGGUGACACCGUGGCCCAUCUCUGAGCUCGACGGCGAGAAUUGAGCCGCCUAGAUUCAUCUCGCGCCUCUAUCUCUCUCGUCCUCCCCUUUCGACUUCGGAUGGCGCUGAUUCGAGCCAUUGAGAUAAUUUCAUCUCAGAUUCACGGCCGAGUCGAGGCCUAGAUCUGAGAUCUAGGGCUCAAUCGAGCUCCACCGAAGGCGAGGGCUCAGUCGAGCUACACCAGAGGCGAGUCUCGGAUCUCGGCAUCUUGUCGGUGCCGGAGAAAUGGAGAGAGAUUGCCGUAGUGAAGGCUUGGUUAGAGAGAGAGGUGGGUUGGGUUUCUUGGUUCAAACGUGUUAAAGAGGGAGGAACUCUGGAAGUGAAGAACCCCAGGCAAUGCGAAGAUUGCCGCAGUAUGGUUUUUUGGGUUUGGCUCCAAGAAGCAAUGAAUCAAAAUGCGUUUCGGUUCGGUUCAAAUACUCGACCUGAACCGAAAUGAUACAACACCCAUCUUUUUUACCUAUCACCCGAUCUGGAAUGAGACACGAAUCAAGAAGACCCGAAAAUUUCAGUUUGGAUUGGGCCGGGUUUUUUCUGACGCCCCCAACGAGAGGGAAGUUUUAUAAGGAGUGUGUAAGUUGCCCCUUAGCAUUGGCAUCGCAUUUCUCUCACAAAACGUCUAGGGGAGAUGAAGAUAAAGAAAAAUGCCAGAUAUAACCACGGCUUCAAGAAUGCUCGCGUCUUCACAAUGGUACCCAAAAACAUUCCCCGCGAGACUCGUCUUGUGAGAGAAAUGUGAUGCCAAACGCUAAGGAGCGAGAUGGGAGAGCUUCAAAGAAACUUGAAUAGCUACUUCAACACACCCCGGCGCCAUAUCUCCCUCUCUUUGGUUCCGUUUUCCCUUUUUUUAUUCGUGGAUUAAGUAAUCGACAAUCAAGAGUACCCUCUCCUAUUCCUCAAUCUUAAGAUGCUGUCUGUCGGGGGACGUCGGAAAAUGAAGUAUCUCUAAUCAUAAAUCAAACAAUCAUCGACCCAAAAACAUCCGACAGCUGAUCUAGCUUCUUGGGAUUGUCCUCCUUCACUGUGGACAUGACCCCUUGGAGAGCGAAGAAAAAGAACAUCCAGCAUUAGGUUGACUUCUAACUUCUCCAUAGAUGCUCAUCGCUCCCAACUCGCCGUCGGUGGAUUUGAGCUGCGCCUACAAGAUCUAGGUUUGUCGAAUUUUUUUCCUAUCAAACGAGUUAACAGCUUCAACCAUGGAUUCUAACUGUAACUUUCUCUUUCUUUCAUCCACUCUCUCUCUCUAUAUCAGCACAACCAAGUUCAUCACUCUAAACUAAGUGGCCUCAAGUUCAUCAAUGCCAAGGGCAUUAGGAGCAAGAAAUUGAAGUACCAACCUUUCUUUAAAAUUUUGUGAGACUACUACCAACUACUUUUGUCCAAUAAAAUCUCACAUGAUACAUGAUUAUGAGAUCUUAAGCCCAAACAAUUCAAGGCCCCAAUUUGCGCCCCCUCUUAUAUAGCUCAACUCUUUAGACUUAAGCCAAACUCUAGUCUACGCUUGAGGGAGAUUGGUAGAAUAUUUUAAUAAAAUCAUAUCAUCAUCUAAUAGUUUAAAUUAUUAGAAUGGUUGUAAGUGGUCUCACAAAAUAUCAUGCUUCUCCCCUUCUUGAGGGAGUUUACACAACUAAACAUGCUAUUAGAUAGUGCAAGUGUGUGGACUAUGUAUAUUUUCUUCAAAAAAGAUAUUAAAUGCAUUUCUAGCAAUAUAGGUGUUACUUAGGCUCUAUUUGUUUCACAUAAAAUUUCCUUUAAAAAAACAUUUUCCUCAUUUUCUGGCAUUUGGAUAUCUUAAGAAAAUAAGUCAACUUAAUAUAUUUUCAUAAUUAAUAUAAAACAUAUGCUUAAAUUCAGAAAAAUGAUUUCCUAUUUUAAAAAUCAAAAAUCAUUUUCCGGAAUACGGUUAGACAUUGGCGCUUGUAACUAAGAUCUUCGUGCUUGAGCAUAGGAGCCCUAAUAUUCGUGUUCGGGUCCUCAAUUGUGGGACCCAAUUCCACAAUGGCCAAGCUCAAGACUCCGAUGACCAUACUAGAUCCCUAAUGGCCAUGCCUAAUACCGUGGUGCCCACUCCUAGGUCCCUAAUGGCCAUGCCCCACUACUCGAUUUUCAAGCCUAGGUCCAUCGAGACUGGGACUAGUUCCUUGAUGGUUGGGCCAAGGUCUACUAAGGCUAAGCCUAGGUCCCUUGAUGCUUAGCCCAAGACCCCGAUGGUCAUGGCUAAGUCCUUGGCAGUCUUGCUUGAGUACUCAGCUCCUACACCAAAAUCAUCGAUGCUUGAGCCUAGGUCCAUCAAGGCCAAACACAAGUCCACAUAGGUUGAGCAUGGGUCCUGGAUAGCCAUGUUGGGGUACUUGAAUCUCGUGCUCAAUUUACUAGCUGUCAAGCCUUGGUCCAUUAAGGUCAAGCCUAAAUUCAAAGAGGACGAACCUGGGUCGUCAGUGGCCUUGCCCGGGUGCUUAGCUCUCAUGCCCACAUCAUCGGCACUUGGACAUUGGUUCAUCAAGGCCAGGCUCGAUUCUAUGGCAAUCGGGACCAAGUCCCUUGAGGCUAAACAGAAGACACCUUAGUACCUGUGCCUAGGUCCCUGGUGGCCGUGUCCAAGUCAUCAUUACCCAAGCCUAGGACCCUCAUUGCCUAGGUACCUCGAUCCCUGCUCAAGUCAAUGGCGCUCAACCUCAGUUCCUCGACAACUGAGCUCGAUUUCCAUGUGGUCGGGCCAAAGAUCCCAAUGUCCAUGCAUGGAUACUCGGCUUCUAUGUCUAUGUCACUGGUGCAUGGGCUGGGUUCAUCAAAGCUAAGUCCGAGACCUUGGUGCUCAUGCUUGAGUUCCAGUGGUUACACUUGAGAAAGCCCAGCUCCUGCAAUUGAGCCCCUAGUGAGUAGGUAUCCCUCGGCUAGGUAUCCCUUAUAUCACAUGAAAAAUGAAUAUCUCUUUGGGAAAAUAAAACCAAGUUCUUCUUUGUAAAAAAUAAUUACCAAUUCAUGUUCAUAUUUCAACUGAACACUGACAAAUAUUGCCUUUUCCCUAGAAAAUAACUUAUUAUAAGGCUUUUUUUUUUUUUUUUUGGGAAGGUCAAAUCUUUUAUGAAACAAAUGAACCNNNNNNNNNNNNNNNNNNNNNNNNNNNNNNNNNNNNNNNNNNNNNNNNNNNNNNNNNNNNNNNNNNNNNNNNNNNNNNNNNNNNNNNNNNNNNNNNNNNNNNNNNNNNNNNNNNNNNNNNNNNNNNNNNNNNNNNNNNNNNNNNNNNNNNNNNNNNNNNNNNNNNNNNNNNNNNNNNNNNNNNNNNNNNNNNNNNNNNNNNNNNNNNNNNNNNNNNNNNNNNNNNNNNNNNNNNNNNNNNNNNNNNNNNNNNNNNNNNNNNNNNNNNNNNNNNNNNNNNNNNNNNNNNNNNNNNNNNNNNNNNNNNNNNNNNNNNNNNNNNNNNNNNNNNNNNNNNNNNNNNNNNNNNNNNNNNNNNNNNNNNNNNNNNNNNNNNNNNNNNNNNNNNNNNNNNNNNNNNNNNNNNNNNNNNNNNNNNNNNNNNNNNNNNNNNNNNNNNNNNNNNNNNNNNNNNNNNNNNNNNNNNNNNNNNNNNNNNNNNNNNNNNNNNNNNNNNNNNNNNNNNNNNNNNNNNNNNNNNNNNNNNNNNNNNNNNNNNNNNNNNNNNNNNNNNNNNNNNNNNNNNNNNNNNNNNNNNNNNNNNNNNNNNNNNNNNNNNNNNNNNNNNNNNNNNNNNNNNNNNNNNNNNNNNNNNNNNNNNNNNNNNNNNNNNNNNNNNNNNNNNNNNNNNNNNNNNNNNNNNNNNNNNNNNNNNNNNNNNNNNNNNNNNNNNNNNNNNNNNNNNNNNNNNNNNNNNNNNNNNNNNNNNNNNNNNNNNNNNNNNNNNNNNNNNNNNNNNNNNNNNNNNNNNNNNNNNNNNNNNNNNNNNNNNNNNNNNNNNNNNNNNNNNNNNNNNNNNNNNNNNNNNNNNNNNNNNNNNNNNNNNNNNNNNNNNNNNNNNNNNNNNNNNNNNNNNNNNNNNNNNNNNNNNNNNNNNNNNNNNNNNNNNNNNNNNNNNNNNNNNNNNNNNNNNNNNNNNNNNNNNNNNNNNNNNNNNNNNNNNNNNNNNNNNNNNNNNNNNNNNNNNNNNNNNNNNNNNNNNNNNNNNNNNNNNNNNNNNNNNNNNNNNNNNNNNNNNNNNNNNNNNNNNNNNNNNNNNNNNNNNNNNNNNNNNNNNNNNNNNNNNNNNNNNNNNNNNNNNNNNNNNNNNNNNNNNNNNNNNNNNNNNNNNNNNNNNNNNNNNNNNNNNNNNNNNNNNNNNNNNNNNNNNNNNNNNNNNNNNNNNNNNNNNNNNNNNNNNNNNNNNNNNNNNNNNNNNNNNNNNNNNNNNNNNNNNNNNNNNNNNNNNNNNNNNNNNNNNNNNNNNNNNNNNNNNNNNNNNNNNNNNNNNNNNNNNNNNNNNNNNNNNNNNNNNNNNNNNNNNNNNNNNNNNNNNNNNNNNNNNNNNNNNNNNNNNNNNNNNNNNNNNNNNNNNNNNNNNNNNNNNNNNNNNNNNNNNNNNNNNNNNNNNNNNNNNNNNNNNNNNNNNNNNNNNNNNNNNNNNNNNNNNNNNNNNNNNNNNNNNNNNNNNNNNNNNNNNNNNNNNNNNNNNNNNNNNNNNNNNNNNNNNNNNNNNNNNNNNNNNNNNNNNNNNNNNNNNNNNNNNNNNNNNNNNNNNNNNNNNNNNNNNNNNNNNNNNNNNNNNNNNNNNNNNNNNNNNNNNNNNNNNNNNNNNNNNNNNNNNNNNNNNNNNNNNNNNNNNNNNNNNNNNNNNNNNNNNNNNNNNNNNNNNNNNNNNNNNNNNNNNNNNNNNNNNNNNNNNNNNNNNNNNNNNNNNNNNNNNNNNNNNNNNNNNNNNNNNNNNNNNNNNNNNNNNNNNNNNNNNNNNNNNNNNNNNNNNNNNNNNNNNNNNNNNNNNNNNNNNNNNNNNNNNNNNNNNNNNNNNNNNNNNNNNNNNNNNNNNNNNNNNNNNNNNNNNNNNNNNNNNNNNNNNNNNNNNNNNNNNNNNNNNNNNNNNNNNNNNNNNNNNNNNNNNNNNNNNNNNNNNNNNNNNNNNNNNNNNNNNNNNNNNNNNNNNNNNNNNNNNNNNNNNNNNNNNNNNNNNNNNNNNNNNNNNNNNNNNNNNNNNNNNNNNNNNNNNNNNNNNNNNNNNNNNNNNNNNNNNNNNNNNNNNNNNNNNNNNNNNNNNNNNNNNNNNNNNNNNNNNNNNNNNNNNNNNNNNNNNNNNNNNNNNNNNNNNNNNNNNNNNNNNNNNNNNNNNNNNNNNNNNNNNNNNNNNNNNNNNNNNNNNNNNNNNNNNNNNNNNNNNNNNNNNNNNNNNNNNNNNNNNNNNNNNNNNNNNNNNNNNNNNNNNNNNNNNNNNNNNNNNNNNNNNNNNNNNNNNNNNNNNNNNNNNNNNNNNNNNNNNNNNNNNNNNNNNNNNNNNNNNNNNNNNNNNNNNNNNNNNNNNNNNNNNNNNNNNNNNNNNCCCUUCUUCUUCUUCUUCUUUGCCCCCUCUCUUGUUUUGUUAUAGAGGUAUGUUUGACUAAAUCGUUCGAUCAUUCUUGCUGGUGAUCUUUUUCUUGAGGGGAACUCAGAAACUGACCUUUCUUCUUCCUUUCAAUUUUUCUGGUCUUCAAAUUCCGACGACUAUUAUCCACUUCUCAUUCUACGAGUACUUUUGGAUUUUAGGCGACCCAUCAAUAGUUGUCCUUGGUUUUGCUCCCCAUCGCAAUUGUGAAUAAAGGGCUCAGUACACGAGACAAAUCGGCAAAAUAUUUAAUAGAACCUGUAUCAAAGAUGACACGUUUUCUACACAGUAAUCGCCAAUUCACAUUCCAGAAGGAAUCUACCACUUGAAAUACUAGUUCAGAAACUGACAAAAAUAGAGCUACAAGCCUACAACUCUCUUGCUUUCCUUCAUCGCCCGCGCACUCACCUCAUAUCCACACCCACAACAAUGAACUUUUUUUAUCACUCUUCUUCUCUUUCUUCUACCAGUUCUUUUUCUAUUAAACUGGAGAAGAAGUUCAUCAAGAAAGCUACCUCCGGGUUCAUUGCAAAUCCCCAUUAUAGGCCAAAGCCUUGGCCUGCUCCGAGCCACAAGGACAAAUGCAGGAGAAAGAUGGCUUCGAUAAAGAGUGAGGAAAUAUGGACCAAUCUUGAAGCUCAUUCUCUUGGGAAGACGGAUGGCGUACACUCAAUGGACAAGCAGCAAACAAUCUUGUAUUCUGCGGAGACAGCAGCAAGAUUGCCAACAAGCAAACAUCAUCCAUCCGCACGAUUCUGGGAGACUGCAAUCUAUUGGAAGUCAGUGGCCAAGAUCACAGACACGUGAGAGACUCUCUGAUGUCGUUCUUGUGACCAGAAUCCCUGAAGCAGUACGUGGGGAAAAUGGAUGAAGAAAUCAGAAAGCACAUCGAAUUGCACUGGCAGCGCAUGGAAAGAGCUGUGGUAUGUCAAUAUUCUGUAAAACUCCCACUGUUGCCUUGAUCUGUUUGAGAUAUAUCCAAUACAUAACAAGUUUAAGAUACAUAUGGCGUAUGCACUCAUUCUCUCAUAUAACUGGUGUUCACACUUGUAUGGCCUCCGCAUAUAUCGACUAAGAGAAUGAAUGCAUAGAUUAAAAGUGCAAAUAAUCUCUUCAAUAAACAAAAGAAGAGUAAAUGACACUAGUGUUUUGAUUUUUCCUAUAGGCAUGGCCCCUGAUGAAAAACCUUACAUUCAACGUUAUAAGCUCUCUUAUCUUCGGUGUUGAGGAAACAUCUGAAAGAGAGAAUUCUUGCAAAAUUUUCAAGAAAUGAUAGAGGCAAUGUGGUCGAUACCAGUAAAGCUGCCAUUCACACACUACACUAGGAGCCUCUGUGCAAGCUCUAGGGUCCAAGAUCUGUUGAAGGAGCUUGUAGCCUUGUACAGGAGAAGAAAGCAAAAAUAGAGCAGCGCAUUGCCACUCUUUAUCAAGACUUGAUCACGUGCCUGUUAAGUAGGCAUGAUGAAGAAAAUAAACAAGUUGUGACUGACAAGGAAAUUUUGCACAAUAUCAUGCUAAUCAUGGUUGCAGGACAUGAUACCUGUUCUGAUGACUUUUAUGCUGCGUCUUCUAUCAAAGAAUCCCUCUGUUUAAAAAGCUGUUCUUCAAAGUACACAUCCUCUAUUUCCGGCAUCUUUUUAGAUUUGCCGAAUCUGCAUAGGGAUUCCUGCAGCCCAAAAAGGAAGGAAAACAAAACUAAAAGAUGAAUUUGUUAAUUAAUGAAUCUAUUUUGCUGAUGGAAAAUGGAUGACUUGCCAAAUGUAAGAAAAGUCAAUACACAAAUUAUUCGAAGUUUCCGAAGUCAGAUGUCAACUUUAAUAACAAAGCUCAAAAGCAUGUUCUUCCCCCUUAUUGCAAUUCAUAAGCCUCUCUUGCUUUUGCAGAACAAGAAGAGAUAGCAAAAAGCAAGACUUCGAGGAUGGUUCCACCUGUUUUUGCUAGCUUCAGGAUAGCCUUCAAGGAUACCUCAUUCCUAAAGGCUGGCAAGUAAGGAUGCUUGUAACUUUUCCUAUCUCUUCAAAUACUUGCAUUAUCUGCUAUUUAUUCUCUCUAUCUGUGAAACCAGUCGCUUAAUAUACCUUUGGAACUUAACAUGUGAUUUAGAUCUUCUAGGCAUCAAGCAUGACACACAUGAUGAGAGCAUAUUCCUGGAGCCAUCAAAGUUUGAUACUGCUAAAUUUGAAAACCAGAAGAUAGUACCACCCUACAGCUUUAUUGCUUUUGGAGGAGGGCCUUGCAUAUGCCCAGGAAACGAAUUUGCGAGGAUUGAAAUCUUUGCUACAAUCCAUUAUUUGGUCACUCAGUACUCUUGGGAGUUAUGUUCAGAUGAUCAUUACAUGAGGGACCCAUGCCAGUACCUACUCAAGGACUACUGCUUUGGAUUGUGCCUAAGAAACAGAAAUGAUCUUUCCUUGACCAUCCAGGACUUCAACUAUGCCAGCUUUUCAGGACUUAGCUACAUCAAACAUCCCCAUUAGUGGAUAAAAGUUGAAACGCCAUUAACCCAAGAAAGAAGCCAGUGCUUUUAGAAACUCUUCUGGAUAACAUAACAAAGUGUAUUCUGCCAAUGGUGUAUGCUUUCAUUUUAUAUGAAGCUAUAUGCAUGUCAUCAUUACAAAUUUAAAAUUGAGCUUGACUGCCCAGUAUUCAUGCAAUUUUCCUUAUCUUAGCCCCUCCAGAAACUAUCAACGCUUGCUAUAUUAAUAAAACCAAAUGCUGUUUGAACAGAAAAAGGCCUAAUUUUUCUUUUGCUCUUCCAAUUUCUUUGGGUUGGUUUGAAUCUGAUUUAAUUUUUGUGUUUUUCCCUUCUUUCUUGCUUUUUACCUAACAAACCAUGAUAUUUCAACAAACAGUGAUGACAAAGCAUCAAAUUAUGACAAGGAGAUUCAUUUAUAUUGAUUGAAUCAUGCAAUAGUGAAGGUAAAAUUAUUUAUAUUAGUUGAAAGGUGAUCAUUCUUGACAUGGAGUGACAGCAAAAUACUUUCGUACUUUCUCUUUGUAAAGUGAAUAUUGUUUUACUCUUUUAUUUGAAAUCUAACAUGUAGAAAGUAAUUAACUAAGCUAAAUAAUAUAGAGUAAUUUGAGAAAUGGCAAUAUCUAUCCGAAUUCCGACAUGUCAACACAUUGAACUUUGAUGUAAUUAGAUAUAUCUGUGCACGUCAUACUCUAGUAUUCCAUUGAAUUACACCAUAAAUGCUUGAGUAUAUAUUUUGAUACUCAACCCAGUGUGCUUGCUGGUAGUCAAUAUUCACAAAGUUAAAUAAGAGAAUUACAGUGCAGAAAAUCAGCACAUCUUUGGCAGAUUCAACUUAGAAAUAAUUAAGAGGCAAAGGACCUAUAGGUUCUUAAGUCUUUGCAGAACUAGCGAAGAGCUCAAAAAUGCCAAGGCAGGCGAUUGGGAUGCAUGAGAUUCUGCAAAACCUUGAGAAGUGCAAAAGACAGGGGACAGCAGAGACAAAUGAUCAAUGCAAUCAACAGGCACAAAUGAUCAAUGCAAUCAUGCGAUAUGAACUUGAACAGAAAAUUGCCCAAGAGCUCAUUAUGUCAGGGCAAGCUGGAAGAGGCUUACCCUGAAGUGGAUUUACCCAAUCUUUCAUCUUUACAUCAUCUGUGAUCAUCGACCAUCGACUCAAAAACAUCUAACAGUUGAUCCAGUCCCUCCGGACUGCCCCCAACCGCCUUCAUUGCGUAGAUGGCCCUCUCGAGAGUGGACAAACAUCCAGCCUUAGGCUGCUAACUUCUCUGGACAAGCUCAUCACCUCCAAAUCCAACUUCAGAUGAGGCGACGGCUUCAACCAAGGAUUCUCGCUGUACAUUCUCUUCGCCUUCAUCCACGUGCCGUCCAGCACGAUCAAGUUCCUGACUUUGAACUCGGCUGCCUUGAGUUCAUCAAUGCUGAGCGCAUUCUUGGUCGGAAACAGAAGUACGAACCCGCGCGGCACCUCAAGUACGAAUUCCACAGAUUCUUCAAGCUCCAAGCUCGAAUUCGAUACAAGGUUUUGCGAUUUCCUAAUCACAAAUCCAUUCGACAGAACGUAUCGAGGCCCGGAGAUCGGAUUCGGGCGCAGAGACACGUGCGCGCCGGCUUGGAACAGGACGGGCAGACGUGCCGCAUCGGAUUGGUGGAGCGAGCCGUUUCCGACAUUUUUGCGGAGCCGCGGCGGGCGGUGGCGGCGAUCCGGCUGGGGAAGGAGGGAGCUUGAGGAGGAGGAGGGUGGCCGGGGACGCGUAUCGAAACGGGCUCGGAUUCAGGUUCGGGAACGGGUUCGCGAAUCGGAUUCGGGUUGUGAAAUGGACCCGCAUUUCCCCAGAAAUUGGGAGAUGAUUUUUGGGAAUCUUGAGAGAAACGGUAGGGGCCAGAGCGGGCAGUGGCGCUGUUUGGCCAAAACGGUCGAGCAAAUGGUUUUGAAUUUACUAAUGAGCGUGCCAGCGGCGGCCUCUAUGAUUCAAAUCCGAAAAAUAGUGUGCAUAGGCCAAUCGAUGACUGCCGCCAUCAGGUGAGGCUGAAUAUCAUGGCGGCGACCAAGUGGUGGAGAUUGUUCUCGUGGGUUUAUCAUGCUAUGAGACGGCAACCAUUGUAGCAAUGGUCGAAAUCAGGAUGAUGAAUGACCGAAAUCAUGCAUCUAGACACAGUAAGUAUCCACUUAGAUCAAAUGGUCAACAAGUUAACAAUUGAGGCCUUGAAGAUUUUAGCAGAGGAAGUUGAUAUGUUCUUUAGAUCCUUGGACGGCGGUUGCAUUUGCGCUUCAGAUUGUAAUAGCAGCCUCAGGGUUCCUCCUUUCGAAGUCUUCUGAGUAUGUAUCACUUAGACAUCCUAAGCUUCAUAUCAGCUGCUAAUAAUGCUGCGAAACUUCACAUAAAAUUGCCUUCUUGGAAUUUGCAUGAGUAGUGUCCAAUUUCAACCUAGUGAGGAACUUUUUGGCCAAAAAAAAAAAGAAAAAAUAAUUGGUUGAUGUUUCAAAUUAACCAAAGGACGAUGGAUCUAAAUAUCUAAGAAACUAAAGGACUAGCAAAGUCUACUUCCUGUUCGACUUAGAACUGAAAGGAAAAUUUAUAAAAUUUAUUAUUAUGAUUGAUCUUUCCAAAAUGUUGCCUCCUAAAGAAAAGGGAGAAUUUUGGGCGAUACCGCGUUUAAUUUGUUUGUGUUUAGAAAUGAUUUCGAACAUGAUAUUGCAUAAACUUGUUGAUUGAAAAUGUUGUGCCACACACGUUACUACUUGCUCUUUUGGAUCAAACCAACUUGACAUGGAUUGAACUGUUUCAACAUUAAACUAUUCAAAAUAUUUGAUCUGCUUACUGAUUUUAUCAUAUUUGGAAACACGGGCGGGCAAGUUUUCUUUUUGCCCUUUGUUGUCAAAAGAAGAAGAAAGAAUUGCAUAGCUAUCACCUCUAUUUUGACAAAUAUAGUAGCUUCCCAUGUCUGGGAUAAGACGAUGAAACUCGCAAGGGUUCAUCCUAAGUCGGCUUGUGCUUCGUACAAUGUCUUGUAACCGACUUGUUAGCUUAGUACCCCGAUUACCUUAUACUCCUUUUCUUCAAUUAUUAUUUUAAUACACAGAGAGAGGGCCAAUGCUGAGGUCUUGAUGAGCACCGACUACCCUUGAGCAACCACUUCAACACUUCCUGGAAGAGAGAGGAAACACACCUCCUUCUCUUCAUUUCCAUUUUCCUAUUAUUUUGUUUUUUUUUUUUUUGUGGUCUUUGCCUUUUAUUUUUUUAAAAUUUUUGCCUUUUUUUUUAUAUGUCACAUUAGCGCCAUGCAUUCUCAAAAUUUUUAGAAAUGUCAUAUCUCCACUUUCCAUCACUUAAAUUGAACGCAUCUAAUAACUUGAUUGCUUUAAUUAAAUUAGUUUACAACUUCAUAUUACUUUUAUCAUAAGUUCUAGAACUUAGGUGCCCAUAUUAAAAGAAAUGAAAGAAACGUCGAAGAUAGAGAGAGACAAGGGGCUGGUCUUGUGUCCGGUUCAUUCCGGGUCAGCAAGUCGAUAAUGUCACUAGCCAUGAAUUAUGGAGGAACUUGAUUUCAUUAACAGAGAAAAGCUGAAGGACAUAUUUCCUUUUUUCCCCCGAGAAUGACAGCACGUGAAUUCGGAGGAAGCUCCUAGAGGCACGGUCUGUCCUUAAGCCACACGUUAGAUAUAUUAUUGGUAAAUGGUAAUGAACAUCAUAGUUUCUUAUGGAAUGAUCCUCGGCAUCCUCAUGGGGUGUUGUUUGGAUGUUUAUCCCAAAAAACUAAUUUAUGAUGUUGCACUGGGCCUGAACUCUCUAGUUGCUGGUGUCAUUUGUAGAGAUGAGUGGGUUUGUCCUCCAGCAGGAUCAAAAUUGUUUGUGCAUAUUCAAGCAGCCAUAUGUGGAACGAUCUUUCUCCUGCUCUGCUUUUGAGGGUAGAGCAAUUUUCAAAGGAAAUUCCUCUGGAUGCUUCACCCAGGCAGAUGCUAGGAAGUGGGUAAGGGAUAAAAUGCAGAAGAUCUAAUCCAAGUUUGCAUAAAUUCAGCGUUGUAGCUUGGCUUGCUAUCUUGAACAGGCUGCAAACCUUGGAUGGGAUAAAAAGGGGGUCCUCCAUUGAUGACAAAUGUGUCUUAUGCUAUUCUUCCCAAGUCUAGGAAACCUUUGUUUUUUAGGGUGCCUUCUCAAAGGAUGGAGAUCUCUAAUGGGUUUGGUUAAAGUUUGUUGGAACGUUAAUAAUUGGGAUAGAAUGAGUUCUUUAGAGCUUGUAGAGGGAGGUCUUUGACUAAAAUCGUAUUGAAACUCAUUUGGAAUGGUGCCAUCUACUCUAUUUUGGGGAUAGGAAUGGAGUUUUUCACAAUCGUGCUGCUCCUCCGUCUGAUGGAGCUGUUAAAGUGGCGGUCUUUGGUGUGAGACUCCGCAUCAAGCUGUGGUAGGAAACAAAGAGUCUUUCGAAUGAUGCAGAGAAAGCUCUGUAUAUGAUAUUUUGGAUUGUUUGUUAAGUCUGGGCGUUUUCUGUUGUUCUUUCUAUACGCUUCAUAUACUAACCCGAAAAAAAGAGCUAACGGAAUUAAUUGCAAGUUGGAGGAUUUCAUAGCACAAAAAUGAUAAAGCAAGACCGUAUCUCAAUAUUGAGAUAUGGUUUUUUUUUUUUUAACCGACCAAAAAACAAAAGACCGUAUCUCAAUAUAAGAUUUGCAUUUACGGGAUUGGUUCUUAUUUUCUUUUUAUGGUUUCCAGUGCCACUCACCACGUGCAUCUUUCCAUGGAGGUUGGACCUGGCGGCUAGUUCCUUGAUGUUGGUCCGGUCCUAUAAUCCGAAAAGUCCUUUCCUGACUGCCAUUGACUCUGUUUUUCCAUUUCAUAAAAAUGCCCGACUUUUGAUCUUUCUCGAGUACCCCAAAAGCCUGACAAAUCCAUAAACUCCUGAAAAUUUAAACUGGCAACCUCCUGAAAUUCCUGACGCUAAUCCCUUCCGUGGUCCAGAUUGCCAGAGCAGCUUUGGUCCUUCCUUUUCAUCUAUGUUUGCUACUUUGGAAUUUCCAAUUUCGUCGGUUCUUGUCUAUAUCUGCUAUUUACCCACUCUGAGGGAUCCUCAGGUGGUUCUGCUUACUGGGUGAUAUUUCUUUCGUUUUUUUUUUUCGGUUGGAUGGUUACUAAGUGAUUGGGAAAGGGUUUAGUAUGGUUUCUUUUUUAUACAUGCAGAUCUUGGCUGACUUCAUUCUUUUCUAGUUAGCUCGAAGUUGUCUCCUCUCUCGUAGCUCAGAAUAAGUGAUGCCUAGAGAGGUUGAUCCAUUUCGGAGGCAUGUGGAGGUUGUGGCGAACAAGUGGAAGUGUAAGUUUUGUGGCAAGGAUUUUGGUGGAAGUGCUACAGGGAUCAGGGCACACCUCGUGGGGGCUCUGGGCUAUGGUAUUAAACUAUGCGAGAGAGUUGAUGAGCAUGUGGGAUCCCAAGCUUUGAUAUUGAUGAAAGGUAAAAGUGUGGCGGAUGCAACCAACAGGGUAUGGGCCAAAUUGUAGUCCUUGGUAGUGACCAUGCUUCGAGUCCCCAUAGUAUGCAGGACUUGAAUCGAAACGUCCCAGAGCAACCAUCUUGCCAUUGGCAGAAUGGAAGUGUUGCUGGUGCAGCUUCGUAGAUUGUCAGCAUCAAGAGACCUUGUGUCUCGUUGGCAUGCCAGUGGGUGAUGCAGAAUUGCCCCCGCAAGGGCCGCAACCCAAUGGGUCAAUUCAACGCUUGAAUGAUGAACAUGGAAACGAAAAAACUUCAUCUCUCCAGCAACCUGCAACCGAUCCCUUGGCUUCGAUUUUUCUUGAUCCAAAGUUAACUACCAGAGCUUUUUGAUCAGUUUAUUGAUCUGGAGACGAGGUAUGAACAACGGAAUAGUAGAGGGCCAUCACCAUUGCAAAGUCAUCGAUCCCUUAAUAACAGCGUGACAAAUGGGUUGCAUCAAGUCAACUAGACCUGGUGGUGCUGCGCCUGGUCCCCGUCUCAGUGACACAAGUACAAUUGGCACUCCCCAGCAUCCCAAUCAAACUCAUUUGGGCUUUGAUGAACAAUGGAGAGGUGAAAGCGCUCCAUGUCCGCAAAUAUCUUCAGCAGAGUGGGUGUCUUGUCUUCUCGAUAUGCCCUAUCAGCCACAGCAUUCCAUUCCAUCUUGUUAUUCUGAGGAAAUGCCAAUGAAUGACCUGCAGAAUUGAACGGGUGCAUCGUCGUCACAAAAUGAUCAAUCCCUUGACGUUCAAAUUGUUUGCAACACUGCAAUUAAAUCCCUAUUGCCGAAGUAGUUCCGCUGUCCAAUGCUACAAGUGUAACCAAUGCCGUUGAGCAUUUUAGUCAACAUCCACUUCUUAUAUGUGAUGAAGAAUGUGAAAAUGAGAGUAGUUCCUUUCCCUCACAAGCUUCAAUGGACAUAUCUCCGCCAAGUGUAUUACAGCCUUUCACUGGCCCUCAUUCUUUUGAGAAACUGGACGUAGAUUCCCAAGUUCCACAGGGCGGAACUAAGAAGGCCCAUUGUCAUUACAAGGUAUGCCUUGAAGUGAGCCUUCUCUUCUCUUUUCUACUGUCUCCUAUUUAACAUCUCCCACGUUUUCCUAAUUAUAGGUGUAUCCUUGAAUGUUUCAUAUGUGCACUUUCUCUUAUUUUUUAAUGAUGAUAUUAUAUGAGAAUAUCAAACAGACGUAGAUGUUAGUUUCAGUGUAGAUGUUUUGUGGGAUUAAGUCUAGAUUUUGACUCUACUUACGCUUGUGGCUNNNNNNNNNNNNNNNNNNNNNNNNNNNNNNNNNNNNNNNNNNNNNNNNNNNNNNNNNNNNNNNNNNNNNNNNNNNNNNNNNNNNNNNNNNNNNNNNNNNNNNNNNNNNNNNNNNNNNNNNNNNNNNNNNNNNNNNNNNNNNNNNNNNNNNNNNNNNNNNNNNNNNNNNNNNNNNNNNNNNNNNNNNNUUGAUUACAUGUUUCCCACAAGCUCCGAUGGACAUAUCUGUGAGUAGUCCAUCAUCACCGCAAGGUACAUGUUAAUUCAUCUAAACUGAUCCUUAUGUAUCCUGAUGUUACUUAAUUAGGGAGAAGCAUGAAUGCUUACAUUAGGAUCUAACACGUAGAAUUCUUGAUUCACAAUCAGCUAUUUAUAGAGUCAUCCAAACGCUGGCAACUUCGAAAAUAAUGGAGCCUUGAAAAGAAAGGUAGAACGACUCUACAAUAGAGAAGCUGACAUAAAGAAUGAUAUAGAAUUUGCUGCAUCUCUAUCUCUGAAGAAGCGGAGAAUAGAAGUUGUGAAUUGGUUGACAAACGUGGAAACGCAGAGGAAAAAUUUCCAAAGUCUUAACCAGCGAGCGCAGAAAAUUUGCGACCACAAUAACAGGUGGAUAUGUUGAUGGAAGAAGCGGUAGGCCUUAUCAUAAAAAGCAAAUUUCCAGAAGGACCGUUUGAGGUGGGAGAUGCCAAAGUCAAUAUAUUAUUAGAACGAAAGUUGCAGGGAGGAAAGGCAUUUGACACAUACUAAGAAGAUCUUGCGGUAACUAAUAGAGGAUCGCAUAUCAUGAUCAGGCAUUUACGGUAUGGGGGGUGUCGGGAAAACAACCAUUAUGGUGCACAUACAUAAUAGGCUCCUAGAAAAAGAAAAUCAUAUUAAUGCAUUGUGGAUUGCUGUGUCACAAGAUCUCAACAUACAUAAGUUGUAAGGUGACAUUCAGCUAAUAUAUUCAAAAAAAAUUUCAUGCAUGGGUGUUAAUUUGGAUAAUGCUAACUAUUUAUAAAACAUGAAAAUAUAUAUNNNNNNNNNNNNNNNNNNNNNNNNNNNNNNNNNNNNNNNNNNNNNNNNNNNNNNNNNNNNNNNNNNNNNNNNNNNNNNNNNNNNNNNNNNNNNNNNNNNNCUCGUGUUUUUGGGUCAUUAAAAAAAAUAAAAAUCUUUCUUUAGCAACUUCUCAAAUUGGUAAAUUGUUGAACGGAUGAUAUUAAGGAGCAAAUCAUUAAAAUGUGGGGGCCAUAAUACAUAUGCCUAAUGUGGCGCUACGCGUCAACUUGCUCUAUCUAUUUGGAGAAUAAAUUCGGCUUUCGACGAUAAAUUUUUUCCUCGAGUUGCGCAUGCAUGUCCAGGAACAAAUGGGAGAAGAGAGAUACAUCGUCCAACUAAUGCUAGAAAUAAGAAAGGAUUGAUGUGGUAAAUGACUUUACAAAAUAAUAUGGUAAAUUCUAAGUAUUUAUUUGAGUCAAUAUAUAUUUGAAAACUCAAUAGUAUCUCGUCACUUCAUGUUAUAUAUCAUUUAAUAUGUCAAAUCUCGAACAUUGUACUAAUAAAAUCACUCUAAAACUCAAUUAGACCAGCUCCAAGUGAGCACCUCAAAGGUAAGAACUUGAGUUCACUUAUGAUUAUCAAGGCCCAUUGGUAAUAAAUAAAUAAAUAAAUAAAGGAAAAGGGUGAGAAAUAUCAUGUGGUGUCGCCGGCGCUGACGUGGAUAAAAUUUAUAAUUUUUUAAUAAUUUUUCAAUUGUUUUUCUUUUAUCAUUCUCCGUACCCCUUGGCUAAUGAGGUUGUCGGCUGACCAUCGUUGGCCAUAGGCCGGUCAGGGUGACGGCCCUUACGCCUUUGUCGACCACAGGUGAGCACGUCGGCCCCCCUAGAUCUAGGCGAGGGCCUAAACCCUCACUUGUUGGCCGAUGAGAGCCUUCGUGCCCUCAGCAGCCACAGGCGAGGACGUGAAGGCCUUUGUUCGUGGCGGGCAAGGACUGCAACACCAUAAGCGAGGCCGUUGUGGCCAUCACUUGGAUUUGGGCAAAGGCAUUGUGCCCUCGCUUGGAUUUGGGCGAGGGCCACCGUGCCCUCACCCACCACGAGCGAGUGCUACCACGGCCUCGUUUGCGGCUAACGAGGGCGUAGAAGCCUUGGCUAGCCAAUGGGCAAUGAUUUCAACCCUUGCCUAGGUUUGGGUGAAGGCCCACGUCCUUGUCGAGCGCAGUGGCCCUCACUAGUGGCUGUUAAUGGUGCGGGGACCCUUGCCUCGACCAGCCUGUGGCCGACGAUGGUUGGCUGGCGACCUUGUCGGCCAAGGGGCUAAGGAGAAAGAAUUUUUAUUUUUAUUUUUAGAAAAAGAGAAAAAAAAAAUGGAAAAAAAAAUAUUUAAAAAUUAUAAAAUUGGUGUACGUCAGCAUCGGCAAUUUCUAGCUUAAACUUGUUGGAUAUAUUGAAUUGGUAUCAAUAUGAAAAUGAUUAGAAUUAAAUUGAUCAAAUGAAAAGUUUAUGACUGAAUUGGUAUUAAUGCAAAAGGUUUAUCACUUUUUUUUGUUACUUUUCCCUCAAAAUAGGUCACUUGAAAUCUCAUUUGGUUUCGUCUCUAAAAGAAAUGAAAGUUAUGUGAGGUCGAAUGGCAUCCAUAUAAAUAGACACAAAUUGUUCAUUAUUUUGGUAAGAGGUUAUUGUUUAGAAAUGAAAAAGAAAAGGAUAAAAAGGUGAAAGCAUGAGGUGGCAACUUAAUAAGCCACAAGUCAACUCUCCAUGCACUAUAUUAAAAUGAGAUUUUAGUAGGUUAAUUGUUGAUAUAAAAAAUAAUUUGCAUAUUCACAAUUAGGCGCUGACAUGUGGAAGAAUUCAAUUACAAAAAUAAUUUCACAUACACACGUCACUUGUUCAUAGUAAGUGUGUAAUGGGGCUUUAAACACUACGUAUCUAAUAAUAAACAAUUAGCUUACUAGGUUAUUUGGUUAACUAUUUUUCUUUAUUUAGUUUAACACAAUAUUUCACUAUUAAUUAAUUAGACCAAAUAGAUCGCAUAUUCAGAUAUUCAAAAUUUUCAUGCACGGGGUUAAUUUGGAUAAUGUUAACUAUUUAUUAGAAUAUUGGAAAUAUAUUAUUUCGUAGAAGGUAAGCAGGAAAAAAAGAAAGAAAGCUAAAGAUACAUGUGGCGGAGUAAAAACAAUCGGAUCUUUAAGAAGGGAAUAAAUCAUUUUUAUUAUUUUAGUAAUAGGUUAAUAUGUAGAAUGGAAUAGAAAGGAUAUAAAAAAGCGAAAGCAUGCGAGGACAACAAUGUAGGGGGCAACAUGCCAAUUCUCGAUAAGGCCUCCAUCUCAUGGAUUCUCCUUCAUGUGGCACUGGAUUUUCUUAUUCAAGUGGUUAAAGAUGCGACAAAAGCUUUAGUUGAAAUAGUUUUUGGGAUUACGACCCAAAAGAAAAAAUUAGUUUUUGGGACAACGAGGGAUCUACCUAACACGGCAUCAGAAAUUCAGCAAAUUAAUAAUCUAAGCAGCAGCCGUGGAAAUUCGCUCAGUUUUUUUUUUUUUUUUUUUUUUGAACGGAACGAACAUAGUAUUAAGAUGAAAAGGCCUUACAUCCCGCGGCUAGAGCAUCCGCGCAUAAAUUCGCUCAGUUUACGUUGCAUAUUUGGCGAUUCUCUUUUGCAGGAGACAAUAGCUCGAGAUGCUAACGUGGGCAAGGGUUCAUGAUUGGAGUAGUCUGCAAUAAAAUAAAGCAUAUAUGGACCCUUCAACAGUAUUGUUGAUCAGGAUUCAAGACUUUGAACAAUGCCAACUCUCUCUCUCUCUCUCUCUCUCUCUCUCUCUCUCUCUCAUUAAAAAAUAAAGAAAUGACGAAGAAAAGACGGAGACAUUUCCUGCGCGCGUUCUUAGCGACUGUUGCGUUGUCUCUUAUGGCAAAAUUCCUUGUGACUCUUCACCAAAAGCUGUUCAUUCCCACGUGCAGCAGCAGGCCUGUGCCUUUUGUUUCUCUGGGAGUUUGCUGGAGUCCUGGACGCUGACCAGUGCUUCAGAAUCUCAAAAACAGCUUCUUAUUUCUACUUCUUGAUUUGCAUCUUUGCCACUUACAUGCAUCCGAAUCUUCUUUUUCGGCCCUAACUGGGAUGUUGCUUCGUCUUCAUCUUUGCCAUUUUCCAUUUGUAAAAAUUAAGGAUAAACUCUCCAACUGUCCUUAUUUAACCGGAUCAAAUAUAUGCGCAUCGGACAAGUAAAUUUGAUGGAUUUUAUGUGAAACGAAUUCUGUCGGGUUGAAUGAUCCGGAUGUAAUUGGGUGGACGUAGGUGUGAGAUGCAAUAACCUUCUGUGAAUUUUCUGAUGGCAAACAUAUACACGUGCUUUGAUUUUCUUUUUAAAGUCGAGAUUAUGCUUCAUCGUAUUUUACAAAUCAUUUUUCUAUGCAUGAAAGUUGCUCCGUGUUUGGGUCAUCUACAUAAAUUAAAGAUCUAGGCUUGAUCAGUUUAUGAGGAUUUAUAGAAUGUUCCAUGAUCUUCCAAGUAAUCGGGUUUUGUGCUUAUGUCUUUGGGUAAAAAAACGGUCUUUCUUCCGCAACUUCUCAAAUUGGUAAAUUGGUAAAGGGAUGAAAUUAAGGAGAAUAGCCUUAAAGUAUGGGAGAAAAAAAAAGAAUUGUACUGUCCAUGUUAUUGACAUCAUAAUCUUUAAAAAUCAAAACUAUUUAGGGUACGUAACUGAAAUGAUAUCUGUACCUUGCGAAGGGUAACUUACAUGCUCUUUGGUGGUUAUAUUGUUUGUUUCCAUGUGUUUGUAUUUUUCUCCAUGACAUUAUUCAUUUGUUCUCUUCCUUAACAAACAGAACAUCACAGUAGUGGAUACAUUAGAAUGACACAAAAUUUUGGAUAGAAGAUAAAAGGGGAAAAUGAGUACUUUUUUUUUUAUCGGAAUAUUUUUAAAACAAUGCAAUAAAUUCUAACUGAUUCUUUUAGUUAAUUGAUGUAUUUCAAUGUUCAAUGAGAUUCUGUCACAUCAUUUUACAAAUCAUUUUAGUGUAUUAAAUCUCUAAUAUUAUACUAAAUAAAGCACUCUAAAUUCAACUACACCAACUAUAAGGGAGCACUCAUCGAAUUAACAAGAACUCGAGUUCACUAAUGACUAUUAAGGCGCAUUGGUGAAAAGGAAAAGAAAAAGGCAAAGGAAGGCAAAGGGGGAAAAAAAGAGGGUUGGGGGCAGGGGUCUCAUCGUCUCAUUAUAUUUCUCUGAAAGAAACAGUACGGAGAGAGAUCGAGAAAUACAGAGAGAGGGGAAGAGCGACGACAGUGGAUUGCAGCCUGUCCAAAGGGAAUCACCAUUUUCGAACCCUAGAAAACAGAUUUUAGCUCUAUUUCUCACAAAUUUUGUAGUUUUGUUUUAAAGUUAACAUCUGAAUCUCUUGUGGAUUUUGCUUCGCCAGCAACGAUUCGGUCAAAAUCAAACGAUAUUUUGUUUUAAAAUUAAUUCUGACAUUGAUUUUUUUUUCUUUAGAGUAGAUUGGGUCUUUCUCAUGUAAAAAAUAGCAAGUUAUACUUGGGUCUGUCCGUAGCUUUUCUUAAUAUUAAUCCAAUUUAAUGGAAAUUAGUAGAUGAUAAAUUUGUCACAAAUUCACAAGUUUUGGGUUUUUGGUGUAAAAAUUGGUUUGAGAUAAAUUUGUUAUAUGCGUAUUAAUUUGGAAUAUUUCCUAAUAUUAACAUUAUUAGUGGUUCUUUUAGUUUAUAGAUAGAAAAUUCGGUCGCCACUUUUCAAGUCAUUUUAAUGUAUCAAAUCUCACUCUAAAUACUAUUGAGGCACGUUAUUAAGGGGUCUAAUCGUCUCAUUUGAUAGGGAAUUUGCGGAAGAGAACAGUGCUGGUCAUGUGAGCUUUACAAAUGGUGAUGUGGCUUCUUAUAAAACGUUUUAUACAAAAUCAGGAUGUUCUGUAAGAAGUGACGUGGCUUCUCAUAUUGGGCAAGACAGGAGGCCUUUAUAAGGGGUGAAUGGAAGCCUUUAUAAGGGGUGAAUGGAAGCGAAAGUGCUUCCUUAAAGGGUAUUUUCGGAAGGAAGAGUGCUCGUGCAGCUGGAGGGAGAGACAUGUGAACUUGGAGGCCAAAGUGCUUCCAAAAAGGGCAUUUUCGGAAGAAAAAGUGCUGGAAAUAGUGAUGUUGGCUUCUUAUUAAACGUUUUAUACGAAGUCAGAACUUUUCUGUACCGACAAAAAAAGAAGAAGAAGAAAAGCUCUGUAAGAAAUGACGUGGCCUGACUCCGUCAGGAACGUUUAAAUGUUUUAUACGAAGUCAGGAAAGUUCUGUAAGAAGUGACGUGGCUUCUUAUAUAUAAACCCCAACAGCUUCGUAAACCCGAGAAAAUAUUGGGUGGUCCGGGACCACCACGUCAGCGUGGUCCCCGGCCACUCACGAGGUGCCAUGUGGAGGGGUGGGCCCCACUUGGUGUCCUCUUCGCUUUUUCUCUUGCUCCUCGACGCAGUGCUCCUCUCUCUCCUCUCUCUCUCCCAAAUAACUCUCGGCUGAUGGCUCGGCUCGGCUCGGUUGGCAGAAGAAAGCACGGGUCAAUGGAUAAUAAAUGCGCAGCCCUCCCGCUUAAAAUUUCUCUCUCCUCACUUGAAUAUUUUCUGGGCUCUCUCUCUCCUCGCGGACGAGCUGCACUUCCUCUGUUUCCUUCUCAGCGUAUCCCACCCCCUCCGCCUCCGCCUCCCCAAAAAGCCUCGCCGGUCCGUCGCCUCCUCCAAGAGCCCCGCCAAUCGCAGCUGGUUCCCGAUCCCCUUUGCUUCCGACUGUUUCCAACGCCGAGAUUGAGCGUAAGGUUUGUGCUCGCCUGGGUCUCUAGGCAACUUCUGGGCCUCCCUCCCUCCGGCGAACUCGUCAUCAACUCCGACUCCGAGCCGCCGUCGCCGCCGCCGAUGGCGUCCUCCGUCUCUGGCAUCUACUCGUCCUUCCCCUCCCUCAGGCCGAAGACACCGCCAGCCUCCGCCGCGAAGUCGUCGGCCUUCGGCAGGAGGGAGGCGGCCUCGGUCUCGUUCCCGAGCGGCGCCAGGCUCCCCGCCGUCGACCGGGUGCUGUCCCUGUCCGACGAACUCCCUCUCUCUCUCCACCCUCCCCCUUUCCGAUUGGCGAACCACCGCGAGCAGCCGACGAACCAGGAAGCGAACCUAAUAUUUUCUCCCUUCUCCGACGCUCGAUGCCCUCUCUGCCCUCUACCCCCGACGCUCGACGGCCGAUUUAGCUCGCCUCUCCCACGACCUCCACGCUUUUGGCGGUUCUUCCCCCGCGGUUCGGUGAGGUCUCGGGUAUGCCCUCGUGCCGCGUCUCUUCUUCCUUGCUCAGCAACACUGGACUGCCUCUCUCUCUCUGAGUGUGUCUCUCUGUGCAUUCUUUCAUCCAUGAGGCAAGCAUUUCGACUAGGGUUCAGGGGUUUCGCCACCCCCUUCUUUGAGGUUCGUCCGGGUACCUCUCAUUUUUGCGUGAACCCAGCGUGAAUUUUAUAGUCUUUCUUUCCAUAUGACUACAAGCGACUGCUAAGCGACAAUGCGACGACAGUUUCGAAUCCUGGGUUUCGCUCUGUGAUGCUAAGCGUUGCUUUGGUUCCUUAAAAAGUUGCUGACUUUUUCGCAUGUUGUAGCUUCUUGGUUGCUCCGAGAUUUUGGGUUGGUCGUUCUAUCGUCUUGCUCGGAGCCAGCGAAAUGUUGUCCAAAAGGGGCAUGUCGAAUUCGUCGACACCUGAGUCGGCGGCGAUUUCUGAGGACAGGGAAGAAAUCGAAAGGAUUGGUGGCUUCAGUUCCUAGUUCUACCAAAAGUCAUGUCAAGGUAUUGUCUUUUAAUCGAACCUAUCGUUCCACCUGUGUUUUGGGGACUUGACCAUUCAGCAUUCAUUUUUUCUGCAGAAAAAUUCUGGUGCAAGCAUUGGUGAAGUCGUGUUGCCUAAUAAUGACCCGGCCAAAAUUGAGGCAAUGACAUUUCACGAAUUGAGAGCUACAUUGAGGUGGGGAUGAAUUGUUUUAGUUGCAAGCGUGUGAUAGUCGUUAUAGCGUUUCCUGCGCAACCUUUACAGUAAGCAAAACUCAAGUUUUUCUAUUUGAUGCUUGCAAAGGAGAUUAUUGAGCAGGAAGUGAAUAUUAUUGAUGGAAAACCAUGAGGUCUUGAGAAUUUGCCUUCAACAAAGAGCAAGGUCUUGAGAAUCUGCUUCGUUCGGGUCAAGAUGGCGAGCUCCACAGCCGCACAAGUCCACGGUCUUGUGCUGUAUGGUCCGGGCUUGUAGCUCUGUCGACGGCAAAAGCAAGGUUUACAGAGAACUCGGUCCGUCUCCCUCGCCUAAUUCCAUUAUGUUGUCUUUCUCGAAUGCUUUCAUGUGGGUAGUUCUUCUUUUGGUUAGAUUAAGAUGGAGUGCUCGGUUCAUUUGCAAAUGCGCAAGAUGAUAGAUGGUUCUUGCUUUUUUGAGAAGUUCUUUGACAUGUUGUUUUAGACUGCUUGCGAAGAAAUCCAGACCGAUUUGUGGUAAAAUGAAAAAGAAAGAGUGAACUUUUCCAGAUUUUAUUGGUCAUACAAUCAUGUCUUUCGUGUAAAAUUUGAAGUCAGUAAGUAUCUUUUGGGCCUGAAUCUUUCUCAUGAGGCCUCUUGCUUCACAUUAGGUGAACUCCCAUGUGUGAGUGGUUCUUGCUUUUUAAGUUAUCACCCUAGUGGAAAGAUUCUUCAUUUCUUGUUCCUCGGUGUUCCAAAUAUGCUUUGUUUCAGAGUUUGCUCUUCGGAAUUUCAAACCAGCGGUUCAUUUGAUAUCUAUGGUUGCCGUUGCAAGGAAGUUAUGUCAAACAUGUUGGAAAUAGAUGAGUUUUGCAAAAUGUGACUCCUGUAAGAGGACUUGAAGUCAAGUUUAAUUUUCUUGUACAAUCUGACAUGAAUUCUGAGAAAUGUAAGCAAAAGUGUUUCUGGGAUGUUGGUGGGGUAAAAAUCUUUGCAGUUCGGCUUUUAUGUAAAAUUUGCAUUUCUUUUUCUCCAGGGUUGUUUUCACUAAAAAGGAAGAUUGAAGAUGCAGUUCAACGCACUGAGAAGAUGGCUCCUACUGCACUGCAAAUUGAAGAAGCUAAAUGGAUUAAGCUUGAUGGACUGAUUCGAGAUUACAACCUUUGGGAUGAUCCUGAUAAAUCCUAUGAUGUUCUUGUGAAGUUGGCAGACAUGGCCAGAGCAGUCGAUGCCCUGAGGGAUUUAACUUACAAGGUGGUGUGGAAUGCCAUAUUCAUCUCACAGAAUAAGCUUUUCCGCCCAGUAGGUGUGGAUUAAGUUGGGCAAUUGUUGGGUCAAUGGUUUGCCCAUUAUAAGCUUGUCUUGACUCUUCUUCCGAGAUUAACUUGAUUCUUAAUGUGUUAAUGACUGUCAUAUCUAGUUUAACUGUAUCAAUUAAAGGAAGUGCAAUUGCUGGCUUUAGUUGACUUUUAUCUGCUGAAAUUUGCAGGCGGAAGAAGCAAAGCUGAUAACUCAACUGGUGGAGAUGGAUGCUAUUAAUUAUGCUCUUUUUGAGCAGGCAUACGCUUCGUCUUUGGAUAUGAGUAAGUUUUUGGACUGUUAUGAGAUGUUAAAGCUUCUUAAGGGACCAUAUGAUGUGAAUGGAGCGUCGAUGGUCAUCAAAGCUGAAUCCAAUGGCAAUUACCAUGAGGUUUGAUAAUCUAACUUCAUUUCUAGAAUAAUUAUGCAUGUGCAAAGAGAUGAUGUUUAUAUCACACUCUUCCGUUGUAAUAUACAUUGAUGUAGAAUAGAUGCAGAGUCUCUGGUUCCCGCUUCUUUAUAAUACUUACGCCAAAAUAUAGGAGUUUCAAAGAACUUGAGAAUGAAAAAACUGCAUAUAUAUGUACAUAUAAGGGUGGGACAUUAUUAGUGGAAUCUUGUUAGUAUAUAUGUAUGCUUGUGCGCAUCACCAUUUCAGUUACUUCUUAUUUACGAAUCUCUUUGCUUGAUGACUUAGAUGUCUUGAAAAUCAAUUGUGGGAUUUCUCCAGGGUUUAGUGGAUAUUUAAUUUAUUGUCUAGUAUCCUUCUUCCUGUGGGAGGUAUUUUGCAUGUCCCUCCCCUGAAUUCCAACUCAGAAGUAAACAUUAAGUGAUAAUGUGGUGGCUAUCAAAAGAAUAAUGAGAAAAAAGAAAAGUGAGAAUUUGAUCAGUAUGGAUAGUGGUUCGAUAUUAUUCUCCACUAUGAGGAUACUUAUGUUAUGAGGAUACUUCAUUUUGACAUCAGUAUGAACUAGGACAGGGAAUGAUAAGUUGCCAAUCUAUUUGCAUAUGAAAGAUGAAAUCUUGGAAAAUAGCGGACUGUAAUAUUCAUCUAUAAUGGGGAUAUAUUCCUUUUCCAUUAGCUAAUUCAAUGAAGUUCACUCAGUUUUGUUGACCCAAAAAAAAAAAAAGAAUCUUUUGGGCUUAAGCCUCUGCUGGUUCCAAUCUCUCUGUCUCUCAUGCAUUUGCUAAUCCAGUUAUGGGCUGAAAAACUACUGAGAAUGUACCAAAAAUGGGCUGAGAAGCAAGGUUAUUGAGGGAGGAUUGUAGAGAAGCGUCAGGCAACAAAUGGUGGAAUCACUUCUGCAACGGUUGAAUUUGAAUUUGAUUAUGCAUAUGGUUUUCUUCAAGGGGAGAGGGGUGUUCAUCGAAUGAUAAGUGGUUCAGAAACUGGAUCAACAAUUGAUGAGGUAGGUUUACAAUUAUCAUUUUUGUUUUGAUGAAACAUUGACUUUUGUAUAUUGCUAUUGGUUUUUGACUUCUUUUUAACAAUGAGCUCUGAAUGAUUUGUUUCUUCUCUUUCCAGAGAUUCAGAAGGCAAAAGUGGCAUCUUGUUAGUGCAUCAUUAAUAUCAAGAAACAAUUUAAAGUGUAUUAAAGACACGACAACAUGUAAAUGACCGUGUGCAAGGAAAAACACAUUGGAAUUGAAAGAUUGAUUGUUUCUGUGGCUCUUUCUUGAAAUCAAAGCAGCUAAAUAUGAACUUGUACUCAUGGCACCUUAUUGUAUAUAUUUGGGUAAAUUCUUUCUUGAUCUUAUCUUAAUUACACACUUAGAUAUUUGUGUGGCACCUAGAUGUCUACACGUAUCAUAGAGUCUAACAUUGGCUAAAAAAUAUAAGAUAUGCAACUUCAAAUGGUGUGGAUUAAUUUUGCACAUGAGCUUAAGGUUGAUUUAGUUCACUCAAAAACAUAGCCAAGGGAAUUGUUGCAUUUCAUGGGAUCCAACCAUUCAAGUUGUUUCUUUUUAUAGUUUAUCUGCUUCUUUUACAAGUGAAUUGAAGGUCGAGAAAAGCCUUUUCUGUGUAAUGUGUUUCUGUUCUGCUACAUCAUUGGCCCCUAAAUUCCUGUCAGUUCCUCAUUUUAGUACUCAAAAUUAUAUCGACAGCCUAGCAGCUGUCGAUAUAAUUCCUCUGUUCCGUGAUUCGGCCCCUGACCUAAAAAUUAGUGAGGAGGAUUUGCUAAUCUCGUGCCCAUCGUCAUCGCCUGAAGUAAAAGUCAUUGAAGGCCGGUCUGGAGUUGUUAUUCAGCAUGUUCCUACUGGUUUUGUUGUCCAAUCUUUGGGUAAUGAGUUGUCUAUUCCCUUAUUUGUUAGGGUUGACCUUCCAACUCAAAUUUGUUUACCAAUGAUUUCCGCAAUCUGGUUUUGACUUUACAAAGAAGCAAAUGCCUAUUCCUCAACACACGUUCAUGAUUGCCUGUCUAGUACGACAUUUUGUGAUUGAGAAAUAAGAUCUCAAAAUUUUUAUCCCAGGUGAAAGGAGCAUUUUUGCAAAUAAGAUUAAGGCCCUCAACCGGUUGAAGGCUAAACUUCUUAUCGCAGCCAGAGAUGUAGGAGUUCCAGGCAUAAAUGGCUUCAAGAAGGAAAAUGUGUUCGAUGUAUGGGGAGACAAGGUCCGAAGAUAUGUUCUUUCCCUCGCAAGCAUGUGAAAGAUGUAAGAAGUGGUGUUGAAAUGCCUGACCUGUAUUCUGUUUUGGACGGUAAUAUAGAACCUCUGAUUGGAGCUCAUAUCCAGAUGAGACUCUCAAAUGACAUGCCUCCACAGUAAAGCAGCUUUUCCCAAUUCGCUCUAUUAAUUUAUUUCUCUGCGUUGGUUCUUCAUCCCAAAGUUUUAUCCCUUGAAGUUUAUUUUUAUGUUAAAAACAAGACAAUUGUUCCUUUGUCAUACAUGUAUCUACGCCUGAAAUUUAUUUUGUUGACAAAACCAUAAGUUGGGAAAAAAGAAAGUGACCCUUCGGUAGGCAUUUUGACUGGGGGCACUGAUAGAUUUUAGCUAAAAAAUUGAAGGUAGUCCGAUCAAAUUCCCAUCACACGCGUGUAAACUACUCAAGAUCAAGACUAUUGUCAUGAACUAGGCAUAUGAAGUUACCAGUAUGUCCGGGUAGUCGAGUUUCUUUGUUGGUUCAUGAUCUUUAGUAAUUCUAACUGUCGGCAAUAAGUAAUUCUAAUUCCACCAAACAUUGCUCAAAGUUCGAUGAGUAUGUAUAAGAUGUGUGUUCACAGAAUUCGGAAUGAUGUAAUUAAGUUUACAUGUUGACAUCCCAAUGUUUGAUUUGGUGCGAGGAGCAGGCGUGCCAAUUAAACGCACGAGGUAGAUUCAUUUCUUGAUGCUACUGUUCCCUUUGAGCUUCAGCCUCUGUCUUCUCACUUGGUUUAUGAAGUCAGUGGGCAUGAUAAGUUCAUGUUAUGAGCAUGAAUAACUAAGAAAGAAGCAGUAAUAAGCAGUUCAGGAUUUAUGAAGAAGCAAUUGCAGUUCAUUGAUAUAGAUAAAAGUUUAAAGAUGGCAAAAACAUGUCGAUAGAUGAUGAUAAUAAUUAGCAGUUCAGGCUUUAUCCUGGCCUUUGUGAAGUUUGCUGGGACUUCCUGGUAUAACCAACAUAACAAUUCCAAGCAAAUAUCCCUUAUCAUGCAAAGACAAAUUCCAGGAGCCUUCGUAGUUGUCAAGGAAUCAAGCAAACAGUAAUACACUUGAGCAGCUGGAGGAUUCCAUAAAAUAAUGAAACUUGCUAAUUACAUUUGUCUAAAACAUUGCCGACAUUUUCACACCUAAUUAUGGGAACAUCAUCAUCUUCAGGUCUACCACGUUCAUGUACAAAAUUCAAGAGCCAAAAAUGACAUUGCUGAUACGUGCUCCUUUGAGGUUCUCUAACAACAAGACGCAAGCAAGGAUCCAUGAAGACUGAGCAGCAGACGGUUGUAGACAACCGUCUUUCCAGACUAACUUUUAAAUUAAAAAAAAAACAUCCACCAGAUAAUCAGAUUGAAUUGCGAACCAGAACGGUUGUACCUACAACUUGCACUCAGCAUUUCAGCAUUUCAGCAUUUUUCCCCUCGCCGGCUUUGGCAUCAGAAUGUAUGUUCAAAAACUUGCACAGAUUUUUUCGAAAGUGAUUUCAAUGUUCCAUCAUAACUCUUCCUCCAAAAGAUGCCUUGUAAAAUAAUCUAGAAAAACCCAGAUCACUCCACAGGGCCCAGACAAAGUAAAUACAGACAGCCCCUUCAUCUCUUCCUUCUUUUUUGCCCCCUUUUGCUAAGCAAAUUUCAUCAAAAAAACUUUCCCUUGCUAGUGGCUUCAACAUGAAUGACAAUGACAAUAAAAGCUCAAUACUUUUCAGCAAACAGCAUCUAGGAUGAUGCUGCCGGACUACCUUCGCAGUCCAUUCACCAAGAUCCCAAAAGAGAUGACAGAACUAAAGCUGGAGAAUCAGGCCAAUAGGACUAUGAUCACUAUCGGUGAUAUCAGGAAGGAUGUACGAGUCAUGAACUUUAUUUGCUAUAGAUUCUGAAAUGAGAAAAUAAUCGAGCUGCCACCCUGUAGAUUGCAAGAGGAUAGUUAACAGGUGAUAAUACCUAUUUCCAUAUGCUUCAUCUGAUAAGACAACGAUAUGCAUAAUGACUUAACAAAAAACAAAAGCUUGUCAUUGCUCAUAUUAUCACCAUUACAGGAGAGAAGUGUAACAUUAGAUAUAUAAUGUUCCAUCAAGUAGAUCUAUGUAUACCUUUAUUUGUCUUCCUCCCACCAUGCUGAUAACCCCAAUAAGUAUAACCAACAGCAUGAGGAUACUGUCUUCUAAAGGUAUCAACAAAGCCCCUCGACAGGAAGUUGGUCUCAAAAGAUUCCCUUUCUUCAAUUGUAAAUCCAGCACUUCUUUUAUUUCCCUGGAGUCUCAUGACAAUCAAAUUAAUGACAGAAAUAAGAAACAUUAGACGUAUUAAGAACUUCUGUUUCGGGAUGCCAAACAGCCUAAAUUGUGAUUUUUAUCAACCCCCCAACACAAAACCCCAAACACCCCCCAACAAAAACCCAAAACAAAAUUCAGUUGUAUGGAGGAAAAGCCUGAUUACAGUCCUCUGUUUUGGGGUUUUUCCCCUCUUUUAAGUGGGGUGGGGGGCAUAUGGUGUGGCCAGGACAUUGUCCUGUGACAGUUAAAAAGCUCAUGCAAAUUAUUAAUGCACCUAGUCAAUCAAAGGCAGAAAAGGCACAUUGAUUGUUUCCCUUACCGCAGGAUCAUAAAUGUCUAUUUCCUGAUGGGCACAAUUCAGAUCGCCAGUCAAAAUCACAGGCUUCAACUUUUCAAGUUCCUGUAUUGCCAACAGCAAGCACAAAUUUGAGUAAGAGAUGAAACAAUAUUGAAACAGAAUAAAAAUAGUAGUCUAUCGGAAAACCUUCAUAGGUUGUAGAAUUGAUCCAUGAUAUGGUUAAUAAUGACUCCUGAACAAAAGUCUAAAUAGCUUUAUCAAAAAACAAAAGGGUUACAUAGUGCUGAACAUACUUUAUGUAGUUACCAAGAGAUGGAUCCCACUGUGAAAUCCUAUACAUCUGACAUAAAUAAGCAACAUAAUUAAUGAAUCAUACUUGAAAGUGUGUAACAGAGUAAACCAAUGAAAUAGAUUGAUACCAGUCUUCUCAGGCCAUCGCCAGAAUUAGGAAAGUAACCACUCAAGAGAUAGAAUGAAUCAAACUCUGCAGUGACAAGCCGUCCCUCAGAAUCAUGAUAUGAUAUGCCCAAGCCAUAUGUAACUUAAAGGGGCUUUAUCUGCACAAAAAAAAUACUAGUAAUAACCUCAAAAAUAAUAAUCCAAAAAAGCCAAAUGUAGGAGAAAACCAGAAGGCACGGUAUCCACCUUACACAAAUUAAUAUAGAGAGAAGGUAGUACUUUUGCGUUUCUGACAUACAAAGUGCAACUCAUGCCGAUUUUAUUAUUCAUCCAACAUCACUUGAGAUGCUAAUUAUAUCUCAUAAGCAACUUAACUGAUCAUUGGCUGUGAUCUUUAUUUAAGAUGAGAAGCAUUUCAUUCGAAUAUACACAAAGCAAAUGGACUAACCCUACUACAAGCAUAUUAUUAUAGCAUUUAACUAGAUUAAAACAUCAGAAUAUCUAUACAGACUCCGACAUUCUUGGUCAAAAUAUGACAAUUCAUUGGGGUCAAAUGCACUCGCAGUAACAAAUCAGAAUGCCUCUGAACUGCAACAGUAGGUAGGGAGCUAGUCCUUCAACCCAGUCAUUCCGUGAACUCUUCCCACAUGCUUUACAAUAACAAUUUACAAGCCUCAGAAACAACCAUAGAAAUACAAAAAAGGACUUACAGGUUUCAUUAUCAUUUUGAGAAAAAGUGUGAUGCAAAAAAUUUCAUUUUCAUAAAAAAAUUGCUCUUUGUUGAAGGCAAAUUCUCAAGACCUCAUGGUUUUCCAUCAAUAAUAUUCACUUCCUGCUCAAUAAUCUCCCUUGCAAGCAUCAAAUAGAAAAACUUGAGUUUUGCUUACUGUAAAGGUUGCACAGGAAACGCUAUAACGACUAUCACACGCUUGCAACUAAAACAAUUCAUCCCCACCUCAAUGUAGCUCUCAAUUCGUGAAAUGUCAUUGCCUCAAUUUUGGCCGGGUCAUUAUUAGGCAACACGACUUCACCAAUGCUUGCACCAGAAUUUUUCUGCAGAAAAAAUGAAUGCUGAAUGGUCAAGUCCCCAAAACACAGGUGAAACGAUAGGUUCGAUUAAAAGACAAUACCUUGACAUGACUUUUGGUAGAACUAGGAACUAAAGCCACCAAUCCUUUCGAUUUCUUCCCUGUCCUCAGAAAUCGCCGCCGACUCAGGUGUCGACGAAUUCGACACGCCCCUUUUGGACAACAUUUCGCUGGCUCCGAGCAAGACGAUAGAACGACCAACCCAAAAUCUCGGAGCAACCAAGAAGCUACAACAUGCGAAAAAGUCAGCAACUUUUUAAGGAACCAAAGCAACGCUUAGCAUCACAGAGCGAAACCCAGGAUUCGAAACUGUCGUCGCAUUGUCGCUUAGCAGUCGCUUGUAGUCAUAUGGAAAGAAAGACUAUAAAAUUCACGCUGGGUUCACGCAAAAAUGAGAGGUACCCGGACGAACCUCAAAGAAGGGGGUGGCGAAACCCCUGAACCCUAGUCGAAAUGCUUGCCUCAUGGAUGAAAGAAUGCACAGAGAGACACACUCAGAGAGAGAGAGGCAGUCCAGUGUUGCUGAGCAAGGAAGAAGAGACGCGGCACGAGGGCAUACCCGAGACCUCACCGAACCGCGGGGGAAGAACCGCCAAAAGCGUGGAGGUCGUGGGAGAGGCGAGCUAAAUCGGCCGUCGAGCGUCGGGGGUAGAGGGCAGAGAGGGCAUCGAGCGUCGGAGAAGGGAGAAAAUAUUAGGUUCGCUUCCUGGUUCGUCGGCUGCUCGCGGUGGUUCGCCAAUCGGAAAGGGGGAGGGUGGAGAGAGAGAGGGAGUUCGUCGGACAGGGACAGCACCCGGUCGACGGCGGGGAGCCUGGCGCCACUCGGGAACGAGACCGAGGCCGCCUCCUUCCUGCCGAAGGCCGACGACUUCGCGGCGGAGGCUGGCGGUGUCUUCGGCCUGAGGGAGGGGAAGGACGAGUAGAUGCCAGAGACGGAGGACGCCAUCGGCGGCGGCGACGACGGCUCGGAGUCGGAGUUGAUGACGAGUUCGCCGGAGGGAGGGAGGCCCAGAAGUUGCCUAGAGACCCAGGCGAGCACAAACCUUACGCUCAAUCUCGGCGUUGGAAACAGUCGGAAACGAAGGGGAUCGGGAACCAGCUGCGAUUGGCGGGGCUCUUGGAGGAGGCACGGACCGGCGAGGCUUUUUGGGGAGGCGGAGGCGGAGGAGGUGGGAUACGCUGAGAAGGAAACAGAGGAAGUGCAGCUCGUCCGCGAGGAGAGAGAGAGCCCAGAAAAUAUUCAAGUGAGGAGAGAGAAAUUUUAAGCGGGAGGGCUGCGCAUUUAUUAUCCAUUGACCCGUGCUUUCUUCUGCCAACCGAGCCGAGCCGAGCCAUCAGCCGAGAGUUAUUUGGGAGAGAGAGAGGAGAGAGAGGAGCGCUGCGUCGAGGAGCAAGAGAAAAAGCGAAGAGGACACCAAGUGGGGCCCACCCCUCCACAUGGCACCUCGUGAGUGGCCGGGGACCACGCUGACGUGGUGGUCCUGGACCACCCAAUAUUUUCUCCGUAAACCCAGCACGGAGAGGGACGAAAGUGGAUUGCAGCCCGUCGAAAGAAAGGGUCGAGCUACACCCGAAAUCUCCAUUUCCGAGCACCAGGUAAGGGAUUUUAGCUCUAUUUCUCACGAGUUAGGGAUUUUCGUUUUCUUAAAAGUUUAAUAUCCAGAGCUAUGUAGGGUUUUGCUUUACCGGCAACGCUUUGGCCGCCAAAAUCCAAUCAUAUUUUGAUUACCCACAUCUCCUCGAGUCUAUAGGGAUUUCACAGAGUUCUAGUUGGAGUCAGAUUCCAGAGAAACGAACUCUCCAAGUCCUCCUCUCUGCGCCGCAGGUGAACAGUGUGUGCCGCCUGACUUCUUGGCUGCCGUUUGGUUCAACUUUGGGGAAAUGCUUACAAUCUCAAAUAGCUUUGAAAAAUAAUUUUAGCAAAAACACCGUUUGGCAAAACUUGCAUUUCUAAUUAGCUUUUGCUUUUUUUUUUAAAAAGUCUAAAAAUAAAAUCCGGUGGCCGGCUAACUGCCGGACGGCCAAUUUGGCCGCCGGACCGCCAAAUCGGGCAGCCUGAGGUCGCGGAGGCCAGAUCUAGCCACAGGACCGCCAGAUCUAGCCUCUCGACGGCCAGAUCUGGCGGUUGAGGUCGCUUGGGUCCGCGCGACCUCAGGUGGCGUCGCCUGGUUCGCGCGCGCCAGGCGACGCCACCUGGGUCGCGGGUUGCACCACCCCGGGCGGUGGUCACCGAGGACGCGCGACCCCCACGCGGUGGUGGUGGUUGCCGGAGAAGCCGAACUCUCAAGCGGCGGGGAAGACGAAGACGAACGGAGAAGAAGAUGAGACGAACGGAGAAGAUGAACAGUAAUGACGAUGAACAGUAAACUUGCAUCUCUGAAAUGCCCAAUGCAAAAAGCUAGUCCUACCCAACAUUCAGCUUUCAACUUUUCAAAUGCCCACAUUUCGAAAAUGAGCAUUCGAAAACCAUUGCCAAACACACAAAAUUUUCCCCAAGGGGCUUUGGGGGCUCAAAGCCCCUUGGGAAAGUCCAACCAAACGCCCCCUAAAGUCUUUUUUUGAGGCGGCGACUUGUCAAAUCUCAUAAUUUUAGAAUUAAUUAUUUUCUUGAGAAGGCAGUCCGCAAUUCCCAAGGUGGCUUUGAGUUAGAUCGGGUGUUUCUCGUCUCAAAAAUAGCAAAUUAUUUUUGGGUCUGUUGGAUAUUAAUGUGCAGUUUGGCUUUCCCGCUUUAGUACUUGCGGAUGCUAGUGUUUGCUCGAGAAUAAUGCUGUGCGCGCUAGGAAAAUAUACACAAGAUCGGUAGGUUAUAUAGUUGGGUGUGCUCUCUUUGCCUGCAGGUUGAUAAUCAAGACAACAAGAUGCCGCGACCUGAAGAUAUAGCCUGGAAAUUCGUGGUUAGACUGGAUAACAAGAGAUGGCGUUGUCCUUACUGUCAUAAAGUGUCCUCUGGAUCAGUCACAAGAGUGAAAAGUCACUUUCUUAAACAACCAAAAGAAGGGAUUGCCUCUUGCACAAAAGUGCCAGAGCACAUACGCACGCUAAUGGAAUUGUUACUCAGUCAUGAGGUGACUUUAGUACUUGUGGUAGCUACAUUAUAUGCUUAGUAAUAUUGCUAUGCGUGCUAAGAAGAUAUAUAAAAAAAUGGGGAUAAUUUAUGAAGGGGCGCGCUCUGUUUGCUUGCAGCUUCAUAACAAGGAUGAUAUAGCCUGGAAAUUCGUCAAUAGAGUGGAGGACAGCAAAUGGCGUUGUUAUUACUGCAGUGGAGAAUUCUUUAGAGACCUUACAUGGGUGAAAGGUCACUUGCUUGGAGUCCCAAAUGAAGGGAUUUCCAUUUGCACACUAGUGCCGGACCAUGUAAGAAAGCUAAUGCGGUCGUUACUUGAUGAGGUGGCUGAAGAAGAGAGCAGAGAAGCCAACAGUCCAUUGUCCAUGGGGACUUUGUUCUCGCCAGGCCUCGAAUAUACGUUGGAACAGUUGCACUUCAACCAACAGGAUGUCAUUGGGUCAAACUCUGACCAACAAUCACAAGAAGAGCGUCAGUUUCAGCAGAGUCCAACUAUGCCGUUAUUGGUGCAAAGUAGCCAUGGUAUGUCCGUGUGAAGUUUCUUUACAUUCAUCUUGGCACGGAGAAUAAAAAAUCAUUAUAUUUUUCGUUUUAUUAACUCUCUCUAGAAUAACUCAAAUUUAUCUAUUUUCAUAUUUCAUCGAUUCCAAAUUAUAGUAAUAUCAUUGCAUAUUAUAUAUGUCCGUCAAUUAGCCACGGAACCAGAGUCACGUGACACAGAAGUGCUGGACCACAUAAGAAAGCGUAAUGACCUCGAUGAGAUGGCCGAAGAAGAGAGCAGAGUGGUGGCUGAAGAACAGAGCAGAGAAGCCCAUGGUCAAUCCUCCAUCGAAUCAAAUUCCCGUUACAUGCCGACUCAAGCUGAGGUGGCUGAAGAAGAGAUCAGAGAUGCCAACCGUCAAUUUUCCACGGAACCACAGUCGCGUGACAUGCUGUCUCCAGCUGUUCCUCGGUCAUCACAAAGCUUGGAAGAUAUAGAAAACUUAUUCACAACAGAGUGGGCGACCGACUUGGAAAACUUAGACUAUGACCUAGAGCAUCAUUUUCGUGAGACUUUGGCAAUGCCGCCACCGGCGCAAAAUAUCCAUGGUAUGUUCAUGUGAAGUUUCUAUACAUGCAUCUAGGCAUGGAGAAAAAACAUCUAAUAUAUUUUUCAAUGCAAACACGUCGGGAUUUUUAACCAAAGUGGAGAGUAUUAAAUAUCUCCGAUAAAAACGAUCUUCCUAUGGGACUUUCCAAAUGUGAAGAAAGUCAAAUCACCUAUUCCUUAAUAACAGUGCAUUGAAUGUGUUGCACGUGUCCAUUGGACCCUUUGGAUCCACUAGACUAACUACAGUAGGUAUUCUUUCGUGUUCUAAUCAACUAUAUUCUUUCGUGUUCUAAUCAAGUAUAUCCUAAUUUUGAUGAACUUCACACGGAUGAAAACAUACCAUUUUCAACGAUGGCUUUAGCAGAAGUAGAAUCGGAUCUUCCUGAUCCGCCAUGUCAGCCACAAUAUUCCAAUCGAUCUCCUUAUCCCGAGGAAAUGCAAAUGAAUGACCAGCAGACUCCAGCAGGGGCAUUACCAUUCCAGGAUGUUCCAUUCCCUGUUGUAGGUAAUUCAAAUUGCUUGCAGGAUUGCAAUCGGCACUCUCAAUUGCAAACUCCAAUGGACGUAGAUCACUCAGUUGUAUCACAGCGUAGAAUCGACUCUCACAUUAAUGAGGCAACAAUCGUUGAUUUGCAAGUUCCAGAGGUGACAACGAUUACAAUAAGCCCAUCAUCAUCACAAGGUGUGUCUUGAUUUAUCUAUGUAGAUACUGUCAUUUGGUUAGAUCCUUAAAUAUCUAACAUAUUUAUUUUUAUAAAAUAGACAUGAACAACGGUUCUCCAACCAUGAACGCAUGGAGGACACCCCAAACUCGAAGAUGUAUAAAAUGGACUACGCAAGAGGACAGGGCGGUCGACAUUGCAAACCUCCCAUUAGAUGGUGCAACAAGUUACUCAAGGGCAUCUACCCCGCUAUCUUCAAUCCACCCCGAUUCGCCACAUGAUCUGUUGCCCAAUUUAAGUCAGUCUCUAACAUUAAAUGCAGAACAGAAUCCGACCGCGCCAUUGCCAUCGCAAAACCGCCUGCUCCAUGGUAACACUUCUCAGAAUGAGUCACAGGGGUCCAUUUUCCCUGGUGCCAUUGCAUCAGGUGCUCGACUCACUAACAUGGCCCCAACCAACGCUCCUCAGUAUUCUAAUCAACCACAUCAGAGCUUUCACAGGCAGUGUGGACAUGGCACUGGUUUAUCUGCUCCACGGGAUCCCAUGGACACAGAGCCACCUAUUUCAUCACAACCUGGAUCUCCCAUUGUUGAGGGCCGCAAUUUCCUUCCGCAGAUUUCAGAGGACAUCAUAAAUACAACUGGCCCAUCAACAUCAGAAGGUAUAAUACUAUCGAUCUAUUAAAUGGGUCUCGUUGACCUGCCUCAUCACAUUUUGUUAAGUAUACUUACUAAGGAAAUACUUUUCUUCUCAAUGCAUUGAUUACUCAUAAUACAAGAGGGACAAUGCAUUAAUAAUUACAAACUUUCCUUAAUUGGUAAUUACCAUUCAUGUGGUCUGUUUACAAACACCUCGUUGCUUUGUUAUGGUGAGUAAGAAUGUUUCGAUCAGAGUCUAAUGCGUGAAGUUGUGGCUUAUAAAUUAGUGAUGCCGAAAGGUGCACCAGUAGGGGCAUCAUCAUUCCAGUGUGAUCAAUUACUUGGUGUAGGUAAUUCAAAUCUGGAUUGCAAUCAGCCACGUAUAUCUAGUGUAACAAGUGUAACCAACACUGUCCCGCAUUCUAACCGACCACUUCCAUGCUGCAAUGGAGAAUGUGGAACUGAAACCAGUUCGUUUCCCUCGCAAGAUUCGAGGGGCAUAUGUCCCGUAACUGCAUUACAGCCUACCAGCGGCCCUCACAUCGAGGCAACACUCGUCAAUUUGCAAGUUCUGGAGAAUGGAGCAAAUAUGGCUGGUCCAUCACUAUCACAAGGUACUUCUUGAUUUACCUAAAUAGAGACUGUCACUCCAAAUUAAUCAUAGGUAUUCCAGCUCGAGUGAGCAUUGAUGCUUUCAUUGCAGAAGUAGCCUUCCUUGUAUUAUUAACUCUCUCUAGUAUAACUCAAAUUCAUCUAUUUCCAUACCUGAUCUUGUCUCAAUUACUGUGGUAUCGUUGCAUAUUAUGCAUGUCCGAUGUCACUUACUUUACUGCACGGUUUCUUUCAUCAAGAUAUUUAAGCCGUGCAUGUUGAUUUUCAUUGUGGAUGUUUUUUGUGACCAAGUUGUGUGUUGUUUUACCUGUAUGCAUGGACACUCCAAUAUUUUAGUGCAACCAGCUUUGGUGCCCCCUCAACAUCAAAGCGUUUCACAUCAAUUCAUUAGUCCUAGACAAGGAAUGCGCAGCAGAAUCCAACAGGGCUAUCAUCGUCACAGAAAAAUCAUAUAGUCCCAUGUCACCCACAAGCUCCAAUGAACAUGGAUCCCUGUAUCCUCUCAUCAUCACAAGCUCCAAAUAAUGCUCCUCCACGUCCUCAGAUUCAACGUCGUGGAAUAGGCCUGAUGGGCCCAUCAUCAUUACCGGGUAUAUAGUUAUUUACCUAUAUUAAUCCUUAUGUAUCACCAUGUUACGUUAUUAGGGAAGCAAGAAUGCUAUAAUGAGACCGAAGGAUUUAAUUGCAGAAUUAGAUAUGAACAAGGGCGUGCCAUUGACGAGUCAUACAAACAUAGACAACAACUUUGAAAAGAGUAGCCAUUUGAAAAGAAAAAUAAAGCGACUCUACAGUAGAGAAGCUGACAUAAAGGAUGAGUUAAAAUUUGCCGCGUCUCUAUCCCUAAAGAAGCCGAGAAUGGAAGUUAAGAAUUGGUUGGCAGAUGUGGAGAAUCUUAGAAAUGAUUUUCAUGGUAUUGAAGCAACAAGUGAAAAUUGUUUGCCGCCACACCAGCAGGUUGUACUGAUGCAAGAAGCAGAAGAACUUAUAAAACAAAGCAAAUUCCUAGAAGGACUAUUUGUGGCGAGAGAGACCAGAGUCAAUAAGUUGUUAGAACGAAAGUUGGUGGGAAAGGCAUUUCAAAGAAAUACAGCAGAGAUUUUGGAGUACUUAGUGGAGAAGCAAAUAUCCCGACUAGGCAUUUAUGGAAUGGGGGGUGUUGGUAAAACGACUCUUAUGAUGCACAUACAUAAUAGACUCCUCGAAAAAGCAAACUAUGGCAAUGUGCUGUGGAUCACCGUGUCACAGGAUUUUAACAUAGAGAAGUUGCAGGACAACAUUUGGGAGGCACUACGUUUAGACAUACCACGAGAAAAGGAUGUGAAGAAACAAGCAGCAAUGUUGUCCGAUUGUUUAACCAAAAUAGAGAAGUUGACAAUAAUCCUCGAUGAUGUGUGGGAACAUUUUGAUCUUGAAAAGGUGGGAAUCCCUAUUAGAGCCAAUGGACUUAAGCUGGUCGUAACCACUCGAUCCUCUAGUGUUUGCAGCCAGAUGCAUUGUCAAGAGAAGAUAAAAAUUGAACCUCUAUCUCAAGAAGAAGCUGAGAGUUUAUUUUUUGAGGAGCUUGGAUCCGAAGUGGCCUUUAAUUUGGAAAUUAAAGCAAUUGUGAAGUCCAUUGUUAAAGAAUGUGCAGGCUUGCCGCUUGGAGUCAUCACGAUGGCAACAAGUAUGCGAGAAGUGACUAAUAAGUUUGAAUGGAAUGAUUGCUUGGAGAAAUUGAAUGAAUCGGAUAUGAGGCAAAUAGAUAUGGAAAAGAAAGUCCUAAUGAUUCUAAAAUUCAGUUACGAUCGCCUUGGGAAUUGUGAAGUUCAACAGUGUUUCUUAUCUUGUGCACUUUAUCCAGAAGAUCAAUUGAUUGGUAGGAUCGAGUUGAUAGAAUUCUUUAUUGACCAAGGAUUGAUUGGUGGAUUGAAUACGAGGGAGAAACAAUAUGAUAGAGGCCUCACUAUACUGACCAAACUGGAAAAUGUUUGUCUAUUGGAAGCUUAUAAGAAAAGUGAUUUUCCACAGAGAGAUUAUGGGGAAGGGAUGAAGAUGCACGAUUUGAUUAGAGACAUGGCAUUGCACAUCAUGAAUGCGACUUCGAUNNNNNNNNNNNNNNNNNNNNNNNNNNNNNNNNNNNNNNNNNNNNNNNNNNNNNNNNNNNNNNNNNNNNNNNNNNNNNNNNNNNNNNNNNNNNNNNNNNNNNNNNNNNNNNNNNNNNNNNNNNNNNNNNNNNNNNNNNNNNNNNNNNNNNNNNNNNNNNNNNNNNNNNNNNNNNNNNNNNNNNNNNNNNNNNNNNNNNNNNNNNNNNNNNNNNNNNNNNNNNNNNNNNNNNNNNNNNNNNNNNNNNNNNNNNNNNNNNNNNNNNNNNNNNNNNNNNNNNNNNNNNNNNNNNNNNNNNNNNNNNNNNNNNNNNNNNNNNNNNNNNNNNNNNNNNNNNNNNNNNNNNNNNNNNNNNNNNNNNNNNNNNNNNNNNNNNNNNNNNNNNNNNNNNNNNNNNNNNNNNNNNNNNNNNNNNNNNNNNNNNNNNNNNNNNNNNNNNNNNNNNNNNNNNNNNNNNNNNNNNNNNNNNNNNNNNNNNNNNNNNNNNNNNNNNNNNNNNNNNNNNNNNNNNNNNNNNNNNNNNNNNNNNNNNNNNNNNNNNNNNNNNNNNNNNNNNNNNNNNNNNNNNNNNNNNNNNNNNNNNNNNNNNNNNNNNNNNNNNNNNNNNNNNNNNNNNNNNNNNNNNNNNNNNNNNNNNNNNNNNNNNNNNNNNNNNNNNNNNNNNNNNNNNNNNNNNNNNNNNNNNNNNNNNNNNNNNNNNNNNNNNNNNNNNNNNNNNNNNNNNNNNNNNNNNNNNNNNNNNNNNNNNNNNNNNNNNNNNNNNNNNNNNNNNNNNNNNNNNNNNNNNNNNNNNNNNNNNNNNNNNNNNNNNNNNNNNNNNNNNNNNNNNNNNNNNNNNNNNNNNNNNNNNNNNNNNNNNNNNNNNNNNNNNNNNNNNNNNNNNNNNNNNNNNNNNNNNNNNNNNNNNNNNNNNNNNNNNNNNNNNNNNNNNNNNNNNNNNNNNNNNNNNNNNNNNNNNNNNNNNNNNNNNNNNNNNNNNNNNNNNNNNNNNNNNNNNNNNNNNNNNNNNNNNNNNNNNNNNNNNNNNNNNNNNNNNNNNNNNNNNNNNNNNNNNNNNNNNNNNNNNNNNNNNNNNNNNNNNNNNNNNNNNNNNNNNNNNNNNNNNNNNNNNNNNNNNNNNNNNNNNNNNNNNNNNNNNNNNNNNNNNNNNNNNNNNNNNNNNNNNNNNNNNNNNNNNNNNNNNNNNNNNNNNNNNNNNNNNNNNNNNNNNNNNNNNNNNNNNNNNNNNNNNNNNNNNNNNNNNNNNNNNNNNNNNNNNNNNNNNNNNNNNNNNNNNNNNNNNNNNNNNNNNNNNNNNNNNNNNNNNNNNNNNNNNNNNNNNNNNNNNNNNNNNNNNNNNNNNNNNNNNNNNNNNNNNNNNNNNNNNNNNNNNNNNNNNNNNNNNNNNNNNNNNNNNNNNNNNNNNNNNNNNNNNNNNNNNNNNNNNNNNNNNNNNNNNNNNNNNNNNNNNNNNNNNNNNNNNNNNNNNNNNNNNCGCCGUAUUCCUUAUCUAGGGAAGCUCAUAUCUUUAAGAAAGUUGGAUGCCAGUAACUGUGCGCGUCUUGAAGCGCUUGAGGGUCUAGACAAGUUGGUGAACUUGACAUACCUUGACCUUAUCAAAACACAUAAUGCGAGAUUGCCCAAAGGAACACUGGAGUGUUUACUAAACUUGCAAUGUCUUAAAGUUUCGGCAAUAAAUGAAGAAACAAAAUUGGGGACAUUGGAGACAUUUGAAUGCUACUCUGAAAAUGCGGAUGAUUUUAACAAGUGUGUGAGGGCUAUUGGGCAAAGUAAUAAUCCUCUCUAUUACGGCCUCAACAUGAAUAUAGAAAAAUCAAACUUUAUUGUGGAAGUAAGUGAUGAUACUCGAUUUCGGAAUUUGGGGAGGAGCGUCAACAUUGGGGAGUGGGGUCAUGCUAUUUUGAGCGUGGGAGGGGAAUGCACUGGCAUUUUUAUUUUGAUUCCCCGAAAUGUGCAGACGAUGAGAAUGGGAAAAUGCAAGGGUAUAACAAAUUUGUCUAGCAUGGAUCCGCUUAAAUACCUUGAGGACCUAGAAAUAGAAGAAUGGGAAAACUUAGAGGUGCUCUGUGGAGGACAAGACGAAGAAGUAAUCGACGUCCCGGCCCCAACCCUCACCCCUCACCCCUUCUCGAGCCUUAUAUUUUUGAAAAUAAAGGAAUGUUCAAAACUGAAGUAUCUCUUUGGACAUGGGUCUAAAUCCAACCUUCCGCAUCUACAAGUUAUUGGAAUAGCGAAUUGUAAGGAAAUGGUGGGGAUAAUAGCAGCAGUUACAUCCCCACCACCACAUUCGCUCCCAUUUUUGCCUAGUCUGGAAGGUAUUAUUGUUUGGGGCUGUGGUAAAAUGAAGAGAGCGGUGGAAUCUGAGUGGAUGCCCCACUUCCCUAAGCUGAGAAACAUUGUAGUAUACAAAUGUGAGAAGAUGGAGGAGAUAAUCAGAGGUCCUCCUAAAUGCGUGCCGGUUGAAGGGAUUUCUCUCUAAUCUCUUAAGGUAGUACAUUGCGGUAGCAUGAGAAAGCUGCUUCCGCAUGAGUGGCUGCUCCAUCUUCGAAAUCUUCGAUGUAUCUAUGUCAAUGACUGCCGAGGAAUGGAGAAGAUGAUAUGCGGAGCGGGACAAGGUCAAGAAAGAAGCAUAACGACUCCUGUCAACAGCACCCCUUCAUCCUUCCUGCCUCCAAUUUCUCUCCCAAAGCUAGAGCAGUUGAAUCUAUCCGAACUACCCCAGCUAAAGAGCAUAUGCGAAUUCCCAAUAAGCUGCAAUUCCAUGGAAGAGUUGUUUGUGUACGAUUGCCCAGAAUUGAGGGGGAUUCCUUUGCAAUUGCGAUUGCGUGAAAUUGAGAAGCUUCCGCAUAUUUGGGUGGAAGAUGAGGAAAGGUGGAAGACGCUGAUGUGGGAUCAUCCCGAUGCUCAGGCUAUUCUUCAACCUCAUCUAAAAAAAAAGGGAUACCCUAGAGGUUAAUGAGUUUAAUUGAUAUAUGAUUGCUUCACUUCUUAAAAGUCGUUGCAAAGAUGUAGCUUUUCUGUCUAUAUAGUCAUGCAGCUCUCAUAGUGGCCUUUUGCAGAACUUUUCGCCAAGGGAAUGGUUCUCCUGUGACUCUGCUCUUGAAGAAAGCCUUGUUGCUCAACCGUGCUUUCCUGCAAACUCGACUCAGGUUGCCAUAUGAAUUGACCUUUUCUGUGUGGCCAUGCUUUGUCUAUUUUGAAUGCGAUCACAUGUUUUAUUGACUACUAGAAAUAAGUGAAUCUGGUCGAUAUUUCAGGUUAGUCAAAAAGCAACGGAUCUGAAGAUUUGGGAAGCCAAGGGAAUAGCAAAGCCUGUUUCCUAUCUUGUCUUAUAACUGAAAGGACAAGUUAUUAUUAUGGAUUUAUCUCCUUGGGAUAUUAGCCUUCUAAGAAAAGAGGGAAUUUUGUGCAGCACUACCUUUAAUCUGUUUUUGUUUAGAAAGGAUUUCAAAUAUGAUAUUGCUUUAACUUGUCGAUCGAAAAUAUUGUGUCAAAUACGCUGCUUCCCUCUGUUGGAUCAGAGCAACAUGACCCCGAUUAAACUUGUUUCGACAUUAAACUAUCGGGUAUAGAAUACUUGAUCUGCUUAGUAGUUGUAUCAUAUCUGGAAACGUAGGCUGGGAAGUUUUCUCUUCACCCGUUGUCAUACUUUGAGUUAGAAAUGUAAAAAGACGAAGAAGAAAGAAUUGCAUAGUUAUCGCCCCUCUUUAAAUGCCUCAAAGUUGUGGAUAGAUGGAGAAACCUACAGCUUCAGCUCAAGUUACCAAAAAUUAGAGCAGUAACCACUAGCAAGUCAAUGGAAAAAGGGCCAGCUUAUAGGACGUGGCACUUUUGAAAGUGUUUACAUUGCAAGCAACCAGUAAGUUAGCUCUGGGAAUCUUAGACACGUUCCAUUUUUUAAGAUAUCCAGUCAGCUAAACUUUGACAUAUUAAGUGACAGAAAAACCGGAUCUCUAUGUGCACGGAAGGAGUUUGAGCUAUCGCCUAAUGAUCCAAAUUUAGCUGAGUGCAUCAAGCAGUUAAAGCAGGUAAUGUUUUUGUUAUGCUCUGGGAUCCAAUCUAUUCUCUCAUCUGAUCUAAAUAUGCUGGGAGGAAACUUUCUUUCAUCAUUUCCAGGUAAUUGAUUGUUACUACAGGAAAUUCAGGUACUUAGCCAGCAUAGACAUCCGAACAUUCUGCAGUAUUAUGUCAGGGAAAUUGUGAGUCACAUUUCCACAGCACCUAUGCAUCCCAGCUCAAUGGGCGUUCAUUAUUUGACUCGCCAAAAUUUCAACAUAUUCAUACGUACUCAGGUUGAGGAUUGGCUUUACGUAUAUCUAGAAUAUGCACAUCACGAUUCAAUAGACAAGUAUAUCCAAGAGCGUCUUGGGACCCUAACAGACUCGGUUGUCCACACUUUACCCACUAUAUUGUGGCUGGAUUGGCUUCCCUGCAUGUUAACAACUCCAUACAUGGGUAAUUCUAAACCAUUGAUCAAGCAUCAUGAGAUGGCUUGUGCAGGGAUUUAAAGGGAGCUAAUUUAUUUGUGGAUGCAUCUGGGAUAUUCAAACUUGCUGACUUUGGAAUUGCUAAACAUGUGAGUUUUUACCUCUUCACUGCAAGACAACUCAGUGCAUGUAGAAAUUACUUGAUGAUCUGUGGUGCAUUCGAAUGUGAAGUCAGGGACCCAGGGUGACUGCGAACUUCUCAUUAUUGGUUUGUGGCAUUUCAUAUGUGCAAAAAUCUAUCACAGGUGGAUGAAAUGUUAUUAAGUAAUUUUCUUCACUUUUUUUCCCAUUGUUUCAGGUAAAGUUACCAUGUUGCAUAAACAGGAAAAGAUUUCUUGCUUUAAAUAGAUGCCGAAACCUAAUGAGAGUUCUUUCCCUUUCUACUGGUUUCUAAAAAGUUCCUAAGAGCAGUAGUGAAUAGAACGCAAUACCUUUGGCAAAAGGUUGUGGUGUUGUUUUUGCUGCUCCUCUGCAUUCCAAAAUAGGAUAGAAUUUAGUCAGAGUAAGCAAGGGCCUCCUUCCUAACAUGGGGUAAAUAAAAGUGUAUUGAUCCAUAGAAUGGAAUUCUGGAUAGUAGCCAAGGUGUUGUUGCUCUCUUUUUGAGUUCUCAAGCAUUUGCUGAGGUCAUGUUGUUGAUUGCUUCAAGUUGAAAGUGGUUGAUUCAGUAAUCAAUCUGAUGUAUCUAUGUCUAUAAAGAUGUUGCUAUUUUAUCCAGUGUUCCAUGAACACACCAAGUAGUCUUCAGCUUUACUAAUGCUGUACCAUUUCUUAGCUAACCGGACAAGCAGCUUGCUGCUCUUUGAAGGGAAGUCUAAACUGGAUGGCUCUAGAGGUACUCUGCUUUUGUUAACGUUAAUGCGGCAUUCUUUUUUAGUUGUGGCGGAAUGAUGGAAUAAUAUGUCUUGCAACUCAUACAAUCCUUGAUGGUGAAUAAUUACAGCACGGAUCUCAAUCAUACUGCCGACAUGUGGAGUUUGGGAUGUACUAUUACCGAAAUGAUUACUGGGAAACCUCCUUGGACUAUGAGUGAGUAAGUACGCUGCACUGUUUUUUUUUUUUUUCAUUUUCUCUCUAUCCUUCCUGGUAAUACGCUUCCAAGCAAAUCUGUGUUGUCGUUUUCUGUUGGAAGUUCGGGCCAUGCGCAUUACCAUUUGGUGUGUGAUCUGUGUCAUGAGUUUCUAUUUAAGGUUGAAUUAUUAAUGCAGGCUCAAGCUAUAUUUAAGGUGAUGCGAAGUUCUCCAGUAAUACCUGAGACGUUAUCUGCCGAGGGAAAGUAGCUGCGGAGAGGCCUUCUGCUGCUAUGCUACUUGAGCAUGCUUUCCUGCAAAUUUGAAGUUGCAAAUGAUUGACUUAUUUCAAGUGUUGUACGUUGUCGCAAAAGGGAUUUGUUGUCCUGUAAAGUUCCAUAUUUACUAAACCAAAAGGAUCACACGGUCCAUAGAUGUGAUGAAGUACUUGUAUAUUGACAAAAUAAGGCACAUACUUCUCUUGCAUGGUCUGACUGGCGGCAUACCAAUCUAGGCAAUUUGACAGUGUUGCUUAAUCUAAACCUUUUACUGCAUAGUGCAUUCUUACCAAAAACAUUUUGUACGAAGUACAUUUAUUCAUCAAAAUGGAAUGGUAUUGAUUUGGCUCCAAAUAAGCAAUAGGUCACGAAACACAAGCAAGAAAACCCAGAAAAGAAAAAAGAAAAAGAAAACCGAAGCUAUAGUGCAUCAGAAUUCCUAAACUCAUUUUGAAAGUAAAUACUUUGUCGGUUUGGUGGGAGAAACAUUGGCAAGUUUGGCAAACCUGCAAUGUCUUCGGAUUGCGGUAGUGAAGGGAGUAGUAUCGAAAUUAUGGGCAUUGGAGGCUCUUGAUUCUUCCCUUCAACAGUGUCGUUGAUCUCAAUAAAUACAUGAGAUUUCUCCAACCAAAAUGGCCCUCAUCAUAUUGUCACCAAAUUCCAGUGAAUCAAGAAAAGCCAUUGUGGUCUGCUUGCAAAUGUAAAUGAUCAUGAUGAUCCAAGAUUUGCAGCUUCCGAGAGGGGAAUUCACGUCGAUUGUUGCGAUUAUGCUCUUGUCAGGGCAGUAGGGGAAAGUCUUUCGCCUGAUGGUUUUGCUCCCAAGUGAUGCUGCAAGUUUGCCGUAUUUUCCCCUUAGGGUUGUUUGUCAUUUUGUGGAACAUUUUUAGAAUAAUUUUGCAUCCCGUGUCUAUAAAAUGCAAAUAGCCGAUGAAAUCUAUUGAAAACAUCUCAAGCUAUUCAUUUACGAGAUUUUAAUGGUUCUUAUAUGUAUAUAAUUUACCUUCCCUUACUUGUUCAAAUUUUUAGGUUGGACUUUCACUUAUGUGAAAAUAGCAAUUUGUGCGUGAAUUGCAAAGCAAACAUACUUCCUUUUUUUCUAUUUUUUUUCUACAAUUAAAGUGAUUCCUCUAUCCUAAUGCAUACCGGAAAUAUAUGAUAUGAAUGACAAAGUGUAACAGAAAAAUAAACUCCUCGAAAUUUUGCAAAGUCGGAGGCGCCACUGAGGCCGAGCGAUAUCUCUCGGUUGCAUUGGAUUCUUUCUUCGAUUUCAUUUUCUUUUGUUCUUUUCCUCAUUUUUGAACCAACAGCCUAACCAUGAGGCGCCUUUUCUCUUCUGUCCCUUAUCUGUACUCCUUUUCUUUCGUACAACUCGUUCUUCUUUCGCUGCUUUUUGGAUUUUUUUUUCUUGGUGUCCUCUGCCCAAACCCUUAAUGAAGACAACUAAUCGGUGUUUAGUUUUCCAAAGUGUAGCAUUAUUGAGCACCAUCAUCGACCAUCAAGUUCGCUAAACUCAGUCAUCAAUUAACUAACUGUUCUUGUUAAACAGGAGCUGCACCAACGNNNNNNNNNNNNNNNNNNNNNNNNNNNNNNNNNNNNNNNNNNNNNNNNNNNNNNNNNNNNNNNNNNNNNNNNNNNNNNNNNNNNNNNNNNNNNNNNNNNNAGAUCCAAACUACAUAUGAAACUGGACUCGUAAUUGGGAAAACAUGAAUUUAGCAUAUUAUACAUUGCUCCUAAAUAAUUUUAUGCACAUGCCAAAUAACAAGUACAUGUAUAAGUUAAGGCAAAUAGGUCUUUAGCAAAUUGACAAUGCAGAAACCGAGAGAGCGUAUGAAGUGAUCUUUGCAUUUUUGAAACUCUGUUAGUGUACAUUCUAGUAGUUUUCCCUUGUCAAAAUAUACUGAUUUUCAACUUUCGCUGAAAUGUCACACGUUCAAUUGGGGGAGAAUAUGAUCGAUAGUCCUAAUUAGCCAAGUCACAAAACCAAUCAUAUAUUUAAAUAGUUCAGAAAUCUUUCUGUUCAUUCUAAUUAAUAAUCGCAUCAAAGAAUUUUUCCCUAAACCUUUAUAUUCAGUCAUAGUUACUACUUUUCAGUUCACUCUUUGAAAGAUUCCCAUGAUCUCUUCAAAUAAAUUAAAAUACAAUUCAGGGUUAGUGGUCGUAACUUUAUCUAUUAGGUAUAUAGCUUAAUGCUCAUUUUGAAUGAGGGCAAAAGGUCACCCCGUUUACAUUCACGUGUUUGUCACAUUGUGAUGGGAAAAUGGGAACGAAAUGCAAGUUCAGAGGCACAGGAUGCAACUUUCUAAAUUUCCAUUUUCAAAUGCAUUGGGUUCCCUUUUCCCCAGUCAUCUCUUCUUAAUCAUCCCGGUGCAAGGACAGGACUUUCCCUGGACAGUGAUGCACAACAAGCCAUUAUCAUUGUACUGAAGUGAAUCUGUUUCCUUUGAUCGUGGACGAUUCUAUGCUCCCGAAAUCGGGGUAAUAUAUGAUGGGGUGCGCUCUAUUUGCUUGCAGGUUCGUAACAAAGAGGAUAUAGCUUGGAAAUUCGUCAAUAGAUUGGAGGACAGCAAAUGGCGUUGUUAUUACUGCCGUGGAGAAUUCUUUAAAGACCUUACAGGAGUGAAAGGUCACUUGCUUGGAGUCCCAAAUGAAGGGAUUUCCAUUUGCACACAAGUGCCGGACCAUGUAAGAAAGAUAAUGCAGUCGUUACAAGAUGAGAUGGCUGAAGAAGAGAGCAGGGGAGCCAAUGGUCAAUCCUCCGCGGAACCACAGUCACGUGGCAUGCCCGCUCAAGCUGAGGUGGCUGAAGAAGAGAGCAGAGAGGCCAACGGUCAAUCCUUCACAGAACCACAGUCACGGGGCAUGCUGCCUCAACCUGAGGUGGCUGAAGAAGAGAGCAGAGAAGCCAACAUUCAAUCCUCCACGGAAACACAAUCCCGCGACAUGCCCACUCAAGCUGAGGUGGUGGCUGAAGAAGAGAGCAGAGAAGCCAACGGUCAAUUUUCCAGGGUCUGUUGAAUAUUAAUCUGCAGUUUUGCUUUCCUGCUUUACUACUUGUGGAUGCUAUUAUUUGCUUGAGAAUAAUGCUAUGCGCAUUAGGAAAAUGUACACAAGAUUGAUAGGUUAUAUAAUCGGGCGUGCUCUCUUUGCCUGCAUGUUGAUAAUCAAAAUGACAAGAUGCCGCGAGUUAAAGAUGCCGUGAGUUAAAGAAAUAGCCUGGAAAUUCGUGAUUAGACUGGAGGGCGAGAAAUGGUGUUGUCCUUACUCUGGAAAAGUUACAAGAGUGAAAAGUCACUUUCUUAAACAUUCAAACAGAGGCAUUUCUCCUUGUAAAAAAGUGCCGGAGCACAUAAGCAUGCUAAUGGAUUGGUUACACAAUCAGGUGCCUUUAAUGCUUGUGGUAGCUACAUUGUUUGCCUGAGAAUGAUGCUAGCGUGCUAAGAAGAUUUAUGAAAAAUGGGGAUAAUAUAUGAUGGGGUGUCGCUCUAUUUGCUUGCAGGAUCGUAACAAAGAGGAUAUAGCCUGGAAAUUUGUUGAUAGACUGGAGGACAACAAAUGGCGUUGUCAUUACUGCCGUGUAGAAUUCUUUGGAGACCUUAUGGGAGUGAAAGGUCACUUGCUUGAAGGGAUUUCCAUUUGCACGGAAGUGCCGGACCACAUAAGAAAGCUAAUGCGGUCAUUACUCGAUGAGGUGGCUGAAGAAGAGAGCAGAGAAGCCCACGGUCAAUCCUCCGUCGAACCAAAUUCCCGUGACAUGCCGAGUCAAGUUGAGGUGGCUGAAGAAGAGAUUAGAGAGGCCAACCGUCAAUUUUCCACGGAACCACAGUCGCGUGACAUGCUGUCUCCAGCUGUUCCUCGGUCAUCACAAAGCUUGGAAGAUACAGAAAACUUAUUCACAACAACAGAGUGGGCGACUGACUUGGAAAACUUAGACUAUGACCUAGAGCGUCAUUUUCUUGAGACUUUGGCAAUGCCGCCACCGGCGCAAAAUAUUCAUGGUAUGUUCAUGUGAAGUUUCUAUACAUGCAUCUAGGCAUGGAGAAAAAACAUAUAUUAUAUUCAAACACGUCGGGUUUUUUAACCAAAGUGGAGACUUUUAAAUAUCUUCUAUAAAAACGAUCUUCCUAUGGGACUUUCCAAAUGUAAAGAAAGUCAAAUCACCUAUUCCUUAAUAACAGUGCAUUGAAUGUGUUGCACCUGUCCAUUGGACCCAUUGGAUCCAAUAAACUAACUACAGUAGGUAGUCUUUUAUGUUCCAAUCAACUAUAUCCUAAUUUUGAUGAACUUCACGCAGAUGAAAACAUACCAUUUUCAACGAUAGCUUUAGCAGAAGUAGAAUCGGAUCUUCUUGAUCCGCCAUGUCAGCCACAAUAUUCCAAUCGAUCUCUUUAUCGCGAGGAAAUGCAAAUGAAUGACCAGCAGACUCCAGCAGGGGCAUUAUCAUUCCAGUAUGUUCCAUUACCUGCUGUAGGUAAUUCAAAUUGCUUGCAGGACUGCAAUGACUCUCAAUUGCAAACGCCAGUGGACGUAGAUCCCUCAAUUGCAUCACAGCGUACAAAUCACAUUACUGGGGCACAAAUCAAUUAUUUGAAAGUUCCAGAGGCAGCAACAAAUACAACAGGCCCAUCAUCAUCACAGGGUUUGUAUGGAUUAAUCUACAUUGCUACUAUGGUUAUAUUAGAUACUUGAAUAUCUCCAUAUUAUUUUAUUGAAAUCUAACAUAUGAUUUUUUAAACAAGAUAGGAACAUGGAUUAUCCAAUCAAGAACAUGCUGAGCAUCAUUGCAUAUUCUAUUUGUCUGAUAUCAGUUUUUAUCACACCAUUACUUUCUUCAAAAUAUUUAACUCUAAUGCGGUCGUUACUCGAUGAAGUGACUGAAGAAGAGAGCAGAGAGGUGGCUGAAGGACAAAGCAGAGAAGCCAACCGUCAAUCCUCCACGGAACCACAAUCACGUGACAUGCCUGUAAGACAAAAUAAUUUAUAUACAGAAGCCAGGAUCAAUUAAAGACAAACCUCCAGCCAUUGUUUUGUUCACAUUCGUCAGAAAACCUGAAAUCAAAGAAAAUUGGGGACACUCUACUACCCAAUUCACUCUCGUACUGAUGGUGUAUUCUGAAUGAGAGGGUUUGAGUUAGACAUUGUCAUCAUCCGUCAGAAAUGAACGUACGUUCCUAUUUAUACACUGUCUCCCAUCAAGACGGGCGGUUGUCACCAAAUGGUACGAAGCGUGGAAAACUUUAUGUUGAACAGUCGCAACCUUUAGAGAAAAUAAAUGUGGGAUCAUAAAAAUAAAUAACAUUCUCCCACUUGAUCCCAUCAUUUUCAUUAUACAGAUUAUCCAACUAAUUCCACAAAAACUUUAUGCUUAAAGAAAAGAAACAAAACACAUGGAUCAUGGCGACAUGUCCUCUAAGAGUGAGUAAUAUCUUCCAUGUAUCACAAUGCACCUUAUUUCUUUAAUGUCAGCCUAUAUGUGACAACAAAUCUUAAUGAAUAAACCCCAUGUUUAUUCCAAAACCAAUGAUAAAUGUUAUUCUCAUAAACAACAAAAUGUGUACACAAAAAUUGAGAAUCAACAUUACAACUGAAUAAGAGUUUCAUACAACAAAAAUCGUUCAUAUAACGACAAAUUACAUAAUGGGACCUAUUCCCAUACUAGUUACAUGAUCCUUAUACUUCAUUGGUGGCAUGCCUUUAGUUAAAGGAUCGGCUAUCAUCAAUUCAGUGCUAACGUGUUCAAUGACCACUUUAUUCUCCUUAACACGUUCCCUUAUGGUUAAAUACUUAAUGUCGAUAUGCUUACUUUGACUGCCACUUUUGGCAUUUUUAGCCAUAAAAACCGUAGCUGAAUUGUCACAAUAUAUUCUUAAUGGCCUAGAAAUUGAAUCAAUAAUUCUAAGCCCAGCAAUGAAACUCUUCAACCAUACACCAUGCGAGGUAGCCUCAAAACAAGAAACGAACUCAGCCUCCAUAGUGGAAGUAGCAGUCAAAGUCUACUUGGCAUUUCUCCAUGACACGGCUCCGCCAGCUAAUAUAAAAAUGUAUCAAGAUGUUGAUUUUCGUGAAUCAAUGUAUCCCGCAAAGUCCGCAUCCGAAUAACCAACCACUUCCAGGUUGUCAGUCCGUUUAUACAUAAGCAUAUAGUCUUUGGUACCUUGAAGGUAUCUCAUCACUUUCUUUGCAGCUCUCUAGUGGUCUAAACCUGGAUUACUCUGAUAUCUUCCCAACAUUCCCACAGCAAAAGCGAUGUCAGGUCGAGUGCAAACCUGAGCAUACAUUAAGCUUCCAACAACAGAAGCAUAUGGAAUGUUGUGCAUUUGUUCCCUUUCUAGAUCGUUCUUCGGGUAUUGGUUCAAAUUGAACCUGUCACCCUUCACAAUGGGUGCUAUACUUGGUGAACAAUCUUUCAUCCGAAAUCUCUCUAGAACCUUAUUGAUAUAGGUUUCUUGAGAUAGUCCUAAAAUGCCUCGAGGUCCAUCUCUAUGGAUCUUAAUGCCAAUGACAUAAGAUGCCUCACCCAUAUCCUUCAUGUCAAAACUCCUAGAGAGAAAUUGUUUCACCUUAUGUAGCAACCACUUAUCAUUGGUUACAAGUAGUAUAUCAUCCACAUACAGUACAAGGAAACAAAUUUUGCUCACACUGACCUUCUGGUAUAUACAUUGAUCCAUGACAUUCUCUACAAAACCGAAUGAAGAGAUGACUUCAUGGAACCUUAAGUACCAUUGGCGGGAUGCUUGUUUCAAGCCAUAUAUAGAUUUCUUAAGUUUGCACACCAAAUGCUCACCUUUACUAGAGGAGAAUCCUUCAGGUUGUUUCAUGUAAACCUCCUUCUCUAGUUCUCCAUUGAGGAAUGCUGUUUUCACAUCCAUCUGAUGUAAUUCCAUAUCAAAAUGGGCAAUCAAAACCAAAACAAUACGAAGAGAAUCUUUCUUAGAUACAGGAGAAAAAGUCUCCGUGUAGUCGAUUCCUUCCUUUUGAGUGAAUCCUUUGGCAACAAGUCUAGCUUUAUAUCUUUCAAUGUUACCCAAUAAAUCAUUCUUAGUUUUGAAGACCCAUUUACAACCAAUGGCCUUCACACCAUUAGGUAACUCAACCAAAUCUUAAACUUUGUUAGAUGCCAUUGAACUCAUUUAUUCCUUCAUGGCAUUGUACCACAAAUUGGAUUUAUCACUAUCCAUGGCUUGUGAAAACGUUUUGGGAUCAUUCUCAGCUCUAAUAUUGUAGUCAAACUCUUGUAAAUACACAAUAUAAUCACUAGGAAUAGCCGAUUUCUUUAUUCUAGAAGAUCUUCUCAAUUUUGCAUCGACAUUCUCUUGAGGUGCGUGUUGCUUAACUAGUUGUUCAACAGUUUCUGGUAAUUAUUGAACAACUGGAUCUACUAGAUCAAUAUCAACAGGUUGUGGAACUUCAACGAUUGGUUGUUCAAUAGCCGGUUGAACUGAAUAGGCAUUAUAAGCAACGACCAACCCUAAACUUGAGGUGGGAGGAUGAAUGUCUGGAUGAUCUUUCUUAGGAACAAGGUCCUUCGAUUGAUCACUCCCACUAAUCAAGUCAUUUUCAAGAAAUUUAGCAUUUCUUGAUUCCACAAUCCUAGUAGUGUGAGAUGGACAAUAAAAUCUGUAUCCCUUAGACCUUUCGGCAUAUCCAAUGAAAUACCCACUUAUGGUCCUUGGGUCCAACUUCUUUUCUUGUGGAUUAUAAACUCUCACUUCAGACGGGCAUCCCCAAACGCGCACAUGAUGCAAACUCGGUUUCCAACAUUUAAAUAAUUCAAAAGGUGUCUUUGGGACAGCUUUGGUCGAAACUCGGUUUAAUAUGUACACUGCCGUCUUAAGUGCUUCAGUCCACAAAGAUUUAGGAAGUUUGGAGCUGCUAAGCAUGCUACGCACCAUGUCCAAUAAGGUCCGAUUUCUUCUUUCCGCUACGCCAUUUUGGUCCGGAGAACCAGGCAUAGUAUAUUGGGCAACUAUCCCAUGCUCUUGAAGAAACCUUGCAAAUGGACUAGGUGCUUGUCCAUCUUCAGUGUAUCUACCAUAGAAUUCUCCACCCCUAUCUGAUCUCACGAUCUUAAUUUGCUUAUCGCAUUGUUUCUCUACUUUCACCUUAAAUACCUUAAAGGCAUCUAAUGCUUCAUACUUAUUAUGAAUCAAAUAGAGAUACAUGUAACGUGAGUAAUCAUUUAUAAAAGAGAUGAAGUAUUUCUAACCACAAGAGUCCAUAUCCGAACUACAAAUAUCCCUGUGUAUGAUUUCUAAUAUUUCUGUACUCCUCUUGGCACCUUUUUUUGUCUUGUUAGUCUGAUUUCCCUUUAUGCAGUCCACACAAGUAUCACAAUCAGUAAAAUCUAAAGUACCGAGUACUCCAUCAUUUACUAAUCGCUUGACUCUUUCUAUGGAAAUAUGUCCCAAUCUCCGAUGCCACAACAUAGAGGAAUGUUCUUUCACAACACAUCGUUUUAUACCAACUUUAUCAUGAACAUGCAUCGCAUCAUAAUAGGCAUUGUCUUGUAAAUUAAUUCGAAAAAGACCAUCAGACAAAAUACUACUCCCAACAAUUUUAAAUUUAAAUGAUAAACAAAAGUUUGAAUCUGAAAAGUUAAAAAAGUAUCCCAAAGGUACAAGUCUUGAAACUGAAAUUAAGUUUCUAGAAAAACUAGGAACAUAAAAGGUCUUUUCCAAAUUUAAAACAAAACCACUAUUGAGAACUAGUCUAUAUGUCCCAAUAGCUUCUACAUGCGAACGCAUCUUAUUUCCUGAAUAGAUGCUUUGUUCACUUCCCACUGGCUUCCUGUGGUUUUGAAAACCCUACAAGGAAUUCGAAAUAUGGAUUGUAGAUCCAGAAUCAAUCCACCAAGUGUUGUGACUUACAUCAAUCAUAUUAGAUUCAUAACAAACACGAGAUUUGAUUACCUUUCUUCUCAAGCCAAGCCUUAAAUUUGACACAAUCCUUCCUUAUAUGCCCCUUCUGUUUAUAAAACAAGCAUUUGGAUUCUUUCUUAAUGUCAGCUUGGGGAGGUAUUUUACCUUUUCCCUUAUGCUUGCCAUAGCCCUUAUUCUUUCCUUGUAUUGUCAAAUGAGCCACUUUCUCCCAAUUCCAUAACCAGUCUUUCUUCGUCUUGAACACACAUGGUCAUGAGUUCAUUAAUAGACCAUUUAUUCUUAUGUGUGUUAUAAGAGAUCUUGAAAGGUGCGUAUUGUUGUGGGAAAGUGUUCAGAAUAUAAUACACAAGGAAGGAUUCAGAUAUCUCAACCUCAAGGUUCUUAAGCUGAGUUGCAAUGUUCCUCAUUUGCAUGAUGUGCUCACGCACACCUCUAACACUAGUGAGCUUCAAUGAUGAAAACUUCAUAAUCAGGGUCAUGGCAUGCGCCUUCUCAGAACUUUCAAAUUGCGCAUCUAUGGCCUCCAAUAAAGCCUUAGCAUUGCUAUGCUGAGCAACCGAACCACAAAUACUAGGAGAUAUCUGAGCUCUUAUAAACAUAGCACAAACAUGGUUGGACCGCUCCCAUUGGUUAUAAAGAGCUAUCUCAGCUAGAGUGCUCGAAUCAGUAGGAGCAGGUGGUUCGUCUUUCCUUAUAGUAUAGUCAAUGUCCAUCCACCCCAAUUGAAGAAGAACCGACUCCUUCCAAACUUUAUAGUUCUCACCAUUCAGUAUGGGAACAUCAAACUUAAAUUCAGAGAAAUUCACAUGUUGCGAAACUGCAUAUCAAAUAAUCAUACUUAUGUCACAAAAUUUGAGGCAAAUAUGUAUAAAUAAAUCAUAUUUUACCAAUGUAAACAUGUCACAAUAUGAAUCACAUAACAUAAAAACUUCAUGUGGGCUAAGUUUUUAAUUUAAAUAGAUUCAUAAUUACUUCAUGAAGAAACUACCAUAUUAUAUGCAUUUUCUUAAUCCCUAUGGGUAAAUUAAGAAAAAUAAUAUGAUAUUUCAUCCUAAUUAAUCAUAUUAAUAUAAUGAAAAUUCAUGUGGGAUAAAAUUCAUCAUAUUAAUAUAAUUAAUUACAAUCAAUGUCCGUUUUUAAAUAUGAUCCGGAGGCUUUUAAUAUAUAAUUUAAUUAAUUAAAGAUGUUGUGGCCACUCUCUAAUUAAUUAAUUAAUUAUAUUGACCAUUGGACAUUUAAUUUCACGCAUAAAAUAUUCAUAACAAUGCAUGAAAUGACAUAAUAUAUAAAUACAUCAAGGGCAUAACAGUAAAUAAAUAAAUUGGCCAAGGGCAAGAUUGCAAAAAACAAGAAAAUUUGAGGCAAAAGCGUAAAUAGAAGCCGCAUGGAGGAGACGCCAGGCACGCGCCUGUUCCCGCGGCAGGCGCGUGGUCCAUACGCGCGCGGUUCAGCGCGCGUGCGCGUGCAACACACACACCUAGCAACUGCCACGCUCGUGGAUCCCACGCACGCAACGGUUGAGCGCCCGUGAGAGCGCGUGGCGCGUGGAUUCCACGCCCCUGCAACCGCAGUGCGCGCGUAGGCUCCACGUGCCUUCUUCCUCACACGAACAGAAGCUUUUCUUCGCCAUUCCGCCGCGGUUUCGCCGGCUAUUUCUUCUCCGGCCGGCCAUUUCUUCUCCAGCAGCCCAUCUCAGACAGAAAUAAAUAAUGAGUUUUGAAGAGCAUGCCGGAAAAAUCACACGGGUCCAAGUUUCGGUGAAAAUGAGCAAAAAUUGGCCCCAAAAUCAUACGAAAAUUUCCUAAAACACAAUUCCUUCAACCACUGCGACUUCCACCGCCCGAUUAGCCUCCGGCGAUCACCGAUAUGCCGAAAUAACUCAUGACUAAUAUUCCUCAUGGCGGUGCGACCGUGCGGGUCCGAAAUCAUGGGGUGGGUCGCCGGAAUUUGCUUGGAAUUUGGGAGUUUCUCUGUUGGCCUCAAAACUCCGAAUUACUGUUCAUGUUCAAAAUGCCCAAAAAACACACCAAAAAUUCGAGAAAAACAAGGCAGAGGCACUAGACAUGCUCUGAUACCAAAUGUAAGACAAAAUAAUUCAUAUGCAGAAGCCAGGAUCAAUUAAAGACAAACCUCCCGCCAUUGUUUUGUUCACGUUCGUAAAAAAACCUGAAAUCAAAGAAAAUUGAGGACACUCUACUACCCAAUUCACUCUCGUACUGAUGGUGUAUUCUGAAUGAGAGAGUUUGAGUUAGACAUUGUCAUCAUCUGUCAGAAAUGAACGUACUUUCCUAUUUAUACAUUGUCUCCCAUCAAGACUGGCGGUUGUCACCAAAGGGUACGAAGCGUGGAAAACUUUAUGUCGAACAGUCGCAACCUUUAGAGAAAAUAAACGUGGGAUCACAAAAAUAAAUAACAAUGCCCACUCAAGCUGAGGUGGAGGCUGAAGAAGAGAGCAGCGAAGCCAACGAUCAAUUUUCCACGGGGCCUUUACUCUUACCAGGAUUUUUCGAGUAUAUGGAACAGUUAAACUUCAGCCAACAGGUGCAAAAUUGCCAUGGUAUGUCCAUGUAAAGUUUUUAUACAUUCAUCCAGGCGCGAAGAAAGGAAAAAUCAUUAUAUUUUUCAGAUUAGUAACUCUCUCUAUAAUAACUCAAAUUCAUCUGCUUCCCUAUCAUAUCGAUUCCAAAUUACAGUUGUAUCAUUGUAUAUUCUAUAUGUCCCAUAUCGUUAUCUUUUUACCGCAUGGUUUAUUUCAUCAAAAUAUUUACUUAUGAGCAUAUGUUGAUUUUCGCCGUAAAUAUUUGUUUUUUAAUCAAGUUCUAGACAUUCGUUUUACCUGUACCCAUGGCUUGAUUUAAAAGUCCCAUUGUUGAUUUAUUUUACGCUCAACUUUUUUAGUGCAACCAGUUUUGGUGCCCCCUCAACAUCAAAAUGCUCCACAUCAAUCCAAGACAAGGAAUGUGCUUCAGAAUCCAACUGCACAAUCAUCAACAGCUCUAAGGGAUAUGGAUUUACGUAUCCUAUCAUCAUCACAAGCUUCAGAUGUUGCUCCACAGUGGCCGACCGAUGUUUCAAACUUCAACCAACAGGGAUAUCAAUGGGCCAAACUCUGGCCAACAAUCACAAGCAGAGCGUCAGUUUCCUCAGAGUUCAACAAUGCCGUCACUGGCACAAAAUCGCCAUGGUAUGUUAAUGUGAAGUAUCUAUACAUUCAUCUCGGCGGGGAGAAAAACAUCUAUUAUAUUUUUCAACGCAAACAUGUUGGAUUUUUUAACCGAAGUGGUAACUUUUAAAUAUCUCCGAUAAACAUGCUUUUUCCACACAACUGUUCAAAUAUGAAGAGAGUCAAUAACCUAUUCCUUAAUAACCAUACAUCCAAUGUGUUACACGUGGCCACUGGACCCACUGGAUCCAGUAAACUAACUACAAUAAGCAUUCUCCCGUGUUCCAAUCAACCAUAUCCUAACUUUGAUGAACAAAACACAGGUGAAAGUUCCACGAUGGCUUUAGUGGAAGCGGAAUUGUAUUUUCAUGAUCUGUUAGAUUAGUCACAAUGUUACUUUCAAUCUCAAAUGCAAAUGAUUGCCCAUCAGACUCCAGCAGGGGCGUCAUCAUUCCAGGAUGAUCAAUUACCUACUGUAGAUAAUUCAAAUUGCUUGCCGGAUUGCAAUCAGCACUCUCAAUUGCAAACUUUAAUGGACAUAGAUCCCUCAAUUGCACCACAGCAUACAAGUGACUCACACAUUAUUGAGGCAACAACGGUUGAAUCUCAAGUUUCAGAGGCGGCAACAAAUGCAACAGGCCCAUCGUCAUCACAAGGUGUGUUUGGAUUAAUCUUCAUUGUUACUAUAUGGUUCCACUAGACUCUUAAAUAUCCCCAAAUUAUUUUAUCGAAAUCUAACAUAUGUUUUUUUUGUAAAUUAGAUAUGAAUAGGGGUUCUCCAGUCAUGGACGUACGGAGCAUCUAUGCCAACGAUGAAGAGAUAAGAAACCUGAAAAGAAAAGUGGAAGAACUUGACGACAAAAAAGCUGUCAUAAAGGAGCAGAUGGAGAUAGAGUCUGCUGCUUCCUCUGUUCGGAAGAAGCCGAGGAUAUUGGUUGAGAGAUGACUGAAAGAGACAGAAAGAGCAAGAAAUAAUUUCCAAAUAAUUGGCCAAGCCAAUGUGGAAACUUUGCCACCAAAGGAACAGGUGGAGACAUUGACGAGAGAAGUGGAAGAACUCAUAGGAAAAAUGCUUCCACAAACACUACUCAUAGAGGAGAGAGAUGCCAAAGGAGUCAAAUUUUUUGAACGAAAGCUAACAGGUGAAGUGAUUCAUAGGAACAUUAAGUUGAUUUGGGAUUGUCUGAAGGAAAAUCAUGUAUGCAAAUUGGGUAUUUAUGGAAUGGGUGGUGUUGGGAAGACAACUAUUAUGAUGCACAUACAUAAUAGACUUCUCAAUGAUGCAACCUUCGAUGGUGUGGUUUUUAUCACUGUGUCCAAAGAUUUCAGCAUUUAUAAGUUGCAGAGUGAUAUUGGGGAGGCAUUAAAAUGUGGCAUUAAGGAGGUUGAGGAUGAGAAGAAAUGAGCAGCGAUGUUGUUGGAGCAUUUAGAAAGAAAGAAGAAUUGUGUAUUGAUUCUUGAUGAUGUGUGGGAACAUCUUGAUCUUGAAGAGUUGGGAAUCCCUAUUAGAGCACAUGGAUUUGAGUUCAUCUUAACCACUCGAUCCUUUGAUGUGUGCUGCCAAAUGCAAUAUCAAGAAAAGAUCAAAAUCAAGCCUCUAUCUCAAGAAGAAGCCGAGAGUUUGUUUUUGGAGGAGCUUGGACCCGAAAUGCCACUUAAUUUGGAAAUUGAAGCAAUUGUGAAGUCCAUUGUUAAAGAAUGUGCAGGCUUGCCGAUUGGAGUAAUCACGAUGGCGAGAAGCAUGCGAGGAGUGACCGAAGUGUUUGAAUGGAGGGAUUCCUUGGUGAAAUUGAAAGAAUCGACUAUUAGACAAACAUAUAUGGAAGGUUUUAAGAAUUUUGAAAUUUAGUUAUGAUUGCCUUGGUAAUUCUAAUGUCCAACAAUGUUUCUUAUCUUAUGCACUUUAUCCAAAUGAUGGAUUAAUUGGUGGAUUGAGUACGAGUAAUGAACAAUAUGAUAGAGGGCUCACCAUAUUGAACAAAAUGAGAAAUGUUUGCCUAUUGGAAGGUCAGCACAAGAGAGGGAUGUGGAUGAAGAUGCAUGAUUUGAUUAGAGACAUGGCAUUGCAUAUCAUGGGUGUGACUUUCAUUGUAAAAGCAAGAAAGCAAUUGAUGAGGAUUCCAUCCGAAGAAUAUUGGACUGAUGCUUUGGAGAAAGUUUCUCUAAUGAAUAAUAACAUUAAAGAUUUUCCAUUGGACAUGUCGCCAAAUUGCCCUAACCUAUCAACUCUUCUAUUAAAAAAUGGCUUGUCGCAUGAUGCGGUCAUCCCUGAUUCUUUCUUCAAAAAUUUAUGCGGGCUAAAGGUUCUAGAUUUGAGUGGAAAUGAUAUGACAAAACUUCCAAAUUCCAUCUCAAACUUGGUAAACUUGAGAGCACUAUUGCUCAGACAUUGUCAGGAAUUGCGCCGUGUUCCUUAUCUAGGAAAGCUCACAUCUUUAAGAAAGUUGGGCGCUGAAUACUGUAGGAGUCUUGAAGUGCUUGAGGGUUUGGAAAAGUUGGUGAACUUGAGAUACCUUAACCUAACUGGAACACAUAUUGAGAGAUUGCCCAAGGGAAUGUUGGACCAUUUAUUACACUUGCAAUAUCUUAAAUUUUCGGUGGUAAAUGAAGAAGACAUUACGAAAUUGGGGGCAUUGAAGACAUUUGGAUGCUACCUUAAAAAUGUGGAUGAUUUCAACAAGUGUGUGAAGGCUAUUGAGCAUAGUAAUAACCCUCGCUAUUACGACCUCAAAGUGGAUCGAGAAAAACCAGAGUUUAUUGCGAAAGUAAGCGAUGAUACUCAAUUUGGGAAUUUGAGGAGGAGAGUCAUCAUUUGGGAUUGGAGUCAUGCCAUUUUGAGCGUGGGAGGCGAUUGCACCAGCAUUUUUAUUUUGAUUCCCCAAGAUGCGCAGAUAAUGAUAAUGAGAAAAUACGACGGUAUAACAAAUUUGUCUGGCAUGCGUCUGCUUGAAUACCUUGAGGAGCUAAAUAUAGAAGAAUGGGAAAACUUAGAGGUGCUCUAUGGAGGACAAGACAAAGAAGUAAUCGUCAUCCAUGACUCCCUUACCCCAACCCCUACCUUUCCGCUCUUCCCCAACCUUAGGGUUUUGCGAAUAGAAAAAUGUACGAAAUUGAAGUAUCUCUUUGGGCAUGGGUCUAAAACCAACCUUCCGCAUCUACGAGACAUUCUAAUAUAUGGAUGUGAGGAAAUGGUGGGGAUAAUAGCAGCAGUUACAUCCCCACCACCACAUCCGCUCCCAUUUUUCCCUAGUCUGGAACAGAUUACUAUUGAAAAAUGUAAUAACAUGAAGAGAGUGGUGGAAUCUGAGUGGAUGCCCCACUUCCCUAAUCUAAGAAGAAUCUAAGUAUUCAAAUGUGAGAAGAUGGAGGAGAUAAUCGAAGGUCGUCCCCCAUACUUGCCAGUUGAAGGCAUUUCUCUCGAAUCUCUUACGGUAAUAGAUUGCGGUAACAUGAGAAAGCUGCUUCCGCAUGAGUGGCUGCUCCAUCUUCGAAAACUUCGAAAGAUCAUGGUCUCAUCGUGCAAUGGAAUGGUGGAGAUGAUAAGUGGAGCGGGACAAGGUCAAGAAGGAAGCUUAACGACUCCCUGUAAACAACACCCCUUCAUCCUUCCAGCCUUCUUCAAUUUCUCCCCCAAAGCUGGAGUGGUUGGGACUACUCAAUCUACCCCAGCUGAAGAGCAUAUGCGAAGUCCCAAUAAGCUGCGAUUCCAUGAAAAAUUUGACGGUGUACGGAUGCCAAGAACUGAAGAGGAUUCCUUUGCAACUGCGAUUGUGUGAAAUUGAGGAGCUUCCACAUAUUUGGGUGGAAGAUGAGGAAAAGUGGAAGACGCUAAUUUGGGAUCAUCCCAAUGCUCAGGCUACUCUUAAACCUUAUCUCCUAAAAGGGAAUCACACUAAUAGAGAAAGUCCUUUAUUUUGGGAGGGACCGAGUCCUCCAAGUGCUAUAGGUUAAUGAGUUUAAUCGAUAUACAAUUGCUUCACUUCUUAAAAGUCCUUAUAAAGAUGUAGCUUCUCUGUCUAUAUAGUCAUGCAGCUCUAAUAGUGGCCUUUUGCAGAACUGUCCACCAAGGGAGAGGAUCUCUAGUGACUCUGCUCUUGAAGAAAGCCCUACUGCUCGACCAUGCUUUCCUGCAAACUCGACUCAGGUUGUCAUAUAAUUUGACUUUUUUCGUGUAUAUUUUGAAUGUGUUCGCAUGUUUUAUUGACUAUUGGAAAUGAGUCAAUCUGGUCGAUAUUUCAGGUUAGUCAAAAAACAACGGAUCUGAAGAUUUAGGAAGCUAAGGGACGAGCAAAGCCUGUUUCCUAUCUUGUCUUAUAACCGAAAGGACAAUUUAUUAUUAUGGAUUGAUCUUCCUAGAAUAUUAGCCUUCUAAGAAAAGAGAGAAUUUUGGGCAGCACUACCUUUUAAUAUGCUUGUGUUUAGAAAGGAUUUCAAAUAUGAUAUUGCUAUAACUUGUCGAUCAAAAAUGUUGUGCCACAUAUGCUGCUUUGCUCUCUUGGAUCAGAGCAACAUGACUCUGAUUAAACUUGUUUCGACAUUAAACUAUCGGAUAUAGAAUACUUGAUCUGCUUAGUAGUUGUAUCAUAUCUGGAAACGUAGGCUGGAAAGUUUUCUUUUCACCCUUUGUUGUAAAAUUUCACCUCAACCCCACUUUGAGUUAUAAAAUAAAAAUCCAUCACCCCUCUUUUGAUUCCUUGAAGUCGUAAAUAGAUGGAGAACCCUACAGCUUCAGCUUAAGUUGCCAAAAGAUUAGAGCAGUUACCACUAGCAAGUUAGUGGUGAAAAGGCCAACUUAUUGGACAUGGCACUUUCGGAAAUGUUUACAUUGCAAGCAACAGGUUAGCUAGCUCUGGUAAACUUUGACAUGUUCCAAUUUUCUAGAUAUCCAGUCAGCUAAACUUUGACCUAUUAGGUGACAGAGAAACCAGAUCUUUAUGUGCAUUGAAGGAGUUUGAGCUAUUGCCUAAUGAUCCAAAUUCAGCUGAGUGCAUGGGGCAGUUAAAGCAGGUAAUGUCUUUGUUAUGCUCCGGGAUCCAAUCUAUUCUCUCAUCUGAUCUAAAUAUGCUGGGAGGAAAUUUUUUUUUAUCAUUUCUAGGUAAUUGAUUGCUUUGCUACUACAGGAAAUUCAAGUACUUAGCCAGCUUAGACAUCCAAACAUUCUGCAGUAUUAUGGCAGUUAAAUUGUGAGUCACCUUUCCACGGCAUCUACACGACCCAGAUCAAUGGGCAUUCAUAAUUUUACUUACCGAAAUUCCAACAUAUUCAUACAUACUUAGGUUGAGGAUCAACUUAAAAUAUAUCUAGAAUAUGCACAUCACGGUUCGAUAGACAAGUAUAUUCAGGAGCAUCUUAGGACCCUAACAGAAUCGGUUGUUCACACUUUUACCCUCCAUAUUGUGGCUGGAUUGGCUUCCCUGCAUCUUAACAACUCCAUACAUGGGUAAUUCUAAACCAUUGAUCAAGUAUCAUGAGAUGACUUGCAUACUAGAUUAGGAUGAUUGGACCUUCUUCUUUGUCCCUAUAGACCUGUUAAAACUCUUUGGCUUGCGCAGGGAUUUAAAGGGAGCUAAUUUAUUUGUGGAUGCAUAUGGGAUAGUUAAACUUGCUGACUUUGGGAUUGCUAAACAUGUGAGUUUCCACCUCUUCACUGCAAGACUACUGAGUGCAUGUAGAAAUUCCUUGUUGAUCUAUGGUGCAUUCGAAUGUUAAGUCAGGAACCCAGGGUGACUGCAUACUUCUCAUUAAUGGUUUGUGGCAUUUCAUAUAUGCAAAAAUCCAUUAUAGAUGGAUGAAAUGUUAUUGAGUAAUUUUCUUCACUUUUUUUCCCAUUGUUUCGGGUAAAGUUACUAUGUUGCAUAAACUAGAAAAGAUUUCUUGUUAUAAAUAGAUGCUGAAACCUACUGAGAGUUCUUUCCUUUUCUACUGGUUUCUAAAAAGUUCCUAAGAGAGGUAGUGAAUAAAACGCAAUACCUUUGGCGAAAGGUUGUGGUUUUGUUUUUGCUGCUUCUCUGCAUUCCCAAAGAAGGAUAGAAUUUAGUUAGAGUAAAGAAAGGCCUCCUUCCUAACAUGGGGUUAAUAAAAGUGUAUUGGUCCAUAGAACGGAAUUCUAGACAAUAGCCACGGUACUGUUGGUCUCUUUUUUGAGUUCUCAAACAUUUGCUGAGACCAUGUUGUUGAUUGCUUCAUGGUCAUUUUUCUCAGUAAUGAGCUAACAUAAGUUGAAAGUGGUUGAUUUAGUUAUCAAUCUGAUGUAUUUAUAUCUAUAAAGAUGUUGCUAUUUUAUCCAGUGUUCCAUGAACACACUAGGUAGUCUUCGACUCUACUAAUCUCUUACCAUUUCUUAGCUAACCGGACAAGCAGCUUCUUGCUCUUUGAAGGAAGUCUAAACUGGAUGGUUCCCGAGGUACUCUGCUUUGGUGAAUGUUAACGCUGCAUUCUUUUUUUGUCGUGACGGAAUGAUGGAAUAAUAUAUCCAGCAGCUCAUACAAUCCUUGAUGGCAAAUAAUUACAGCACAGAUCUCGAUUGUAUUGUCGACUUGUGGAGUUUGGGAUGUACUAUUACCGAAAUGAUAAUUGGCAAACCUCCUUGGAGUGAGUAUGAGUGGGUAGGUACGCUGCAUUGCUUUUUCAUUUUCUCUGUUUGUCCCUCCAAGUAAUACGCUUCCAACCAAAUCUGCAUCGUCGUCUGGAAGAGAUUAUUGUUUGGGACUGUGGUAAAAUGAAGAGAGCAGUGGAAUCUGAGUGGAUGCCCCACUUCCCUACUCUGAGAAGAAUCACAGUAUAUGAAUGUGAGAAGAUGGAGGAGAUAAUCGAAGGUCCUUUCUCAUACGUGCCAGUUGAAGAGAUUUCUCUUGAAUCUCUUGAAUCUCUUGAAGUAGCAAAUUGCAAUAACAUGAGAAAGCUGUUUCCGCAUGAGUGGCUGCUCCAUCUUCGAAAUCUUCAAAGGAUCGAGGUCGAUUAUUGCAAAGGAAUGGUGGAGAUGAUAAGCGGAGCCAGACAAGGCCAAGAAGGAAGCACGGUGACUCCUGUAAAUAACACCCCUUCAUCCUUCCAGCCUCCUAUUUCUCUCCCAAAGCUGAAGUUCUUGGGUCUAUGGUCUUUGCCCCAGUUGGAGAGCAUAUGCGAAGUCCCAAUAAGCUGCGAUUCCAUGAAAGAAUUGACAGUGUCCGGAUGCCCAGAACUGAAGAGGAUUCCUUUGCAACUGCGAUUGCGUGAAAUUGAGGAGCUUCCGCGUUUAUGGGUGGAAGAUGAGGAGCAGUGGAAGACGCUGAUGUGGGAUCAUCUCGAUGCUCUGGCUAUUCUUCAACCUUAUCUCCAAAAAUGGAAAUACGCUGUAAGUAAUGAGUUAAUUGUAUACGAUUGCUUCACUUCUUAAAAGUCUUUACAAAGAUGUAGCUUUUCUGUCUAUAUAGUCAUGCAGCUCUAACAGUGGCCUUUUGCAGAACUGGACGCCAGGAGAAAGGAUCUCCCUUGGCACUGCUCUUGAAGAAAGCCCUGCUGCUCGACCAUGCUUUCCUGCAAACUCGACUCAGGUUGCCAUAUGAAUUGACUUUUUUCGUGUGGCCAUGCUUUGUGUAUUUUCAAUGCGAUUGCAUGUUUUAUUGACUACUGGAAAUUAGUCAGUUUGGUCGAUAUUUCAGGUUAGUCAAAAAACAACGGAUCUGAAUAUUUGGGAAGCCAAGGGACUAGCAGAGGUCUGUUUCCUAUCUUGUCUUAUAACCGAAAUGAAAAUUUACUAUUAUUAAUUUAUCUUCAUGGAAUAUUAGCCUUCUAAGAAAAGAGAGAAUUUUGGGCAACACUACCUUUAAUUUGUUUGUGUUUAGAAAGGAUUUUAGAUAUGAUAUUGCUCAAACCUGUCGAUCCAAACUGUUGUGCGAUAUACGCUGCUUCGCUCUUUUGGAUCAGAGCAACAAGACCUCGAUUGAACUUGUUUCGACAUUAAACUGUUGGGUAGAGAAUACUUGAUCUGCUUAGUAGUUGUAUCAUCUCUGGAAAUGUAGGCUGGGAAGUUUUCUUUUCACCCUUUGUUGUAAAAAUUCACCUUAGCCCCACUUUGAGUUAAGAUGUAAGAAGAUGAAGAAGAAAGAAUUGCACAGCUAUCAACCCUCUUUUAAUGCCUCUAAGUCGUGGAUAGAUGGAGAACCCUACAACUUCAGCUCAGGUUGUCGAAAGAUCAAGCAGUUACCACUAGCAAGUCAAUGGCAAAGAGGCCAGCUUAUUGGAUGUGGCACUUUCGGAAAUGUUUACAUUGCAAGCAACUAGUAAGUUAUCUUUGGGAAACUUUGACAAGUUCCAUUUUUUUUCGAUAUCCAGUCGGCUAAACUUUGACAUAUUAAGUGACAGAGAAACCAUAUCUCUAGGUGCAUGGAAGGAGCUUGAGCUAUUGCCUAAUGAUCCAAAUUUAGCUCAGUGCAUGAGGCAGUUAAAGCGGGUAAUGUUUUUAUUAUGCUCUAGGAUCCAAUCUAUCCUCUCAUCUGAUUUAAAUAUGCUGGGAGGAAACUUUCUUUCAUCAUUUCCAAGUAAUUGAUUGCUUUGCUACUACAGGAAAUUCAGGUACUUAGCCAGCUUAGACAUUCGAACAUUAUACAGUAUUAAGGCAGUGAAAUUGUGAGUCACCUUUCCACGGCGUCUACGCAUCCCAGCUCAAUGGUCAUUCAUUAUUUGACUCACCAAAAUUUCAACAUUUUAUACAUACUCAGGUUGAGGAUCAUCUCAACAUAUAUCUAGAAUAUGAACAUCAUGGUUCAAUAGACAAGAAUAUCUAGGAGCGUCUUGGGACCCUAACAGAAUUAGUUGUUGCACUUUUACUCGCCACAUUGUUACAAAAUUGGCUUCCCUGCAUGUUGACAACUCCAUAUAUGGGUAAUUCUAAACCAUUGAUCAAGCAUCAUGAGAUGACUUGCGUAUUGGAAUAGGAUGAUUGGACCUUCUUCUUUGUGCUUACAGACCUGUUAAAACUCUCUGACUUGCGCAGGGUUUAGAGGGAGCUAACUUAUUUGUGAAUGCAUCUGGGAUAUUCGAACUUGCUGACUUUGGGAUUGCUAAACAUGUGAGUUUCCACCUCUUCACUACAAGACUACUGAGUGCAUGUUGAAAUUCCUUGCUGAUCUGUGGUGCAUUCAACUGUGUACUUCUCAUUAUUGGUUUGUGGCAUAUCAUAUGUGCAAAAAUCUAUCGUAGAUGGAUGAAAUGUUAUUGAGUAAUUUUCUUCACUUGUUUUCCCAUUGUUUUGGUUAAAGUUACUAUGUUGCAUAUAUGGGAAAAGAUUUCUUGCUAUAAAUAGAUGUCGGAACCUAAUGAGAGUUCUUUCCUUUUCUACUGAUUUUUAAAAAGUUCCUAAGAGCGGUAGUGAAUUUGUAAUACCUUUGCCAAAAGGUUGUGGUGUUGUUUUUGCUGCUCCUCUGCAUUCCAAAAGAAGGAUCAAAUUUAGUCAGAGUAAAGAAGGGCCUCCUUCCUAACAUGGGGUAAAUAAAAGUGUAUGGGUCCAUAGAACGAAAUUCUGAACUAUAGUCAAGAUAUUGUUACACUCUUUUUGAGUUCUCAAGCAGCAUUGGCUGAAGUCAUGUUGUUGAUUGCUUCAUGGUCUUUUUUACUAAGUAAUGAGCUAACAUAAGUUGAAAGUGGUUGAUUCAGUUAUCGAUCUGAUGUAUCUAUGUCUAUAAAGAUGUUGCUAUUUUAUCCAGUGUUCCAUGAACACACCAAGUAGUCUUUGGCUUUAAUAAUGCCAUACCAUUUCUUAGCUAACCGGACAAGCAACUUACCGCCCUUUGAAUGGAAGUCUAAACUGGAUGGCUCCAGAGGUACUCUGCUUUUGUGAACGUUAAUGCUACAUUCCUUUUUUUGUCGUGGCAGAAUGAUGGAAUAAUAUAUCUUGCAGCUCAUGCAAUCCUUGAUGGCGAAUAAUUACAGCACAGAUCUCGAUCAUUCUGCCAACAUGUGGAGUUUGGGACGUACUAUUAUUGAAAUGAUAACUGGGAAACCUCCUUGGAGUGAGUAUGAGUAAGUACGCCGCAUUGCCUUUUCAUUUUCUCUGUUUGUCCUUCCAUGUAACACGCUUCCAACCAAAUCUGCGUUGCCGUUUUCUGUGGGAAGUUCAGGGUCGUGUACAUCGCCAUUUGGUAUGUGAUCUGUGUCAUGCGUUUCUGUUUAAGGUUGAAUCAUUAAUGUAGGCUCAAGCUACAUUUAAGGUGAUUUGAAGUUCUCUAGCAAUACCUGAGACGUUAUCUGCCGAGGGAAAGGAUUUCCUGCAAUGCUGCUUUCGAAGACAGUCUGUCGAGAGGCCUUCAGCUGCUAUGCUACUUGAGCAUGCUUUCCUGCAAAUCUGAAGUUGCAGAUGACUGACCUAUUUCAAGUGCCAUAUGUUGUCACAAAAGGGUUGUUGUCCUGUAAAGUUCCAUAUUGACUAAACCAGAAGGAUCACACGGUCCAUAGAUGUGAUAAAGUACUUGUAUAUCGACAAAAUAAGACGGAUGUUCCUCUUGCAUGGUCUGACUAGCGGCAUACUGAUCUAGGCAAUUUAACAGUGUUGCUUAAUCUAAACCUUUUAGUGUAGAGUGCAUUCUUAUCAUAAACAUUUUGUGCGAAGUACAUUUAUUCAUCAAAAUUGAAUGGUAUUGAUUUGGCUCCAAAUAAGCAACAGAUCAGUGAAACAAAAGCAGGUAAACCCAGAAAAGAGGAGAAAAAGAAAAUCGAAGCGAUAGUGCAUCAGAAUUCCUGAACUAAUUUUGAAAGCAAAUACUUUGUCGGUUUGGUGGGAGGAACAUUGGCAGGUUUGGCAAACCUGCAGUGUCUUAGGAUUGCAUUAGAGGCUCUUGAUUCUUCCCUUCAACAAAUACAUGAGAUUUUCUCCGACCAGAGUGGCCCUCAUCACUAUCACCAAAUUCCGGUGAAUCAAGAAAAGCCAUCGUGGUCUGUCUCUGAAUUUAAAUGAUGAUGAGGAUCCAAGAUUUAUAACUUCCGAGAGGAGAAUCAACGUUAAUUGUUGUGAUUAUGCUCUUGUCAGGGCAGUGAGGGGAAAGUCUUUCCCCUAUUGGUUUUGCUCCCAAGUGAUGCUGCAAGUUUACUGUAUUUUCCCCUUAUGGUUGUUUGUCAUUUCGUGGACCAUUUUUAGAAUAACUUUGCAUCUCCUCUCUAUAAAAUACAAACAACUGAUGAAAUCUGUUGAAAAUAUCUCACACCGGUCUUUUACAAGAUUUUAAUGGGCCUUACAUUCAUAUAAUUUACCUUCACUUGUUCAAAUUUUUAGGUUGGACUUUCUCUUAUGUGCAAAUAGCAAUUUCUGCUUGAAAUGAAGAGUAAACAUGCUUCCCUUUUUUAACUAUUUUUUCUACGAUUAAAGUGAUUCCUCUACCCUAUACUAGAAAUAUAUAAAGUGUCACAGAAAAAGAAACUCCUCGAAAUUUUGUAAAGUCGGAGGCGCAGCUCAGAUUGAGCUAUGACUCUCAACUGCAUUAAAUUCUCUCUUCAUUUUCGUCUUCUUUUGUUCUUUUCCUCAAUUUUUAGCCAACAUCCUAACCAUAAGGCGCCUUUUCUCUUUUGUCCCUUAUCUCUCCCCCUUUUCUUCGUACACCUCACUCUUCUUUUCCUGCCUCUUUUUUUUUUGGUUCUCUGCCCGAACCCUUAACGAAGACAACUAAUUGGUAUUUAGUUUUCCAAAGUGUAGCAUUAUUGAGCACCAUCAUCGACCAUCAAGUUCGCUAAACUCAACCAUCAAUUAACUAACUAUUCUUGUUUAACAGGCCAGGCCAACGCUCGCUUGGGCAAGGGCGAGCCCCGGUGAGGGCUCCCAUUAUUUAAAAAUAUUUAAAAAUUAUUAAAAAAUUAUUAAAAAUGAUCUACGUCAGCGCCAGCGGUCCUACGUGGCACCACCAAUGUCCACAUCAGCAUUUUUCGGCCAAAAUUGACCAGAUGGACUGAAUUGGCAAUAAGUGAAAACGUUUAAGACUGAAUUGGCAAAAUUAAAAAUGCAAUAGGUUUAGGACUUUUUGGACAAUUUUCCCGAAAUAAUUGCGAUACCAAAUGCUAAAGGGCAAGACGGGAGACUUUUAUACGAAGUGAAUGGAAGCAAAGGUGCUUCUGAAAAGGGCAUUUUCAGAAGGAAAAGUGCUUGUGCAGCUAAGGGGGGAAAGAGGGGAGUCUUAUAAGAACUGAGGUAAAAGUGCUUGCAAAAAGGACAUUUUCGGAAAAAAAAAAAGUGCUGGUCAUAAGAGCUUUAUAAAUAGUGAUAUGGCUUCUUAUAAAACGUUUUAUACGAAGUCGGAAAAGUUUUGUAAGAAGUGACGUGGCUUCCUCUAUAAGGGCAAGGCAGGAGACUUUUAUAAGAAGUCAAUGAAAGCGAAAGUGCUUCCGAGAAGGGCAUUUCGGCAGGAACAGUGCCUGUGCAGCUAAGGGGGAGACAGGAAAGUUCUAUAAGAACUGAGGCAAAAGGGCUUCCAAAAACAGCAUUUUCGGAAGAAAAAGUGCCGGUCAUGAGAGCUUUAUAAAUAGUUACGUGGCUUCUUAUAGAACGUUUCAUACGAAGUCGGGAAUGUUUUGUAGCGGCUGACUUCGUAUAAAACGUUUGACUUCGUAUAAAACGUUUAAAUGUUUUAUACGAAGUCAGGAAAUUUUUGUAAGUGACGCGGCUUCUUUCUCAUGAAAAGCCCCCAGAGGACGCCGUUCUUCUUUUAAAACUCUCCUGGCCAGCACAUUUUUUUCAAUUCACUUCUUAUAAAACUCUUGUCUCGCCCCUUAGCAUUUGGCACCGCAUUUCUCUCACAAAACAAUUCACUCAUGGGGAAUGUUUUUACGCGCCAUUGUGAAGACGCGAUCAUUCCUGAAGCUGAAGCUGUGGUUAUAUCUGGUAAUUUUCUCUUCUUCAUCUUCUUCAUCUGUGAUUCACGGUCACCCAUAGACGUUUGAGUUGAGUUUGAUUCUUAUGUUAAAAUUUACGUCCUUCAUUUCCUUGAGAUUCAAUUGUUUCGCUUAGAAAGUUUGUCAACUAGAUAAGGGCUGGUGAUGAUGUGUUUAAUGCACUUUUGUAGGUCAGAUUUGGCGAUUAUGUGUUUGUUUUUCUCACUUUUAAGCUUCUAAAGUACAGAGAACUAGUCUUUUGAUAGUUACAAAAAGUACAGAGAAGUAGUCUUGUAAAGGUUGAUCCACUGGUAGAAUUGUGUGGCAAUCAUUAUGAGACCGUGAUGUAAUGCCUCUUUAUUUUUCUAAUCCAUAGAUCUAUUUCCCAUGUCUACCAUUCGUAAUGAAGAAGAGGGCAGUGAAGAAGUUGAAUUACAUGAUGAAUUUGCCAUCAUCAAUGUCCCCAUUCAAGGUGGAGAUGGCAAUACCAUACCCAGUGAAGAAGAGGGCGGUCAAGAAGUUGAAUUACACGAUGAAUUGAUUGCCGUCAUUAUCCCCAUUCAGGGUGGAGAUGGCAAUACCAUACCUAGUGAAGAAGAGGACGGUCAAGAAGUUGAAUUACACGAUGAAUUGAUCGCUGUUGUUGUCCCCAUUCUGGAUGGUGAUGGCAAUGGUGACGGCCAUAUUGAGGAUGGCGACAACAAUGUUGGUGAGCAUGAAGUGGAGCAAGAGGUGCAGGAGGUGGAGAAUGAGCAGGACGGCGGCGAGGGGGCUGGUGUGGGGGUUGUUGUUGGUCCUGCCGUUGCUGGUAAUAGAGCUGGCUUUAUUGUUCUGGCAACGGUGCUAGUGGGGGCGCUCGUCUUGUGGAAGAUGCGGCUGAUAACACUGUUAGAGUUGCUUUUGAUGGUGGUGGUAGUAUUGGCAGUAGCCUUGCUCCUUGGGCGCAUGGAUUGGCUAAACUUGAUAUGGAUCUUAAUCCUAAGACUCAAUAUUAUCCUAGUAUGAUGGAGAGAUUGACGCGUGGAUUGCCACGUGAGAUGUCUAGGUGGACUUCUUUGGAUGAUUUUCAGUAGAACAUUUUUGUUGCAGGAACCUCUGUUUGUAUCCUUAUUUCAUCAUGUAUACAUUUGUAUCAUUACUGGUUAUGUUGUCAAUGUACUUGGAAGGAAUAAACAUAUUCAUAGUUUAUUAACAGCUGAUUGUUCUCCUAUUGGUAUAAUUUAAGUACGCAUACGUAAGGAAUGGAGUAAGUACGGCCAUAACGAUUAUUCUCUAAUUUUAUGCGAGACUUAGAUAAAUUAGCCUCCCUAUACCAUAAAACCCGGUGGCAAUUUGAUGAACCGUCAUGUUUUCUUAGGAUUAGUAUGUGCACAAGUAGUUACGGAAUCUUAACUUUCACGUAAGAGGAUGGUCAGUAAGCUUUUCUUUGCCCAUGAGCUUAGCUCUCCUUUUUAUAUUCAGCUGGACUCAUCAAUGACAGAGGGUCAUUUGAUUCAAUCUUCUAUGUGAUGUUGAUGCAUAUAUGAUUACAUAUAAAUAGACGUGACAAAUGAGUGGACUGAAUUGAUUUUGGAUGGAUUAUCAAUAGGUUCAAUUCAAAUUCACGCAUUUAAUUCACGUUGACCCAUUUAUUUUCUGCACAAUUUAUAUGACACAUAGCCAAUCCAAACCCACCAACAUAACUCACAAUUUUUUUUAUUAAUACCAAUUAAACAAUUAUCAAAUUAAAAUAAUAAAAAUUAAUAGGGAUAAAUACACUUAAAAUCCUAAAAUUUGUCAUGAAGUAUAAUUAAAUCCUAAAAUUUAUCACAAAAAUUCAAUUGAAUUUUAAAAUUUUCAAAAAUAGUAAUUUAAGGGAUUUUUUUUCCCCUUCGCAGGCUCCCCUUUUCUCUCUCUCCAUGCCCGCUUUUUGGAAUUAAAGAGGAGAAGAAUGAAUUUUUCGCACUAACCUCCUUCUACUUCCUCUGCUUCUUCACGAACGACCAUAAGCCUUCACAAACCGAUCCCUUUUUUCUCUGCCAUGCUUUAGUCGAGCCGUAGCAGUUGUCCUUUGACCCGGAUGUUGCCGGUGACACCGUGGCCCGUCUCUGAGCUCGACGGCGAGAAUUGAGCCACCUAGAUUCAUCUUGCGCCUCUAUCUCUCUCGUCAUCCCCUUUCGACUUCGGAUGGGGCUGAUUCGAGCCAUUGACAUAAUUUCGUCUCAGAUUCACGGCCGAGUCGAGGCAUAGAUCUGAGAUCUAGGGCUCAAUCGAGCUCCACCAAAGGCGAGGGCUCAGUCGAGCUACACCAGAGGCGAGGGCUCUUGGGAGUUAUGUUCAGAUGAUCAUUACAUGAGAGACCCAUGCCAGUACCUACUCAAGGACUACUGCUUUGGAUUGUGCCUAAGAGACAGAAAUGAUCUUUCCUUGACCAUCCAGGACUUCAACUAUGCCAGCUUUUCAGGACUUAGCUACAUCAAACAUCCCCAUUAGUGGAUAAAAGUUGAAACGCCAUUAACCCGAGAAAGAAGCCAGUGCUUUUAGAAACUCUUCUGGAUAACAUAACAAAGUGCAUUCUGCCAAUGGUAUAUGCUUUCAUUUUAUAUGAAGCUAUAUGCAUGUCGUCAUUACAAAUUUAAAAUUGAGCUCGACUGCCCAGUAUUCAUGCAAUUUUCCUUAUCUUAGCCCCUCCAGAAACUAUCAAUGCUUGCUAUAUUAAUAAAACCAAAUGCUAUUUGAACAGAACAAGGCCUAAUUUUUCUUUUGCUCUUCCAAUUUCUUUGGGUUGGUUUGAAUUUGAUUUAAUUUUUGUGUUUUUCCCUUCUUUCUUGCCUUUUACCUAACAAACCAUGAUAUUUCAACAAACAGUGAUGACAAAGCAUCAAAUUAUGACAAGGAGAUUCAUUUAUAUUGAUUGAAUCAUGCAAUAGUGAAGUUAAAGUUAUUUAUAUUAGUUGAAAGGUGAUCAUUCUUGACAUGGAGUGACAGCAAAAUACUUUCGUACUUUCUCUUCGUAAAGUGAAUAUUGUUUUACUCUUCUAUUUAAAAUCUAACAUGUAGAAAGUAAUUAACUAAGCUAAAUAAUAUAGAGUAAUUUGAGAAAUGGCAAUAUCUAUCCGAAUUCCAACAUGUCAACACAUUGAACUUUGAUGUAAUUACAUAUAUCUGUGCACGUCAUACUCUAGUAUUCCAUUGAAUUACAGCAUAAAUGCUAGAGUAUAUAUUUUGAUACUCAACCUAGAUACUCAACCCAGUGUGCUUGCUGGUAGUCAAUAUUGACAAAGUUAAAUAAGAGAAUCACAGUGCAGAAAAUCAGCGCAUCUUUGGCUGAUUCAACUUAGAAAUAAUUAAGAGGGAAAGGACCUAUAGGCUCUUAAGUCUUUGCAGAACUAGUGAAGAGCUUUAAAAUGCCAAGGCAGGCGAUUGGGAUGCAUGAGAUUCUGCAAAACCUUGAGAAGUGCAAAAGACAGGGGACAGCAGAGACCUCAGUUAAUGCAAAUUCAACAGGCACAAAUGAUCAAUGCAAUCAUGCGAUAUGAACUUGAACAGAAAAUUGCCCAAGAGCUCAUUAUGGCAGGGCAAGCUGGAAGAGGCUUACCCUGAAGUGGAUUUACCCAAUCUUUCAUCUUUACAUCGUCUCUGAUCAUCGACCAUCGACUCGAAAACAUCUAACAGUUGAUCCAGUCCCUCUGGACUGCCCCCAACUGCCUUCAUCGCGUAGAUGGCACUCUCGAGAGUGGACAAACAUCCAGCCUUAGGCUGACUUCUAACUUCUCUGUACAAGCUCAUCACCUCCAAAUCCAACUUCAGAUGAGGCAACAGCUUCAACCAAGGAUUCUCGCUGUACAUUCUCUUUGCCUUCAUCCACGUGCCGUCCAGCAAGAUCAAGUUCCUGACUUUGAACUCAGCUGCCUUGAGUUCAUCAAUGCUGAGCGCAUUCUUGGUCGGAAACAGAAGUACCGACCCGCGCGGCACUUCAAGUACGAAUUCCUCAGAUUCUUCAAGCUCCAAGCUCGAAUUCAAUACAAGGUUUUGCGAUUUCCUAACCACAAAUCCAUUCGACAGAACGUCAUGAGCUGACUGGCAAUCUAAUAUGGAAUCAAAAUCAGCUCCUCGAUGACCAAUUUGAGACAUCCAAACAUGGUCUAUCGAUUCAAUAAUCCCCUUCUUGCCCAUUCGAAAACUGAUAACAGGUUUGCUGGUACUUCUAGACAAGACUCCACAAGCGCGCGAGUUCUGCGGCACCUUGGAAUCCUCUGAAACCUCCCCACCGUUUGGGGCAAUCGAACCGCAGUCCCUUUCAUCCCCAGGACAAUAAGCUCCAUUCGAUUCGACGACCGAAUUAGGGCUUCCCACCUCCACUCCAGAUACCAAUCCAUUGGCGCUGAUUUCGCGGUCUUGCUCGAGCGGCGAGAUCGAGAACUCGACGCCGGAGUUGACGUCGGAAACGGCGGCGACGGCGACGUUCUUGAGCGCUAGCCUCAAGAUUUGGGUGGAAUUGAGGGGGUGCUUCCGCUCCAGGCUGUGCUGGAGGACAGUGACGCGGACGGGGUGGUCGAGACGCGGAGAUCGGAUCCGGGUGCAGAGGCACGUGCGCGCCGGCUUCGAGCAGGACGGGCAAACGGGUCACUUCGGAUUGGUGGAGCGGGCCGUUUCCGCCAUUUUCGCCGACCGCGGCGGACGCUGGCGGCGAUCCGGCUGGGGGAAGGAGGGAGCUUGAGGAGGAGGAGGAGGAUGGUCGGGGACGCGUAUCGAAACGGGCUCGGAUUCAGGUUCGGGAACGGGUUCGCGAAUCGGAUACGGGUUGCGAAAUGGACCCGCAUUUUCCCAGAAAUUGGGAGAUGAUUUUUGGGAAUCUGAAAAAAACGGUAGGGGCCGGAGCGGGCGGGGGCGCUGUUUGGCCAAAACGGUCGAGCAAAUGGUUUUGAAUUUACGAAAGAGCGUGCCAGCGGCGGCCUCUGUGAUUCAAAUCCGAAAAAUAGUGUGCAGAGGCCAAUCGAUGACUGCCGCCGUGAGGCAAGGUUGGAUAUCAUGAUAGCGACCAAGUGGUGGAGAUUGUUCUUGUGGGUUUAUCAUGCCAUGAGAUGGCAACUACUGCGGCGAUGGUCGAAAUCAGGAUGAUGAAUGACUGAAAUCAUGCAUCUAGACCACAGUAAGUAUCCACUUAGAUCAAAUGGUCAACAAGUUAACAAUUGAGGCCCAUGAAGAUUUUAGCAGAGGAAGUUGAUAUGUUCUUUAGAUCCUCGGACGGCGGUCGCGGUUUGCACUUCAGAUUGUAAUAGCAGCCUUGGGGUUCCUCCUUUCAAAGUCUUAUGGGUAUUUAUCACUUAGACGUCCUAAGCUUCAUAUCAGAUGCUAAUGAUGUUGCUGAACUUCACAUGAAAUCGCCUUCUUGGAAUUUGCAUGAGUAUUGUCCAAUUUCAACUUGGUGAGGAACUUUUUGGCCGAAAAAAUAAAUAAAUUUGGUUGAUGUUUCAGGUUAGCCAAAGGACGAUAUAUCUGAAUAUCUAAGAAACCAGAGGACUAGCAGAGUCUACUUCCUGUCUGGCUUAGAACUGAAAGGAAAAUUUAUAAAAAUUAUUAUAUGAUUGAUCUUUCCAAAAUGUUGCCUCCUAAAGAAAAGAGAGAAUUUUGGCCAAUACCGCCUUUAAUUUGUUUGUGUUUAGAAAUGAUUUUGAACAUGAUAUUGCAUAAACUUGUCAAUUGAAAAUGUUGUGCCACACAUGUUGCUACUCUCUCUUUUGAAUCAUACCAACUUGACAUGGAUUGAAUUGUUUCAACAUUAAACUAUUUAGAAUAUUUAUUCUACUUAGUGAUUUUAUCAUAUUUGGAAACAUAGGCCGGCAAGUUUCUUUUCGCUCUUUGUUGUCAAAAGAAGAAGAAAGAAUUGCAUAGCUAUCACCUCUGUUUUGACAAAUAUAGUAGCUUCCCAUGUCUGGGGUAAGACGGUGAAACUCGCAAGGGUUCGUCUUAAGUCAGCUUGUGCUUCGCACAAUGUCCUGUAACCGACUUGUUAGCUUAGUACCCCAAUUACCUUAUACUCCUUUUCUUCAAUUAUUAUUUUAGCACACAGAGAGAGGACCAAUGCUGAGGUCUUGAUGAGCACCGACUACCCUUGAGCAACCACUUCAACACUUCCUUGAAGAGAGAGGAAACACCCCUCCUUCUCUUCGUUUCCAUUUUCCUAUUAUUUUGUUUUUUGUUUUUUUUGGUGAUCUUUGCCUUUUAUUUUUUAAAAUUUUUUGCCUUUUCUUUGAGAUGUCACAUCAGCACCAUGCGUUCUAAAAUUUUUUAGAAAUGUCAUAUCUCCACUUUCAAAAGAAAUGAAAGAAACGUUGAAUAUAGACAGAGAAGGGGCUGGUCUUGUAUCCAAUUCAUGCCACGUCAGCAAGUUGGUAAUGUCCCUAGCCAUGAAUUAUGGAGGAACUUGAUUUCAUUAACAGAGAAAAGCUAAAGGACAUAUUUCUUCUUUUUCCCCCAAGAAUGACAGCACGUGUAUUCGGAGGAAGCUCCUCGAGGCACGGUCCGUCCUUCAGCCACAUGUUAGAUAUAAUAUUGGUAAAUGGUGAUGAACAUCAUAGUUUCUUAUGGAAUGAUCCUUGGCAUCCUCAUGCGGUGUUGUUUGGAUGUUUAUCCUAAAAAAUUAAUUUAUAAUGCUGCACUGGCCCUGAACUCUCUAGUUGCUGGUGUCAUUUAUGGAGAUGAGUGGGUUUGUCCUCCAGCAGGAUCAGAAUUUUUUGUGCAUAUUCAAGCAGCCAUAUGUGGAACGAUCUUUCCCCUGCUCUGCUUUUGAGGGCAGAGCAAUUUUCAAAGGAAAUUCCUUCGGAUGCUUUACUCAGCUGAUGCUUGGAAGCGAGUAAGGAUAAAAUGCAGAAGAUCUAAUCCAAGGCAUAAAUUCAGCUUUGUAGCUGCUUGCUAUCUUGAACAGACUGCAACUUGGACGGGAUAAAAUGGGGGUCCUCCAUUGAUGACAAAUGUGUCUUAUGCUCUUCUUCCCGAGUCUAGGAAACCUUUGUGUUUUGAGGGUGCCUUCUCAAAGGAUGGAGAUUUCUAAUGCGGCUGGUUAAAGUUUGUUGGAAUGUUAAUAAUUGGGAUAGAAUGGGUUCUCUAGAGCUUGUAGAGGGAGGUCUUUGACUAAAAUCGUAUUGAAACUCAUUUGGAAUGGUGCCAUCUACUCUAUUUUGGGGAUAGGAAUGAAGUUUUUCACAAUCAUGCUGCUCCUCCGUCUGCUGAAGCUGUUAAAAUGGCGGUCUUUGGUGUGAGACUUCGCAUCAAGAUGUUGCAAGAAACAAAGAGUCUUUCGAAGGAUGCAGAGAAAGCUUUGUGUAUGUUAUUUCGAAUUGUUUGUUAAGCCUGGGUGUUUUCUGUUGUUCUUUCUCUAGGCUUCAUAUACUAACCUGAAAAAAAGAGCUAACGGAAUUAAUUGCAAGUUAGAGGAUUUCACAGCACAAAAAUGAUAAAGCAAGACCGUAUCUCAUGAGAUACGGUUUUUUUUUUUUUUUUACCGACCAAAAAACAAAAGACCGUAUCUCAAUAUAAGAUUUGCAUUUUACGGGAUUGGUUCUUAUUUUCUUUUUAUGGUUUCGAGUGCCACUCACCACGUGUCAUCUUUCCAUGGAGGUUGGACCUGGCCGCUGGUUCCUUGAUGUUGGUCCGGUCCUGACUGCCAUUGACUCUGUUUUUCCAUUUCAUAAAAAUGCCCGACCAUUGAUCUUUCUCGAGUACCCCCAAAGCCUGACGAAUCCAUAAACUCCUGAAAAUUUAAAUUGGCAACCUCCUGAAAUUCCUGACGCUAAUUUCUUCCGUGGUCCAGAUUGCCAGAGCAGCUUCGGUCCUUCCUUUUCAUCUAUGUUUGCUACUUUGGAAUUUCCAAUUUCGUCGGUUCUUUUCUAUAUCUGCUAUUUACCCACUCUGAGGGAUCUUCAGGUGGUUCUACUUACUGGGCGAUUUUUCUUUCGUUUUUUUUUUUUUUUUGGUUGGAUGCUUACUGGGUGAUUGGGAAAGGGUUUAGUAUGGCUUCUUUUUUACAGAUGCAGAUCUUGUCUGACUUCAUUCUUUUCUAGUUAGCUCGAAGUUGUCUCCUCUCUUGUAGCUCAGAAUAAGAGAUGCCUAGAGAGGUUGAUCCAUUUCGGAGGCAUGUGGAGGUUGUGGCGAACAAGUGGAAGUGUAAGUUUUGUGGCAAGGAUUUUGGUGGAAGUGCUACAGGGAUCAGGGCACACCUCGUGGGGGCUCUGGACUAUGGUAUUAAACUAUGCGAGACAGUUGAUGAGCAUGUGGGAUCCCAAGCUUUGAAAGUGAUUAAAGGUAAAAGUGUGGCGGAUGCAACCAACAGGGGAGGCGCAUCUAUUGAGGUAAUGGGACGAAGAAGUGACGGCAUGGGCCAAAUUGUAGUCCUUGGUAGUGACCAUGCUUCGAGUCCCCAUAGUAUGCAGGACUCGAAUCGAAACGUCCUAGAGCAACCAUCUUGCCAUUGGCAGAAUGGAAGUGUUGCUGGUGCAGCUUCAGUAGAUUGUCAGUAUCAAGAGACCUUGUGUCUCGUUGGCAUGCCAGUGCGUGAUGCAGAAUUGCCCCCGCAAGGGCCGCAACCCAAUGGGUCAAUUCAACGCUUGAAUGAUGAACAUGGAAACGAAAAAACUUCAUCUCUCCAGCAACCUGCAACCGAUCCUUUGGCUUCGAUUUUUCUUGAUCCAAAGUCAACUACCAGAGCUCUUUGAUCAGUGUAUUGAUCUGGAGACGAGGCAUGAACAACGGAAUAGUAGAGGGCCAUCACCAUUGCAAAGUCAUCGAUCCCUUAAUAACAGCGUGACAAAUGAGUUGCAUCAAGUCAACUAGACCUGGUGGUGCUGCGCCUGGUCCCCGUCUCAGUGACACAAGUACAAUUGGCACUCCCCAGCAUCCCAAUCAAAACUAAUUUGGGCUUUGAUGAACAAUGGAGAGGUGAAAAUGCUCCAUGUCCGCAAAAUCUUCAGCAGAGUGGGUGACUUAUCUUCUCGAUAUGCCCUAUCAGCCACAGCAUUCCAUUCCAUCUUGUUAUUCUGAGGAAAUGCCAAUGAAUGACCUGCAGAAUCGAAUGGGUCCAUUGUCAUCACAAAAUGAUCAAUCCCUUGACGUUCAAAUUGUUUGCAAGACUGCAAUUAAAUCCCUAUUGCCGAAGUAGUUCCGCUGUCCAAUGCUACAAGCGUAACCAAUGCCGUUGAGCAUUUUAGUCGACAGCCACUUCUUAUACGUGAUGAAGAAUGUGAAAAUGAGAGUAGUUCCUUUCCCUCACAAGCUUCAAUGGACAUAUCUCCGCCAAGUGCAUCACAGCCUUCCUCUGGCCCUCAUUCUUUUGAGAAACCGGACGUAGAUUCCCAAGUUCCACAGGGCGGAACUAACAAGGCCCAUUGUCAUUACAAGGUAUGCGUUGAAGUGAUCCUUCUCUUCUCUUUUCUACUGUCUCCUAUUUAACAUCUCCCACGUUUUCCUAAUUAUAGGCGUAUCCUUGAAUGUUUCAUAUGUGUACUUUCUCUUAUUUUUUAAUGAUGAAUGUUAUAUGAGAAUAUCAAACGGAUGUAAAUGUUAGUUUCAGUGUAGAUGUUUUGUGGGAUUAAGUCUAGAUUUUGACUCUACUUACGCUUGUGGCUUGUUUUGAAAAUUCAAUGGUUGAUUGAUCAGGAUUGUUAAUGAUGAUUUUAAUCUGCUUUACUUUUGCAACCAGCUUCCAGGCACCCUCCAUGUCAAAGUCUUCUAGAUCAACCUCUUAAUCUUGAGACGAUGAACACAGAGCAUCACCCAAGCGUGUCAUCGUCAUCAUCACAGAGUAACCAGUUCUUGAUUACAUGUUUCCCACAAGCUCCGAUGGACAUAUCUGUGAGUAGUCCAUCAUCACCGCGAGGUACAUGUUAAUUCAUCUAAAUUGAUCCUUAUGUAUCCUGAUGCUACUUAAUUAGGGAGAAGCAUGAGUGCUUACAUUAGGAUCUAACACGUAGAAUUCUUGAUUCACAAUUAUCUAUUAAUAGAGUCAUUCAAACGCUGGCAACUUUGAAAAUAAUGGAGCUUUGAAAAGAAAGGUAGAAUGACUCUACAAUAGAGAAGCUGACAUAAAGAAUGAGUUGGAAUUUGCUGCAUCUCUAUCUCUGAAGAAGCAGAGAAUAGAAGUUGUGAAUUGGUUGACAAACGUGGAAAAGCAGAGGAAAAAUUUCCAAAGUCUUGAACCAGCCAGCGCAGAAAAUUUGCGACCACAAUAACAGGUGGACAUGUUGAUGGAAGAAGCGGGAAGACCUUAUCAUAAAAAGCAAAUUUCCAGAAGGACCGUUUGAGGUGGGAGAUGCCAAAGUCAAUAUAUUAUUAGAACGAAAGUUGCAGGCGGGAAAGGCAUUUGAGACAAAUAAAUACUAAGAAGAUCUUGAGGUGCCUAAUAGAGGAUCGCAUAUCAUGAUUAGGCAUUUACAAUAUGGGAGGUGUCGGGAAAACAACCAUUAUGGUGCACAUACAUAAUAGGCUCCUAGAAAAAGCAAACCAUAUUAAUGUAUUGUGGAUUGCUGUGUCACAAGAUCUCAACGUUUAUAAGUUGCAAGGUGACAUUUAGAAAAAAUUUCAUGCAUGGGUGUUAAUUUGGAUAAUGCUUACUAUUUAUUAAAACAUUGAAAAUAUAUCAUUUCGUAGAUUCUAAGAAGGAAUAAUAAUAAAAAAUUAAAGUAACGUGAGGUGGAGUAAAAACAAUCACAUCUUUAAGGGGUAAUAUCACCGAAAACCCAAAACUGGUACAUAUGCUCUAAAAUUAUUUUUAAACUUAAAUUGAUAUAUUUAUGGUAAAUUUAUCCUUUAAUAAUUUUCAUUAAAUUUUACAAUUAAAUUAUUAAGUUGGAUGACAUGUGGUAAUUGAUGAGUAUAUCAAUUUGGGAUUUUACCUUCAAUUUAUCAUAUGUGUAUGAAUUUGUAGUUUUUUGUAGUAUUAAUCAAAUGUAACGGAAAUCAAUGGAUGAUAAAUUUGUCACAAAUUCACAAGUUUUGAAUUUUUGGUGUAAAAAUUAGUUCGAGAUAAAUUUAUUACAUGUGUAAUAAUUUGGGAUUUUUGUAAUAUUAACCCUAUUUAAUUAGAGUAGAUUAAAAAAGGAUAUGAUAAAAUUAUAAGUGGUUUUUUUAGUUUAUAGAUAUAAAAUUCGGUCACGUCAAUCUAAGUACUAUUGAGGCACGUUAUUAAGGGGUCUAAUCGUCUCAUUCAAAAGGGCAUUUUCGGAAGAUAAAGUGCUGGUCAGGAGAGCUUUAUAAAUAGUGAUGUGGCUUCUUAUAAAACGUUUUUUGUCCUGACUUGGUAUGAAACGUUUUUUGUCCUGACUUGGUAUAAAACGUUUAAAUGUUUUAUACGAAGUCAGGAAAGUUUUGUCAGAAGUGACGCGGCUUCUUUCUUAUAAAAUGGCCCCAAAGGAUGCCCCACUCGACAUCACAGCACGGAGAGACGGAGGAGUAGAGAGAGAGAGAGGUGAAGAGCGACGACGGUGGAUUGCAGCCCGUCGAAAGAAAGGGUCGAGCGACGCCUGAAAUCUCCAUUUCCGAGCACCAGGCAAGAGAUUUUACCUCUAUUUCUCACGAGUUUGCGAUUUUCGUUUUUUUAAAAGUUUAAUAUCCGGACCUAUGUAGGGUUUUGCUUUACCGGCAACGCUUCGGCCGCCAAAAUCCAACCAUAUUUUGAUUACCCACAUCUCCUUGAGUCUAGAGGGAUUUCGCAGAGUUGUAGUUGGAGUCAGAUUCGAGAGAAACGAACUCUCCAAGUCCUCCUCUCUGCGCCGCAGGUGAAGAGUGUGUGCCGCCUGACUUCUUGGCUAAGCCACCUUUCGGGGCGGCGACCUGUCGAAUCUCGUAAUUCUAGAAUUAAUUAUUUUCUUGAGAAGGGAGUCCGCAAUUCCCAAGGUGUCUUUGAGUUAGAUCGGGUGUUUUUCGUCUCAGAAACAGCAAAUUGUUCUUGGGUCUGUUGGAUAGUAAUGUGCAGUUUGGCUUUCCCGCUUUAGUACUUGCGGAUGCUAGUGUUUGCUUUACACAAGAUCGGUGGGUUAUAUAGUUGGGUGCGCUCUCUUUGCCUGCAGGUUGAUAAUCAAGACAACAAGAUGCCGCGACCUGAAGAUAUAGCCUGGAAAUUCGUGCUUAGACUGGAGGGCAAGAGAUGGCGUUGUCCUUACUGCCAUAAAGAAUCCUCUGGAUCAGUCACAAGAGUGAAAAGUCACUUUCUUAAACAAGCAAAAGAAGGGAUUGCCUAUUGCACAAAAGUGCCAGAGCACAUACGAACACUAAUGGAAUUGUUACUCAAUCAUGAGGUGACUUUAGUACUUGUAGUAGCUACAUUAUCUGCUUGAGAAUAGUGCUAUGCGCACUAAGAAGAUGUAUAAAAAAUAGGGAUAAUAUAUGAUGGGGUGCGCUCUAUUUGCUUGCAGGUUCGUAACAAAGAGGAUAUAGCUUGGAAAUUCGUCAAUAGAUUGGAGGACAGCAAAUGGCGAUGUCAUUACUGCAGUGUAGAAUUCUCUGGAGACCUGACAGGACUGAAAGGUCACUUGCUUGGAGUCCCAAAUGAAGGGACUUCCAUUUGCACACAAGUGCUGGACCACGCAAGAGCACUAAUGCUGUUGUUACUCGAUGAGGUGGCUGAAGAAGAGAGCAGAGAGGUGGCUGAAGAACAGAGCAGAGAAGCCCACGGUCAAUCCUCCAUCGAACCAAAUUCCCGUGACAUGCCGAGUCAAGCUGAGGUGGCUGAAGAAGAGAUCAGAGAAGCCAACCGUCAAUUUUCCACGGAACCACAGUCGCCUGACAUGCUGUCUCCAGCUGUUCCUCGCUCAUCACAAAGCUUGGAAGAUAUAGAAAACUUAUUCACAACAACAGAGGGGGCGACCGACUUGGGAAACUUAGACUAUAACCUAGAGCGUCAAUUUUAUGAGACUUUGGCAAUGCCGCCACCGGCACAAAAUAUCCAUGGUAUGUUCAUGUGAAGUUUCCAUCGAUGCAUCUAGGCAUGGAGAAAAUAUAUCUAUUGUAUUUUUCAAUGCAAACGCGUCGGGUUUUUUUAACCAAAGUGGCGACUUUUAAAAAUCUUCUAUAAAAAUGAUCUUCCUACGGGACUUUCCAAAUGUGAAGAAAGUCAAUCACCUAUUCCUUAACAACAGUACGCAUUGAAUGUGUUGCAUGUGCCGAUCGGACCCACGGGAUGCAAUAAACUACAGUACGCAUUUUCUCGUGUUCCAAUCAGCCAUAUCCUAAUUUUGAUAAACAACACACAGGUGAAAGCUUGUCACGUUCAGCGAUGGCUUUAGCAGAAGGAGAAUCGUUUCUUCUUGAUUCGCCAUGUCAGCCACAAUGUUCCAAUCGAUCUCCUUAUCCCGAGGAAAUGCAAAUGAAUGACCACCGAACUCCAGCCGGGGCAUUAUCAUUCCAGUAUGUUCCAUUACCUGCUGUAGGUAAUUCAAAUUGCUUCCAGGACUGCAAUGACUCUCAAUUGCAAACUCCAGUGGACGUAAAUCCCUCAAUUACAUCACAGCGUACAAAUCACAUUACUGGGGCACAAAUCAAUGAUUCGAAAGUUCCAGAGGCGGCAACAAAUACAAUGGGCCCAUCAUCAUCACAAGGUUUGUAUGGAUUAAUCUACAUUGCUACUAUGGUUAUGUUAGAUCCUUGAAUAUCUCCAUAUUAUUUUAUCGAAAUCUAACAUAUGAUUUUUUAAACAAGAUAGGAACAUGGAUUAUCCAAUCAAGAACAUGCUGAGCAUCACUGCAUAUUCUAUAUGUCCGAUAUCACUUUUUAUCACAUUAUUACUUUCUUCAAAAUAUUUAACUCUAAUGCGGUCGUUACUCGAUGAGGUGGCUGAAGAAGAGAGCAGAGAGGUGGCUGAAGGACAGAGCAGAGAAGCCAACCGUCAAUCCUCCACAGAACCACAAUCACGUGACAUGCCCACUCAUGCUGAGGUGGAGGCUGAAGAAGAGAGCAGGGAAGCCAACGGUCAAUUUUCCACGGGGCCUUUAUUCUCACCAGGAUUCCUCCUCGAAGAUAUGGAACAGUUAAACUUCAGCCAACAGGAUGUCAUUUGGUUAAACUCUGCCCAACAAUCACAAACAGAGCGUCAGUUUCAUCAGAGUUCAACAAUGCCGUCACAGGUGCAAAAUAGCCAUGGUAUGUCCAUGUAAAGUUUUUAUACAUUCAUCCAGGCGUGGAGAAAAGAAAAAUCAUUAUAUUUUUCGUAUUAGUAACUCUCUCUAUAAUAACUCAAUUUCAUCCGCUUCCAUAUCGUAUCGAUUCCAAAUUACAGUUGUAUCAUCGCAUAUUCUAUAUGUCCGAUAUCAUUAUCUUUUUACCGCACCGUUUAUUUCAUCAAAAUAUUUACUUAUGAGCAUAUGUUGACUUUCGCUAUAAAUAUAUUUUUUUUAAAUCGAGUUCUAGACGUUCGUUUUACCUGUACCCAUGGCUUGAUUUAAAAGUCCCAUUGUUGAUUUAUUUUACGCUUGCCUUUUUUAGUGCAACCAGUUUUGGUGGCCCCUCAACAUCAAAAUGCUCCACAUCAAUCCGAGACAAGGAAUGUGCUGCAGAAUCCAACUGCACAAUCAUCAACAGCUCUAAGGGAUAUGGAUUUACGUAUCCAAUCUUCAUCGCAAGCUUCAAAUGCUGCUCCACAGUGGCCGACAGACGUUUCAAACUUCAACCAACAGGAUAUUAAUGAGCUAAACUCUGGUCAACAAUCACAAGCAGAGCGUCAAUUUCCUCAGAGUUCAACAAUGCCGUCACUGGCACAAAAUAGCCAUGGUAUGUUCAUGUGAAGUAUCUAUACAUUCAUCUAGGCGGGGAGAAAAACAUCUAUUAUAUUUUUCAACGCAAACACGUGGGAUUUUUUAACGGAAGUGGUGACUUUUAAAUAUCUCCGAUAAACAUGCUUUUUCCACACAACUUUUCAAAUAUGAAGAGAGUCAAUAACCUAUUCCUUAAUAACAGUACAUCCAAUGUGUUGCACGUGGCCACUAGACCCACUGGAUCCAGUAAACUAACUACAAUAAGUAUUCUCUCAUGUUCCAAUCAAUCAUAUCCUAAUUUUGAUGAACAACACACAGGCGAAAGUUCCACGAUGGCUUCAACGGAAGAAGUGCCGAAUUCUCAUAAUUUGCUAUGUCAACCACAUUGUUACAUUCAAUCUCAAAUACAAAUGAAUGACCAGCAUACAAGUGACUCUCACAUUAUUGAGCCAACAACGGUUGAUUCGCAAGUUCCAGAGGCGGCACCAAAUGCAACGGGCCCAUCCUCAUCACAAGGUGCGUUUGGAUUAAUCUUCAUUGUUACUAUAUGGUUCCACUAGAUUCUUAAAAAUCCCCAAAUUAUUUUAUCAAAAUCUAACAGAUGUUUUUUUAUAAAUUAGAUAUGAACAGGGGUUCUCCAGUCAUGGACGUACGGAGCAACUAUGCCAACGAUGAAGAGAUAAGAAACCUGAAAAGAAAAGUGGAAGAACUCGAUGACAAAGACGCUGUCAUAAAGGAGCAGAUGGAGAUAGAGUCUGCUGCUUCCUCACUUCGGAAGAAGCCGAGGAUAUUGGUUGAUAGAUGGCUAAAAGAGACAGAAAGAGCAAGAAAUAAUUUCCAAAUAAUUGGCCAAGCCAAUGCGGAAACUUUGCCACCAAAGGAACAGGUGGAGAAAUUGACGAGAGAAGUGGAAGAACUCAUAGGAAAAACGCUUCCACAACCACUGCUCAUAGAAGAGAGAGAUGCCAAAGGAGUCAAACUUUUGGAACGAAAGUUAACAGGUGAAGGGAUUCAUAGGAACAUUGAGUUGAUUUGGGACCGUCUGAAGGAGAAUCAUGCAUGCAAAUUGGGUAUUUAUGGAAUGGGUGGUGUUGGGAAGACAACUAUUAUGAUGCACAUACAUAAUAGACUUCUCGAAGAUGCAACCUUCGAUGGUGUGGUUUUUAUCACUGUGUCUCAAGAUUUCAGCAUUAAGAAGUUGCAGAGUGAUAUUUGGAAGGCAUUAAAAUGUGGCGUUAUGGAGGAUGAGGAUGAGAAGAAACAAGCAGCGAUAUUGUCGGAGCAUUUAGAAAGAAAGAAGAAUUGUGUAUUGAUUCUUGAUGAUGUGUGGGAACGUCUUGAUCUUGAAGAGGUGGGAAUCCCUGUUAGAGCUGAUGGAUGUAAGUUGAUCUUAACCAGUCGAUCCUAUUAUGUGUGCUGCCAGAUGCAAUGUCAAGAGAAGAUAAAAAUUAAACCUCUAUCUCAAAUAGAAGCCGAGAGUCUAUUUUUGGAGGAGCUUGGAUCCGAAGUUCCACUUAAUUCGGAAACUGAAGCAAUUGUGAAGUCCAUUGUUGAAGAAUGUGCUGGAUUGCCAAUUGGAGUCAUCACGAUGGCAAGAAGCAUGCGAGGAGUGACUGAUGUGUUUGAAUGGAGGGAUUCCUUGGUUAAAUUGGAAGAAUCAAGUAAGGGGCAAACAGAUAUGGAGAAGAAGGUCUUAAUGAAUCUAAAAUUUAGUUAUGAUCGCCUUGGUAAUCCUGAUGUGCAACAAUGCUUCUUAUCUUGUGCACUUUAUCCAGAAGAUGAAUUGAUUGAUAAGUUCGAGUUGGUAGAAUUCUUUAUUGACCAAGGAUUGAUUGGUGGAUUGAAUGCGUGGACAGAACAAUAUGAUAGAGGCCUCACCAUAUUGAACAAACUACGAAAUGUUUGCCUAUUGGAAGAUCAUGGGAGCGAGACGAAGAUGCACGAUUUGAUUAGAGACAUGGCAUUGCACAUCAUGAGUGCAACUUCCAUUGUAAAGGCAAGAAAGUGGUUGGAAAGUAUUCCAUCUGAGGAAUAUUGGACAGAUGCUUUGGAGAAAGUUUCUCUGAUGGGAAGCAAAAUAAGUGAAAUGUCACCAAAUUGUCCUAAACUAUCAACUUUACUACUGAAUGGAAGCUUGUUAGAGGAUGCGGUCCUCCCUGGUUCUUUCUUCAAACAGUUAUGUGGGCUAAAGGUCCUAAACCUGAGUGACUGUGAACUAACGGAACUUCCAAAUUCCAUCUCAGAUUUGGUAAACUUGAGGGCACUAUUGCUUAGAAGGUGUCGGGAAUUGUGCCAUAUUCCUUAUUUAGGCAAGCUCACAUCUUUAAGGAAGCUGGACGUUAGUGACUGUUUUGAGCUUGAAGAAGUGCCCGAGGGUCUGGAAAUGUUGGUGAACUUGAGAUACCUUGACCUAUGUUUUUCAUUGACCGUUGAAUUACCUAAAAUAAUACUGGGGGGUUUGCUAAACUUGCAGCAUCUUAAAGUUUAUUUUCUAGAUGGACAAGACAUGACAAAAUUGAGGGCACUGGAGACACUCAAAUGCUUUUUUGAAGAUGCGAAUGAUUUCAAUAAGUGUGUGAGGGUUAUUGAACAGAGUAACCUUCUCUGCUAUUAUUAUCUUUGUUAUUAUAUCGACAAAAAAUAUCAUGAUGAGGAAGAAUGUGAUAUUACUCAGGACAGGGAAGUCAAAAUUUGGGGGUGGGAUCAUGCUAUUGUGAGUGUGGGAGGGGAAUGCACCGGCAUUUUUAUUUUGAUUCCCCAAGACGUGCAGAAAAUGACGAUUUGUUGGAACGGUAUAACAAAUUUGUCUAGCAUAGGUCCGCUUGAAUACCUUGAGGAGCUAGAUAUAGAAGACUUAAACAACUUAGGGGUGCUCUGUGGAGGAGAAGACAAAGAAGUAAUCGACAUCUUUGCCCCAGCCCUUGCGCCUCUCCUCUUCUCGAGCCUUAGGGUUUUGAAAAUAUGGAGUUGUCCGGAACUGAAGUAUGUCUUUGGGCAUGGGUCUAAAUCCAACCUUCCACAUCUACGAGAGAUUGAAAUAGGGGGAUGUGAGGAGACGGUGGGGAUAAUAGCAGCAGUUACAUCCCCACCACCACAUCCGCUCCCAUUUUUCCCUAGUCUGGAACAGAUUAGCAUUACAGGCUGUUACGAGAUGAAGAGAGCGGUGGAAUCCGAGUGGAUGCCCCACUUCCCUAAUCUAAGAAGAAUCAAAGUAUCCGGAUGUGAGAUGGAGGAGAUAAUCGGAGGUCCUCCCCCAUACUCGCCGGAUGAACAGAUUUCUCUCGAAUCUCUUGAGGUAAGCUAUUGCGAUAAAAUGAGAAAGCUGCUUACGUAUGAGUGGCUGUUCCAUCUUCGAAAUCUUCAAAGUAUCUCUGUCACUUACUGCAAAGAAAUGGUGGAGUUGAUAAGCGGAGCGGGACAAGGCCAAGAAGGAAGCAUAACGACUUCUGUAAACAACACUCCUUCCUCCUUCCAGCCUUCUUCAAUUUCUCUCCCAAAGCUAGAGUGUUUGGAGCUACGCUAUCUACACCAGCUGAAGAGCAUAUGCGAAGUCCCAAUAAGCUGCGAUUUCAUGAAAAGAUUGGACGUGUGCAGAUGCCCAGAACUGAAGAGGAUUCCUUUGCAACUGCGAUUGUGUGAAAUUGAGGAGCUUCCGUAUAUUUUGGUGGAAGAUGAGGAAAAGUGGAAGACGUUGGUGUGGGAUCAUCCCAAUGCUCAGGCUAUUCUUCGACCUUAUCUCCGAAAAGGGCCACGCUGGCCUCCAAAUGCUAUAGGUUAAUGAGUUUAAUUGAUAUACGAUUGCUUCACUUCUUAAAAGUCCUUUCAAAGAUAUAGCUUUUCUGUCUAUAUAGUCAUGCAGCUCUAAUAGUGGCCUUCUGUAGUACUGAACACCAAGUGAAAGCAUCUCCUGCGACUCCACUCUUGAAGAAAGAACCCUGCUGCUCGACCAUGCUUUCCUGCAAACUUGACUCAGGUUGCCAUAUGAAUUGACUUUUUUUGUGUGGCCCUGCUUUGUCUAUUUUGAAUGCGAUCGCAUGUUUCAUUGACUACUGGAAAUGAGUCUAUCUGGUCGAUAUUUCAGGUUAGUCAAAAAGCAAUGGAUCUGAAGAUUUGGGAAGCCAAGGGAAUAACAAAGUCUGUUUCCUAUCUUGUCUUAUAACUGAAAGGACAAUUUAUUAUCAUGGAUUGAAUUUCUUGGGAUAUUAGCCUUCUAAGAAAAGAGAGAAUUUUGUGCAGCACUACCUUUAAUCUGUUUUUGUUUAAAAAGGAUUUCAAAUAUGAUAUUGCUUUAACUUGUCGAUCGAAAAUAUUGUGUCAAAUACGCUGCUUUGCUCUGUUGGAUCAGAGCAACAUGACCCCAAUUAAACUUGUUUCGACGUUAAACUAUCGGGUAUAGAAUACUUGAUCUGCUUAGUAGUUGUAUCAUAUCUGGAAACGUAGGCCGGGAAGUUUUCNNNNNNNNNNNNNNNNNNNNNNNNNNNNNNNNNNNNNNNNNNNNNNNNNNNNNNNNNNNNNNNNNNNNNNNNNNNNNNNNNNNNNNNNNNNNNNNNNNNNUACUUUGAAUUAGAAAUGUAAAAAGACGAAGAAGAAAGAAUUGCACAGCUAUCACCCUCUUUAAAUGCCUCGAAGUUGUGGAUAGAUGGAGAACCCUACAGCUUCAGCUCAAGUAACCAAAAAUCAGAGCAGUAACCACUAGCAAGUCAAUGGAAAAAAGGCCAGCUUAUAGGAUGUGGCACUUUUGAAAGUGUUUACAUUGCAAGCAACCAGUAAGUUAGCUCUGGGAAUCUUAGACAUGUUCCAUUUUUUUAGAUAUCCAGUCAGCUAAACUUUGACAUAUUAAGUGACAGAAAAACCAGAUCUCUAUGUGCAGAGAAGGAGUUUGAGCUAUUGCGUAAUGAUCCAAAUUUAGCUGAGUGCAUCGAGCAGUUAAAGCAGGUAAUGUUUUUGUUAUGCUCUGGGAUCCAAUCUAUCCUCUCAUCCGAUCUAAAUAUGCUGGGAGGAAACUUUCUUUCAUCAUUUCCAAGUAAUUGAUUGCUUUGUUACUACAGGAAAUUCAGGUACUUAGCCAGCAUAGACAUCCGAACAUUCUGCAGUAUUAUGUAAGGGAAAUUGUGAGUCACAUUUCCACAGCAUCUAUGCGUCCCAACUCAAUGGGCGUUCAUUAUUUGACUAACCAAAAUUUCAACAUAUUCAUACAUACUCAGGUUGAGGAUUGGCGUUACAUAUAUCUAGAAUAUGCACAUCACGAUUCAAUAGACAAGUAUAUCCAGGAGCGUCUUGGGACCCUAACAGAAUCGGUUGUCAGCACUUUACCCGCUAUAUUGUGGCUGGAUUGGCUUCCCUGCAUGUUUUUUUUGGUAAAGAGGCUUCCCUGCAUGUUAACAACUCCAUACAUGGGUAAUUUUAAACCAUUGAUCAAGCAUCAUGAGAUGACUUGCAUAUUGGAUUAGGAUGAUUGGACCUUCUUCUUUGUGCCCCCAGACCUGUUAAAACUAUUUGGCUUGUGCAGGGAUUUAAAGGGAGCUAAUUUAUUUGUGGAUGCAUCUGGGAUAUUCAAACUUGCUGACUUUGGGAUUGCUAAACAUGUGAGUUUUUACCUCUUCACCGCAAGACUACUCAGUGCAUGUAGAAAUUCCUUGCUGAUCUGUGGUACAUUCGAAUGUGAAGUCAGGGACCCAGGGUGACUGCAUACUUCUCGUUAUUGGUUUGUGGCAUUUCAUAUGUGCAUAAAUCUAUCAUAGAUGGAUGAAAUGUUAUUAAGUAAUUUUCUUCACUUUUUUUCCCAUUGUUUCAGGUAAAGUUACCAUGUUGCAUGAACGGGAAAAGAUUUCUUGCUGUAAAUAGAUGCCGAAACCUAAUGAGAGUUCCCUUUCUACUGGUUUCUAAAAAGUUCCUAAGAGCGGUAGUGAAUAGAACGCAAUACCUUUGGCAAAAGGUUGUGGUGUUGUUUUUGCUGCUCCUCUGCAUUCCAAAAUAAGGAUAGAACUUAGUCAGAGUAAGUAAGGGCCUCCUUCCUAACAUGGGGUAAAUAAAAGUUUAUUAAUCCAUAGAAUGGAAUUCUGGACAGUAGCCAAGGUGUUGUUGCUCUCUUUUUGAGUUCUCAAGCAUUUGCUGAGGCCAUGUUGUUGAUUGCUUCAUGGUCCUUUUUCUCAGUAAUGAGCUAACAUGAGUUGAAAGUGGUUGAUUCAGUUAUCAAUAUGAUGUAUCUAUGUCUAUAAAGAUGUUGCUAUUUUAUCCGGUGUUCCAUGAACACACCAAGUAGUAUUCAGCUUUACUAAUGCCGUACCAUUUCUUAGCUAACCGGACAAGCAGCUUGCCGCUCUUUGAAGGGAAGUCUAAACUAGAUGGCUCUAGAGGUACUCUGCUUUUGUUAACGUUAAUGCGGCAUACUCAGAGGUCCUCCCCCAUACUCGCCGGAUGAACAGAUUUCUCUCGAAUCUCUUGAGGUAAGCCUUUGCGAUAACAUGAGAAAGCUGCUUACGUAUGAGUGGCUGCUCCAUCUUCGAAAUCUUCAAAGUAUCGAGGUCACUGAGUGCAAAGGAAUGGUGGAGUUGAUAAGCGGAGCGGGACAAGGCCAAGAAGGAAGCAUAACGANNNNNNNNNNNNNNNNNNNNNNNNNNNNNNNNNNNNNNNNNNNNNNNNNNNNNNNNNNNNNNNNNNNNNNNNNNNNNNNNNNNNNNNNNNNNNNNNNNNNNNNNNNNNNNNNNNNNNNNNNNNNNNNNNNNNNNNNNNNNNNNNNNNNNNNNNNNNNNNNNNNNNNNNNNNNNNNNNNNNNNNNNNNNNNNNNNNNNNNNNNGGAGCUUCCGUAUAAAACCUGUUCAUUCCCAUUUCCAGCAGCAGGCGAGUGCCCUUGUUUCUCUAGGAAUUGGGUUUCUGCCUUCAACGAGAGGAAGAGUCUUUGCUCGAUCCCUGGAUGCUGACUGGUGCUUCAGAUUCUCAAGAACAGCUUCUUAGCUCUACUUCUAUUUGUGCAUCUUUGCUACUUGCAUGCAUCUGAAUCUUCUUUUUCUGUCCUAACCGGUAUGUUGCUUCGUCCUCAUCUUUGCCAUUUUCCAUUUGUAAGAAUCAAAUAGAGACUCCAACUGAACAUCCUUAUUUGCCUGGAUCAAAUAUGUGCCCACUUAACAAGUAGAUCUGAUGGAUUCUAUGCGAAAUGAAGGGUUAAAUGACCUGAAUGUAGGUGGGUGGACUUAACUGUGAGAUGCAAUAAACUUCUCGAAGAGAGACCAAGAAAUAGAGAGAGAAGGGGCGAGAAGAGAAAGAGAGGAAGAGCGACAACGGUGGAUUGCAGCCCGUCGAAAGGGUCGUGCUACGCCACAAAUCUCCAUUUUCGAACACUAGACAAGGUUGUUCUAGCUCUAUUCCUCACGAACUUGGGAUUUUUGUUUGUAAAGUUAAUAUCCGGAUCUAUUUUGUAUUUUGCUUUGCUGGCAACGAUUCGGUCAAAAUCCAACGAUAUUUCGAUUCCCCACAUCUCCUUGUAAUUCUAGAAUUAAUUAUUUUAUAGAGAAUGUAGUCCGCAAUUCCCAAGUUGUCUUUGAGUUGAUCCGGUGCUUCUUGUGUCAAAAACAGGAGAUUAUUCUUGGGUCGUUGAAUAUAAUUUGCAGUUUGGCUCUCCUGCUUUAAUACUUGUGAUGCUGUUAUUUGCUUGNNNNNNNNNNNNNNNNNNNNNNNNNNNNNNNNNNNNNNNNNNNNNNNNNNNNNNNNNNNNNNNNNNNNNNNNNNNNNNNNNNNNNNNNNNNNNNNNNNNNAUGCUAUGCGCGCUGAGAAAUAUUCAAAUGAUCUCUACGUUAUAUGAUCAAGUGCACUUUCUUUGCCCGCAGGUUGAUAAUCAAGACGGCAAGAUGCCGCGACUUGAAGAUAUAGCCUGGAAAUUCGUGAUUAGACAGGGCAAGAAAUGGCGUUGUCCUUACUGCAAAAUUGAAUACUCUGGAUCAGUCACAAGAGUGAAAAGUCACUUUCUUAAACAACCAAAAGAAGGGAUUGUCUCUUGCACAAAAGUGCCGGAGCACAUAAGCACGCUAAUGGAAUUGUUACAGAGUCAGGUGGCUUUAGCACUUGUGGUAGCUAUAUUAUGUGCUUGAGAAUAAUGCUAUGCGUGCUAAGAAGAUUUAUAAAAAAUGGGGAUAAUAUAUGAUAGGGGUGCGCUCUAUUUGCUUGCAGGUUGAUAACAAAGAUGAUAUAGCCUGGAAAUUCGUCGAUAGACUGGGGGAAAACAAAUGGCGUUGUCAUCACUGCAGGGAAGAAUUCUUUGGAGACCUUACAGGAGUGAGAGGUCACUUGCUUGAAGCCCCAUAUAAGGGGAUUUCCAUUUGCACAGAAGUGCCAGACCACGUAAGAACGCUAAUGCGGUCUUUACUCGAUGAGGUGGCUGAAGGAGGGAGCAGAGACUUGGCUGAAGAACAGAGCAGAGAUGCGGAGCCACAGUCGCGUGACGUGCUGUCUCCAGCUUUUCCUCCGUCAUCACAAAGCUCGGAGAGGGCGACUGACAUGGAAAACUCCAACUAUGACCUAGAGUGUCGUUUUCAUGAGACUUCAGCAAUGCCGUCACUGGCACAAAAUAUCCUUGGUAUGUUCAUGUGUUUCUAUACAUGCAUCUAGGCAUGGAGAAAAAACAUCCAUUAUAUUUUUCAAUGCAAACACGUCGGGUUUUUUAACCGAAGUGGAGACUUUUAAACAUCUCCAAUAAAAACGAUCUUUCUACGGAACUUUACAAAUGUGAAGUAAGUCAAUUACCUAUUCCUUAAUAACAGUGCAUUGUCCACUGGACUCACUGGAUCUAAUAAACUAACCAUAGAAGGCAUUUUCUCGUGUUCCAAUCAACCAUAUCCUAAUUUUGAUGAACAACACACAGGUGAAAGCAUGUCAUGUUUGCCAAUGACUUUAGCGGGAGUGGAAUCGUUUCUUUUUGAUUUGCCAGAACGGUCACAAUGUUCCAUUCAAUCUCAAAUGCAAUUGAAUGAUCAGCAGACUCCAGCAGGGACAUUAGCAUCCCAUUAUGAUCAAUUACCUGCUGCAGGUAAGUCAAAUUGCUUGCGGGAUAGUAAUCAGCACUCUCAAUUGCAAAUUCCAGUGGACAUAGAUCCCUCAAUUGCAUCACAGCAUACGAUCGACUCUCACGUUAUUUGGGUAACAAUCCUUGGUUUGCCAAUUCCAGAGGUGGCAGCAGAUACAAUAGGCCCAUCAUCAUCAUCACAAGAUGUGUCUUGAUUAAUCUAAAUAGAUACUAUCAUUUCGUUAGAUCCGUAAAUAUCCUCAAAUUAUUUUAUUGAAAUUUAACAUAUGUAUUUUUGUAAAAUAGAUAUGAACAGGGGUUCUCCAAUCAUGAACGUACGGAGGACACCACAACCUCGCAGAUGGAUGGAACAGGUGGUGCAGGAGGACAGGGCGGUCGACAUCGCAAACCUCCCAUCGGAUGGUGCAACAAAUCACUCUAUCGCAUCUCCCCUGCCAAAUUCAUUGCUUGAUGAUGGGCCAAAUGAACUGUUGCCCAUUUUACCUGGGUAUCUAACAUUAAAUCCACAACGGUAUCAAUGUGCGUCAUUGCCAGCACAAAACCACCAGCUCCUUGAUAAUACUUUUCAGAAUGAGUCACGGGGGUCCAUUUUGCCUGGUCUCAUUGCAUCAGAUGCUCCACUCACUAACGUGGCCACAACAAACACUGCCCGGCAUUUUAAUCAACCAGAUCAGACCUUUCACAGGCAGUGUGAAGGUGGCACUGGCUUAUCUCCUCUACCGCUUUCCAUGGACAUAGAGCCACCUCUUCCAUCACGACCUUUCAAUGGACCUCCUAUUAUUGAGCCAUUUAAUUCCCCUCCGCAGAUUCCAGAGGACAUCUUAAACACAACUGGCCCAUCAACACCGGAAGGUAUAAUACCAUCGAUCUAUUAAAUGGGUCUCGAUAACGCUUAUUAACAAAAUCCAUAUUAUAUUUAUCAUUCAUGUGGUCUCUUGUAAACCCCAUGUUGCUUCUAUGGUGAGUAAGAAUGUUUCAAUUGGAGUCUAAUGCAUGAAGUUGUGGCUUAUAAAUUAGUGAUGCCAGAAGGUGCACCAGCAGGGACAUCAUCAUUCCAGUAUGAUCAAUUGGUGUAGGUAAUUCAAAUCUGGAUUGCAAUCAGCCACGUAUAUCUAGUGUAACAAGUGUAGCCAACACUGUCCCGCAUUCUAACCUAUCAUUCGAAGCUGCAAUGAAGAAUGUGGAACUAAAACCAGUUCGUUUCCCCUGCGAGAUUCGAGGGGCAUAUGUCCCAUCACUGCAUUACGGCCUAUUAGGUGCCCUCACAUCGAGGCAACACUUGUCAAUUUGCAAGUUCUGGAGAAUGGAGCAAAUAUGGCUGGCCCGUAACCAUCACAAGUGACUGUCUUGAUUUACCUAAAUAGAUAGUCAUUCCAAAUUAAUCAUAGGUAUUCCAACUCGAGUGAGCGUUGAUGUUUUCAUUGCAGAAGUGAUCCUUCUUUGUAUUAUUAACUCUCUUUUAGUAUGACUCAAAUUCGUCUAUUUCCAUAUCUAAUCUUUUCUCAAUUACCGUAGUAUCAUUGCAUGUUAUGUUUGUCCAACAUCACUUACUUUACGGCAUGGUUUUUUCAUCAAAAUAUUUUACUUAUCUGCAUGUUGAUUUUCCUUGUGGAUGUCUUUUGUGACCAAGUUCUAUGUUGUUUUACCUGUGUGCAUGGACACUCCAAUAUCUUAGUGCAACCAGCUCUGGUGCCCCCUCAACAUCAAAGUGUUCCACAUCAAGCUCCAAAUAAUACUCCUUCAGCUCCUCAGAUUCAACGUCGUGGAACAGGUCUGAUAGUCCCAUCGUCAUUGCCAGGUAUAUAGUUAUUUACCUAAAUUAAUCCUUAUGCAUCGAUCACCAUGUUAUGUUAUUAAGGGAAGCAAGAAUGCUAUAAUGAGACCGAUGGAUUUAAUUGCAGAAUUAGAUAUGAGCAAGGGUGUGCCACUAACGAGUCACACAAACAUAAACAACAACUUUGAAAAGAGUAGAGCUUUGAAAAGAAAAAUAAAGCAACUCUACAGUAGAGAAGCUGACAUAAGGGAUGAGUUAGAAUUUGCCGGGUCUCUAUCACUAAAGAAGCAGAAAAAGGAAGUUGAGAAUUGGUUGGCGGAUGUGGAGCAGCUCAGAAAAGAUUUUCAGAGUAUUGAAGCAACAAGUGAGGAUUGUUUGCCGUCACACCAGCAGGUGGAUACACUGACGCAACAAGCAGAAGACCUUAUGAAACAAGGCGAAUUCCCAAAAGGACUAUUUGGGGCGAGAAAGACCAAAGUCAAUAAGUUGAUAGAACGAAAGUUGGUGGGAGAGGCAUUUAAGAGAAAUACAACAAAGAUUUUGGAGUACUUAGUAGGGAGUCAAAUAUCCCGACUAGGCAUUUAUGGAAUGGGGGGUAUUGGUAAAACCACUCUUAUGAAGCACAUACAUAAUAGACUUCUCGAAAAAGCAAAUCAUGAUAAUGUGUUGUGGAUCACCGUGUCACAAGAUUUUAACACACAAAAGUUGCAGAACGACAUUUGGGAGGCACUAAAUUUAGGCACACUACAAGAAAAGGAGGUGGGGCAACGAGCAGCAAUGUUGUCCGCUGUUUUAACCGAAAGAGAGAAGUUGAUCAUAAUCCUUGAUGAUGUGUGGGAAGAUUUCAAUCUUGAAGAGGUGGGAAUCCCUGUUAGAGAAGAUGGAAAUAAGUUGGUCUUAACCACUCGAUCCCUUGAAGUAUGCCGCCGGAUGCAAUGUCAAGAAAUAAAAAUCGAACCUCUAUCUCUAGAAGAAGCUGAGGAUUUAUUUUUUGAGGAGCUUGGAUCCAAAGUGGCCCUUAAUUUGGAAACAAUUGUGAAGUCCAUUGUUAAAGAAUGUGCAGGCUUGCCACUUGGAGUCAUCACGAUGGCAGCAAGCAUGCGAGGAGUGACGAAUGUGUCUGAAUGGAGAGAUUGCUUGGAGAAAUUGAAAGAAUCAGAUGCCCCAACGGAGAUGGAAAAGAGAGUCUUAAAGCAACUAGAAGUCAGCUACGAUCGCCUUGAGAAACGUGAAGUUCAACAGUGUUUCUUAUCUUGCGCACUUUAUCCAGAAGAUAGAUUGAUUGAUAAGGUCGAGUUGAUAGAAUUCUUUAUUGACCAAGGACUGAUUUGUGGAUUGAAUAUGAAUACGAGGGAGAAAGAAUAUGAUAGAGGCUUCACCAUAUUGAGCAAACUGGAAAAUGUUUGCCUAUUGGAAGAUUAUGGAGAAAACAUGAAGAUGCACGAUUUGAUUAGAGACAUGGCAUUGCACAUCAUGAGUGCAACUUCCAUUGUAAAAGCAGGAAAGUGGUUGGAAAGUAUUCCAUCUGAGGAAUAUUGGACAGAUGCUUUGGAGAAAGUUUCUCUGAUGGAAAACGAAAUAAGUGAAAUUCCAUUGAACAUGUCACCAAAUUGUCCUAAACUAUCAACUUUACUACUGAAUGGAAGCUUGUUAAAGGAUGCGGUCCUCCCUGGUUCUUUCUUCAAACAGUUAUGUGGGCUAAAGGUUCUAAACCUGAGUGACUGUGAACUAAUAGAACUUCCAAAUUCCAUCUCAAAUUUGGUAAACUUGAGGGCACUAUUGCUUAGAGAGUGUCGGGAAUUGUGCCAUAUUCCUUAUUUAGGGAAGCUCACAUCUUUAAGAAAGUUGAACGUUGGUGGCUGUUCUAAGCUUAAAGAAGUGCCCGAGGGUCUGGAAAUGUUGGUGAACUUGAGAUACCUUGACCUACGUUUUUCAUCGACCGUUGAAUUACCUGAAAGAGUACUAGGGGGUUUGCUAAACUUGCAGCAUCUUAAAGUUUAUUUUCUAGAUGGACAAGACAUGACAAAAUUGAGGGCACUGGAGACACUCAAAUGCUCUUUUGAAGAUGCGAAUGAUUUCAAUAAGUGAACAGAGUAACCCUCGCUGUUAUUAUUAUCUCGGCAUGGCUCAAAAAGAUAUUUCUUAUUAUCGUGAAGCAUGUUAUUCUACUCAUGAGGAAUACCGUGAUAUUACUCAAAUUGAGAAUCGGAAGAGGGAAGUCAAAAUUUGGGGGUGGGAUCAUGCUAUUGUGAGUGUGGGAGGGGAAUGCACCGGCAUUUUUAUUUUGAUUCCCCACACCCGUGCAGAAAAUGACAAUGAUUGGUUGCGACGGUAUAACAAAUUUGUCUAGCAUAGGUCCGCUUAAAUACCUUGAGGAUCUAUGUAUAGGAUACUCAGAAAACUUAGGGAUGCUCUGUGGAGGAGAAGACGAAGAAGUAAUCGACAUCCUUGCCCCAGCCCUUGCGCCUCUCCUCUUCUCGAGCCUUAGGGUUUUAAAAAUAUAUGAUUGUCCAAAACUGAAGUAUCUCUUUGGGCAUGGGUCUAAAUCCAUCCUUCCGCAUCUACGAGAGAUUGAAAUAUAUGGAUGUGAGAAAAUGGUGGGGAUAAUAGCAGCAGUUACAUCCCCACCACCACAUCCGCUCCCAUUUUUCCCUAGUCUGGAACAGAUUAGCAUUAGUCGCUGUAACAAGAUGAAGAGAGCGGUGGAAUCUGAGUGGAUGCCCCACUUCCCUACUCUGAGAGGAAUCACAGCAAUUUAUUGUGAGAAGAUGGAGGAGAUAAUCGGAGGUCCUCCCCCAUACUCGCCGGAUGAACAGAUUUCUCUCGAAUCUCUUGAGGUAAGCCGUUGCUAUAACAUGAGAAAGCUGCUUACGUAUGAGUGGCUGCUCCAUCUUCGAAAUCUUCAAAGUAUCGUGGUCAGUCACUGCAAAGGAAUGGUGGAGUUGAUAAGCGGAGCGGGACAAGGCCAAGAAGGAAGCAUAACGACUUCUGUAAACAACACUCCUUCAUCCUUCCAGCCUUCUUCAAUUUCUCUCCCAAAGCUAGAGUGUUUGAAGCUACGCUAUCUACACCAGCUGAAGAGCAUAUACAAAGCCCCAAUAAGCUGCGAUUCCAUGAAAAGAUUGAAAGUGUACGGAUGCCCAGAACUGAAGAGGAUUCCUUUGCAACUGCCACUGCGUGAAAUUGAGGGAGCUUCCGCAUAUUUAUGAUGGAAGAUGAGGAAAAGUGGAAGACGGCUGAUGUGGGGAUCAUCCCGGAUGCUCAGGCUAUUCUUUCAACCUUAUCUCCAAAAAGGGUCAAAUGCUAUAGGUUAAUGAGUUUAAUUGGAUAUACGAUUGCUUCACUUCUUUAAAAGUCCUUUCAAAGAUAUAGCUUUUCUGUCUAUAUAGUCAUGCAGCUCUAAUAGUGGCCUUCUGUAGUACUGAACACCCAGGUGAAAGCAUCUCCUGCGACUUCACUCUUUGAAGAAGAACCCUGGCUGCUCGACCAUGGCUUUCCUACCAACUUGGACCUCAGGUUGCCAUAUGAACUGACUUUUUUUGUGUUGCCAUGCUUUGUCUAUUUUGAAUGCGAUCGCAUGUUUCAUUGACUACUGGAAAUGAGUCUAUCUGGUCGAUAUUUCAGGUUAGUCAAAAAGCAAUGGAUCUGAAGAUUUGGGAAGCCAAGGGAAUAGCAAAGUCUGUUUCCUAUCUUGUCUUAUAACUGAAAGGACAAUUUAUUAUUAUGGAUUGAUUUUCUUGGGAUAUUAGCCUUCUAAGAAAAGAGAGAAUUUUGUGCAGCACUACCUUUAAUCUGUUUUUGUUUAAAAAGGAUUUCAAAUAUGAUAUUGCUUUAACUUGUCGAUCGAAAAUAUUGUGUCAAAUACGCUGCUUUGCUCUGUUGGAUCAGAGCAACAUGACCCCAAUUAAACUUGUUUCGACGUUAAACUAUCGGGUAUAGAAUACUUGAUCUGCUUAGUAGUUGUAUCAUAUCUGGAAACGUAGGCCGGGAAGUUUUCUUUUCACCCUUUGUCAUACUUUGAAUUAGAAAUGUAAAAAGACGAAGAAGAAAGAAUUACACAGCUAUCACCCCUCUUUAAAUGCCUCGAAGUUGUGGAUAGAUGGAGAACCCUACAGCUUCAGCUCAAGUAACCAAAAAUCAGAGCAGUAACCACUAGCAAGUCAAUGGAAAAAAGGCCAGCUUAUAGGAUGUGGCACUUUUGAAAGUGUUUACAUUGCAAGCAACCAGUAAGUUAGCUCUGGGAAUCUUAGACAUGUUCCAUUUUUUUAGAUAUCCAGUCAGCUAAACUUUGACAUAUUAAGUGACAGAAAAACCAGAUCUCUAUGUGCAGAGAAGGAGUUUGAGCUAUUGCGUAAUGAUCCAAAUUUAGCUGAGUGCAUCGAGCAGUUAAAGCAGGUAAUGUUUUUGUUAUGCUCUGGGAUCCAAUCUAUCCUCUCAUCCGAUCUAAAUAUGCUGGGAGGAAACUUUCUUUCAUCAUUUCCAAGUAAUUGAUUGCUUUGUUACUACAGGAAAUUCAGGUACUUAGCUAGCAUAGACAUCCGAACAUUCUGCAGUAUUAUGUAAGGGAAAUUGUGAGUCACAUUUCCAUAGCAUCUAUGCGUCCCAACUCAAUGGGCGUUCAUUAUUUGACUCACCAAAAUUUCAACAUAUUCAUACAUACUCAGGUUGAGGAUUGGCGUUACAUAUAUCUAGAAUAUGCACAUCACGAUUCAAUAGACGAGUAUAUCCAGGAGCGUCUUGGGACCCUAACAGAAUCGGUUGUCAGCACUUUACCCGCUAUAUUGUGGCUGGAUUGGCUUCCCUGCAUGUUAACAACUCCAUACAUGGGUAAUUCUAAACCAUUGAUCAAGCAUCAUGAGAUGACUUGCAUAUUGGAUUAGGAUGAUUGGACCUUCUUCUUUGUGCCCCCAGACCUGUUAAAACUAUUUGGCUUGUGCAGGGAUUUAAAGGGAGCUAAUUUAUUUGUGGAUGCAUCUGGGAUAUGCAAACUUGCUGACUUUGGGAUUGCUAAACAUGUGAGUUUUUACCUCUUCACUGCAAGACUACUCAGUGCAUGUAGAAAUUCCUUGCUGAUCUGUGGUACAUUCGAAUGUGAAGUCAGGGACCCAGGGUGACUGCAUACUUCUCAUUAUUGGUUUGUGGCAUUUCAUAUGUGCAUAAAUCUAUCAUAGAUGGAUGAAAUGUUAUUAAGUAAUUUUCUUCACUUUUUUUCCCAUUGUUUCAGGUAAAGUUACCAUGUUGCAUGAACGGGAAAAGAUUUCUUGCUGUAAAUAGAUGCCGAAACCUAAUGAGAGUUCCCUUUCUACUGGUUUCUAAAAAGUUCCUAAGAGCGGUAGUGAAUAGAACGCAAUACCUUUGGCAAAAGGUUGUGGUGUUGUUUUUGCUGCUCCUCUGCAUUCCAAAAUAAGGAUAGAACUUAGUCAGAGUAAGUAAGGGCCUCCUUCCUAACAUGAGGUAAAUAAAAGUUUAUGAAUCCAUAGAAUGGAAUUCUGGACAGUAGCCAAGGUGUUGUUGCUCUCUUUUUGAGUUCUCAAGCAUUUGCUGAGGCCAUGUUGUUGAUUGCUUCAUGGUCCUUUUUCUCAGUAAUGAGCUAACAUGAGUUGAAAGUGGUUGAUUCAGUUAUCAAUAUGAUGUAUCUAUGUCUAUAAAGAUGUUGCUAUUUUAUCCGGUGUUCCAUGAACACACCAAGUAGUAUUCAGCUUUACUAAUGCCGUACCAUUUCUUAGCUAACCGGACAAGCAGCUUGCCGCUCUUUGAAGGGAAGUCUAAACUAGAUGGCUCUAGAGGUACUCUGCUUUUGUUAACGUUAAUGCGGCAUACUCAGAGGUCCUCCCCCAUACUCGCCGGAUGAACAGAUUUCUCUCGAAUCUCUUGAGGUAAGCCUUUGCGAUAACAUGAGAAAGCUGCUUACGUAUGAGUGGCUGCUCCAUCUUCGAAAUCUUCAAAGUAUCGAGGUCGCUGAGUGCAAAGGAAUGGUGGAGUUGAUAAGCGGAGCGGGACAAGGCCAAGAAGGAAGCAUAACGACUUCUGUAAACAACACUCCUUCAUCCUUCCAGCCUUCUUCAAUUUCUCUCCCAAAGCUAGAGUGUUUGAAGCUAUGCUAUCUACACCAGCUGAAGAGCAUAUACAAAGCCCCAAUAAGCUGCGAUUUCAUGAAAAGAUUGGACGUGUACGGAUGAUUGACUUAUUUCAAGUGCCAUACGUUGUUGCAAAUGGAUGUUGUACUGUAAAGUUCCAUAUUUACUAAACCAGAAUAAUCACAGGGUCCAUAGAUGUGAUGAAGUACUUGUAUAUCGACGAAAUAAGAUGCAUGUUCCUCUCGCAUGGUUUGACCAGUGUCAUCCUACGAUCUAGGCAAAUUUGACAGUGUUGCUUAAUCUAAACAUUUUGUAUGAAGUACAUUUAUUCAUCAAAAUUGAAUGGUAUUGAUAUGGCUCCAAAUAAGAAACGGAUCAGCAAAACAAAAGUAAUAAAACCCAAGGAAAGACAAAAGUAAUAAAACCCAAGGAAAAAGGAAAAGAAAAAGAAAAUCGAAGUGAUAGUGCAUCAGAAUUCCUGAAUUGGUGGGAGGAACAUUGGCAGGUUUGGCAAACCUGCAACGUCUUAGGACUUGGGAAGUGAAGGGAAAAAUAUCAAAGUUACGGGCAUUGGAGGCUCUUAAUUCUUCCGGACAGACCACAAUGGCUUUUCUCUAUUCACCGGAAAUUGGUGAUGGUGAUGAGGGCCACUCUGAUUGGAGAAAUUUCAUGUAUUUGUUGAGAUCAACGAUGAUGAUGAUCCAAGAUUUGCAACUUUCGAGUGGAGAAAUUUCAUGUAUUUGUUGAGAUCAACGAUGAUGAUGAUCCAAGAUUUGCAAUUUUCGAGAGGAGAAUCAACGUUGAUUGUUGCGAUAAUGCUUGUCAGGGCAGCAGGGAAAAGUUUUUUCCUGGUGGUUUUGCGGCUUUUGCCCCCAAGUGAUGCUGCAAGUUUGCUGGAUUUCCCCCUAACGGUUUUUUGUCAUUUCCCGGAACGUUUUUGGAAUAAUUUUGCAUGUUGUUACAAAGAUCUCAUGCGGUUCGUUUACAGGAUUUUAAUAGGCCUUAUAUUUAUAUAAUUUACCUUCACUUACUCGUUCAAAUAUUUAGGUUGGAUUUUUUCCUAUGUGCAAAUAGCAAUUUUUACGUGAAAUGCAAACUAAACAUGCUUCCUUUUUAUUAUUAUUUUUUCUGCAAUUAAAGUGAUUCCUCUACCCUAAUGCAUACCAGAAAUAUAUUCAAAAGUGUGACAGGAAAAAGAACUCCUUGAAAUUUUGCAAAGUCGGAGGCGCUUUUUAGACCAAGCGAUGUCUCUCGGCUGCAUUGAAAUAUGUCUUCGUUUUCGUUUUCUUUUGUUCUUUUCCUCAAUCUUCAANNNNNNNNNNNNNNNNNNNNNNNNNNNNNNNNNNNNNNNNNNNNNNNNNNNNNNNNNNNNNNNNNNNNNNNNNNNNNNNNNNNNNNNNNNNNNNNNNNNNGCUGUUUUUUUUUUUUUUUUGUGUGUUCUCUGCCCAAACCUUAAUGAAGACUACUAAUUGGUGUUUGGUCUUUCAAAGUGUAGCAUUAUUGAGCAUCAUCAUCAACUCAUCAAGUUCGCUAAACUCAGUCAUCAAUUAACUAACGAUUCUUGUCUAACAGGAACUGCACCAACGUAGCAAGAAAAAGAUAAACAAAAACUCAGGCAAGAACUCAUUCGUUUUCAAGACUCGGUCAUAAAAAUCGAGGAAAAGAAACUAUGAAUAUGUGCCGGAUUUUUCUCUGCUGCCGUGCCCUUUUUAACCUACUUUUGACCCAGAAUUCGACCAUUUACAGCUCUCGGUUCCUUUUGUGUGUUUUCACACUGCUAAUUUCCUUCAUUCACACACGAAGGAAAGUCGUGUUGAAAGUGGCCUCCUUUCGGCCAACCAGGAGGAGGGAACGGAAAGGACUUCACUUCGAAGAGCGGGCACGUCCAAAAUUCUCAUAAGAAUUCCCAUUUAAAUUCGCCUGGAAAUUUAGAGUCGGGUUGUGUAACAGAUUGGUUCACAAUAAUUGCACUCUUAUUAGAAAGGGCAGUACAAUCACAAGAAUGUGAGAUUACAAAUGGAUGUUAUUAUGGGUCAAAUUAUCAGUGUUUUUCUUCGUUAAUUUUUAUGAAGAUGCGAUUGAAACCUUUGAGCUCGUAACAGUAAUUUAACUUAAAAACUAUUGAGUUAUUAUAGUCUUUAAAUCAUUCUUGGGACAUUUUUUUUUUCUUUUGGAUCUGAAGAUCCAAACUACAUAUGAAACGAGUCCCGUGAUUGGGAAAACACGAAUUUAGCAUAUUAUGCUUGCUCCUAAAUAUUUUUAUGUGGAUGCCACAUAACAAGUACCUAUAUAAGUUCAUGCAAAUAGGAUCCAACGAAUUAACAAUCCAAAAUUUGAGAGAAAAUAUGAAGUGAUUUUGUGCAUUUUUGAAACUCUGUUAGUGUACAUUCUUGUAGUUUUUCCUUGUCCAAAUAUACUGAUUUUCAACUUUCACUAAGAUGUUGCAAAUUCAAUUAGAAGCAUAUAAUUAAUAGUCCUAAUUAGCCAAGUCACAAAACCAAUCAUAAGAGAUUCAUUGCGGUUGUCACAAAGUCUUGAAUUGGUGGGAUGGUUAUUCCCAUGGCAAGAGCGGCUAACAUCGCAAACUUCAUCCUCUAGGGAUUAAGUUAAAAUAUUACCUUUGGCACUUAAGGUGUUCUUAUACUCCAUAAUAAAUAUGUUACUUAUUUUAUCAAUUAAUCUACCCUCAAUAAUAUGCUAAUAUUGGUUUAGAUAAUUUGUCGAUUUGGCUAUAACUUGGAAUAAGAGACAAUAACAAUAUAAAUCUAAUAUUGAAAAAAAUUUGUAUGAUUUUUUUUUUCACUUAUUAGUUAUUCUUUUAGCAAUUACCGAAUAACAUCAUUCAAACUGCAUAAUGCCAAAUCUAUUUUUUUUUUCCAAUUACAUUAUGCCAUAAAUGUGCGAAUCAACAUACAUGAUUUCACCUCAAACAAAUGGACUUUUUUUAUGAAUAAAUUUUUUAAAAAAAAAAGAUAGAAAAAUAGCUCAUAUUAGGGCCAUUUACCAGGUAAUGCAAAUUAAAACCAAGUCUUAUUUAUGUCUAUUAAAAAUUUCCAAUGCCAUAUCAUAUCAUUUACACCUAAAAUGCAUAGAAUAUACAUUCGGAGAAGAAGGAAGAUAAGAGAAACUUAAACAAAAGAGCAUUUCUAUCUGUCGUAAGAUAGAAAGUAAACAUCAAAUUUAGAUAAUCUUACUUUAAAUACUUAUGUAGCAAGCACAUUCAUAAAAAUUAGAACAUAAUGUAAGCCUAAACAAUAAUAUAACGAUUGAUUUAUAUAAAGUGUCAAUAUAACAUUAUGCAAAAAAUUUAUACAUGUAAUAUGGGUUCAUAUCAAUAAAUGGAAUUGGAAGUAAAUUUCUGAAUCUGUGCAACCCAUGGGUCUUUGUUUACUACACAUUCUACAAAAAAAUGCAGUCAUAAGUUACAAUUUGAUGGAAUCACCUACCAAUUCUACUCACAUCAUAGGAAAUGUUUUCUAGCAGCUGGAUGGCUUGGAAUAUUUUGGGGCCAGAGAUGGACACAUUUCAUUCAUAUGAGGGUACAGGUCUACUGUAUUGUAUCCUGGCAGCUCCANNNNNNNNNNNNNNNNNNNNNNNNNNNNNNNNNNNNNNNNNNNNNNNNNNNNNNNNNNNNNNNNNNNNNNNNNNNNNNNNNNNNNNNNNNNNNNNNNNNNNNNNNNNNNNNNNNNNNNNNNNNNNNNNNNNNNNNNNNNNNNNNNNNNNNNNNNNNNNNNNNNNNNNNNNNNNNNNNNNNNNNNNNNNNNNNNNNNNNNNNNNNNNNNNNNNNNNNNNNNNNNNNNNNNNNNNNNNNNNNNNNNNNNNNNNNNNNNNNNNNNNNNNUAAAAAAGAUAACCCAACUAGGGUCAAUCAGAUCGCACUUACAGUGAACUCUGUAACAUGAAUGGAGCUAGAAAUUGGAUCAAGAGUCCUGCUGCUUUGUACAUUCAAGAACAAAAGCUACACAAGAGGCGGACUUCCCAUCACUAUAUACCCAAUGGUCUUGCUCUGGAGUGUCAGCAGUUCAGCAAAAGAUGACCCCCUCAUUUCAGUUUCGUGUAUUAGAUUAGGAAGAUCCAAGCCCUGUAUGCAACACAAUCGUAAGGUAGCCAUAAAGUAAAGUAAGUGUAAUUACAACCAUAUAACAUUUGUUAACAGAAUGUCAUCCAAGAGACAUUAGAUUUCAGUUGCACCUCAGUGUGCAAAACAAGAUGCAUAACGUCACACAGACAAUUGCAAAUUGAAUGGGACGGUACCUUUGUUCCUAGUCACUUGUUGAGUGCUUCAUUCCAUAUGUUCGCAGCAUAGGCUGGUUGCACUUGGUUCCAUAGUCAUAACAGAAGCAACCUACAAUAAUACAAUGCUUUCUAUAAAAUGAGUGAACCGCACUCCCAUCACGCGAAUAAAGCACCCCACAUGGUGAGCAUAUUACAUGCAUCGUCAGUCAGGCUGAUAGCAACUCUUAAGAAACAAUGAACAAAGUCUACUAUUUUGCUGUCUUAGUAUCAUAUAGGAGGCCAUAAAAAAUGAAUAAUUGUCAAACUAAGCCAGGUUCUUUUCCAUAACGUUAGCACUCAAUAGAGUCACAUACGAACCUGCUAUUUGGCAAAAUCACUGUUCAUUUUUUAGCCUUUUGUCUUGUUCAGUUGAAUUCAUUCGAAAUCAUGGCAUGAUUGUCUAAUUUCAACUAGAAUGUGUUGUUAGGAUCUAACACACGGCUUAAUAAUAUUUCAAGGUCUAUCAAAGUAAGAGUAAANNNNNNNNNNNNNNNNNNNNNNNNNNNNNNNNNNNNNNNNNNNNNNNNNNNNNNNNNNNNNNNNNNNNNNNNNNNNNNNNNNNNNNNNNNNNNNNNNNNNGCAUCUAAGAAUCUCAAGGCAUCUACAGAUAUACCUUGGAAGUAACACAAGGCCUUAGCGCUAGAAAAUUGUCUAAGGCAACUGAAUGCACCCACAAAAUAUAUAUAAACAUAUAUGAACGUGUACAAUCUCUGUACCACAUGAGCAUCUAAUGGCGGUAGAUAAUUUGCGCCGAUGGUGUCUAUCCAGCUAAAAAGCAUGUUGUGAUAACCAUAUGGUUUCCCAUUCAUAAUCUGUGCAAACUCCCAUGCAGCAGCUCAUUAAAUUUGGCUCACAUAUCAGGAUGCAGUGGAAGCAACGCAAUGUGGGGAUUUGAGUAAUCUUUGUUAAGCUCGAACUCCCACCAUUUUCCCAUGGUAACACAGCAAUGACAUCUUCUCCCUGCAAUGAUAAGAACAAAACAAAACUUGCAUAAUCUCUAUUACUAUGUUAGACUUCUUAGCACCUGACCCCUUUACCAACACAAAGGAACAAAGCAUGUAGCAAAAACCCAAAUGUGACCAUAAAUUUAUUAAUCAAGGUCUGCCUCAAGUAAAGGACGUCAUUUCAUCAAAUUCUAACCAUAAUCAUCAUCAGUAAGUUAUCGUCUCGUGUGUAAGGAUGGUCCUGAAGUUCAGCAGAAAAAGUUCAGACACUGCAUUCCCUAUGUUACAAAUAUGAUGAUGCUCCAAUAGAGCUUCUAGUAGGAGCCUAGAUAGGAUCAGCUGCAGUUCAACAUGAACCUGAAGCAGCAUGUCAUCGUUUACUUACUCAUCCUCUCUUACAAUCAAAAGUUUCUAUGGGAGCACAAAAAGGAAAGACCUAUCUUAUUAGAGAACAUAAGAUGAGCAAGGAGAUUUAAGGACAUAGGGGCAUGACUAAAGCACGCUUAAUAUGCAAAAUGGAACGAUCUCAAUGGGAACCAUAUUUGUGAGAGAAGAAGUCCAUGAUUCGACAAAAGUCACAUUUAUAAAGUAAUCACACAGAAAUACAAUGCCCCAAAAACCUAAGGGUUCAUGAAAUGUUAGAGAAACACAGCAGAAACCCUACUUGUCCUUUUCAAUAUGUAUGAGACCACACUUUGAUAAUCAGAGGACAUUAAAGCAGUAUUGUAUGAGUGUCUUUAAUAAUGAAUGACAGAUAAGCAUAGGGAAUUUUUUUUUUUUUUUUGGGUCGGUAAGCACAGGGAAUUAAAGAGAUGGAGAAAUAAUGACUCAAACAAUUCUGGGGGUGUUUGAAACAUUUGAACGUUUGUCUAUUGGAUAUCCCCAUAUAGGAACAAUGUGGACAAUUAUUGUGGAAGACUGGCAUACUUACAGCCAUGUUAAUAUUGUGUCUAUGCAAUUGGUUUAAAACUUUACUUCACAAUUACAAUUGCAGAGACAGCAGCAGGCAAAAAGAUUGGAUGAAAUGUCGAACAUCAAAAGCAAUCCAUCAAUGUAUGGAAAAAAAAGAACGNNNNNNNNNNNNNNNNNNNNNNNNNNNNNNNNNNNNNNNNNNNNNNNNNNNNNNNNNNNNNNNNNNNNNNNNNNNNNNNNNNNNNNNNNNNNNNNNNNNNNNNNNNNNNNNNNNNNNNNNNNNNNNNNNNNNNNNNNNNNNNNNNNNNNNNNNNNNNNNNNNNNNNNNNNNNNNNNCCAACCCAAAGCUUUCCUUCAGCAUCCCUUAAGCACACAGCUGUGUGACCAGCAUAUGCGCCACUGACCCAUUUCUCUAGAGUCCCAAAACCACCCCACCUUCCACGAAUUUUUGAAAUUGCAAUGAAGUCUCCAGAGUGGAUAUCAUCAAUGCUGAUGUUUGUAACCCAGGGCUGGGGACGUUGCUCAAAUGAAGCUCCCAUAUGCUUCUUGAGAAAACCAAUGUUAGAUUUCUCCCCUCACCCGGUAUUUGAAAACAAGGAAACACAUCCCACAGUGCUUGAAGGGUCCCAAGCAUCCCAGCUUGCAUCAGAAAGAUUGACACUCCUCUACUUUUCACCUGCAAUCAAAAUAAUGGAAAAUCAAAGUUUGACAACUCGCCAAUAUGCACAAGCAAGAGCAGAAGAGAAAAAAGAUAAUUGCAGCUUACAUAUUCAAACUCAGCUUUUCCUUCCCACUCUUUGAACUCAAAUGUGUGCUCACGAGAUAAAAGAUACUAGUCCCAUGUCACGCAGUAUGGGGUUGCAAAGACAUAAAUAUCCAUACACGUCCAGCUAUGGGCUUUGCUCACCUGGAUGAGCAAUCCAAACUCAUGGUUACAAGCCGGAUACCUACAACUAGUUGUUAGUUUCCAUAUUCAGCAGAACUAGAUGCAAAAACAAGGACUAUGAAGCAUCAACACGAGGCAGUACCCACCCAAACUGGAAUAGCCUCCAUAAGAUAAUUUGAUUUUACAUCAAACGAAACAAUUGUACUUGUAUGAGCAACCAAAUCACUAAAUCCUUCUUCAACCACUUAAAACCUAGACACAAAAGACUCAAGUGACCAACCAUGGUACCAAUUCGUGGAGCUUAAUCAAAGUACAAACAAGCAGAUGAAAGGAGAAGGAAGAAAAAAACUUAGCUAGUGACGAAAUCCACUAGAAACAUAUUGAAGUAAGAACUGAAAAAUUCCAUCACUCAGAUUCCAACAUAAAUAGCAGAUGAGAAAAGAGAACAGUUGGGAUCAAGUGGCAUGGGCCCAAACAUCGAAAGGAUAUUCUCUAACGUCCUUUNNNNNNNNNNNNNNNNNNNNNNNNNNNNNNNNNNNNNNNNNNNNNNNNNNNNNNNNNNNNNNNNNNNNNNNNNNNNNNNNNNNNNNNNNNNNNNNNNNNNAGUGAUUUUCUUUCACAACUCUAUAGAUAAGUAUGACGCACACUUCAGUUGGUAAGAAAAAUUCGUAAGUAGAUAGAAACUCUAUCCAGUUUAGAGCUUUGAAUCCAUUAGAAAAAAUCGACCUCAAAUUAACUAAAAUAGAAGCUCAAACUAAGUUAAUCGGAAACUGGGAAAAGCUGCCCAAACGAUGGCCAUUAGACCCCAUCAAACAAACUCCUACAACCUCACAUCUCCUAGAAUUAUCACACAAUCCGAACUGCAGUGAAUUGAAUUAAGCACUAACAUUCGACCAGAGAACCUUAAAAGCUCGUGAACAGUGACUGUCUCUGCACAUUACCAAGCCGCCACAAGCUCAAGCAUCCCAAAAUCUUCCAGAAUCGCACUCAAACACAAGUAUUUCCAUUCCAUCCCGUUCCCCACUAUUCACCAAACAAAAAACAAGACUUGGAAUCAUCACUCCAGUCCAUUCCUUUCCCCAUCAUUUCCCGAUUUCAUUCCAUUCCACCGUACCAAACCCAACGUAAUAGUCAACUAGAAAACCUCAUCUUCCAGAAUGGCACUCAAAACCAAACGGAGACCAAGCAAAAGCGACGCGAUAAAACUAAAGAACGGACCUUAAUGUGAGGCGUGCCUCCGCCGAACUUGCUCCCGGUGUUGUUGUGGAACUCCAACCAAGCGGUCGGAGGAAAAAACGGUGCCGACGAAGGCGGGCAACAGGUCCAGGGGACGGCGAAGGGCGUUGAGGAUGGGCCAGGACAGCUGCUUCGGCAAUAGAUGGAGUAUGUUCUCCAUGGUGGAAUGGUGGUUUCGCGGCUCGAGAGCGCGGGUUGAGCAGAGAGGAGAACGUGAAGAGGAAGAGAAGCAGCAGAAAUUGGCUGACGAGAAGCCAUUGAAAUUGCGAGAGAGAGAGAGUCACCUCUCCAGCGACGGUCCACUUCUUUUUAGUGUCUCGCGCUACACUAUAAAAGGUGUAGGGGUAAGAGGAGCCACUCGUUUUGAUUACAUCCUUGGACGCUUGGUAAUUUAGGGUGCUUAACCAGUUAAAUGAAACAUUAAAGCAUAAUCGGGGCUGAAAAUAUUCUGUAUUCUUAUAUUAUGUAUUAAUGUUGGCAAAAAUCUUAAAUUAUAUCCAUCGUGACAUUAAUGUCUCGAAUUAGUAUUGAUUUCGUGGCGAACAAAAGUUAAGAUUUUUAGAGACAAGCUAGAGGUAUUUCCACUUCAAAUAUAAGUUUUAAGUGUAAAGAAGGGCGAUUAGAAGUCUCCAUGGAGGACCUAACCCUAUGGGAAGAUAUAUUGCUUACCCACCCCCUUGUAGCUUACCGUCAAACUACGGCCAUUGAUAGCUUCAAAUUGGCUUAUAUUGCCUAUCCCUCACCCUCUUAUAUUGCCUCAACAACUUUCACUACACCGCCCUCUCAGGACUUAGUUAACAUCAAGAGUAUCCUUUUAUUUAUAUGUUGUCAGUACGAACUUGACAUUUAGCUUGAUUUCGCAAUAACCAUGCAAUCUUCCUUGUUGCUAAAUUGUGUCUUGAGUUUGAGCCGAAUCCACACCUUAUUGCUCAAAGUCACGCACGAAAUGCAAUGCGCACACAAGUCUUGGACCUUUUUUCUCUACUUCAUUAAUGCUAUGCUUGCACGAAUCUCCUCCUGUGUCCCCUUAUCAUUUUAUCUUCUUUUUUUGGUUCGAAUCCCCUUUUGUCAUUGAAGGAGCUGAACGUCCAUUUUUCGCCCUCACUCCACAGCGCUCCCUAUUUCGGAUUCUCGCUCGAUCAGCGAAAUGAGAAAACUUGGCGCCGAAGUGGACGUCGGAAAUGGCGGUGAUGGCGACGUUCUUGAGGCCUAGCCUCAAUAUUCGAGUGGAAUUGAGAGGGUGCUUCCAUUCCAGACAGUGGUGGAGAACUGUGACGCUCACGGGGUGAUCGAGACCCCGGAGAUUGGAUCCGAGCACAGAGGCACGUGAGUCGUUUUCGCGUUUUCAUGGAACAGGGGUGGACGUUGGUGAUCUGGAUGGGGAAAGGAUGGAGCUUGAGGAGGAUGGUCAGGGACGCGUAUAGAAACGGACUCGACUUAGGGUUCAAGAACGGGUUUACAAAUGGGAUUCAGGUUGCGAAAUGGACCUGCAUCUUUCUAGGAUGGAGAAGUUUUUUCCAGAAAUUGUGAGACGAUUUCGGGAAUUUGAAAGAAACGAGAAGGACCAGAGCACAGGGCAAUUUUAAUUUAUUUUGGCCAAACGUUCGAGCAAUAGUUUCGAAUUACUAAGGAGUAUAUAUAAAUUUCAGCACGGUGACCUCUUUGGUUCAGAUCGGAAAAGUAGUGUGGGGGUGGUGUCUCGCCGCCCUCUAGCGAUACACAAGGGCCUGGCAGUGCAACGUUGUGGGCUUAGUAGGGCUUUUAGGGCUUAUUUGCCGGAUAUUCAUCGAUUUCUGGCCGAAUACAUGGCAACAACCAACGGCGGAGGUUGUUCUCAUGGGACAGCCACAGCCAUGGUCGCCGUCCCCUGAAAUGAUUAAGUUAAACAAUUUGUCAAAUUGCUUAAUUCAACAAUUUCGCACUCAACAGUGUCGACUUCGUAACUCACUUUCUCUGAUGAAAAAUGACCAAUAUCAUGCGUUUAAACCACAGUAGGCAUCGGCUAAGAUCAAAACGUUCAGAUUCAGCCGCAACAAGUCAACGAUGAGGCCCUUGAAAGACUUCUAUCCUUCCAAAGUCUUUUCUUGACUUAGGCAAUUCCAUUUGUUUCUUCACAUACUUGUUCAAGUUUUUGGGUUAGACUGUCAUGUGCUGAUGACUUAAUUAUUGCGUGAUUAUAUUAUUAAACUAAAUAAUUUGAUAGAUUAUGAUUGAUCUUAUUAAGCCAACUGCAUUUGAUAUUUUCACGUUAUUUGGCAUACAAAAUGUCGAUAUAAAUAGUAUAAUUCUAGGGGCUAAAAUUGUAAUUGACUCAAAGGCGAACGCGUAUUUGUGAGUAAUACCGUCAAACUCCUUUUGAGAUUCUCCUUCCAAGGCAUGUUCUCCUACUUAGAUAACUCGAUCAGUUUCCUCUUUUUUUCAAUAAUAUAAUUUAAUUUCCCUUUAUUAAUUUUCUCUAUUUAAAUCUAGUGUAUUUCUCUACUAGUGUUUUCGCUCCUGGUGAAAUAAGGGGAUUAAAUUUAUUUGGUCGGUUAACUAUCAACGUCAAUUAAGAUUUAAUUUCUUUCUAUCUCUUUUUGUAAAUAUUUAUACACAAAAUUCUUAUUGUGUAUUUUUGUCAAUAAAUUAUUUUCAUGAUUUAAUAAUUCAUAUAUUUUACCAAAAAAAUUAUUUAAAUUAAUUUUUUAAAUACCAAUUGUUCCCACACACAUAAUGCAUAGCGGGUGAUAAAUAAAAAGCAGAAGAUCCUCAUAGGAGAAAAGGAGCCCGCGUAUAGCACGAUUUCAUUCUCUAGAAUUAAUUAUUUUCUUAAGAAGGUAUUUCACAAUUUCCAAGUUGUCUUUGAAUUAAUCGAGUCUUUCUUAAAUAUCAAUCUACAUAUUGGCUUUCUAAUUGUUGAAUGGGUUUAGUACCCAUGGAUAAUAAGUAAUGCUACAAAGACCUUAGAAGACAAAAAGGAUUUUCACCCUAUAUGAUGUCAUGUGUUCUCAUCGCCCUAAGAACAUAUGUUAGCUUGUCAUACUAUCUAAUGGGCUAGGAUGCAAAAGUCACAAUAUAGCCGUAUGUAGUAUGGCCAUUAAAAAUGCAGAAUAAACAUGGUUUCUUUUUAUUAUUAUUUUUUUUUUACGAAUAAAGUGAUUCAUUUAUUCAAAAGCAUAUUGGAAAUAUAUGACAUGAAUGAUUUAAAAAGUAAAGAAAAAGAAAUUCCUUGAAAUUUUGUAAAGUCGGAGGUGCUGCUCAAAUCGAGGAGUGCGGGUGGUCCCAGCAAAGUGACGUUAAUGUACAAGAAACAAAAGGUAGGAAAAGUAAUAAGAGCAACGUGCAGAAACGACGACGGCUUGGCGUGGAACGAGCAUGGCUUUAAGCAAACACAGAAGCGGCGCAUCUCUCGAUAUUUUGAUGUCGCCUAUUCUUCCUCUUCUUCUUCUUUUUUUUAAACUGAUAAGGCUGCUCCGGAGCCUCUCUUCAUUUUCGUUUUUUUUGUUUGUUUUUUCCUCCUCAUUUUUCCAACCACAUCCUCACCAUAACGCGCCUUCUCUCUUUUGUCCCCUAGCUCUCCCCACUUUCUUUCGCCCGACUCUCUCUUCUUGUCUUGCUUUCUUUUUUGGGUUCCCCGCCCAAACCCUUAAUGAAAGAUUAAUUGCUGUUUAGUAUUUGUUGACGCCUCAAAUUUUAAUUAAGUUUAUUUUAUCUUAUUAAUUAAUUUUUUAUUUUAUUUAUCUUGUCUUUUUUCGAAAUAAAAACAGCAAAGCAAAGCAAAGCAAAAGAAAAAAAAAAGAAAAAAAAAAAAGAGCAGCCUUUGUAUGGGCCCUCGGCCCAUUUCGUCUCAGCCCAGCCCCCCCCACUUCUUCUUCUUCCUCGCGCAGUUGCAGUGCACAAGCAGAGGGCGCGACGCCGGAGCGGAGGGGAGGAGCAACAAUGGCGCACGUGGAGCAGGGGGCGGCUGGCGUCGGAUAAGAACGUGGGAGGGGCAGCUGGCGUCGGAUGGGACGCCGGUUCGGCCGGCGGAGGCCGCUUGGCGCACGGGGACCGGCGGUCGAAGCUCCGUCGACCGGCUGCUCCCUCGCCUAUAAAUAGGCCCCCGUUUCCGUUGUCGAAGGGGCACGCCAGAAGAUCGCAAGCUUGGAAACUUCUUCCUGAGAGACUUCGGAGGAGGUUGAAGGGCGAGCGAGAGAGAACUCGGGUCGCGAGUUCGGCUGACCUCCCACUGAGAGACUUCGGGGGAGGCUGCCGGCGAGCGAGUCCGAGGUGGUCAGAUCCGGCCGGUGGAGGCUCGGAUCUGGCCGGAAGAGAGAGAGGCCUGCGAGCUCCGAGAGAUCCCCUGAGAGACUUCGGGGAACUCAAAGAGCGAGCAACGACCUCCCUCCGAGAGACUUCGGGGGAGGCCGGCGGCGAGCGAACCCGGAUCUGCGAGAACUCGAGAGCGGAGAGAGGAGAGAGAUCGAAGCCGCGAGCAUUCAAGCUUCCCCCGAGAGACUUCAGGGGAGGCUCGACGCUCGCGAGCCCAGAUCAAAGGGAGGGAGCAGAGUUCGGGCACCCUCCGCCGUCGUAGCCGCCGCCGUCGCCACCGUUCGCCGUUCAAGCUGCCGUUCACGGACAGGUAGUGCUACCGCCGCCGCCGCCGUCGCCGUCGCCGUCGCCGUCGCCAUAGCCUCCCCCCCCUCUCCACAGUUCAACCGCCGUCGCCGCCGUCACCGUCGUCCCCGCGGUUGUGCCUCGGCCCUCUCCCCCCUCGGCGCCGCGGAUUCGCAAACCCUAGAUUUCCGGGUCACGAAGCGGAUCCGGGUUUGGAAAGCGGGUAGGGUUUUCGCGAUUUAAGGGGCGGCGGAAACCGGGUCGGGAGUUGGGUCGGACCCGGGUAGGGUUUCGCUAGGAACCCGGGUCGUCGGGCCGGGCCGGGCGUCCCCAAACGCCCGACCACGGCGUCGUUUAAAAAAAAAAAAACGAUGAAAAAUCUGACUCGGGCCCGCGUUUGGGUCGCCGACCCGGGUCGGACCCAACCCGCGGAUCCGACCCGGGUCGGUUUUAUUUUGUUAUUUUAAUAUAAAAUAAUAAAUAUUUUAUUUUCAAAAAAAAAAUCAAAAAAUGUUUUAUUUUCAAAAAAUAUUUAAAAAUGUUUUAAUUUCCAGAAAAUCAAAAAUAUUUAAAAAAUAUUUAAAAAAUGUCGAAAAAUGUUUUAUUUUCUAAAAAAUCGUGAAAAAUCAAAAAUAAUUUAUUUUCCAAAAUAUUUUGAAAAAUAAUAAAAAAUAUUUUAUUUUCCAAAAAAGAAAAUUAAAAAUAUGCCAAAAAUCCAAAAAAAACCAAAAAUUCAUGAAAAAACAAAAAAAAAAAUUCAGAAAAGCCAAAAAGACAUGUGUUUUUCAAAAAAAAAAACCCAAAAAAUCCCUUUUGCGUCCAAAAAUAAAAAAAUGACUCAAAAAAUGUUUUUCCUCCAAAAAAUGCAUGGAAAAUCUCUCAAACAUCCAAAAAAGCCUUAGAAUCCUUAGGGUUUAAACAAAGAUUAAGUACCGAAAGGGCAUUAGUGAUUAACUAAUGUAAUCAAGUCCCCGAUCCUAAUUUCUCUAGUUACGCAGGAGCGAGUAUUUCUCCCGAUACUUCGCUUGGGUUUUUAAUCGACCCACUCCAAAUCGAUUAGUGGCGACUUCAUUUUAAAAAUUGAUUUAUAGGUUAAAAACUCAAACUAUUAAAGUCGUGAAUUGAUGAACUUGGGAGAGUAUGGGCAUAAUUAAAAUUAGCCGAGCCAUUAGCCUUCUUUUUUUGGUUCCCCGCCCAAACCCUUAAUGAAGAUUAAUUGCUGUUUAGUAUUCCAAAGUCCAGCGUUAUCGGGCCCCAUCAUCGACCUAUCAAGUUCGCUAAACUCAGUCAUCAAUGGACUGACUAUUUUUGUUUGAACACGAGCUGCACCAACAUGACAAGAAAAAGGAAAAUAAAAACUUAGGCAAGGGCUCAUUGAUUUCUAACACUUGAUCAUACAAAUUUUUGAAAAGAAAUUUUAAUAUCAUUGCUUUGAGGAUGGACGCACUCUCAACAAGUGAACUCGCGUGAUCAAAUUCAGUAAUACGACAGAAUCAUCUCAAAGAUUUAAGUUUAAUAGUUAUUUUAUACGGCGAUCAUCAUAGGAAUGUGGCAAUUUCGAGCGCCUGCAAUGCGAUGUCUUGAUGUAUCAUAGGAAUGUUAUCUAGAUAUACAAACGGCAAAGGAGCAACAACAUAUCGGCAAUGACUUGGGUAGUAAUGAUGCAUCUAUGAGGCCUAUCCUUAUUCGAUUUUUUUUCUAUUUGUUUUUGUUCAUGUUUUCUUUCUCAAACCACUCUAAUAUGAAUUAAAUAGUAGAUAUCUUAAUAUAAAAUCAACAAUAGAAUUCUCCGUUUCGUUUUGGAACUCAUCGAAUGAGACUUUUUCUCUAAUUUUUUUACUAAUCCAUUUAGAUUACAUUUUAUAUUAUCACUAAAGUUUUAUUGUAAUUUAACUUGUUGUUAUAUCAUCCAUAGAAUAAUCAUAUUAUCGAUAUUGUAGAAAACAGAUAAAUAAAAUCAAACAAAAUCGAAAUGCUCAUUAGACCAUAGAAUAAUCAUAUUAUCGAUAUUGUAGAAAACAGAAAUUUUAAUGAUUUUUAACUACUAACUAAAAUAUGUAAUGUGUUUCUAGCUAGUAUCUCGUUCUGUUUUCUUCUCACCCCCUAGCUCUAUCCGCAAUGAUCGAGCCGUGAUCAUGUGAAUGCUUGACUAAAGCCUCCCUUCAGCCGCGUUUUUUCCUGCUUUUUAUGUCCCUACUUUUUUCAGUAAAUCUUUGCCCAAGAUAUGGUCCAUUAUGAGGGGGUGCUGGUUUUUCUAUGUCGCGUCCGCUUCUGAACCACCUUUUUGAACCAGAAUUCCACGAUUUCUGGCCUCCCUUUCCCUGUUUCUGUUCCUUCGUGCGUUUUCACGCUGCUAAUUUCCUUCAUUCACACCCCGCGGGAAUGCCGUGUGGAAACUGGAAAGUAGCCUCCAGUCGACCAUUUCGGUCAGCCAGAAGGAGGGAGCGGAGAGGACUUUUAUUUGGAGAGCAGGCUGCGUCCAAAACUUCCAUAAGAAUUAUCAUUUAAAUUCACUGCGGAAAAUUUAGGGUUAGAUCGUGUAAGGUUGGUUCAUAAGAAUUCACAAUCAGGAAUGCAAUGGAGAGAGAGAGAGAGAGAGAGAUUUAUGGGAUUAUGAAUGUAUUUUUAUUAGGAGUCAAAUUAUCAGUGAAUUUGAUCGUUAAAUUUCAUUAAAAUGCGAAUGAGACCUUUAAACGGAAAUUUAUGUAUCAACAAUAAUUAAUCUUACAAAUUAGUAAGUAAUUGUUUCUCGUUAAAUCAUCCCUUAGUUGAAUUUUUUUUUCUUUUUAGUCUAAAGAUCUAAAUUGCAUACAAAAUUGGUCUUGUGAAUUCAUUAGUAUAGGUAAUAUUCUAAAUUUGAGUCAAUAUUUAUGCAAAGUAAAUAAGCAGCAGUACUCACGAAGAUUUUCCUAUUGAUUUCUAGAGGCAAAAAAGAGCAAUGCUAUGCAUAAGAGAACUGGAUAUUUAUAUAUAUUAAGAUGGAUAGAAAAUGAUAAGGAAAAUAGUGCGGUAGCUCUCUUAAGAAAAUUUUGUUUUUAAUUUUUCAUUUUCCUUGGAAAGUCUAGAGAAUUUGGCAAUUAAGUAAACCAUAGUUUAACAUUCCAUAAUAAUUUUCCACCUCAUUCGGUGCACUAAUUUUUUUAUAUAUUUACAUAUUUAGCACCAUUUCGGGCAAGACAAAGAAAGAUAAGUAGGCUCAAAAGUUUAUCGGGUGCACGUUCGCAUGAGUUUCCUCGUGGUUAAAGCUGAAAUUGGCUCAAAGGCGAACGCGUGUUCUUGAGUAACACUGUCCCACUCCCUUUGAUGACGAUGACAUCAGAGACAAUUACCCGACACUAUUGAAAAGAGAGAGAGAGAGAGAGAGGGGGGGAAGAGGUCUUAUCGUGGCUUCCAAAAGAGGCCACUUGAAAUCUCUUAAAAAAAGUGAAAGUUAUGCGAGGUGGAGUAUAAAUAGACAAAUUGCUCAUUAUUUUUGUUAAUAGAUUAUUGUCUAGAAAUGAAAAAGAAAAAAAAAAGAUGUAAAUAGUGAAGCAAUGAGGCAGCAAUAAAAUAGGAAACUUGUCAACCCCCAUGCAUUAUAUUAAAUUAAAAUAUUAUUAAGUCCAUUGUCGGUCUAGAAAAUAAUUUGCACAUUCCCGAUUAAGAGUUGACACGUGAAAUAAUUCACUGGCAAAAGCAACUUCAAACACAUAUGUCACUCAUUCACGAUAAAUGUGUAUUGAGGUUUUAACAUUGAUUAUGCUUCCAACAAUAAUCCAUUAAAUUACUAGGUUUUUCGGCUAACAAUUUUUCUAUAUUUAGUUUAAAAUAUUAAAAUAAUAAGACCAAACAGAUAAUAUAUUCGGAUGUUCAAAAUUUUUACCCAUGGGUUAAUUAGGAAUGCCAACUAUUUAAUAAAAUAUUCAAAAUAUUAUUAUUUCAUAGUAUCUAGAGAAUGAAAAUAAAUAAAUAAAAAAAGUCAAAGUCAUGCGAGGGUGAAAUAAAAGCAAUCAAAUCAUUAAAGAGAGAAAAAUCAUUUUUAUUUAUUAUAGUAAUAGGUUAUAGUGUAGAAUGAAAACGAAAAAAAUAUAAAUAAAAGAAAGGGUAAAAGCAUGCGACGACACCUAUCUAAUGUGCCAUUGCUCCAGGAGGCCUCCACGUAGCACCCGAGUUGUCUAUUCCACCGUCCAUCUCGCCGACACGACGGACGGGAAAAAAACCCACGCCGGACCCCCCCCCCCCACCCCCGAAACGGCACAUGUUGGUGUCAGCGGGAGCGUCGGACCGGGCCCCGCCCCGGUUCACGAGGAUCGCCACCGAUGACGUGGACAUGUCGAGAAGGGGGGCAGGAUCAAAGCAACGGACGGCUUGGAGGUGUGGUCGUUCGGCUUGUCGUACGCCUGGCCAUGUGAUCACAUGAAUCGGGCGUACUACGGUCAGGGGGAACAAGGGGAGAGGGUGGGGCCCGUUGGGCCGGGGAAUGUAGUUAGGCCAUGAUGAUGGACGGCUGGAUGGACGCGUGGUCGUUCGGCUUGUCGUACGCUUGGCCAUGCCAUAAGUCGGGGAUUUCUCGGGGUACGGUCAGGGGGAACAAGGGGAGUGUGAAUGUGAAAAUCGAUCCCCAAUGAACACAAUCAACGCCUCCUGACCCAGCAUCUAGGGGGGAGAAGGUUGUCAUUGGUGAUUAGGCCUUGUAAAUUGGUAUUUUCAUGGUUUGAUUUUAAUUUGAUAAAUUUACCUAUACAAAAGUGCUAAAAUAAUCUAAGCGGGGAGAUCAACCAUAGUCCAACAGAGACCAAUAUUAGUUUGACGUGAUAUUGCUAUGGUUGUUACGUUUGUUGUCCGACAAUGAUAUAACGUGCGAUUAUGUUUGUGACUACGGACUUCUGUAUUGAGUUGUGAUUUACGUGCUUUUUCUAGCGGUAAAAUAUAACAUAUUUGUAACUUUUAACAAGGUCGCUAAUUCUGUUAAAAAAAAAACAGGGUCGUUGAUUAGAAUUCGAUACUUUGACCAAGUCCAAGUCUCUCCCUUUCUCUCACACAUAGAAACAUGAUGAAAUGAUAAACGACGGAGACGUUUCUUGCGCGUGUUCUAAGCAAGUGUGCUGUUUUCUCUUAUGGCAGAGUCCCUCUCGAUUCUUCACCAAAACCUGUUCAUUCCCAUUUCCAGCAGCAGUUGAAUGCCCUUGUUCCUCUAGGAAUUGGGUUUCCGCCUUUGAAAGAAGAUGAGAAAGAAGUAGUCGAGAGAAGAGGAGAAGAGAAUUUUCUUUGUAUUAUGUAUAUCAUUCAAUGUACAAUGUCUACUAUGUUUAUAAUACAAAAUGUGUAUAAGAAAAGCAAGUAAAUAUUUUACAAUUUGGAUCCGAUUAGAUCCGAUACUAAAUGAUCGUGAUUGAUCUUGAAUGAUGUUGUGAAUCUUCAUGUGUAUCUUCUAACAAUCCCACUCAAGUUGAUGGCUUGUAAAUAUCCGAGAUGCCUAGCUUGCUUAGAAGAUACGCGUGCUGGCUUUGACACAAGGGUUUAGCGAAGACGUCCGCUGGUUGCUCUUCUGUUCGGAUCCCCAGUGUCUCGAUUAUCCCUUGUUGGAUCUUUUCUCGUGCAAAAUGGCAGUCCACCUCUAUGUGUUUCGUUCUUUCAUGAACUAUUAGGUUUGAGGCAAGUUUGAGGGCCGCAUCAUUAUCCCAAAACAAUUUGGUUGGCCCUUCAACUUGUACCCCAAGAUCUCGAAGAAAUCCACGUAGCCACACUACCUCACAUGUGGUCUUUGCCAUGGCUCGAUAUUCCGCUUUUGCUGAGGAUAAUGAAACAGUCGGUUGCUUCUUUAUCUUCCAUGAAAGUAAAGAAUCCCCUAACUUGAUACAGAAACUUGUUAUGGACCUUCUGCUCAUCGAACAUGUCGCAUAAUCUGCAUCACAAUAUGCAGUCAUCCUCAUAUCACAUUUCUUGGAGAGGAGAAUCCCAAGACCUGGACAUUUCUUCAAAUAUUUUACCACUUUGAGUGUUGCAUUCAUGUGGGACUGCUUUUGAUUGUGCAUGAACGACUAGGAGUUUGCACAGCAUAACUGAUAUCCGGCCUGGUUAUAGUUAAAUAUAUGAGUUUCCUAACAAGUUUCUGAUAAGUCAUUGGAUCCUCAAUGUAGGAUCGGGUUCUUAAGAGAUUCCAGUAUCAUACUCUGCUGUGGUCAAUUUGAUAUUUUGCUUGAUUGGAAUUACAACCGGCUUACAUCCUGACAGUCCGACUUCUGAUAUGAUUUCUAAGGCAAAUUUUCUCUGGUUGAGAGAUAUUCCUUGGUCUUAACUAACUGGACAAGCAGCUUACUGCUCUUUGAAGGGAAGUCUAAACUGGAUGGCUGCAGAGGUACUCUGAUUUUGUGAAUGUUAAUGCUACAUUCCUUUUUUUUAACAUGGUGGAAUGAUGUAGUCUAUCCUGCGGCUCAUACAAUCCUUGAUGGCAUAUGAUUACAGCACAGAUCUCAAUCGUACUGCUAACAUCUGAAGUUUGGGAAGUACUAUUUACAGGAAACCUCCUUGGAGCGAGUAUGAGCGGGNNNNNNNNNNNNNNNNNNNNNNNNNNNNNNNNNNNNNNNNNNNNNNNNNNNNNNNNNNNNNNNNNNNNNNNNNNNNNNNNNNNNNNNNNNNNNNNNNNNNUUUUCUCUGUUUGUCCUUCCAAGUAAUAUGCUUCUAACCAAAUAUGUGUCACCGUUUUCUGUUGGAAGUUCGGGACUGUGCAUAUUACCAUUUGUUAUGUGAUAUGUGUCUUUAUUUUCUAUUUAAGGUUUAAUCAUUAAUGUAGGGUCAAGCUAUAUUUAAGGUGAUGCAAAGUUCUCCACCAAUACCUAAGACGUUAUCUGCUGAGGGAAAGGAUUUCCUGCAGUGCUGCUUUUGAAGAGAGCCUGCCGAGAGGCCUUCAGUUGUUAUGCUACUUGAGCAUGCUUUCUUGCAAAUUUGAAGUGAUGACUGACUUAUUUCGAGUGCCAUACCUUGUUGCAAAAGUGAUGUCGUACUAUAAAGUUCCAGAUUUGCUAAACCAAAAGUAUCAUGAGGUCCAUAGGUGUGAUGAAGUACUUGUCUAUCGACAAAAUUAAAUGCAUGUCUGAGAGGUGGCAUACUUUGAUCUAGGAAAUUUGACAGUAUUGCCUAAUCUAAGCGGAGAUCUAGGCAAUUUGAAAGUCUUGCCUAAUCUAAACAUUUUACUAUGGAGUGCAUUCUUAUCAUAGACAUUUUGUCUAUUACUUUAAUUUCAUCAAAAUUGAAUGGUAUUGAUAUGGCUCCAAGUAAGCAACAAAUCGGCAAAACACAAGCAAGAAACCCAGAAAAGAAAAAGGAGAAAGAAAAUCCAAGUGAUGAUGCAUCAGAAUCCCUGAAAUAAUUUUGGAAGCAAGUACUCCGUCGAUUUGGUUGGGGGAACAUUGGCAGGUUUGGCAAACCUGCAGUAUCUUAGGAUUGGGGAAGUGAAGAGAAGAGUAGCAAAGUUAUGGGCAUCGGAGGCUCUUGAUUCUUCCUUUAAGAAUGUCGAUCUCAACAAAUACAUGAGAUUUCUCCAACUAGAGUGGCUCUCAUCUCCAUCACCAAAUUCCGGAGAGUUAAGAAAAGCCAUUGGGUGUCUGUGGAUGUAAAUGAUGAUGAUUCAAGAUUUGUGACUUCCGAAAGGAGAAUUGACGUUGAUUGUUGCAAAUAGCUCGUGACUUGUGUCUAUAUUUCAUCUUGUGUCUAUGAAAUGCAAAUAGCCCAUGAAUUUUGUUUAAAAUAUCUCACGUCGUUCAUUUACGAGAUUUUAAUGGGCCUAAUAUUUAUUUAAUUUCCCUUCAACUAUUUGUUCAAAUUUUUGGGUUGGACUUCCUCAUGCGUGCGUGAUGGCGUUAUUGCACGAGUAUAUUGCGUUAUCUACUCAUCACCAAUACAUCGCAAGAUUCAUCGUGACAGGAGCUUUUGCUCAUGGGGCUAUGAAAAAGUUAAGUGCUAAAAAAUAUCAACUCUAUAUUUUUGAUGAUAUACUAAACAAUUUGAAAGACUAUGAUUGGCCUUAGUAAGUAAGUCACAUUUUACAUUUUCACGUUAUUUGGCACACAAAAUGUCGAUAUAAUUAGUAUUAAUUCAGGGGCCGUAAUUGUAAUUGGCUCAAAGGUGAGUGCAUCUUCAUGAGUAAUACCGGCAAACUCCUUUUGAGAUUAUCCUUCCUAGGGCAUGUUCUCCUACUUAGAUAACCUGAUAAUUUUCCUCUUUUUUCGAAUAGUAUAAUUUAAUUUCCCUUUAUUAAUUUCCUCUCUCUAGAUUAGUGCAUCUCUCUACUCGUGCGUUCGUUCCUGGUGAAAUAAGGGGAUUAAAUUAAUUUUGUCGGCUAACUGUCAACAUCAAUUAAGCUUUCUCUCUCUCUCUUCAUAAAUACUAAUACACACAUCUCUUACUGUGUAUUUUUAUCAAUAAUUUCUUUUCAUUAUUUAAUAAUUCAAAUAUUUUAUAAACAAAGACUUGAAUUAAAAUUUGUAAAAAUUUGUAAAUACCAAAUGUUCCCACACGCAUAACGUGUGUAUCGGGUGAUAAUAAAAAGAGGAAGAUCCCCAUUGGAGAAAAGAGGUCCAGAUAUAUUAAUACGGUUUCAUUCUCUAGGAUCAAUUAUUUUCUUGGGAAGGUAGUUCGCGAUUUUCGAAUUGUCUUUGAGUUGACCGGGUCUUAAGCGACUUUUUUUUCUUAUGACUCUCGCCUGCAUUUGGACUCUUAUCUCCAUUUUCGUUUUCUUUUGUUCUUUUACCAAACCCUAACCAUAAUGCUCCUUUUCUUUUUUGUCCCUUUGUUCUCGCCCUUUUCUUUCGUACAACUCGCUCUUCUUUUCCAGCUGUUCUUUUUUUCUUUUCUUUUUUUCGGUUCUCUGCCCAAACCCUUAAUGAAGACUAAUUGGUGUACGAUGAUAUUGAGCGCCAUCGUCGACCGAUCAAGUUCGCUAAACUCAAGUCAUCAACGGACUGACUAUCCUUGUUUGAACAGGAGCUUCCACCAGCGUGGCAGGAAAAUGAAAGCAAAAACUCAAGCAAGAACUCAUUGAUUUUCUAAGAUUUGGUCAUAAGUAUCGAUGAAAAGAAACUUUAAUACUGCUGCUCCGAGAAUGGAAGCACUCCCAACAAGAAAACCCAAGUGAUCGAAUUCAAUUCACGGCGGAUGAUGCGAGUUUAACAGUCAUUCUCUACGACAAUCACAAUAGCGAUGCAGUAAUUUUGAACUCCCCAGUGAGAUGUCUCUUGAUGCGGCAGAGGAAUCCGAUCUAUUACUUUUUUAUAUCAUCACUAAAAUUUUGUUACAUAAUUUAAUUUACAAUUGUAUCAUCUACAUGAAAAUUUGAAAUACGAUCUAACUAAACGGAAUAAAUCGAAUCUCACUAAAUCGAAAUGUUAAACAGAAAAUAGAAUGCCCAGAUGAGAAUCUGACUUGACAGUCUAGAAAAAAACUGGAAUUCUUUCUGAUAAAUCUUUAAGUUCUAACUAAAACAUGUACUGUGUUUCUAGCUGAUGUCUACUUCUGUUUUCCUUUCUUGCCGACUAGCUCUAUACGUAAGGACCGGGUCGUGAUGGUGUGAAUGCUUCGCCGGGGAGUCUCGACUAAAAGCAGCCUCCCUCCGACCGGGAUUCUCCUGCUUUUCACCUUUUGCUUUUCACACUAAAUCUUUGCUGAAGAUAUGGUCAUUCAUCGUGAGGGUGUGCUGCAAUUUCUCCGCUGCCGUGUCCUUCUUGACCACGCUCUUCUCCUCAUCAGAGCAAUCUCCACCGAAGCCCACCGACAGUUCCACUUGCGCUCUUCUUUUAUUUCAAGUCUUUUUCAACUUUCUCUGCUUUCGGUUCCGCAUGGCCCGACCAUGUCCCCUCGUCCUUGUCUCGGUGUUCAGUUAGUCGACACGUUUCCACCGUAUCGUGUCUCACGAGAAUUUGCUCUCCAUUUUUGCAGAAUUUCAGCUCUUCCCUUUCUGUUCCUUUUUUGUGUUUUCACACUUCUAUUUCCCUUCCUUCGCACUCGCACGAAUGCCGUGUCGAAAGUGAACUCAAGUUGACCAUUUCGGUUCACAAAAAUUCGCAAUUUUAUUGGAAACGGUCUGUAAUUUUAUAUGCGAAAGAAUGCAAUAGAGAUUGAGAAUGCGAGAUUACAAAUGCUUUUUUCUUAAUAAGGGGUCAAAUUAUCAGUGAAUUUGAUUGCUGAAUUUCAUGAGAAUGCGGAUAGGACCUUUAGGUGAAAAUCAGUGUCAACAAUAAUUUUCCUCAUAAGUUAGUAAGUUGUUAUUUUCUCUUUAAAUCAUCCCUUCAUUGAUUUUUUUUUUCUUUUUGUCUAAAGAUCCAAACUGGAUGCGAAAUUGAUCUCGUAAAUUAAUUAGUGUAUGUAAAAAAAGAAAAGAAAAGAAAAGAAGAAGAUGAUGUUUUUAUAAUAACUAUAAUAAAUUUGCAUGGAGCACUCCUAUUUUAAUCAAGCUUGCUUUGUUUGAUUAAACUAAACCAGGGUCAUCAAGAAAAACAGCUCUAGUGCGAACGUCCCGAUCGGCUGGAUUCAAUGUUGAUUUAUUUAAAGUAAAGCGAGUUUAAUGUCGCCGUCGCGAUCGUGACCAACUUCGAUUGUGCGCCUUUUCUCUUUUGUCCCCUAGCUCUCCCACUUUUCUUAUGCCCAACUCUCUCUUCCUUUGUUGCUUUCUUUUUCGUUCUGCGCAAACCCUUAGUGAAGACUAAUUGGUGUUUAGUUUUCCAAAGCGGGGCAUUAUGGAGCACCAUCAUUGACCCAUCAGGUUCGCUAAGCUCAGUCAUCAAUUAACUAACUAUUCUUGAUUUGAUUGAACAGAAGCUGCACCAACGUGGCAGGAAAAAGAUAAAAUCAGGCGAGAACACAUUAAUUUUCUAAGACUUGGUCAUAAGUAUUGAUGAAAAGAAACUUUAGUACCGCUGCCCUGAAAAUAGAAGCACUCCCAACGAGUGAAUCCGAGUGACAAUUCAAUUAUUUGACGAAAUCAACUCAAUGACGUAAGUUCAAUAGUUACUCUUUACGGUAAUUACGAUAGUCAUGCUACAAUUUUGAGCAUUGCAAUGAGAUGUUUCAUGAUGUAACAAAAGAAGCCAAUUUAGUCGUGCAAAGAGGUGGCAUUACGACCACAACAUCAGCAAUGAUUGGGGCAGCAAUGACACAUCAAUGAGGCCUAAUCUUAGUGGACUUUUUUUUUUCCCUUUUUACGGAUAAAAUAUGAAUUAGAUAAUUGAUCUCUUAAUAAUAAAUAGAUAAUAGGAAAUAUGAUUCUCCAAUUUCUUUUUGAAUUCACCAUAUGGCAUUUUUUUUGCUAUUUUUUUCAUUUACUAAUUCAAUUCUAUUACUUUUUUAUAUAGUCACAUAAGUUUUAUUACAUAAUUUAUUUUACCAUUGUAUCAUUUACAUGGAAAUUCGAAAUACGAUCUAACUAAAUGGAAUAAAUAGAAUCUCGCUAAAUCGAAAUGUUAAACAGAAAAUGGAAUGGCCAGAUUAGAAUCUGACUUGACAUUCUAGAAAAUACAGGAAUUCAUUCUAAUAAUCUUUAACUAGUAACUGAAACAUGUAGUGUGUUUCUAGCUGAUAUCUCGUUCUGUUUUCCUUUCUGUUCCACUAGCUCUACACGCCACGGCCGGGUCGUGACGGUGUGAAUGCUUAGUCGGAGUCUCGACUAAAAGCCUUCCUUCGGCCGGGAUUCUCCUGCUUUUCACACUGGAUCGUUGCUGGAGAUACGGUCAUUCGUCAUGAGGGAGUGCUGCAAUUUCUCCACUACUGUGUCCUUUUCGACCCCAUUAUUGCCCUCAUCAAAGCAAUCCACCGAAGCCCGCCGAAAGUUCCACUUGCGCUCUUCAUUUAUUUUGCGUCUUUUUCGACUUUCUCUGCUUUCGGUUACGCAUGGCUCGACCAUGUCCCCUCGUCCUCAUCUUCGCGUUCAGUUAGUCAACACGUUUCCACCGUAUCGGGUCCCACCAGAAUUUGCUCUCCAUUUUUGCAGAAUUUCAGCUUUCUCUUUCUGUUCCUUCGUGUGUUUUCACACUGCUAUUUCCCUUCCUUCGCACGCGCAGAAAUGCCGUGUUGAAAGUGGCCUCGAGUCGACCAUCUCGGUGAACCGGAAGUAGGGAGCGGGAAGGACCUAGAAUUCCCGUUUAAAUUUACCUCGAAAAUUUCAGGGCUGGGUCGUGUAACAGGUCGGUUCGCAAGAAUUCACAAUGAAAGUUUUCACAAUUUUAAAUGCGAAGGAAUGUAAUAGGGAUCAAGAAUGCGGGAUUACAAAUGUAUUUCUUUUUAUAGGAGAUCAAGGUAUCACUGAAUUUGAUUGCUGAAUCUCAUCAGAAUGUGGAUAAGACCUUUCCGCGAAAAUCUAAAUGUCAACGGUAAUUUUCCUCAAAAGUUAGUAAGUUAUUAUUUCCCUUUAAAUCAUCCCUUCGUUGAAAUUAUUUUCUUUUUAUCUAAAGAUCCAAACUAUAUAUACCAGACUUAUCUCGUAAAUUAAUUAGUGCAUGUAAAAUUCCAAGUUUGAUUUUAGAUUUAUGCGAUGUAAAUAAGCAGCACUACUCCCAAGGUUUUCCUAAUUAAUGUAAUGCAAAUCAUUUCUAGAGGAAUAAAAGAGCAAAUGCUAGACAUAAUAAAAUUGAAUAUUAUAUGCGCGCGCCCGCAUAUUUAUAUAUAAAGAUGGAUGGAGUAUGAAGAGGAAAAUAGUGUGGUGGCCUUCUUAGGUAAGUUUUGAUUUUAAUUUUUGAGAGUUCGGCAAAAAAAGUGAAUCACAUUUUAAUGCUCAACAAUACUUUUCCACCUCAUUUGGUACACUGAUUUUUUAAAAUCUUUAUAUAAUUAGUACUAUUUUGCCCCCCACCCAAAAAAAAAAAAAAAAAAAAAACCCAAUAGUAUCUUGGGAGCACUUUCGUGUGAGUUUCCUCACUGCCGAACGCGUUUUCUUGAGCAGGGCCGUCCACUCCUUUUGAUGACAAGACAACAACAUGGGAAACAAUUACCCUACACUACUCUUGACGCUCCUCUGGAUCGAUGCUUAACGUGUAAGGGCUGCUUGUGAUUCUCCUUGCAAAGGUAUGUUCUCCUUCUUUGAUAACCAAUUUUCCUCUUUUUUUUCGAUAAGUAUGAUAUUAAUUUACUCUGUGUAGAUCUAGUGUAUCUCUCUAUUUGUGCUUUUGUUCCCAGUAAAAUAAGGAGAGAGAUCUCUGUACUUCAGGCGUGCACAACUCAGGCGGUUUGGUUCUGUUAGGAGGAUUCUACGGUUUUGCAACGAUUUCAAAUAUACCUGGUCAGCUAGCUUUUAACAUAACUUAAGAAUCCUUUAUUUUUCUAUAUGCAUUAUUUUUUUAAAUUGAUCGUCUGUUUUUAACUGUUCUAUGCUCUUGCUUGGCAUUGUCUCUGUUUUGUAAGAAUCAAAUAAAGAAUCUCCGACUGAGCAUCCUUAUUUAACUGGAUUACUUCUUGUAGGAUAUUGGUAGCGGCAAUGCCUAGAGAAAAGGAUCCAUUUUGGAAGUACGCGACGUUGCUGAAUGAAAAUAAUAGCAAGUGGAGGUGUAACUUGUGCGGACAGAAUUAUAGUGGACGUGCUACAAGGAUCAAGGCUCACUUGGCUGGAUUGACCCGCUUUGGUAUUAAAGGAUGCGAGAGAGUCGAUGCUAAUGUUAGAGCAGAAGCCAAGGACGCACUUGAGCCUAAAAAAGUGACGGACUCGAGCGACCAAGGUGUAUCUGACGAGAGGAUACCAGGAAAUGUUAAAGCAGCUCCGACCAGCACAACUCAUCCACCAAAUGCGGAGGGAGGAAACAAUUUACAACUUCCACAAGGUAUGCAUUUCCAAAUUACCGCAGAAAAUGGCUGUUUAGUAAAGUGAAUUUUUUUGAUCUAAUCUUAAAUAUGGUUUGAGGUUUGCUUUAGUCUUUUAGGGUCUGCAUGACAAACUUCCCCAGCCCAAGAAUUUCUAUUCUUCUCUUCCCCAGAACCAAAAAAGAAUAGAAACCCGCAUGAUAAUGGCAAGUUAAUUUUUUGUUCCCGGGAACAAAAUGUUAGCCCGGAAAUGGUUUUGGAAUAGAAAUGAGAAGUAAAAAAAAGUUGCUUCUUGUUCCCGGGAACAAGUUUAAGAAAUAAGUUAAUUUUUUUUUCUUUUAUUCUUCUAUUGUUGACUGCCAUUGACCGCUGUUGACCGUUGCCGCCGCCGCCGGUCGCCUCCGCCGGUCGCCGCCGGUCGCCGCCGGACGCCGCUGGUCGCCGGAGGCUGAUCGACCUCNNNNNNNNNNNNNNNNNNNNNNNNNNNNNNNNNNNNNNNNNNNNNNNNNNNNNNNNNNNNNNNNNNNNNNNNNNNNNNNNNNNNNNNNNNNNNNNNNNNNUGUUUUUUACCAAACGCGAUUCAAACGCAUUUCUAUUCUUUUUCUAUUUCUAGAUGUGUAGUUAUCAAACGGGUUUUUUUACAUAGAAAUUGUUCCCCAGAAUAGAAAUAGAAAAGAACUAUUUCUGAAAAGAAAUUGUUCCCCAGCCAAGAAAUGUUCUCAUGCGCACCCUUACUGUCUAAACAUCCAUUUCAAGGCAUGUCAAAGCAAUCAGUUUCCCUGCGCCCUAAAUUUCAAUAUGUUACUGAAGACAGCUAUAUAAAUCCGACUAAUGCUGUUGUAUAUCUCAAUCCAUCACUAGAAAAUGGGCAGGAGAUGAGGGCGGCCAACGUCGCAAACCCCCCAUUCGAUGGUGCAACAAGUUACCAUAGAGCACCUCCCACGCCAAAUUCACCCUUCACUGUUGAAGAUUUUACUUCUUUGAUGGAGUCUCUUGACGCUGAGACAUCAAAUGCACAACAGAAUCCAGGCGCGUUAUUGCUAUCAUCAAACUAUCAGCUCCUUGAUAAUACUUUUCAGAAUGAGUUACAGGGGCCCCUUUUGCCUGGUCCCAUUGCAUCGGAUACUCAACUCAGUAACAUGGCCACAACCAAAACUUCCCAGCAUUCUAGUCAACCACUUCAAAGCGACAGGGAGUGUGGAUACGGCACCGGUCUAGAGCCACCUAUUCCAUCACUACCUUCCACUGGACCUCUUCUUGUCGAGUCAGUUGACCCCCUGCAGAUUCCAGAGGACAUCACAAAUACAAUAGGCCCAUGGACAUCAGAAGGUAUGAAAUUAUCUAUGUAUGUUAAAUGAGUAUCGUUAACUAAGUGCCCAUUCCACUUGUUAAGUAUAUUUGAUAAGAAACUUUAUUUUUAUUUUUAAUGCAUUGAUUAUACAUAAUACAAGAGAGACGGUGCAUUGGGAAUUACAACAUUUCCUUAAUUGGGUUUUUAACAUAAUAACAGUGCAUGGAAUGUGUUGCAAGUGUCACCGGACCAACUGGAUCCGGUAAACUAACUAUAAUCGGCAUUCUCCCAUGUUCCAAUUAACCAUACCCUAUUUUGAUUAAUAACACGCAGGUGAAGGCACAUCAUGUUCAAUGAUGGCUUUAGCGGAAGAAGUACGGUCUCCUUUUAACUUGCCAUGGCAACCACAGUGUUCCAUUCAAUCUCAAAUGCCAAUGAAUUUCCAGCAGAUUCCAGCAGGGGUAUCGUCAUUCCAGUAUAAUCAAUUACCUGCUACAGGUAAUUCACAUUGCUUGCAGGGUAGGAAUCAGCACUCUCAAUUGCAAACUCCAAUGGACAUAGAUGCCUCAAUUGCAUCACGGCAUACAAGUGACUCUCACAUUAUUGAGGCAACAACGGUUGAUUCGCAAGUUCCAGAGGCGGCAACAAAUGCAACAGGCCCAUUGUCAUCACAAGGUGCGUUUGGAUUAAUCUUCAUUGUUACUAUAUGGUUCCACUAGAUUCUUAAAUAUCCCCAAAUUAUUUUAUCGAAAUCUAACAUAUUUUUUUAUAAAUUAGAUAUGAACAGGGGUUCUCCAGUCAUGGACGUACGGAGCAUCUAUGCCAACGAUGAAGAGAUAAGAAACCUGAAAAGAAAAGUGGAAGAACUCGACGACAAAGAAGCUGUCAUAAAGGAGCAGAUGGAGAUAGAGUCUGCUACUUCCUCAGUUCGGAAGAAGCCGAGGAUAUUGGUUGAUAGAUGGCUAAAAGAGACAGAAAGAGCAAGAAAUAAUUUCCAAAUAAUUGGUCAAGCCAAUGCGGAAACUUUGCCACCAAAGGAACAGGUGGAGACAUUGACGAGAGAAGUGGAAGAACUCAUAGGAAAAACGCUUCCACAAACACUACUCAUAGAGGAGAGAGAUGCCAAAGGAGUCAAAUUUUUUGAACGAAAGCUAACAGGUGAAGCGAUUCAUAGGAAUAUUGAGUUGAUUUGGGAUCGUCUGAAGGAGAAUCGUGUAUGCAAAUUGGGUAUUUAUGGAAUGGGUGGUGUUGGGAAGACAACUAUUAUGAUGCACAUACAUAAUAGACUUCUCAAUGAUGCAACCUUCGAUGGUGUGUUUUUUAUCACUGUGUCUCAAGAUUUCAGCAUUAAGAAGCUGCAGAGUGAUAUUUGGAAGGAUCUAAAAUUAGGCGUUAUGGAGGUUGAGGAGGUUGAGGAUGAGAAGAAACGAGCAGCGAUGUUGUCAGAGCAUUUAGAAAGAAAGAAGAAUUGUGUAUUGAUUCUUGAUGAUGUGUGGGAACGUGUUGAUCUUGAAGAGGUGGGAAUCCCUAUUAGAGCACAUGGAUUUAAGUUUGUCUUAACCACUCGAUCCUUUGAUGUGUGCCGCCAGAUGCAAUGUCAAGAAAAGAUCAAAAUCAAGUCUCUAUCUCAAGAAGAAGCCGAGAGUUUGUUUUUGGAGGAGCUUGGACCCAAUAUGCCACUUAAUUUGGAAAUUGAAGCAAUUGUGAAGUCCAUUGUUAAAGAAUGUGCAGGCUUGCCUAUUGGAGUCAUCACGAUGGCAAGAAGCAUGCGAGGAGUGACUGAUGUGUUUGAAUGGAGGGAUUCCCUGGUUAAAUUGGAAGAAUCAAGUAAAGGGCAAACAGAUAUGGAGAAGAAGGUUUUAAUGAAUCUGAAAGUCAGUUAUGAUCGCCUUGGUAAUCCUGAUGUGCAACAAUGCUUCUUAUCUUGUGCACUUUAUCCAGAAGAUAAAUUGAUUGAUAAGUUCAAGUUGGUAGAAUUCUUUAUUGACCAAGGAUUGAUUGGUGGAUUGAAUACGAGGAAAAAACAAUAUGAUAGAGGCUUCACCAUAUUGAACAAACUACAAAAUGUUUGCCUAUUGGAAGAUCAUGGGAGCAAGACGAAGAUGCACGAUUUGAUUAGAGACAUGGCAUUGCACAUCAUGAGUGCAACUUCCAUUGUAAAAGCAGGAAAGUUGUUGGAAAGUAUUCCAUCUGAGGAAUAUUGGACAGAUGCUUUGGAGAAAGUUUCUCUGAUGGGAAACAAAAUAAGUGAAAUUCCAUUGAACAUGUCACCAAAUUGUCCUAAACUAUCAACUUUACUACUGAAUGGAAGCUUGUUAGAGGAUGCAGUCCUCCCUGGUUCUUUCUUCAAACAGUUAUGUGGGCUAAAGGUUCUAAACCUGAGUGGAUGUGAACUAACAGAACUUCCAAAUUCCAUCUCAGAUUUGGUAAACUUAAGGGCACUAUUGCUUAGAGGGUGUCGGGUAUUGUGCCAUAUUCCUUAUUUAGGGAAGCUCACAUCUUUAAGGAAGCUGGACGUUGGUGGCUGUUUUCGGCUUGAAGAAGUGCCCGAGGGUCUGGAAAUGUUGGUGAACUUGAGAUACCUUGAGAUUUGUGUUGAAUUACCUGAAAGAGUACUGGAGGGUUUGCUAAACUUGCAGCAUCUUAAAGUUGAUUUUCUAGAUGGACAAGACAUGACAAAAUUGAGGGCACUGGAGACACUCGAAUGCUCUUUUGAAGAUGCGAAUAAUUUCAACGAGUGUGUGAGGGUUAUUGAACAGAGUAACCCUUGCUGCUAUUAUUAUCUCCGCAUGGUUCAAAAAGAUACUACUUAUGAUGAGGAAGAAAGUUAUAUUGCUCAAUUUGAGAAUUCAGACAGGAAAGUCUACAUUUUGGGGUGGGAGGAUGCUAUUGUGAGUGUCGGAGGGGAAUGCACUGGCAUUUUUAUUUUGAUUCCCCGAGACGUGCAGAAAAUGACAAUGGAUACAUGCAACGGUAUAACAAAUUUGUCUAGCAUGGGUCCGCUUGAAUACCUUGAGGAGCUAAAAAUUAGAGAAUCAGAAAACUUAGGGGUGCUCUAUGGAGGACAAGAUGAAGAAGUAAUUGACAUCCUUACCCCAGCCCUUGCGCCUCUCCUCUUCUCGAGCCUUAGGGUUUUACAUAUAGUCUGUUGUCUGAAACUGAAGUAUCUUUUUGGGCAUGGAUUUAAAUCCAACCUUCCGCAUCUACGAGAGAUUGUAAUAUCGGGAUGUUGGGAAAUGGUGGGGAUAAUAGCAGCAGUUACAUCCCCACCACCACAUCCGCUCCCAUUUUUCCCUAGUCUGGAACAGAUUGAGGUUCUUACCUGUAAUGAAAUGAAGAGAGUGGUGGAAUUCGAGUGGAUACCCCACUUCCCUACUCUGAGAAGUAUCAAAGCAUUACAUUGUGAGAAGAUGGAGGAGAUAAUCGGAGGUCCUCCCCCAUACUCGCCAGUUGAAGAGAUUUCUCUCCAAUCUCUUGAGGUAAAUGACUGCAAUAACAUGAGAAGGCUGUUUUCGCAUGAGUGGCUGCUCCAUCUUCGAAAUCUUCAAAGUAUCCAGGUCGUUGGCUGCAAAGGAAUGGUGGAGAUGAUAAGCGGAGCGGGACAAGGCCAAGAAGAAAGCAUAACGACUCUUUACAGCACCCCUUCAUCCUUCCAGCCUUCUUCAAUUUCUCUCCCAAAGCUGAAGUGCUUGGAGCUACUCAAUCUACCCUGGCUGAAGAGCAUAUGCGAAGUCCCAAUAAGCUGCAAUUCCAUGAAAGAAUUGACAGUGUCCAAAUGCCCAGGACUGAUGAGGAUUCCUUUGCAAUUGCGAUUGUGUGAAAUUGAGGAGCUUCCGCAUAUUUGGGUGGAAGAUGAGGAAAGGUGGAAGACGCUGAUGUGGGAUCAAACCGAUGCUCAGGCUCUUCUUCAACCUUAUCUCCGAAAGGGGAGUCCUUUAUUCCGGAAGGGAUGUUGUUCUCCAAAUGCUAUAGGUUAAUGAGUUUAAUUGAUAAUCAAUUGCUUCACUUCUUAAAAGUCUUUUCUGUCUAUAUAGUCAUGCAGCUCUCAUAGUGGCCUUUUGCAGAACUGUUGGCCAAGGGAAGGGGUCUCCUGCGACUCUGCUCUUGAAGAAAGCCCUGCUGCUCAACCGUGCUUUCCUGCAAACUUGACUCAGGUCGCCAUAUGAAUUUGACUUUUUUUGUGUGGCCAUGCUUUGUCUAUUUUGAAUGUGAUCGCAUGUUUCAUUGACUACUGGAAAUGAGUCGAUCUGAUUGAUAUUUCAGGUUAGUCAAAAAGCAACGGAUCUGAAGAUUUGGGAAGCCAAGGGAUUAGCAAAGUCUGUUUUUUAUCUUGUCUUAUAACUGAAAGGACAAUUUAUUAUUAUGGAUUGAUCUUCUUGGGAUAUUAGCCUUCUAAGAAAAGAGAGAAUUUUGUACAGCACUACCUUUAAUCUGUUUUUGUUUCGAAAGGAUUUCAAAUAUGAUAUUGCUUUAACUUGUCGAUCGAAAAUAUUGUGUCAAAUAUGCUGCUUUGCUCUGUUGGAUCAGAGCAACAUGACCCAUAUUAAACUUGUUUCGACAUUAAACUAGUGGGUAUAGAAUACUUGAUCUGCUUAGUAGUUGUAUCAUAUCUGGAAACGUAGGCCGGGAAGUUUUCUUUUCACCCUUUGUCAUACUUUGAGUUAGAAAUGUAAAAAGAUGAAGAAGAAAGAAUUGCACAGCUAUCACCCCUCUUUAAAUGCCUUGAAGUUGUGGAUAGAUGGAGAAACCUACAGCUUCAGCUCAAGUUACCAAAAAUCAGAGCAGUNNNNNNNNNNNNNNNNNNNNNNNNNNNNNNNNNNNNNNNNNNNNNNNNNNNNNNNNNNNNNNNNNNNNNNNNNNNNNNNNNNNNNNNNNNNNNNNNNNNNNNNNNNNNNNNNNNNNNNNNNNNNNNNNNNNNNNNNNNNNNNNNNNNNNNNNNNNNNNNNNNNNNNNNNNNNNNNNNNNNNNNNNNNNNNNNNNNNNNNNNNNNNNNNNNNNNNNNNNNNNNNNNNNNUGCAUUGAGCAGUUAAAGCAGAUAAUGUUUUUGUAUGCUCUGCGAUCCCAAUCUAUCCUCUCAUCUGAUCUAAAUAUGUUGGGAGGAAACUUUCUUUCAUCAUUUCCAGGUAAUUGAUUGCUUUGUUACUACAGGAAAUUCAGGUACUUAGCCAGCAUAGACAUCCGAACACUCUGCAGUAUUAUGUUAGGGAAAUUGUGAGUCACAUUUCCACAGCAUCUAUGCAUCCCAGCUCAAUGGGCGUUCAUUAUUUGACUCACCAAAAUUUCAACAUAUUCAUGCAUACUCAGGUUGAGGAUUGGCUUUACAUAUAUCUAGAAUAUGCACAUCACGAUUCAAUAGACAAGUAUAUCCAGGAGCGUCUUGGGACCCUAACAGAAUCAGUUGUCAGCACUUUACCCGCUAUAUUGUGGCUGGAUUGGCUUCCCUGCAUGUUAACAACUCCAUACAUGGGUAUCAAGCAUCAUGAGAUGACUUGCAUAUUGGAUUAGGAGAUUGGACCUUCUUAUUUGUACCCACAGACCCGUUAAAACUAUUUGGCUUGUGCAGGGAUUUAAUGGGAGCUAUUUAUUUGUGGAUGCAUCUGGGAUAUUCAAACUUGCUGACUUUGGGAUUGCUAAACAUGUGAGUUUUUACCUCUCCACUGCAAGACUAUUCAGUGCAUGUUGAAAUUCCUUGCUAAUCUGUGGUGCAUUCGAAUGUGAAGUCAGGGACCCAGGGUGACUGCAUACUUCUCGUUAUUGGUUUGUGGCAUUUCAUAUGUGCAUAAAUCUAUCAUAGAUGGAUGAAAUGUUAUUAAGUAAUUUUCUUCACUUUUUUUCCCAUUGUUUCGGGUAAAGUUACCAUGUUGCAUGAACGGGAAAAGAUUUCUUGCUGUAAAUAGAUGCCGAAACCUAAUGAGAGUUCCCUUUCUACUGGUUUCUAAAAAGUUCCUAAGAGCGGUAGUGAAUAGAACGCAAUACCUUUGGCAAAAGGUUGUGGUGUUGUUUUUGCUGCUCCUCUGCAUUCCAAAAUAAGGAUAGAAUUUAGUCACAGUAAGUAAGGGCCUCCUUCCUAACGUGGGGUAAAUAAAAGUGUAUUGAUCCAUAGAAUGGAAUUCUGGACAGUCGCCAAGGUGUUGUUGCUCUCUUUUUGAGUUCUCAAGCAUUUGCUGAGGCCAUGUUGUUGAUUGCUUCAUGGUCCUUUUUCUCAGUAAUGAGCUAACAUGAGUUGAAAGUGGUUGAUUCAGUUAUCAAUAUGAUGUAUCUAUGUCUAUAAAGAUGUUGCUAUUUUAUCCGGUGUUCCAUGAACACACCAAGUAGUAUUCAGCUUUACUAAUGCCGUACCAUUUCUUAGCUAACCGGACAAGCAGCUUGCCGCUCUUUGAAGGGAAGUCUAAACUAGAUGGCUCUAGAGGUACUCUGCUUUUGUUAACGUUAAUGCGGCAUACUCGGAGGUCCUCCCCCAUACUCGCCAGAUGAACAGAUUUCUCUCGAAUCUCUUGAGGUAAGCCUUUGCGAUAACAUGAGAAAGCUGCUUACGUAUGAGUGGCUGCUCCAUCUUCGAAAUCUUCAAAGUAUCGAGGUCGCUGAGUGCAAAGGAAUGGUGGAGUUGAUAAGCAGAGCGGGACAAGGCCAAGAAGGAAGCAUAACGACUUCUGUAAACGACACUCCUUCAUCCUUCCAGCCUUCUUCAAUUUCUCUCCCAAAGCUAGAGUGUUUGAAGCUACGCUAUCUACACCAGCUGAAGAGCAUAUACAAAGCCCCAAUAAGCUGGGAUUUCAUGAAAAGAUUGGACGUGUACGGAUGCCCAGAACUGAAGAGGAUUCCUUUGCAAUUGCCACUGCGUGAAAUUGAGGAGCUUCCGUAUAUUUGGGUGGAAGAUGAGGAAAAGUGAAAGAUGCUGAUGUGGGAUCAUGCUCAGGCUAUUCUUCAACCUUAUCUCUGAAAAGUGCAUCCUUUUUUUUCAAAUGCUAUAGGUUAAUGAGUUUAAUUAAUAUACAAUUGCUUCACUUCUCAAAAAGUCCUUAUAAAGAUGUAGCUUAUCUGUCUAUAUAGUCAUGCAGCUCUAACGGCGGCCUUUUGCAGAACUGUCCGCCAGGAGAAAGGAUCAUCCUUGGCUCUACUCUUGAAGAAAGCCCUGCUACUCAAGCAUGCUUUCCUGCAAACUCGACUCAAGUUGCCAUAUGAAUUGACUUUCUUUCAUGUGGCCAUGCUUUGUGUAUUUUGAACGCAAUCGCAUUUUUUUUGGCUACUGGAAAUGAGUCAAUCUGGUCGAUAUUUCGGGUUAGUCAAAAAAAUGAAAGGACAAUUUAUUAUUAUGGAUUGAUCUUCCAGGAAUAUUAGCCUUCUGAGAAAAGAGAGAAUUUUGGGCAGCAGUACCUUUAAUCUGUUCGUGUUUAGAAAUGAUUUCAAAUAUAAUAUUGCUCUAACUUGUCAAUUGAAAAUGUUGUGACGUACGCCACUUUGCUCUUUUGGAUCAGAGCAGCGUGACCCUGAUUGAACUUGUUUCGACAUUAAACUAUCUAGUAUAGAAUACUCGACUUGCUUAGUAGUUGUAUCCUAUCUGGAAACACAGGCGGCCAGGAAGUUUUCUUUCCUCCCUUUGCUGUAAAAGGUCACCUUAGCCCCACUUUAGGUUAAAAUGUAAAAAGACCAAGAAGAAAGAAUUGCACAAUUAUCACCCCUCUUUGAAUGCCUCGAAGUCAUGGAUAGAUGGAUAACCCUACAUCUUCAGCUCAAGUUGCUGAAACCACUAGCAAGUCAAUGGGGAAAAGGCCAGCUUAUUGGACGUGGCACUUUCGGAAGUGUUUACAUUGCAAGCAACUGGUAAGUUAGCUCUGGGAAACUUUGACAUGCUCAAUUUUUUAAACAUCCAGUCGGUUGAACUUUGACAUGUUCCGUGACAGAGAAACCAGAGUUCUGGGUGAAUGGAAGGAGUUUGAGCUAUUGCCUAAUGAUCCAAAUUUGGCUGAGUGCAUGAGGCAGUUUAAGCAGGUAAUGUUUUUGUUAUGCUUUGGCAUCUAAUCCAUCCUCUCGUCUGAUCUAAAUAUGCUGCGAGGAAACUUUCUUUCAUCAUUUCCAGUUAAUCGAUUGCUUUGCUACUAUAGGAAAUUCAGGUACUUAGCCAGCUUAGACAUCCGAACAUUCUGCAGUAUUAUGGCAGUGAAAUUGUGAGUCAACUUUCCAGGACAUCUGCAUGUCCCAGCUCAACAGGCAUUCAUAAUUUGACUCACCAAAAUUUCAACAUGUCCAUACAUACUCAGGUUGAGGAUCAACUCAACGUAUAUCUAGAAUAUGCACAUCACGGUUCGAUAGACAAGUAUAUAAAGGAACGUCUUGGGACCCUGACAGAAUCGGUUGUCCGCACUUUUACCUAUGAUAUUGUGACUGGAUUGGCUUCACUGCAUGUUAACAACUCCAUACAUGGGUAAUUCUAAACCAUUGAUCAAGCAUCGUGAAAUGACUUGCAUAUUGGAUUAGGACGAUAGCGCUACAGACCUGUCAAAACUAUUUGGUUAGCGCAGGGAUUUAAAGGGAGCUAAUUUAUUUGUGGAUGCAUCCGGGAUAGUCAGACUUGCUGACUUUGGGAUUGCUAAACAUGUGAGUUUCGACCUCUUCAUUGCAAGACUACUGACUGCAUGUGGAAAUUACUAGCAGAUCUGUGGUGCAUUUGAAUGUGAAGUCAGGGACCCAGGGUGACUGUGUACUUCUCACCACUGGUUUGUGGCAUUUCAUCUGUGCAAAAAUCUAUUAUAGAUGGAUGUUAUUGAGUAAUUUUCUUCACUUUUUUUUCCCAUUGUCUUGAGUAAAGUUACUAUGUUGCAUAAACGGGAAAAGAUUUCUCGCUGCAAACAGAUGCCAAAACCUAAUGAGAAUUCUUUCCUCUUCUAGUGGUUUCCAAAAAGUUCCUAAGACCGAUAGUGAAUAGAACCCAAUACCUUUGGCAAAAGGUUGUGGUGUUGUUUUUGCUGCUCCUCUGCAUUCCAAAAGAAGGAUUGAAUUUAGUCAGAGUAAAGAAGGGCCUCCUUCCUAACAUGGGGCAAAUAAAAGUGUAUUGGUCCAUAGAACGGAAUUUGGGACAGUAGCCAUAGUAUCGUUGCUCUCUUUUUGAAUUCUCAAGCAUUUGCUGAAAUCAUGUUGUUGAUUGCUUCAUGGUCUUUCUACUCAGUAAUGAGCUAACAUAAGUUGAAAGUGGUUGAUUCAGUUGUCAAUCUAAUGUAUCUAUGUCUACAAAGAUGUUGCUAUUUUAUCCAUGUUCCAUGAACACAUUAAAUGGUCUUCGGCUUUACUAAUGCCAUACCAUUUGUUAGCUAACCAGACAAGUAGCUUACUACUCUUUGAAGGGAAGUCUAAACUGGUGGCUCACGAGAUACUCUGCUUUUGUGAACGUUAAUGCUACAUUCCUUUUUUGUUGUGGCGGAAUGAUGGAAUAAUAUAUCGUGCAGCUCAUACAAUCAUUGAUGGUGAAUAAUUACAGCAUGAAUCUCGAUCGUGCUGCCGACAUGUGGAGUUUGGGACAUACUAUUACUGAAAUGAUAACUGUGAAGCUUCCUAGGAGUGAGUAUGACUGUAUGAGCGGGUACGUUUGCUGCAUUGCUUUUUCAUUUUCUCUGUCCUUCCAAGGAAUAUGCUUCCGACUAAAUCCAUCACCAUUUUCUGUAGGAAGUUUGGGACUAUACAUAUUACCAUUUGGUAUGUGAUCCGUGUCAUGAGUUUCUGUUUAAGGUUGAAUCAUUAAUGCAGGCUCAAGUCAUAUUUAAGGUGAUGUGAAGUUCUCCAGCAAUACCUGAGACAUUAUCUCCCGAGGGAAAGGAUUUCCUGCAGUGCUGCUUUCGAACACAGCCUGCCAAGAAGCCUUCAGCAGCUAUGCCACUUGAGCAUGCUUUCCUGCGAAUUUGAAGUUGCUUAUGAUUGACUUAUUUCAAGUGCCAUACGUUGUUGCAAAUGGAUGUGGUACUGUAAAGUUCCAUAUUUACUAAACUAGAAUAAUCACAGGGUCCAUAGAUGUGAUGAAGUACUUGUAUAUCUACGAAAUAAGAUGCAUGUUCCUCUCGCAUGGUUUGACCAGUGUCAUACUACGAUCUAGGCAAAUUUGACAGUGUUGCUUAAUCUAAACAUUUUACUACAGAG